GAAGAUCUAACAGACAGAAACUCGCGCUUGGUGGAGGGGGCUUGAGGGUCCUGGUCGUUCACCGGUUGAAAAGAGAAGAGACGGGAGGUCGGUUCCUUCUGCCUCGUACUACCGCCGUAACCCUAACCCUAACCCCUAGAGCAGAUCCAGCUAGCCGCAGUACGAGCGUCACCGGCGUCUCCUCCGCCCCCUACCUCAAAAAAGAUAAAGCCGGAGAAACUGGAGGUAGGUUCUUUCCGCCUCGUCGUAACACCCUAAGCCAUACAUCAGAUCUAGCCCGCCGCAAUGCGAGCGUCGUCGGGAUCUCCUCCUAUCCCGACCUCGAAGGGGGAGGGUGUGAUGGAAGUUGAAUCGGAUCAAGAUCAGGAUGAUUGUGAUGUGAUGAUUGAGCCUGCCGCUGCCCUCAGGGGUCUCUAUGCGAUGAUGGUCUCAUGGUGUGACCAAUUCCUUGAUAUUGAUAUUGAUAUUGAGGAGGAAGGGGAUAGAUCCGUUCCUCCCUUGUUGAUGAUCCACUUUCCCCGUGAGUCCCUCAAAUUAUUUGCUUUAUUUUGCUGGGAUGCGUGCGCAAUCUUUCUAAUCAUACAGUUUCAGGUCUUUUUGAGAGAGCAUGGGGAAAUAAUCGCCUAUAUCCUCAAGCUUUAGAUGACUGUUGUCCGUAUCGUGCAUACCUCCAGAAGUUCUGCGAUCAUAAUGCUCCUCGUUAUCAUGAUCCCGAUGCCUACAAGUUGGUAAUUAACAUCUCUAACCUACCCCGAUUGCACGAAAUCAAAACAAGCGGAUUUGCAUGUACAUGUGGCCAUAUAUCUAGUUGCUAGCUCGCAGUAUGUAUCAUUUAGAAUUCUUGAUCUGCACCAACUGCAAACUAACCCAUGAUUUCUCUCCUUGGGAAGUGUAUGGAUCAGGAAAUUAGAUUGAAGUCUGAGUGGCUGUACAAGCACACCCAUGUCCCCCAUGAUGAGAUCAGUCUGAGUGACAAUAUCCAAAACUGCGCUUAUGAACUUAUCCGUUCCAACAGCGGUGAAGGAGAUUCUCCUAUUUCCAUGAUCGCUGCCACAGUAAGCAUCUAAUUUGACUAAAUAAACUUGUGCGUCACUUUAAAUUUAGGAUUUUAUACCCUGUACUUAAAUUUAGGAUUUUAUACCUUGGGCUUACUACUAUCUUUGUGCCAUUUAUGAAACAUUGCAAUGGUCCAAAGUGUGUUGCGAAGGAGAGCGAGUUGAUCGUUGAGAGGCUGAGCUGUCAUCCCAGUCUUCUGGACCCUGAAGAAUCACCCCACGAGAGCACACAGAUACGGAUGUUUGCCUUAAGUUGCAUGAAAGGUUCUCAGGCUUGUUCUGAUGCUGCUCUUCUGGUUAAAAAAGCUGCCCUGCUGGUAUGUAUGCAAAAAAUCAAACCAAAAUGUGUUAUACUUCUUAUUCAACUUCGUUGUAACUCAUUACAAAAUCAUGAUUUGUCAAGGGCAUUACAAUUGAAGCUGGCUUGAUGACUCGGAACCUGAGGGAUAAGUAUUAUGACUCCAACGUAUCCUACCUGAACAGAUUGAUCCGGCGCUUUGCCUUAGAAGUUGUAAGGCAAAAAUUUGACGGAUCUCUUGAACAUUCUGCUCAUGAUGAUUAUCGGUAUGAUUUUGUUGCUAGACUUGAAGAAGAUGCUGAGAAUCAUUGUAGGUAUAAUCUGAGCAACAUUUCUGUUGCUUUCUUGAGAUAAGUUUUUUGUGUUGCUUUCUAAUCAUUUGAGUUGUGCUGCUGUUGUUUGCUUGGUACUAAUGCUAGUAUAAGUGUAAAAUUGAGUGAUACUGUCUUGGCUUUGUUAGCUCAGUAAUACCAUCUCUUACUCUACUAUCUCCAGGGACAGCCUUGUAAACUCUGAUCCAGCUUCUGAGGAGAAAGGAAAUGUUGCAUCAUGUGCCUCCACAUGCAGCAACGGAAACUGAGGUAUGGUUGAACCCAGAAAUCAUUUUGAUGCAAAAGGCAAACUGAAUGAAUGAACUAUGGAACAGCAAAUUGAAAACAAUUUCAUUUGCCUCUGGAUCUGAAAAAAAUGACACUUGAUGUUUUGAAAAUAGAAGAAGCUUUGCUGAGUUCUUCUGGCUUUGUGCCAUCUAGCUUUCAGUGGAAAACGCGGCUGAUAUAUCUUGGUUCCUCGUUUGAUUUUGGUUAUUAAAAACCCAUUUAUGCUGCUUACACUGGUUCAGAAUUUUUAUCUAUUUACAAACAAGAUUUGUUCUUAGUCUUGACAGAUUUGAGUGCCCAUCUGAUUAUAACAUCAUAGAUUUAUAUCUCUUAUGGGCUAAAUAUGUAAAUUCUGUUUGUAAAAGGUUCUACUGUUUAGCUUCAUUGCUAUUUUUGCUGUAAUCAUUAUUAUAUUCUCUGUACAUCAGAACUAGCUAUAAAAUGUCUCUUUAAGAGCACAUUUUUGCAUUCUAAUUUAUUUUUUAUAUCGGCUAUGAAAUAUCGAAAUAUAACAGAGGUCACAUUUUGAUGCUAAUUUACUUGCUGCAGGAAUGGAUGGUGCCAUGAAGGAGAAAGGGUUAGGAAAGAUGGAUCGCGAUUUCAUUUAUGCUCCCUUCCAAUUGGUGUACUGCAUGAAGCGGACAUGCUUUUCAAGCUAUGUGUUGGGUUCAAGUUUAAUUGUGUCAAACAUACCUUUACCAAUCUAGCUUAUAUAUUUGGACCAAAUUCACCCCAAUAUUUUUGUGUUGAUACCUUUAUCCUCUCUUUCUCUUUCAUAUCUGUGGAAAUAAGAUGGGUAGUUUUGUUUCGUGUCAACAGCUUUUACCAAUCUAGCUUAUAUAUUUUACGUCUCAAACAGCCUUUAGCCUAUUUUGUUUCAUGUCAACAGUCAAGACUAGCUGCUCGGCUCUGGUUAGUUUUGUUGCUUAGUUGUUUGGAUUUGUAUUUGGCUGGUGAUUGGGAGCAGACCUGCCAUCAUAGGAAAGUUCAGCCUUUUCUGUAUGAGAAUGCCGGUACUUGUGGUGCUACUGGUGCACCGGACGCAUUAGCACAUUUUAAAAUGUUAAAAAAAACUAGCACAUUGGCACAAUAUCAAUACGUUCUUGGAGUUAAGCUUGUAGGAUGGAUCAAAAUGUGAUUUUAUUGCUUAUGCCCACUUCAUGACUGUUAAUUCUUGCUGGAGUUCUUCAUAUGCACUGAUACUGUGAUAAUACUGUUGUAGGCUGACACCUAUAGCUCAUCAUCCCUAGGCUAACGCGUUAAUCCUGUGUUGCAUAUGCUUCAAGGCAGCCGGUGAUCCUAGUAUAAAUAAUUAAAAUUGAAUAGACCGGUUUUGACAUUUUGAAAUUGAACUGUUUCAAAAUGAGUAGUUGCCUGUUUGCUUUCAUGUUUUGGUGGCUUGUCUACCUUUGUUGAUAUUGUAGGCUGCAUUCUAGGAAAAAGAACUUAAAAUCAUUUCUGAGCACCCAAUAGCGGUUGAAACAGAUCAUAGUGCUUUUUUGCAGUUAAGCUCUACGAUUGUUAUAGGAAUGAACAUGUGCUUUUAUUGUUUAUGCCCAUUCUACUGCUGUUAAUUCUUGUUGGAGUUCUUCAUAGGCGCGGACACUGAUAGAACUGUUAUAGGCUGAUGCGUAGCUCGUCAUCCCUAGUUGAUGUGUUAUUCCUGUGCUGUGUAUAAGCUCCAAGUCGAUUUUUAUAACUUCACUUAUAUUGGACUAGCACAUAUGCCACGGGAGAGAAUUUUUUUUUUUUUGCGAGAAGCUACGGAAGAGAUAAGCGAUGUGUCCAUAAAACAGUCGUUUUUUUUUUGCGAGAAGCUAUGGAAGAGAUAAGCGAUGUGUCCAUAAAACAGUCGCUGUAGCGGUAAGGUGGCGAGGAGCUGUGCUCUUCUCAUGGGUCAUGUUUGGCCAUAAGCUCCAAGUCGAUUUGUAUAACUUCACCUAUAUUGGACUAGCACAUAUGCCACGGGCAACUGGAGGGAUGUGAUGUAUCCGUAAAAUGGCCGCAAUAGCGGUGGGGCGAUAGGGCGAGGAGCUGCGGUCUUCUCAUGGGUCAUGUUUGAUCAUAAACUUCAAGUCGAUUAGUAUAACUUCACUUUUAUUUGACUAGCACAUAUGCCAUGGGAGAGAUUUUUUUGCGAGAAGCAACGGGAGAGAUAUGUGAUAUGUCCAUAAAACGGUCGCCGUAGUGGUGCCGCUAAAGAGCGAGGAGCUGCCACCUUCUCAUGGAUCAUGUUUGGCCCACGAGAUCUUGAUUAUGGUGGGGUUGGUCGGCGUGACGGCAAUCACCAACUCAUACAUUUUUUUCCUCCAGGCCCGCCUUUGUUUUGAGGUUGAGGUUGUAGCCGCCUCCUUAUUUGAUGGUUGUGCGACGACCUUUGGGGCACGGUUGCUUCGACCACUCUCUUCUAUGAUGACGUAACUGGAUGGAUUAUUAAUUACAGUGCGUAAAUCUUGUUUCAUUAGGAUAAUCAGUGCUCACGCCCAUAGUUGUUUUAAUUAGAGCUAAACUGUCAUAUUCUCUUUUGUUGGCACGUGGCUAUAAUUUAUUUUGAUUAUAACCAACCAACAGUUUUUUUAUUAUCAAAUAGCGCAUGUGAAGCACAACACUUUGUGUUUGGGCCAGCCCACUGGCAGGCAUCAAAACGUCCUGUGAUUGUAAGGCGCAAGUAAAAAUUCAAAAAAUGACGAGUUUAAGGAUCGAACUCAUGACCUCAAAAACUUGACCACGUGUUGCUAGCCACUGGAACAAACGGGUCUUGGUAACCAAUGAUCACCGCGGAUGUUUAAGAACAUACUACAACGUCAACUCAUGACCUCAAAAACUCGACCACGUGUUGCUAGCCACUCGAACACACGGGUCUUGGUAACCAAUGAUCACCGCGGAUGUUUAAGAACAUACUACAACGUGAGAUUCAAAAUAUUUUUCAUUCUUUAUCUCUUAAAAAAUUAUAUUAAUAAUUAUUAAUUACCAACAAUUCUUUGAAACUUGAACAUUUUUCAAAAUCCCAAACAUUUUUCGAAAACAUGAAAAGUACUUUGAAUUUUUUGUUCAUUUUUGGAAAAGCAAAAUUUGGAACAGACACAUUUUUUGAAUUUCAUAAACAUUUUUUUUGAAAACAUGAACCUUUUUUUAAACAUGAAUAUUUGUUGAAUUGUGAAUUUAUUUUUAAAACAGAAACAUUUUUUGGACAUUCCGAAUAAUUUUAGAAAAUGUGUAUUUUAUACAAGAACAUUAUUUUAAAUUUGUAAACAUUUUGUUACAACAAGAAUAUUUUUUGAAUUUGCAAUUAUGGAAACACAAACCUAUUUUGAUUUUGAAGAAAUUUUGGUAUGCGAUUUUUUUAAAGUUCCAAACAUUUUUUAAAAUGGGAACAAAAUAUUGGAAUUAUAAAAAAAUUGAAAAUUUGGAAAAGUUGAAAUUCUAAACGUUUUCUGAAAUUUUUGAGAAGAAACAAAAAAGAAAAAGUGAAAGAGAUAGAAAAAGAAACAAUAGAACUAGAACACAGAAAAAACGAAAAUAGGCCGGCCUAUGCGAAACGCUGACUAUUUGCCGCAAAGUGCGGCAAAUAGUGGUUCGCCAGCUGCGUGGGCAGGAAAAUAAGUUGGCGGGCAUCGCUAGGCCACAGCGUGCACGACCCACGUAGGAAAUUCUGGACGAAAAUUUAGUUCCACCUUGGGUAAAAAAAAUUAAACUUUUCGAUGGUGAACGGAUGAAAAAGUUCGAAGGGAUGCACCUUGCUUUAUUAGAAAAAAAAAGAAUGAAAGAAAAGAAGUAGGUAUGGAAUUCAAGUUUACUGUGGAUGUGUUUUGCACCAAGACUAUUGGUAAUUUGUGUGAUUGGUAGUGACUGAUGAACUAGUGUUCUCUCUUUGACCAUCGUUCAUGUGCGGUGAAGCAUGUUGGCCAGAAUUUUUUUUACUCUGCUUAUAUGGGGGCACUUUGUGGCACUCUUCUUCUGGUUUUGCUUUGUUCCGUCUCUUGGGUGGUUCAAAUUCCAACAUUACAUUAGGACAAAAUAUGUUUGUAGCUUUACUUUACAUAAAGCAAUCAAGCAUGAAGUUUCACCAUUUGUUUAAUUAUACCCUACACUGAUUUUAGCAAGAGAGUACAAUAGUGAUCUAGGAGUAGAUCACUAGACAGCGGUCAAAAUUAUCCUUAGUGGAAUAAGGAUAUAUUUCUCGAUUAUGGAGGUGCCAAAGGUUUGUCGUGAAGGGUUACGUCGAUGCAAAUUUUGACACUGAUCCAGAUGACUCUAAGUCUCAAUCUGGAUGCAUAUUGAAAGUGAGAGUAAUUAGCUAGAGUAGCUCUGUGCAAAGCAUUGUUGACAUAGAAAUUUGCAAAAUACAUACGGAUCUGAAUGUGGCAGACCCAUUGACUAAACUUCUCUCACAAGCAAAACAUGAUCACACCUAAGUACUCUUUGGGUGUUAAUCACAUAGCGAUGUGAACUACAUUAUUGACUCUAGUAAAACCCUUUGGGUAUUGGUCACAUGACGAUGUGAACUAUGGGUGUUAAUCACAUGGUGAUGUGAACUAUUGAUGUUAAAUCACAUGGCGAUGUGAUCUAGAUUAUUGACUCUAGUGCAAGUGGGAGACUGAAGGAAAUAUGCCCUAGAGGCAAUAAUAAAGUUACUAUUUAUUUCCUUAUAUCAUGAUAAAUGUUUAUUAUUCAUGCUAGAAUUGUAUUAACCGGAAACAUAAUACAUGUGUGAAUACAUAGACAAACAGAGUGUCACUAGUAUGCCUCUCCUUGACUAGCUCGUUAAAUCAAAGAUGGUUAAGUUUCCUAGCCAUAGACAUGAGUUGUCAUUUGAUUAACGGGACCACAUCAUUAGGAGAAUGAUGUGAUUGACUUGACCCAUUCCGUUAGCUUAGCACUUGAUCGUUUAGUAUGUUGCUAUUGCUUUCUUCAUGACUUAUACAUGUUCCUAUGACUAUGAGAUUAUGCAACUCCCGUUUACCGAAGGAACACUUUGUGUGCUACCAAACGUCACAACGUAACUGGGUGAUUAUAAAGGUUCUCUACAGGUGUCUCCAAAGGUACUUGUUGGGUUGGCGUAUUUCGAGAUUAGGAUUUGUCACUCCGAUUGUCGGAGAGGUAUCUCUGGGCCCACUCGGUAAUGCACAUCACUUAAGCCUUGCAAGCAUUGUAACUAAUGAGUUAGUUGCGGGAUGAUGUAUUACAGAACGGGUAAAGAGACUUGCCGGUAACGAGAUUGAACUAGGUAUUGAGAUACCGACGAUCGAAUCUCGGGCAAGUAACAUACCGAUGACAAAGGGAACAACGUAUGUUGUUAUGCGGUUUGACCGAUAAAGAUCUUCGUAGAAUAUGUGGGAGCCAAUAUGAGCAUCCAGGUUCUGCUAUUGGUUAUUGACCGGAGACUUGUCUCGGUCAUGUCUACAUUGUUCUCGAACCCGUAGGGUCCGCACGCUUAAAGUUCGAUGAUGGUUAUAUUAUGAGUUUAUGUGUUUUGAUGUACCGAAGGUAGUUUAGAGUCCCGGAUGAGAGCAGGGACAUGACGAGGAGUCUUGAAUUGGUCGAGACGUAAAGAUCGAUAUAUUGGACAGUUAUAUUCGGACAUCGGAAAGGUUCCGAGUGAUUCGGGUAUUUUUCGGAGUACCGGAGAGUUACGGGAAUUCGCCGGGGAGUAUAUGGGCCUUAUUGGGCUUUAGGGGAAAGAGAGAGGAGAGGCAGCGCCCCCCCCCAAGGCCUAGUCCGAAUUGGACUAGGGGGAGGGGCUGCGCCCCCUCCUUCCUUCUCUUAUCUCUCCCCUUUCCUUGACUCCUACUCCUACUACUUGGAAGGGGGGGGGGAAUCCAACUCCCGAUGGGAGUAGGACUCCUCCUAGGGCACGCCAUAGAGAGGGCCGGCCCUCCCCCUCCUCCACUCCUUUAUAUACGGGGAGGGGGGCACCCCUUGGAGACACAACAAUUGAUCCCUUGGAUCUCUUAGCCGUGUGCGAUGCCCCCCUCCACCAUAAUCCACCUCGAUAAUAUCGUAGCGGUGCUUAGGCAAAGCCCUGCGUCGGUAGAACAUCAUCAUCGUAACCACGCCGUGCUGAUGGAACUCUCCCUCAAAGCUCGGCUGGAUCGGAGUUCGAGGGACGUCAUUGAGUUGAACGUGUGCUGAACUCGGAGGUGCCGUACGUUCGGUACUUGAUCGGUCGGAUCGUGAAGACGUACGACUACAUCAACCGCGUUGUGCUAACGCUUCCGCUUUUGGUCUAUGAGGGUACGUGGACAACACUCUCCCCUCUUGUUGCUAUGCAUCACCAUGAUCUUGUGUGUGCGUAGGAAAAUUUUGAAAUUACUAUGUUCCCCAACAUGAUCACAUUGAGCUCAUUAUGAUGAUGUCCUACCGAGUGGACCCAAAGAUACCUCUCCAUCACACGGAGUGACAAAUCCCAGUCUCGAUUUGUGCCAACCCAAUAGACACUUUCGGAGAUACCCGUAGUGCACCUUUAUAGCCACCCAGUUAUGUUGUGACGUUUUGCACACCCAAAGCAUUCCUACGGUAUCCGGGAGUUGCACAAUCUCAUGGUCUAAGGAAAUGAUACUUGACAUUAGAGAAGCUUUAGCAGACGAACUACACGAUCUUGUGCUAUGCUUAGGAUUGGGUCUUGUCCACCACAUCAUUCUCCUAAUGAUGUGAUCCCGUUAUCAACGACAUCCAAUGUCCAUGGUCAGGAAACCGUAACCAUCUAUUGAUCAACGAGCUAGUCAACUAGAGGCUCACUAGGGACAUGUUGUGGUCUAUGUAUUCACACAUGUAUUACGAUUUCCGGAUAACACAAUUGUAACAUGAAUAAUAGACAAUUAUCAUGAACAAGGAAAUAUAAUUAUAACCAUUUUAUUAUUGCCUCUAGGGCAUAUUUCCAACAGUCUCCCACUUGCACUAGAGUCAAUAAUAUAGUUACAUUGUGAUGUAUCGAACACCCAUAGAGUUCUGGUGUUGAUCAUGUUUUGCUCGUGGAAGAGGUUUAGUCAACGGAUCUGCGACAUUCAGGUCCGUAUGCACUUUACAAAUAUCUAUGUCUCCAUCUUGAACAGUUUCACGAAUGGAGUUGAAGCGACGCUUGAUAUGCCUGGUCUUCUUGUGAAACCUGGGCUCCUUGGCCAGGGCAAUAGCUCCAGUGUUGUCACAGAAGAGAGUCAUCGGGCCCGACGCAUUGGGAAUAACUCCUAGGUCGAUAAUGAACUCCUUUAUCCAGAUUGCUUCAUGUGCUGCCUCCGAGGCUGCCAUGUACUCUGCUUCACAUGUAGAUCCCGCCACGAAGCUUUGCUUGCAGCUGCACCAGCUGACUACCCCACCAUUCAAAAUAUACACGUAUCCGGUUUAUGACUUGGAGUCAUCCAGAUCUGUGUCGAAGCUAGCAUCAGCGUAACCCUUUAUGACGAGCUCUUUGUCACCUCCAUAAACGAGAAACAUAUCCUUAGUCCUUUUCAGGUACUUCAGGAUAUUCUUGACCGCUGUCUAGUGUUCCAUGCCGGGAUUACUUUGGUACCUUCCUACCAAACUUACGGCAAGGUUCACAUCAGGCCUGGUACACAACAUGGCAUACAUAAUAGACCCUAUGGCCGAAGCAUAGGGGAUGAAACUCAUCUUUUCUCUAUCUUCUGCCGUGGUCGGGCAUUGAGCCGUGCUCAAUCUCACACCUUGCAAUACAGGCAAGAACCCCUUCUUGGACUGAUCCAUAUUGAACUUCUUCAAUAUCUUGUCAAGGUAUGUGCUUUGUGAAAGACCAAUGAGGCGUCUCGUUCUAUCUCUAUAGAUCUUGAUGCCUAAUAUGUAAGCAGCUUCUCCAAGGUCCUUCAUUGAAAAACACUUAUUCAAGUAGGCCUUUACGCUUUCCAAGAAUUCUAUGUCAUUUCCCAUCAAUAGUAUGUCAUUCACAUAUAAUAUGAGAAAUGCUACAGAGCUCCCACUCACUUUCUUGUAAACACAGGCUUCUCCAUAAGUCUGUGUAAACCCAAACGCUUUGAUCAUCUCAUCAAAGCGAAUGUUACAACUCCAAGAUGCUUGCACCAGCCCAUAGAUUGAGCGCUGGAGCUUGCAUACCUUGUCAGCAUUCUUAGGAUCGACAAAACCUUCCGGCUGCAUCAUAUACAAUUCUUCCUUAAGGAAACCAUUAAGGAAUGCUGUUUUGACGUCCAUUUGCCAUAUCUCAUAAUCAUAGAAUGCGACAAUUGCUAACAUGAUUCGGACGGACUUCAGCUUCGCUACGGGUGAGAAGGUCUCAUCGUAGUCAACUCCUUGAACUUGUCGAUAACCCUUAGCGACAAGUCGAGCCUUAUAGAUGGUUACAUUACCACCCGCGUCUGUCUUCUUCUUAAAGAUCCAUUUAUUUUCUAUGGCUUGCCGAUCAUCGGGCAAGUCAGUCAAAGUCCAUACUUCGUUUUCAUACAUGGAUCCUAUCUCGGAUUUCAUGGCUUCAAGCCAUUUGUCAGAAUCCGGGCCCGCCAUCGCUUCUUCAUAGUUUGAAGGUUCACCAAUGUCUAACAACAUGAUUUCCAGGACAGGGUUGCCGUACCACUCUGGUGCGGAAUGUGUCCUUGUGGACCUACGAAGUUCGGUAGCAACUUGAUCUGAAGUUUCAUGAUCAUCAUCAUUAACUUCCUCUCUAGUCGGUGCAGGCACCACAGAAACAUUUUCUUGAGCUGCGCUACUCUCCGGUUCAAGAGGCAAUACCUCAUCAAGUUCUACUUUCCUCCCACUUACUUCUUUCGAGAGAAACUCUUUCUCUAGAAAGGAUCCAUUCUUGGCAACAAAGAUCUUGCCUUCGGAUCUGAGGUAGAAGGUAUACCCAAUAGUUUCCUUAGGGUAUCCUAUGAAGACACAUUUUUCCGAUUUGGGUUCGAGCUUUUCAGGUUGAAGUUUCUUGACAUAAGCAUCGCAUCCCCAAACUUUUAGAAACAACAACUUAGGUUUCUUUCCAAACCAUAGUUCAUACGGUGUCGUCUCAACGGAUUUCGACGGAGCCCUAUUUAAAGUGAAUGCGGCAGUCUCUAUAGCAUAACCCCAAAAUGAUAGCGGUAGAUCGGUAAGAGACAUCAUAGAUCGCACCAUAUCUAAUAGAGUGCGAUUACGAUGUUUGGACACACCAUUACGCUGAGGUGUUCCAGGCGGCGUGAGUUGUGAAACAAUUCCACAUUUCCUUAAGUGUGUGCCAAAUUCAUGACUCAAAUAUUCCCCUCCAUGAUCUGAUCGUAAGAACUUUAUUUUCCUGUCACGUUGAUUCUCAACCUCACUCUGAAAUUCCUUGAACUUUUCAAAGGUCUUAGACUUGUGUUUCAUUAAGUAGACAUACCCAUAUCUACUUAAGUCAUCAGUGAGGGUGAGAACAUAACGAUAACCACUGCGAGCCUCAACACUCAUUGGACCGCACACAUCAGUAUGUAUGAUUUUCAAUAAGUUGGUUGCUCGCUCCAUUGUUCUGGAGAACAGAGUCUUGGUCAUUUUGCCCAUGAGGCAUGGUUCACAUGUGUCAAAUGAUUCAUAAUCAAGAGACUCCAAAAGUCCAUCUGCAUGGAGUUUCUUCAUGCGUUUGACACCAAUGUGACCAAGGCGGCAGUGCCACAAGUAUGUGGGACUAUCAUUAUCAACCUUAUAUCUUUUGGCAUUCACACUAUGAAUAUGUGUAACAUCACGUCCGAGAUUCAAUAAGAAUAAACCAUUGACCAGCGGGGCAUGACCAUAAAACAUAUCUCUCAUAUAAAUAGAACAACCAUUAUUCUCAGAUUUAAAUGAGUAGCCAUCUCGCAUUAAACGAGAUCCAGAUACAAUGUUCAUGCUCAAAGCUAGCACUAAAUAACAAUUAUUGAGGUUUAAAACUAAUCCCGUAGGUAAAUGUAGAGGUAGCGUGCCGACGGCGAUCACAUCGACCUUGGUACCAUUCCCGACGCGCAUCGUCACCUCGUCCUUCGCCAGUCUCCGCUUAUUCCGCAGCUCCUGUUUUGAGUUAAAAAUAUGAGCAACCGCACCGGUAUCAAAUACCCAGGAGCUACUACGAGUGCUGGUAAGGUACACAUCAAUAACAUGUAUAUCACAUAUACCUUUGGUAUUGCCGGCCUUUUAUCCGCUAAGUACUUGGGGCAGUUCCGCUUCCAGUGACCGUUUCCCUUGCAAUAAAAGCACUGAGUCUCGGGCUUGGGUCCAUUCUUUGGCUUCUUCCCGGCAACUGGCUUACCGGGCGUGGCAACUCCCUUGCCGUCCUUCUUGAAGUUCUUCUUACCCUUGCCUUUCUUGAAACUAGUGGUUUUAUUGACCAUCAACACUUGAUGUUCCUUUUUGAUUUCCACCUCCGCUGAUUUCAGCAUUGAAUAUACCUCAGGAAUGGUUUUCUCCAUCCCCUGCAUAUUGAAAUUCAUCAUGAAGCUCUUGUAGCUAGGUGGGAGCGACUGAAGGAUUCUGUCAACGACCGCGUCAUCCGGGAGAUUAACUCCGAGCUGAGACAAGCGGUUGUGCAACCCAGACAUUUUUGUUGGGGAACGCAGCAGAAAUUCAAAAUUUUCUACGCAUCACCAAGAUCAAUCUAUGGAGAUUCUAGCAACAAGAGAGAGGGGAGUGUAUCUUCAUACCCUUGAAGAUCGCGAAGCAGAAGCGUUACAAGAACGCAGUCGGUGGAGUCGUUCACGAAGCGAUUCAGAUCACGGCCGAAUCCGAUCUAAGCACCGAACAAUGGUGCCUCCGCGUUCAACACACGUACAGCCCGGGGACGUCUCCUCCUUCUUGAUCCAGCAAGGGGAGAGGAGAAGUUGAGGGAAAACUCCGACAACACGAUGGCAUGGUGGUGAUGGAGCUCGUGGUUCUCCGGCAGGGCUUCGCCAAGCACUACGGAGGAGGAGGAGGUGUUGGAGGAGGGAGAGGGCUGCGCCAGGGGAAAGGUGCGGCUGCCCUCUCUCUCCCUCACUAUAUAUAGGGGGAAGGGAGGAGGCUGAGGCGCCCUAGGGUUACCUAGGGGAGGGGCAGCGGCCAUAGGGGAAACCCUAGAUGGGUUUGGGCGCCCCCACCCCUUAGGAAACUUGCCUCCCAAGCCGGGAGGGGCGGCUGCCCUAGGGGUGGCGCCCCCACCUCUCCUGGUUACGUGAGAUGGGGUGGGAGGGGCGCUCAGCCCCUUAGUGGGCUGAUGUGCCCUCUCCCCUUGGCCCAUAAGGCCCCCAACGCUUGUCGGGGCCUCCGAAACCCCUUUCGGACACGCUGGUCAUCACCUGGUACCCCCGGAACAAUUCCGGACUCCAAUACCCUUCGUCCAAUAUACCGAUCUUCACCUCCGGACCAUUCCGGAGCUCCUCGUCAUGUCCGGGAUCUCAUCCGGGACUCCGAACAACCUUCGGUAACCACAUACUAUUUCCCAUAACAACUCUAGCGUCACCGAACCUUUAGUGUGUAGACCCUACGGGUUCAGGAACCAUGCAGACAUGACCGAGACAUUCUCUGGUCAAUAACCAACAGCGGGAUCUGGAUACACAUGUUGGCUCCCACAUAUUCCACGAUGAUCUCAUCGGAUGAACCAUGAUGUCAAGGAUUCAAGCAAUCCCGUAUGCAAUUCCCUUUGUCAAUCGGUAUGUUACUCGCCCAAGAUUCGAUCGUUGGUAUCCCAAUACCUCGUUCAAUCUCAUUACCGGCAAGUCACUUUACUCGUUCCAUAAUGCAUGACCCCGUGACUAACUACUUAGUCACAUUGAGCUCAUUAUGAUGAUGCAUUACCGAGUGGGCCCAGAGAUACCUCUCCGUCAUACGGAGUGACAAAUCCCAGUCUUGAUUCGUGCCAACCCAACAGACACUUUCGGAGAUACCCGUAGUGCACCUUUAUAGCCACCCAGUUACGUUGUGACGUUUGGUACACCCAAAGCACUCCUACGGUAUCAGGGAGUUACACAAUCUCAUGGUCUAAGGAAAUGAUACUUGACAUUAGAAAAACUUUAGCAAACGAACUACACGAUCUUGUGCUAUGCUUAGGAUUGGGUCUCGUCCAUCACAUCAUUCUCCUAAUGAUGUGAUCCUGUUAUCAAUGACAUCCAAUGUCCAUGGUCAGGAAACCAUGACCAUCUGUUGAUCAACGAGCUAGUCAACUAGAGGCUCACUAGGGACAUGUUGUGGUCUAUGUAUUCACACAUGUAUUACGGUUUCCAGUUAAUACAAUUAUAGGAUGAACAAUAGACAAUUAUCAUGAACAAGGAAAUACAAUAAUAACCAUUUUAUUAUUGCCUCUAGGGCAUAUUUCCAACAGUCUCCCACUUGCACUAGAGUCAAUAAUCUAGUUCACAUCACUAUGUGAUUGUAAUGAAUUCAACACCCAUGGGGUUUAAACAUAUCUCGCUUGUGAGAGAGGUUAUUAGUCAACGGGUCUGAAUCUUCCAGAUCCGUGUGUGCUUUACAAAUCUCUAUGUCAUCUCCUAGAUGCAGCUACCACGCUCUAUUUGGAGCUAUUCCAAAUAACUGUUCUACUAUACGAUUCCGGUUUACUACUCAGAAUAAUCUGAAUUAGUGUCAAAGUUCGCAUAGGCGUAACCCUUUACGACGAACUCUUUUACCACCUCCAUAAUCGAGAAAAUUCCUUAGUCCUUUAGUUACUAAGGAUAUGUUUGACCGCUGUCUUGUUAUCCAUUCUUGGAUCAUUCUUGUACCCGUUGACUGACUCAUGGCAAGGCACACUUCAGGUACGGUACACAACAUAGCAUACUGUAGAGCCUAUGUCUGAAGCAUAGGGGACGACCUUCGUCCAUUCUCUCUCUUCUGCCGAGGUCAUGUCUUGAGUCUUACUCAAUACUCACACCUUAUAACACAGCCAAGAAGUCCUUCUUCGCCGAUCUGUUUUGAACUUCUUCAAAAUCUUGUCAUGGCAUGUAUUCAUUUGAAAGUAUUAUUGAGCGUUUUUGAUCUAUCCUUAUAGAUCUUGAUGCUCAAUGUUCAAGUAGCUUAAUCCAGCUUUUCCAUUGAAAAACACCUUUUCAAAUACCCUAUAUGCUUUCUAGAAAUUCUAUAUCAUUUCUGAUCAACAAUACGUCAACAACAUAUACUCAUCAGAAAUUCUAUAGUGCCCCCACUCACUUCUUUGGAAAUACAAGUUUCUCAUAAACUUUGUAUAAAUCCAAAAUCUUUGAUCAUCUCAUCAAAGCGUAUAUUCCAACUCCGAGAUGCUUACUCCAGUCCUUAGAAGGAUUGCUGGAGCUUUGCAUACUUGUUAGCAUCUUUUAGGAUUGUCAAAACCUUCUGGUUGUAUCAGAUACAACCUUUCCUCAAGAAAAUCAUCGAGGAAACUAUAUUUUGACAUCCUAUCUGCAAGAUUUCAUAAAUAAUGCAGUAGCUGCUAAUAUAAUUCUAACAGACUCUUAGCAUCGCUACAAGUGAGAAAGUAUCAUCGUAGUCAACUCCUUGAACUUGUCGGAAAACAUCUCAGGGACAAGUCGAGCUUUGUUAAUGGUGACACUUACCAUCAUUGUCUGUCUUCCCUUUUAAAAUCCAUCUGUACCCAACAGCCUUAUGACCAUCAAGUAGUUCUUCCAAAGUCUACACUUUGUUUUAUACAUGGAUCUUCUCUCGGAUUUUAUGGCCUCGAGCCAUUUGUCGGAAUCUGGGCCCACCAUCACUUCUCCAUAGCUCGUAGGUUCAUUGUUGUCUAGCAACAUGACCUCCAAGACAGGAUUACCGUACCACUCUGAAGCAGUACGCGUCCUUGUCGUCCUACGAGGUUCGACAGUGACUUGAUCCGAGGCUUCAUGAUCACUAUCAUCAGCUUCCACUUCAAUUGGUGUAGGUGUCACAGGAACAACUUCCUGUGCCCUACUACACACUAGUUUUAGUGACGGUUCAAUAACCAUAUCAAGUCUCCACCAUCCUCCCACUCAAUUCUUUCGAGAGAAACUUUUCCUCGAGAAAGGACCCAUUACUAGAAACACUCACUUUUGCUUCCGGAUCUGAAAUAGGAGGUAUAUCCAACUGUUUUGGGUGUCCUAUGAAGAUGUAUUUAUCCGCUUUGGGUUCGAGCUUAUCAGGAUGAAACUUUUUUUUCACAUAAGCGUCACAGCCGCAAACUUUCAAGAAGCGACAACUUAGGUUUCUCUAAACCAUAGUUCAUACAGUGUCAUCUCAACGGAAUUACGUGGUGCCCUAUUUAAAGUGAAUGCGGUUGUCUCUAAUGCCUAACCCAUGAACAAUAGUGGUAAUUCAAUAAGAGACAUCAUGGUAUGCCCCAUAUCCAAUGGGGUGCAUCUAUGAUGUUCGGACACACCAUCAGACUAUGGUGUUCCAGGCGGUGUUAGUUGUGAAACAAUUUCCACAAUGUCUCAAUUGUGUACCAAACUCGCAACUCAGAUAUUCAUCUCUAUGAUCAUAUCAUAGACAUUUUAUCCUCUUGUCACGACGAUCUUCAACUUCACUCUGAAAUUACUUGAACCAUUCAAUAAUUCAGACUUGUGUUUCAUCAAGUAAAUAUACUCAGUAUCUACUCAAAUCAUCUAUGAAGUAAGAACAUAACGAUAUCCACUGCGUGCCUCAGCACUCAUUGGACUGCACACAUAAAAAUGUAUUACUUCCAACAAGUUGCUUUCUUGUUCCAUUUUACUGAAAACGAGGCUUUCAGUUGUCUUGCCCAUGUGGUAUGAUUUGCAUGUCUCAAGUGAUUCAAAAUCAAGUGAGUCCAAACGGUCCAUCUGCAUGGAGUUUCUUCAUGCGUAUAUACCAAUAGACAUGGUUCACAUGUCUCAAUCUUUUCAAAAAUGAGUGAGUCCAAAGAUCCAUCAGCAUGGAGCUUCUUCAUGCGUUUUAUACCAAUAUGACUCAAAUGGUAGUGCCACAAGUAGGUGGCACUAUAUCAUUACUAUCUUAUAUCUUUUGGCAUGAACAUGUGUAUCACUACGAUCGAGAUUCAAUAAACCAUUCAUUUUAGGUGCAAGACCAUUGAAGGUAUUAUUCAAAUAAAUAGAGUAACCAUUAUUCUCCUUAAAUGAAUAACCGUAUUGCGAUAAACAUAAUCCAAUCAUGUCUAUGCUCAACGCAAACACCAAAUAACAAUUAUUUAGGUUUAACACCAAUCUCGAUGGUAGAGGGAGUAUGCGAUGCUUGAUCACAUCAACCUUGGAAACACUUCCAAACCAUAUCAUCAUCUCACCUUUAGCUAGUCUCCGUUUAUUCCGUAGCUUUUUAUUUCGAGUUACUAACACUUAGCAACUGAACCGGUAUCUAUUACCAUGGUGCUAUUAGGAGUACUAGUAAAGUACACAUCAAUAUAAUGUAUAUCCAAUAUACUUCUGUCGACCUUGCCAGCCUUCUCAUCUACCAAGUAUCUAGGGUAGUUCUACUUCAGUGACUAUUCCCCUCAUUACAGAAGCACUUAGUCUUGGGUAUGGGUUCAACCUUGGGUUUCUUCACUAGAGCAGCAACUGAUUUGCCAUUUCAUGAAGUAUCCCUUCUUGCCCUUGCCCUUCUUGAAACUAGUGGUUUCACUAACCAUCAACAAUUGAUGCUCCUUCUUGAUUUCUACUUUCACGGUGUCAAACAUUGCGAAUAUUUCAAGGAUCAUCAUAUCUAUCCCUGAUAGGUUAUAGUUCAUCACGAAGCUCUAGUAGCUUGGUGGCAAUGACUUUGGAGAAACAUCACUAUCUCAUCUAGAAGAUUAACUCCCACUCGAUUCAAGUGAUUUUUGUACCCAGACAAUCUGAGUACAAGCUCAACGAUUGAGCUUUUGUCAAUUAGUUUGUAGGCUAAGAAACUUGUCGGAGGUCUCAUACCUCUUGACGUGGGCACGAGCCUGAAAUUCCAAUUUCAGCCCUUGGAACAUCUCAUAUGUUCCGCGACGUUUGAAAAACGUCUUCGGCGCCACAAUUCUAAACCGUUUAACAUUAUUGAACUAUCAUGUAGUCAUCAAAACGUGUAUGUCAGAUGUUCACAACAUCCACAGACGACGUUCGAGGUUCAGCACACCGAGCGGUGCAUUAAGGACAUAAGCCUUCUACGCAGCAAUGAGGAUAAUCCUCAGUUUACGGACCCAGUCCGCAUAAUUGCUACUAUCAACUUUCAACUAAAUUUUCUCUAGGAACAUAUCUAAAACAGUAGAACUAACCUCGAGCUACGACAUAAUUUGCAAAGACCUUUUGACUAUGUUCAUGAUAAUUAAGUUCAUCUAAUGAAAUUAUUUAAUGAACUCCCACUCAAAUAGACAUCCCUCUAGUCAUCUAAGUGAUACAUGAUCCGAGUCAACUAGGCCGUGUUCGAUCAUCACGUGAGACGGACUAGUCAUCAUCAGUGAACAUCUUCAUGUUGAUCGUAUCUACUAUACGACUCAUGUUCGACCUUUCGGUCUCUUGUGUUCCGAGGCCAUGUCUGUACAUGCUAGGCUCGUCAAGUCAACCUAAGUGUUUUGCAUGUGUAAAUCUGGCUUACACCCGUUGUAUGUGAACGUUAGAAUCUAUCACACCCGAUCAUCACGUGGUGCAUCGAAACAACGAACUUUUGCAACGGUGCACAGUUAGGGGGAACACUUUCUUGAAAUUAUUAUGAGGGAUCAUCUUAUUUACUAUCGUCAUUCUAAGAAAAUAAGAUGCAUAAACAUGAUAAACAUCACAUGCAAUCUAAUAGUGACAUGAUAUGGCCAAUAUCAUUUUGCUCCUUUUGAUCUCCAUCUUCGGGGCUCCAUGAUCAUCAUCGUCACCGGCAUGACACCAAGAUCUCCAUCAUCAUGAUCUCCAUCAUCGUGUCUCCAUGAAGUUGUCUCGCCAACUGAUUACUUCUACUACUAAAGCUAACGGUUUAGCAAUGAAGUAAAGUAAUUACAUGGCAUUAUUCAGUGACACCCAGGUCAUACAAUAAUUAAAGACAACUCCUAUGGCUCCUGCCGGUUGUCAUACUCAUCGACAUGCAAGUCGUGAUUCCUAUUACAAGAAUAUGAUCAAUCUCAUACAUCACAUAUAUUUCAUUCAUCACAUCCUUCUUGGCCAUAUCACAUCACACGACAUAUGCUGCAAAAAUAAGUUAGACGUCCUCUAAUUGUUGUUGCAAGUUUUUUCGUGGCUGCUAUAGGUUUCUAGCAAGAACGUUUCUUACCUAAGCCAAAACCACAACGUGAUAUGCCAAUUGCUAUUUACCCUUCAUAAGGACCCUUUUCAUCGAAUCCGAUUCGACUAAAGUGGGAGAGACUGGCACCCGCUAGCCACCUUAUGCAACAAGUGCAUGUCAGUCGGUGGAACCUGUCUCACGUAAGUGUACGUGUAAGGUCGGUCCGGGCCGCUUCAUCCCACAAUACCGUCGAAACAAGAUAGGACUAGUAACGGUAAGCAUAUUGAACAAAACCAAUGCCCACAACUACUUGUGUUCUACUCGUGCAUAGAAUCUACGCAAUAGACCUAGCUCAUGAUGCCACUGUUGGGGAACGCAGCAGAAAUUCAAAAUUUUCUACGCAUCACCAAGAUCAAUCUAUGGAGAUUCUAGCAACAAGAGAGAGGGGAGUGUAUCUUCAUACCCUUGAAGAUCGCGAAGCAGAAGCGUUACAAGAACGCAGUCGGUGGAGUCGUUCACGAAGCGAUUCAGAUCGCGGCCGAAUCCGAUCUAAGCACCGAACAACGGUGCCUCCGCGUUCAACACACGUACAGCCCGGGGACGUCUCCUCCUUCUUGAUCCAGCAAGAGGAGAGGAGAAGUUGAGGGAAAACUCCGACAACACGACGGCAUGGUGGUGAUGGAGCUCGUGGUUCUCCAGCAGGGCUUCGCCAAGCACUACGGAGGAAGAGGUGUUGGAGGAGGGAGAGGGCUGCGCCAGGGGAAGGGUGCGGCUGCCCUCUCUCUCCCUCACUAUAUAUAGGGGGAAGGGAGGAGGCGGAGGCGCCCUAGGGUUACCUAGGGGAGGGGCAGCGGCCAUAGGGGAAACCCUAGAUGGGUUUGGGCGCCCCCACCCCCUAGGAAACUUGCCCCCCAAGCCGGGAGGGGCGGCUUCCCUAGGGGUGGCGCCCCACCUCUCCUGGUUACGUGAGAUAGGGUGGGAGGGCGCUCAGCCCCUUAGUGGGCUGAUGUGCCCUCUCCCCUUGGCCCAUAAGGCCCCCCAACGCUUGCCGGGGCCUCCGAAACCCCUUUCGGACUCGCUGGUUAUCACCUGGUACCCCCGGAACAAUUCCGGACUCCAAUACCCUUCGUCCAAUAUACCGAUCUUCACAUCCGGACCAUUCCGGAGCUCCUCGUCAUGUCCGGGAUCUCAUCCGGGACUCCGAACAACCUUCGGUAACCACAUACUAUUUCCCAUAACAACUCUAGCGUCACCGAACCUUAAGUGUGUAGACCCUACGGGUUCGGGAACCAUGCAGACAUGACCGAGACGUUCUCCGGUCAAUAACCAACAGCGGGAUCUGGAUACCCAUGUUGGCUCCCACAUAUUCCACGAUGAUCUCAUCGGAUGAACCACGAUGUCAAGGAUUCAAGCAAUCCCGUAUGCAAUUCCCUUUGUCAAUCGGUAUGUUACUUGCCCGAGAUUCGAUCAUUGGUAUCCCAAUACCUCGUUCAAUCUCGUUACCGGCAAGUCACUUUACUCGUUCCAUAAUGCAUGAUCCCGUGACUAACUACUUAGUCACAUUGAGCUCAUUAUGAUGAUGCAUUACCGAGUGGGCCCAGAGAUACCUCUCCGUCAUACGAAGUGACAAAUCCCAGUCUCGAUUCGUGCCAACCCAACAGACACUUUCAGAGAUACCCGUAGUGCACCUUUAUAGCCACCCAGUUACGUUGUGACGUUUGGUACACCCAAAGCACUCCUACGGUGUCAGGGAGUUACACAAUCUCAUGGUCUAAGGAAAUGAUACUUGACAUUAGAAAAGCUUUAGCAAACGAACUACACGAUCUUGUGCUAUGCUUAGGACUGGGUCUCGUCCAUCACAUCAUUCUCCUAAUGAUGUGAUCCCGUUAUCAAUGACAUCCAAUGUCCAUGGUCAGGAAACCAUGACCAUCUGUUGAUCAAUGAGCUAGUCAACUAGAGGCUCACUAGGGACAUGUUGUGGUCUAUGUAUUCACACAUGUAUUAUAGUUUCCAGUUAAUACAAUUAUAGCAUGAACAAUAUACAAUUAUCAUGAACAAGGAAAUACAAUAAUAACCUUUUUAUUAUUGCCUCUAGGGCAUAUUUCCAACAAUUUUGAGUAUGUGCUCGCUGACGGAACUAUUCUCCUCCAUCUUACAACUGUAGAACUUGUCGGAGACUUCAUAUAUCUCGACCCGGGCAUGAGCUUGGAAAACCAUUUUCAGCUCUUGGAACAUCUCAUAUGCUCCGUGUUGCUCAAAACGCUUUUGGAGCCCCGGUUCUAAGCUAUAGAGCAUGCCGCACUGAACAAGGGAGUAAUCAUCACUACGCGACUGCCAGGCAUUCAUAACGUUUUGAGUUGCUGGGAAAACAGGUGCUUCACCUAGCGUUGCAUCAAGGACAUAUGCUUUCUUGGCAGCUAUGAGGAUAAUCCUCAGGUUAUGGACCCAGUCCGUGUAGUUGCUACCAUCGUCUUUCAGCUUGGUUUUCUCUAGGAACGCGUUGAAGUUGAGGGCAACAUUAGCGUGGGCCAUUUGAUCUACAAGACAUGUUGCAAAUAUUUUAGACUAUGUUCAUGAUAAUUAAGUUCAUCUAACCAAAUUAUUUAAUGAACUCCCACUCAGAUAGACAUCCCUCUAGUCAUCUAAGUGAUACAUGACCCGAAUUGACUAGGCCAUGUCCGAUCAUCACGUGAGACGAACUAGUCAUCAACGGUGAACAUCUCCAUGUUCAUCAUAUCUUCUAUACGACUCAUGUUUGACCUUUCGGUCUUCCGUGUUCCGAGGCCAUGUCUGUACAUGCUAGGCUUGUCAAGUCAACCUAAGUGUAUUGCGUGUGUAAAUCUGGCUUACACCCGUUGUAUGCGAACGUUAGAACCUAUCACACCCGAUCAUCACGUGGUGCUUCGGAACAACGGACCUUUGCAACGGUGCACAGUUAGGGGGAACACUUUCUUGAAAUUUUAGUGAGGGAUCAUCUUAUUUAUGCUACCAUCAUUCUAAGCAAAUAAGAUGUAAAAACAUGAUAAACAUCACAUGCAAUCAAAUAGUGACAUGAUAUGGCCAAUAUCAUUUUGCUCCUUUUGAUCUCCAUCUUCGGGGCGCCAUGAUCAUCAUCGUCACCGGCAUGACACCAUGAUCUCCAUCAUCGUGUCUUCAUGAAGUUGUCUCUCCAACUAUUACUUCUACUACUAUAGCUAACAGUUAGCAAUAAAGUAAAGUAAUUACAUGGCGUUUUCAGUGACACGCAGGUCAUACAAUAAAUUAAGACAACUCCUAUGGCUCCUGCCGGUUGUCAUACUCAUCGACAUGCAAGUCGUGAUUCCUAUUAGAAGAACAUGAUCAAUCUCAUACAUCACAUAUAUCAUUCAUCACAUCCUUUUUGGCCAUAUCACAUCACACGACAUAUGCUGCAAGAACAAGUUAAACGUCCUCUAAUUGUUGUUGCAAAUUUUUACGUGGCUGCUAUAGGUUUCUAGCAAGAACGUUUCUUACCUACGCCAAAACCACAACGUGAUAUGCCAAUUUCUAUUUACCAUUCAUAAGGACCCCUUUCAUCGAAUCCGAUCCGACUAAGGUGGGAGAGACAGACACCCGCUAGCCACCUUAUGCAACUAGUGCAUGUCAGUCGGUGGAACCUAUCUCACGUAAGCGUACGUGUAAGGUCGGUCCGGGCCGCUUCGUCCCACGAUGCCGCCGAAUCAAGAUAAGACUAGUAACGACAAGUAAAUUGACAAAAUCGACGCCCCCAACAACUUGUGUUCUACUCGUGCAUAGAAACUAUGCAUAGACCUAGCUCUGAUACCACUGUUGGGGAUCAUUGCAGAAAUUUAAAAAAAUUCUACGCAUCACCAAGAUCAAUCUAUGGAGAGACUAGCAACGAGAGAGAGGGAAGUGCAUCUUCAUACCCUUGAAGAUCGCGAUGCGGAAGCGUUACAAGAACGCGGAUGAAGGAGUCGUACUCGUAGCGAUUCAGAUCGCGGUUGAUUCUGAUCUAAGCACCGAACAAUGGCGCCUCCGUGUUCAACACACGUGCAGCCCGGUGACGUCUCUCACGCCUUGAUCCAGCAAGGAGAGAGGGAGAGGUUGGGGAAGACAACUCUAGCAGCAGCACGAUGGCGUGGUGGUGUUGGAGCAGCGUGGCACUCCGGCAGGGCUUCGCCAAGUACCGCGGAAGGAGGAGGAGGUGUUGGAGAGGGGGAGGGCUGCGCCUUGGAUGUGGUGCGGCUGCCCUCCCUCCACCCUUCUAUUUAUAGGGUGAAGGGGGAAGGGGGUCGGCCCCUCUAAAUGAGUUCUAGAGGGGGGGGGCAAGGGGAGGGGGCUUGCCCCCCAAGCCAAGGGGGGCGCCCCCUUUAGGGUUCCCCUCAACCCUAGGCGCCCAGCCCACUUAGGGGCUCGUUCCCUUCCACAUACAGCCCAUAGGGCCCUUUGGGGCAGGUGGACCCUCCCGGUGGACCCCCAGAACCCUUUCGGUGGUCCCGGUACAAUACCGGCAAACCCCCGAAUACUUCCGGUGACCGUAUGAUGACUUCCCAUAUAUAAAUCUUCACCUCCGGACCAUUCCGGAACUCCUCGUGAUGUCCGGGAUCUUAUCCGGGACUCCGAACAACAUUCGGUAACCACGUACAAACUUUCCCUAUAACCCUAGCGUCAUCGAACCUUAAGUGUGUAGACCCUACGGGUUCGGGAGGCAUGUAGACAUGACCGAGACAUCUCUCCGGCCAAUAACUAACAGCGGGAUAUAGAUACCCAUGUUGGCUCCCACAUGCUCCAUGAUGAUCUCAUCGGAUGAACCACGAUGUCGGGGAUUCAAUCAAUCCCAUACACAAUUCCCUUUGUCUACCGGUAUGAUACUUGCCCGAGAUUCGAUCAUCGGUAUCCAUAUACCUUGUUCAAUCUCGUUACCGGCAAGUCUCUUUACUCGUCUGUAAUACAUCAUCCCGUGAUCAACUCCUUGAUCACAUUGAGCUCAUUAUGAUAAUGUCCUACCGAGUGGGCCUAGAGAUACCUCUCCGUCACACGGAGUGACAAAUCCCAGUCUCGUUUCAUGCCAACCCAACAGACACUUUCUGAGAUACCCGUAGUGCACCUUUAUAGCCACCCAGGUACAUUGUGAUGUUUGGCACACCCAAAGCAUUCCUACGGUAUCCGAGAGCUGCACAAUCUCAUGGUCUAAGGAAAUGAUACUUGACAUUAGAAAAGCUUUAGCAGAUGAACUACACGAUCUUGUGUUAUGCUUAGGAUUGGGUCUUGUCCAUCACAUCAUUUUCCUAAUGAUGUGAUCCCGUUAUCAACGACAUCCAAUGUCCAUGGUCAGGAAACCGUAACUAUCUAUUGAUCAACGAGCUAGUCAAUUAGAGGCUCACUAGGGACAUGUUGUGGUCUAUGUAUUCACACAUGUAUUUACGAUUUCCGGAUAACACAAUUAUAGCAUGAAUAAUACACAAUUAUCAUGAACAAGGAAAUAUAAUAAUAACCAUUUUAUUAUUGCCUCUAGGGCAUUUUUCCAACACUUUUUCCUUUGUUGAUUGUUCCCAUUAAAUUCUUCAUCUGACUUGCGUGACUGGUUCUGGGGUGGUUGGUUUCACUGUAUCCAUAUCCUAGCAGAUCUCACUUCACCUUUUCCUGCUUAUACUGGCUCCAAUUCUGUUCAUAGCUAUUGACUGAUCUGAGAUUUACCAUGUCUGAAUUAUAUGUCUGUUUCACAAAUCCGAGGGUGAUUUUUGAUUGCUGUGUCUGUACUGACAACUGUCCAUGAAUUAGUGAUCAGAUUGUUUUGAUGAACACCCAAGCUUUGACUCCUUGCAUUGGGUUCCUCCAUGAAAUGCAGGUCCUUCUGGUUCCAAACAGUGAGUUGAGGCAUAACUGCUUUCUUGACAGAUUCUGACUUAUCGUAGGAAUUUCUGAACCAUCCUGACUGGCUCCACUGUCUUUAGUCUCGGCUUCAUACCGAAUAUUUGAUUGUCGCCUGUCGUGGCCAGCAUAAGGGGUAUGACCUUAUCUAAUAAUAUCCUCAUCCUUGACUAACGGUGGUUCAAAAUUGAGUAGACUCCUUAGGUGAAUAUCCAUGGCGGUCGAUCCCGACUCAGACUGUCCGGGGCAUCUGCACCAUGUGAAUCAUGCAACAAUUAUGAGUCUGGCUCCUUCAUUACUGUUUUCCUUGCCUGGAUCCUUGGGUGAAGGAGCGGGGUCAUAUUGCUUCUUCGUGUGACCAUAGGUUCUGUCGGUUGCAAUAUUCUGACCGGGGGGAAAAUGAUCAUCUGAACCCUUGGAAGAAAUCGACAAAUAAAUUAGUAGCCACCGGAACGGUAUUUACAACUCAGAUCUGGGACAUUACUGAGAUAACUCAACCACGGCUCAGGACGGCUGAAAAGCAGCUCAGAGCAUGAGACCGAGUCGAUGAGAAGAAAGUGGUAGCUCCCUAAAAUAGCCAAAAGCAGCUAUAGGGCUACUGUCACAAAAAGAAACUCAACAGCUGUAUGAGACGGCCGAAAAGCAGCUCAGAACCCAUGCCAGUCGUUCAAGAGAGAAAUACAAAGUCGGCAUCCACCCUGGACGGCCAAAAACGGCUUAGAACAUAGGCGUGGUGCCGUUACCAGAGAAGAGAAGACAAGGGCUCAUCAGGAUCAUAUUCCAGGUUCACAGGUACUUGUACAGAGCUUAGUGUUCUCGUCAAUCCUCAUGGUCCUUUGUCACACUGAGGUGUAUAUCUGACUUCCUUCACAUAUAUCUGAGAUUCUGAUUCCCGAGGCAGACUUGUGUUCUGACUGAUUCUUGCUUCUAACCAACUGUCGCGGAGCUGAUUCUGCCAUCUUUGACUGAAAUUGCAUUGUUGCCUUGCACAUAGCUUAUCUUCUUGCUGAUAUGAUCAUUUCUGUCAUGAAGAGUGCACACUGAGGCAAACUUGAUUAUUCGUACUGUUGUAAGGAGUGCACGCUAUUGCAAACAUGAUACCGAAUGUCAAUCCAGGAUUCCUUUUCCAUUUAGAUGAGAUAUUCCAAAUUUCGCUGCAGUCUGCUGAUAACCUCAUUCCAUUUAUCUGAGCUUCCAAACCUUUGAACUCCUUGCUGAUUCUUCAGGUCCGGUGUUGGUUGACGAGCAACUUUAAUGAGGGAAAAAUAAUGCCACACCGAAGGCCCAAAGAAAGAAGUAAAAGAAACGACGAAAACAACAAAACAAACACACAAGCAUACAAAUAAUAUAAAUAAUCAAGCAACAUCGCAUAUUACUGCUACUCACACAAUAAUAUGCAUGCACACCUAAGCACACAAGUCUCACGAAAACUCCGGUAUUGCGAUCUAAUAUUCUGUGGCAGUGUGCACGAAAGUAAAUUCACAUGUGGAAAGGGUUGGGGUAAUCAAGGCUACACCAAGCGCUGGCUAAACUCCGGUUGCAACUAGAUGGAUAUGGGGCGAGGACGGACUUGGUGAUCAAGUAGUGAGACUCAAGGUCACGACUACAUCAUCAUCAAGCAUACAAAAGGGAAUCAUACAUGUCCAAAGAAUGGAGUGACAGGGCAAUAUAGUGGAGGAGAAGCAAGGCUUGAUGGCAUUGCCCUUUUUCAAUAACAAAUAUCUGUAAGGGUUGCCGAAGGGACGAUAUGGAUGGCACGAUUCCGGAUAGAGGCAAGUCUAUCACCGAAAUAAUAUGGGUGGGUGUCGGAAAGAUAUCGAUGUGAUACCUGAGCAUAACUCCUGCAAAUGGUGUCUGGAACACUUGGUACCAGGGCAUCACUCUACUGGGACAGAGAUGACGCCAAACACCGAAGAGCAGACAUGCAAAGAAGGAGAGUGCAGGUAGUGGAUCGAAACCGAUGCCACCUAUACUCACAAGAUUAACCGUUAGCGACAAGAUAAUAAUCUAUAUGCAUGCUAACAAACAAAUGCAACAAUCAAGUGCAACAAACCAACGGGGCUCUAUACUACCGCAUUCUAACGUUUGCGUGGUCUAGGGCAUCCUACAGCCAUACCAGCUCUGAUACUAAGCCUGUGGCACCCCGACUUAGAGAAACCGGAACGCUCCAUAUUCCAGCCCAGAGAUCGAGGAGAAGUCUUCUGGAAUACGGCACUGCUUAGCAUAGAACAAACUAGCUCUUUAUUACAAUCUAUAUGGGUACAAGGGGAUUACAUCGGCACGGCGACACUACGCCUGCCACGGUUGCUCCAUGCAAGAAGCAGAACAACACGAUGCAUCGGAAGGACUACUGGUAGCGGAAAAGCGACGACGGUGGCGAACUCCACUCCGCAGGGACUCUGGCUGGAACACUUAUCCUAGCUCGCAAACAAGGAAUCCACGACAAACAAGCAAUCAUAUCCGGCAUGACCUACAAACUGGCAUGACACGCCAGGUCAGUACAUUGAAUGUACUUGCAAGCUCACAGCAACCAAAGCAAUCAAGACAAACAAUAGCAUGGCAAUUAUAGAUUAUUAAGCAAUGAUGAAAACGAUACUAUCAGAACAACAUGGCAUGUACAAGAUGAUACAGCUAGAACAAUACGAGCAUGGCAUAAACAUAUGAACAUGAUGAGACUAGCAUGCAACAUGAUGAACUAUCAUGCACCAACUUACUCUAUUCGGGUUACAUCAUAACCAUCACCUGUAUCACUUACCAUCACGGAUAUCACACGAUCAUCUCAGGAUCCAAUCAAGGUAUUAACAAUACCGUAGUAAUCAUUUAGGACCACAAGGAGCUUGGCCUUUACCCUUGACUCUCGCAUAACAUCACAAAUGUCCAACAAGUUGGUAUUCCUGAUACCAAAGUGAUCCUCUCAUGAUCACAUAAAUAUCAACCAACUUCUUUCAUCAUCGAACCAGGGUUGUUGUUAAGCACAUUAUUAUUACUGUUGACCCACAGUGUGACCGACAUGAACUGGGCCCAUAUCCGCGGGCGCAGCUAUCGAUAGAUUUAACACACACACACACACACUACAGAGGUUAGCACACUGUACCCACACCACGGAACCCUAGCCUCGAACUCCCAUUCGGGUGGACCAAAGCGUUCCAACAAAACCGUCCUACUGCCAUGACACUCUCCCGGCCACUCCGACCAACUCCCCUUUAGGCUAAGUCCUGGGUGGCCCCGUGCCUACCAAAGGCACCAACGGCCACCGUCGUGGCAAAACAGUCCCAAACGGGGACAAGGAUCCAUACAAAACAACGGGCACACAAGGCUUAUGCCGUCCUACCUGAUCAGGGUAGCACCCGCCACCCGCGCAUAACCUUCCCUCGCGGGAGGCACCGAUGAGAGGUAUGACAAUAGACCCAGUUAGGACCCCCAUAGGGUAAGCGUGGUUUCACUAGUCAGAUCGAUAUGGUGGCACCAUGACUUAGCCAACAGUUGUUCAAGUUCAAUUUAAUACGGUUAAACUUGAAUGCAAUAUGCUGAGCCAUGAUAAAAUAACAUGAUGCAACUACAAUGCAUGAACAUGAUAUCAAAAUAAGCAUGGAGGUGCAACAUAAUCAACGAGCAUAGCAACAACAUGUAACAAUUUAUCCAGAUGAGCAUGGCAUACUGACAAUCAUGAAUAUCACAACUAGCACACUACCCAUAGUAUGACAUGACCACUAGCAUCAAUAAUAAAUACCAUGCAAUAACAUAACGAUAAAACUACCAUGCAAGUAUUUAAUCAACUGGAUGCAAAGGAACAUGCAUAACAACGGUACUCGGGACAGACUAUAGUCAUGCACCGAAGACCAUCACCAACAUGUACUAUUACCAAGCAUGGCCACUAUAAUACUAGCAUAAAGAACAAAAUAACAGAGUGCAAGAAAACAUAGCAUCACGGUAAACACCGAUCCAUAAGCAUAGCCGAAAUAACGGCAACAAUAGCAAAACAAUCAAACAGUUAUUAAAGAUUCAAGUUGGAAACCAAUGCUUCUGCAUGGCUAUCAUGUAAAUGGUGGUUGUGGCUUCCUGGGGAUGGAGAAGGCUCCGGGGAGAAGUGUGGGGAAGCCGCGGAAAGAAUCGCCGGAAAGGGUUCACUCUCGGAGGGGGCUGAUUAGGGGCAAGGGAAAAAUGGUCAUUUUCAGAAUGUUAAAACAUAGUGAAAAUGGUGGUAACAGAACGGGCUCGACGAGACGAAGACGUGGGCAUUGGAUUCACCUCGAUCAGAGCUACGGUUGAAAAGUUGUGAACGGUUGAAGUUCAGGGACUAUUCUGCAAAAAUAUCACCACAAAUAGGUCCCUGAGUGGAUAAGGCAGAAACGGAUUUUAAAAAAUACGCUUUUCGGAGAAGAAACACAUUUAUGCGCAAAGAACAACCAGAAUACGCUUUCGGGAAACGGAAACGUAUGACCUUGAAUACGCUUCCACUUACGUGACUAGUCAGAGGCGGGGUCAAAGCGCGGUCGCUGACGGGUGGGUCCCAUUGGGCGGGGCCCGUCAGUUAUCCGCGUGGGCAGCCGGGUCAAUGCGGGGCCGGCUCUGGUGUGGCUAAUUGGUGGGGCCCGCGCACCUCUCUCUCUCUCUCUCUCUCUCUCUCUCCUGUCCUCCUCCUUCAACCUCCCGACGAGACGAUAGUGGAGGCCUGACCGAGCGCGGCCGGCGUUGGCCCCGGCGCUCCUGGCCAUCUCCAGCCCAGGGGAAGGCGCCUACGGGGUCAGGGAGGAGCGUCGCGCCCGUCUCACGCAUCAGCAGCACCGGGGAGGGGCUGAGAUGGUGGCGACGUGCGGAGGUAGAGAACCACAGUGGCGGCUGGCUAUGGGACUCGCGGCCACGAGCACUCCGGCGCCGAGCUGCGGGGUGGGGGAGGGACGCCGGACUACGGGGAACCUACUGGUGGAGGAAGGGAAUGGGGAGGGGUGCUGCCGUGCUCGAAUUUGAGCGGAGCAUCGCAGCGGCCAUGGCGGCAAUGGGGGGCAAUGGGAGCUCCUCGAGCUCGGGGAAGAGGCUAGGCGGGGUACUAGGAGGUGGUAAAGAUGAGUGGUGAGCUCGUACGAGGCUGGGGUGGGCUUAUAUAGCCGUGGCAAGGCGGUUCGAGCUCGGUUGCCACCGUGGACGCGUGUGCUCGUGCAUGGGCUCGAAGGUAGAUGACAUAGGGGAACAGGGGAGAGGCUCACGGGGGCAGAGGCAUCCAAGGGAGCACGGGGAGGAAGCGGCCGAGGCACGGACGGAGCCGGUCAGCUACAUCGCUCCCAUGGGCGCUCACUGUUCGGUGACGGGGCGGGUCGCCAGGGAAUCAGACGGAGGGGGAAAUGGCUCCAGGAGCAUAGCUACGACGCGUGCUAGCCGUUAGACACGCUCACGCGCGCGAAGACGACGAGAGGAGGAGGGGCCCGAAGCAAACGACGCUCAGCUCGCGUCCAUUGCUGCCAGAGCGCGUGCAAACGACGCGGUCACCACUAUGACCGGCAAGGAGGGGACGCGAGAGGCUGCAUCAUGAUUUCUAGUGAUGAAUCCUUGCAUACUAGAGGCCGAGGGAGGUGAUGGAUCACGCAGAAGUACCAAAGAGAGAUGUGAGCGAUCGCCUGAAGUUUGUUGUAUCAGUUUUGGCUGAGUACUGCUAAUCAACAGGAACUUGAUUGGGUCAAAUGAAGUUGUCUGGGGUGAUUAGAUAAGGAAAGACUACAAUCCUGAAAAGUUUGGAUGGAAAUGGACCAAUAUUUAAUACACUUGCUUUGCAAUUGCAUAAACUGGUCCAGAAAUAAGAUCAUGAUGGUGCACUCAAAUGGAGAAGCCACUCAGGGGUGGAGCCAGGAUUUGAACAUAGGGGGGGGGGGUCGAAGAGGAUCGCGCAUAAAACCUAGCACAAGUAUAAGUCAAAUCUUGAAUAACAGCAUAUGCUUUUCCAACUAAAGCAAGCCAUAAUUUUGUCUAUUUAAAUGGAACUCAGCAUCCACCAAGCUAAUCUAAUAAGUCAACUGUCUUAGCGACCAUGAAUUUUACAGUUUUUUCUUCCCAAUAUAGGCAAUCAUUGUCGAAGAACUUUAAUUUGAAAAUGUGCAUUGCAAGUUGUUAAGAUAAAAUGAAAUUUAUUGGCAGGUACCUUCUUUUGAAAGCAUGUUUGAUAAUCUCAUCAAUGGUGAAUCAUAGAAAAAUUAGAAAAUAAAUAAAUUAGACUUCCAACAGAUACUCUCUUACCUUAUGUCCUUAUAAUCCAUGCUUGCAUUGCAAAUUCCAUUCUCAUCUCGAGAUUUAGAUGUGACGGCAUAACCACACAUCAACGACAGGUCAUCACCCCACUAGCGAUUCAGCUUAGUACUGCACGAAAUAAAGAUCAGAUCAGGUUUGGACUUGCAUUACCUAGCUAUAUGAGAAUCACCAGAUCAAGUUUGGACUCACGCUUGACGUGGGAGAAUUGCAGCAAGAAAAUAGAUGGUUGGAUUGAUCGGCCUCAGAUUUGGCGGGCAACCGAUAGGCGCGAAGCACCCCGGCUUGGCAGCCGCACCUUUGCCAGCUCCUGACGGCGAUGCUCGAUGGAACCCUAACAUGGGCGAGGCGAUAGCCAAAUUGACUCGUCAAUGUGGAUAAAUCAAUGCAUCAAUUGUGGGCUGGGCUACUUUUGGGCUUGGACCGUUCAGCAAUCAGCAUGUUUGAUAGUUAGAGGUUAUCCUAUUUCAUCGCUAUAAUUUCCGAUCGAGUAGAUUCAGAUCUAUAACACCAAAAAGUACCGUAGUCCCCGCUCGUNNNNNNNNNNNNNNNNNNNNNNNNNNNNNNNNNNNNNNNNNNNNNNNNNNNNNNNNNNNNNNNNNNNNNNNNNNNNNNNNNNNNNNNNNNNNNNNNNNNNNNNNNNNNNNNNNNNNNNNNNNNNNNNNNNNNNNNNNNNNNNNNNNNNNNNNNNNNNNNNNNNNNNNNNNNNNNNNNNNNNNNNNNNNNNNNNNNNNNNNNNNNNNNNNNNNNNNNNNNNNNNNNNNNNNNNNNNNNNNNNNNNNNNNNNNNNNNNNNNNNNNNNNNNNNNNNNNNNNNNNNNNNNNNNNNNNNNNNNNNNNNNNNNNNNNNNNNNNNUCCGCCCCUGAAGCCACUUGAGCUCAAAUUUGGCAAGACAGGGUUAUUUGGCCAUAUGAAGAUGCUGUAAAGGUUUCAUACCAAUUGGAUAAAUCAAAAUGGUACUUCCUUCGCAAACAUUUCCACUGACCAAAAACUAGAAAUAAUUUUGAUGAUCAAAUGACUUAAUCAAAUGAUCCCAAAUUUGGUGGAGACAUGUUAUAUGGGUAGUAUCAUGAUCUGGUAAUUUAUCAGGAUUAAUUUAGCAAUAUAAAAUAUACUUGCUUCACAACCUGAAAAUAUUGCCAGAAAAAAAGAUUUGGUCAUGUGCUCACAUAGAUAAUAGGAUAGGGCUCAAAAUUGGAGGAGGGCAAUUAUAUGAGCACAUGAAGGACUGUGCAAAAUUUUAACUUAUUUGGAUAACCCUAGCUAGCACUUCCUUCACAAAGGCUUCCCUCAGACAGGAACUUUGAAAAAAUCACUAAGGAAGCUUGGCUAGGCAAAUAAAGUUGAAUUUUGUCACAUGCCAAUUAUUUGGACAUGAAAAGGUGUCCAAGAAGUUUGAGGUCAAUUGGGCAAAGGAAAAUAACACUUGCUUCACAAUGUGCCAUUUAGGGCAGAAUAGGAAAUGAAUUAUUUGAGCAUGAUGAUAAACAUGGCAAAUAAAAUAAUUUGCCAUAUUUGAGAAAGAUAUGACCCAGACAAUUUAUGAGAAUUAUUUGGGAAUUUUAGGAGUGAUGGAAAUAUAGGUUGCUUCACAACAUAGGGCAAAUUGAGUUAUUCCUUUAAUAGAAAAGGAAUAUCCCCAAUAAAAAGAAUAUUGGGAUUUGAGCUAGGAUGAAAAUGAGAAGGUCUAGGGAAGUAUUUGAGGUUGACAAGCCACCCUGGAAGCAAAGAAGAGGUCAUCUUCUUUAGUUUCCAGACCACAAAGCCACGGAGAAAGAAAACUCAAGCAAAAAUCUCAUAAAAACAAAUGAAAAAGAAAGGGCCAAAAAUCAGGCUGUGAAAAUUUGUAUAAGAUACGCCUUGACGUAUCCAUCCAGUUAUAGUGAAAAUGGUUUGCGGCCCAGUUUCUGUGGUUUUCGCUUCUUACUUCAUUUUUCGAUUUGCUUAUCGACCGCAUCCGUACACUUUGGUAUGUUUCAUAUUCGCCAGGGGCUUCCCAUCGUCCCAUAGUACGGCAGCAAAGUCCGAACAGUUCUUAUAGACAAGUUCGGCACCCCGAAUUUAGCAUUAUAUGCAUUGGCUCCGAAUCAUGUCUUUGGUCAAUAGUUGGGUUGCCCGGCUCCUGUGCUUGCUACCCUAUGUUCCGCUACAUCGGCUAGGGUAGUAAAGGGAGAACUAAUGCGAUUGUGCCCUGGUCUAAACCGGAUGAGCACCUCAGUAGAGAAAGCCGAAAACUGACUAUCAUGAUACGGCGAGAGCCGGUCAGCUGUUCGGAGGUCACAAAUCGUUGGAGAUUUUUUCCGCAUUCCGUCAAGGAUCGGUACUUCCCGAUCAGGUGCUGAAAGCACUCUGGUUCGUAUACCAGGGGAUGCACCCAUGUUUUAUUAUAAAAAUCCUAUGCCUAAGUGAGGGCGUUUAAGCCGCAUAGUCUGAUUUUCUGGUUCGUUGCGCUAAACAACUACUUCAGGGACCAUAUAAUUGGAUAAUAGAUUCCACCCCGAACACCUCCGUACUACCUACGUGAGGGCAGAAGCCGACGACUGGACAACCCUCAGAUUUCAUACAACACGGCCGCACAGGAGGAAACAAUUAAAACAUAAUGAGCAUUAUAUUACAAACUGGCUUUUGUUUUUUAUCAUACAAGGCAUGGACAAGACACGAGUGUAUUCAUUCGAAAACAAUGUCCUGCCCGCACUGCGCUGCUCCAAGUCGAGACCCUUCUAGGACAUCAGCAAAAUAUCGCUCGGGUUUCCGGUGCUCCUUGCCCUCUGGCGGCCCCUUGGCCACCUCGACCGCGUCCAUCUUUGCCCACCACAUCUUGCAACGGGCGAAGGCCAUGCGGGCACCUUCGAUGCAAACUGAUCGCUUGACGAUGUCUAUCUAAGGACAGGCCUCCACUACCCACUGCACGAGGCCAAAAUAACUGUUGCGUAUCGCCUUGGCUGGCAACAACCGGAUUAUUAAGUCCUUCAUGGCCAGUUCGGCCACUCUAUGCAGCUCGACCAGCUGUUUCAGCUGAUCGGUAAAGGGCACCGGAUAUUCUGGCACAACGUACUGUGCCCAGAACAGCUUCUCCGUGGAGCUCCCUUCUUUCACUCAGAAGAACUCCACCACAUCAGCCGUGCUGUGUGGCAGAUCUGCAAAAGCCCCUGGGUAACUCUGAAUCUGGGUUAGUAAAAGGUACUUCCUCUCUGCAUACUUGCUUUGCAUGUUAAAUUCCUUACCCGCCAUGAUCUUCUUGGCCUCCUGCAACUCUUGGAGAGUGUCCCGUGCCUCAUCCCGUGCAGUCUCCACGCUUUGGCGAGCCUUGGUAAGUUCGGUCUCUUGAACCGACGCCUUGCGCUCCAAGGCUUCGCACUUCUUCACCGCGUCCUGGAGCUCCUGCUGGACCUCACUUACCCGGGCCUUGAGCUUCUUACGGGCGGCUUGCUGCUGGACAACCUUACCCUCGGCUUCGGCCAGGGCAUUUUUCAGGGCCUCGACCUCGGUCGCCGCCCCUACACAUAUUAUGACACUCCGGUCAAUACUUGCCACUUAUGCUCUCCGAAUAACACAGCAAGUCGUCACUUACCUUGCUUCUCCUGGAGUCGAAUCCUCACCUCGCCGAGCUCGUUCUCGGCCUGCUCCAACCUCUACUUCAGCCCAGAGACUUCGGCAGUAUGCGAGGUCGCGGCCAACAGCGACGCCUGCUCAUUCAUAAAUAUUAAGUCAGUCUCCUACAAAGGGUUGAUCCUCUGUCUGGCCUUUCUUCCCGAACACCGGACAGUGUCUCAGGGGAUACUGUGAGCAUGGAGUGUUCCUUUUCUAUGUAACUUACCUCAAAACCUGUCAACAGAUUGUUGCAGGCCUCAUUUAGUCCGCUCUUAACAAAUUGAACUUUCUCGAUCACCGUACCCAUAAGGACAUGAUGCUCGCCCGCAAUGGAGGCACUUUGUAGCGCCUCCAUCAGGUUAUCCGGUGCACCUGGUUGGACAGGGGCUAUCGGUGGAAUUGGUGCACCCCCCUCCUUUGAAGGAGGGUGCUCGCCGGAUUCUGGGGCCGUAUUGGUCUCCGGAAUAGUAUUCGGCUAAGGGCCGAACUGAAUGAAGGAAAUAUGCCCUAGAGGCAAUAAUAAAGUUAUUAUUUAUUUCCUCAUAUCAUGAUAAAUGUUUAUUAUUCAUGCUAGAAUUGUAUUAACCGGAAACAUAAUACAUGUGUGAAUACAUAGGCCAACAUAACGUCACUAGUAUGCCUCUACUUGACUAGCUCAUUAAUCAAAGAUGGUUAUGUUUCCUAACCAUAGACAUGUGUUUUCAUUUGAUUAACGGGAUCACAUCAUUAGGAGAAUGAUGUGAUUGACAUGACCCAUUCCGUUAGCCUAGCACUUGAUCGUUUAGUAUGUUGCUAUUGCUUUCUUCAUGACUUAUACAUGUUCCUGUAACUAUGAGAUUGUGCAACUCCCGUUUACCGGAGGAACACUUUGUGUGCUACCAAACGUCACAACAUAACUGGGUGAUUGUAAAGGAGCUCUACAGGUGUCUCCAAAGGUACAUGUUGGGUUGGCGUAUUUCGAGAUUAGGUUUUGUCACUCCGAUUGUCGGAGAGGUAUCUCUGGGCCCUCUCGGUAAUGCACAUCACUAUAAGCCUUGCAAGCAAUGUAGCUAAUGAGUUAGUUACAGAAUGAUGCAUUAUGUAACAAGUAAAGAGACUUGCCGGUAACAAGAUUGAACUAGGUAUCGGGUACCGACGAUCGAAUCUCGGGCAAGUAACAUACCGAUGACAAAGGGAACAACGUAUGUUGUUAUGCGGUUUGACCGAUAAAGAUCUUUGUAGAAUAUGUAGGAGCCAAUAUGAGCAUCCAGGUUCCGCUAUUGGUUAUUGACCGAGAAUAAUUCUAGGUCAUGUCCACAUAGUUCUCGAACCCGUAGGGUCCGCAUGCUUAACGUUCCAAUGACAAUUUUAUUACGAGUUUAUAAGUUUUGAUGUACCGAAGAUUGUUCGGAGUCCCGGAUGUGAUCACGGACAUGACGAGGAGUAUCGAGAUGGUCGAGACAUAAAGAUUGAUAUAUUGGAAGCCUAUGUUUGGACAUCGGAAGUGUUCCGGGUGAAAUCGACAUUUUACCGGAGUACCGGGAGGUUACCGGAACGCCCCGGUAACCUAAUGGGCCUUAUUGGGCCUAGUGGAGGAAGAGGAGAGGAGGCCUAGGGGCUACCGCGCGCCCCUCCCCCCAAGUCCAAAUUGGACAAGGAGGGGGGGGGCGCCCCCCCUUUCCUUUCCCUCCUCUCUUCCUUCCCCCCAAGUCCUAAUCCAACUAGGGAAAGGGGGGAGUCCUACUCCCGGGGGGAGUAGGACUCCUCCGGCGCGCCUCCUCCUAGGGCCGGCCGCACCCCCCUUGCUCCUUUAUAUACGGGGGCAGGGUCACCCUAGAACACACAAGUUGAUCUUCGUGAUUGUUCCUUAGCCGUGUGCGGUGCCCCCCUCCACCAUAUUCCACCUCGGUCAUAUCGUUGCGGUGCUUAGGCGAAGCCCUGCGUUGGUAGAGCGUCAUCAUCGUCACCACGCCGUCGUGCUGACGGAACUCAUCCCCGACACUUUGCUGGAUCAGAGUCCGGGGAUCGUCAUCGAGCUGAACAUGUGCUGAACUCGGAGGUGCCGUACGUUCGGUACUUGGAUCGGUAGGAUCGUGAAGACGUACGACUACAUCAACCACGUUGUCAUAACGCCUCCGCUUUCGGUCUACGAGGGUACGUGGACAAUACUGUCCCCUCUCGUUGCUAUGCAUCACCAUGAUCUUGCGUGUGCGUAGGAUUUUUUUUGAAAUUACUAUCUUCCCCAACAGUGGCAUCUGAGCCUGGUUUUAUGCGUAGAUGUCAUAUGCACGAGUAGAACACAAGUGAGUUGUGGGCGAUACAAGUCAUACUGCUUACCAGCAUGUCAUACUUUGGUUCAGCGGUAUUGUGAGAUGAAGCGGCCCGGACCGACAUUACGCGUACGCUUACGCGAGACUGGUUUCACCAUUACGAGCACUCGUGCUAAAAGGUGGCUGGCGGGUGUCUGUCUCUCUCACUUUAGUUGAACCAAGUGUGGCUACGCCCGGUCCUUGCGAAGGUUAAAACAACACUAACUUGACGAACUAUCGUUGUGGUUUUGAUGCGUAGGUAAGAACGGUUCUUGCUAAGCCCGUAGCAGCCACGUAAAAUUUGCAACAACAAAGUAGAGGACAUCUAACUUGUUUUUGCAGGGCAUGUUGUGAUGUGAUAUGGUCAAGACGUGAUACUAUAUUUUAUUGUAUGAGAUGAUCAUGUUUUGUAACCAAAGUUAUCGGCAACUGGCAGGAGCCAUAUGGUUGUCGCUUUAUUGUAUGAAAUGCAAACGCCCUAUAAUUGCUUUACUUUAUCACUAAGUGGUAGCGAUAGUCAAGCAAUAGAUGGUGUAACGACAACGAUGCUACGAUGGAGAUCAAGGUGUCGCGCCGGUGACAAAGGUGAUCACGAUGGUGCUUCGGAGAUGGAGAUCACAAGCACAAGAUGAUGAUGGCCAUAUCAUAUCACUUAUAUUGAUUGCAUGUGAUGUUUAUCCUUUAUGCAUCUUAUCUUGAUUUGAUUGACGGUAGCAUUUUAAGAUGAUCUCUCACUAAAAUUAUCAAGAAGUGUUCUCCCUGAGUAUGCACCGUCGUGAAAGUUCUUCGUGCUGAGACACCACGUGAUGAUCGGGUGUGAUAGGCUCUACGUUCAAAUACAACGGGUGCAAAACAGUUGCACACGCGGAAUACUCAGGUUAAACUUGACGAGCCUAGCAUAUAACAGAUAUGGCCUCAGAACACGGAGAGCGAAAGGUCGAGCGUGAAUCAUAUAGUAGAUAUGAUCAACAUAUUGAUGUUCACCGUUGAAACUACUCCAUCUCACGUGACGAUCGGACAUGGUGUAGUUGAUAUGGAUCACGUAAUCACUUAGAGGACUAGAGGGAUGUCUAUCUAAGUGGGAGUUCUUUAGUAAUAUGAUUAAUUGAACUUAAAUUUAUCAUGAACUUAGUACCUGAUAGUAUUUUGCUUGUCAAUGUUUGUUGUAGAUAGAUGGCUGGUGCUGUUGUUCUGUUGAAUUUUAAUGCGUUCCUUGAGAAAGCAAAGUUGAAAGAUGAUGGUAGCAAUUACACGGACUGGGUCCGUAACCUGAGGAUUAUCCUCAUUGCUGCACAGAAGAAUUACGUCCCGGAAGCACCAUUGGGUGCUAGGCCUGCUGCUGAUGCAACUGACAACGUUAAGAACGUCUUGCAGAGCAAAGCUGAUGACUACUCGAUAGUUCAGUGUGCCAUGCUUUACGGCUUAGAACUGGGUCUUCAACGACGUUUUGAACGUCAUGGAGCAUAUGAGAUGUUCCAGGAGUUGAAGUUAAUAUUUCAAGCAAAUGCCCGGAUUGAGAGAUAUGAAGUCUCCAAUAAGUUCUAUAGCUGCAAGAUGGAGGAGAAUAGUUCUGUCAGUGAACAUAUACUCAAAAUGUCUGGGUAUAAUAAUCACUUGAUUUAACUGGGAGUUAAUCUUCCUGAUGAUAGUGUCAUUGACAGAAUUCUUCAAUCACUGCCACCAAGCUACAAGAGAUUCGUGAUGAACUAUAAUAUGCAAGGGAUGGACAAGACUAUUCCCGAGCUCUUCGCAAUGCUAAAAGCCGCGGAGGUAGAAAUCAAGAAGGAGCAUCAAGUGUUGAUGGUCAACAAGACCACCAGUUUCAAGAAAAAGGGCAAAGGGAAGAAGAAGGGGAACUUCAAGAAGAACAACAAACAAGUUGCUGCUCAAGAGAAGAAACCUAAGUCUGGACCUAAGCCUGAAACUGAGUGCUUCUACUGCAAGGAGACUGGACACUGGAAGCGGAACUGCCCCAAGUAUUUGGCGGAUAAGAAGGAUGGCAAAGUGAACAAAGGUAUAUGUGAUAUACAUGUUAUUGAUGUGUACCUUACUAAUGCUCGCAGUAGUACCUGGGUAUUUGAUACUGGUUCUGUUGCUAAUAUUUGCAACUCGAAACAGGGACUACGGAUUAAGCGAAGAUUGGCUAAGGACGAGGUGACGAUGCGCGUGGGAAAUGGUUCCAAAGUCGAUGUGAUCGCGGUCGGCACGCUACCUCUACAUCUACCAUCGGGAUUAGUUUUAGACCUAAAUAAUUGUUAUUUGGUGCCAGCGUUGAGCAUGAACAUUAUAUCUGGAUCUUGUUUGAUGCGAGACGGUUAUUCAUUUAAGUCAGAGAAUAAUGGUUGUUCUAUUUAUAUGAGGAAUAUCUUUUAUGUUCAUGCACCCUUAAAGAGUGGUCUAUUUUUAUUGAAUCUCGAUAGUAGUGAUACACAUAUUCAUAGUGUUGAAGCCAAAAGAAGCAGAGUUGAUAAUGAUAGUGCAACUUAUUUGUGGCACUUCCGUUUAGGUCAUAUCGGUAUAAAGCGCAUGAAGAAACUCCAUACUGAUAGACUUUUGGAAUCACUUGAUUAUGAAUCACUUGGUACUUGCGAACCGUGCCUCAUGGGCAAGAUGACUAAAACGCCGUUCUCCGGAACUAUGGAGCGAGCAACUAAUUUGUUGGAAAUCAUACAUACUGAUGUUUGUGGUCCAAUGAAUGUUGAGGCUCGCGGCGGGUAUCGUUAUUUUCUCACCUUCACAGAUGAUUUGAGCAGAUAUGGGUAUAUCUACUUAAUGAAACACAAGUCCGAAACAUUUGAAAAGUUCAAAUAAUUUCACAGUGAAGUGGAAAAUCAUCGUAACAAGAAAAUAAAAUUUCUACGAUCUGAUCAUGGAGGAGAAUAUUUGAGUUACGAGUUUGGUUUACAUUUGAAGCAAUGCGGAAUAGUUUCGCAACUCACGCCACCUGGAACACCACAAUGAAAUGGUGUGUCCGAACGUCGUAAUCGUACUUUACUAGAUAUGGUGCGAUCUAUGAUGUCUCUUACUGAUUUACCGCUAUCAUUUUGGGGUUAUGCUUUAGAGAUGGCCGCAUUCACGUUAAAUAGGGCACCAUCAAAAUCCGUUGAGACGACGCCUCAUGAACUGUGGUUUGGCAAGAAACCAAAGUUGUCGUUUCUUAAAGUUUGGGGCUGUGAUGCUUAUGUGAAGAAACUUCAACCAGAUAAGCUCGAACCCAAAUCGGAGAAAUGUGUCUUCAUAGGAUACCCAAAAGAAACUGUUGGGUACACCUUCUAUCACAGAUCUGAGGGCAAGAUUUUCGUUGCUAAAUUUGGAUCCCUUCUAGAGAAGGAGUUUCUCUUGAAAGAAGUGAGUGGGAGGAAAGUAGAACUUGAUGAGGUAACUGUACCUGCUCCCUUAUUGGAAAGUAGUUCAUCACAAGAACCGGUUCCUGUGACAACUACACCAAUUAGUGAGGAAGCUAAUGAUAUUGAUCAUGAAACUUCGGAUCAAGUUUCUACUGAACCUCGUAGGUCUACCGGAGUAAGAUUCACACCAGAGUGGUACAGUAAUCCUAUUCUGGAGGUCAUGUUACUUGACCAUGACGAACCUAUGAACUAUGAGGAAGCGAUGAUGAGCCCAGAUUCCGCAAAAUGGCUAGAAGCCAUGAAAUCUGAGAUGGGAUCCAUGUAUGAGAACAAAGUAUGGACUUUGGUUGACUUGCCCGAUGAUCGGCAAGCCAUUGAGAAUAAAUGAAUUUUUAAGAAGAAGACUGACGCUGAUGGUAAUGUAACUGUCUAUAAAGCUCGACUUGUUGCGAAAGGUUUUCGACAAGUGCAAGGGGUUGACUACGAUGAGACUUUCUCAACCGUAGCGAUGCUUAAGUCUGUCCGAAUCAUGUUAGCAAUUGUUGCAUUUUAUGAUUAUGAAAUUUGGCAAAUGGAUGUCCAAACUGCAUUCUUGAAUGGAUUUCUGGAAGAAGAGUUGUAUAUGAUGCAACCAGAAGGUUUUGUUGAUCCAAAAGGUGCUAACAAAGUGUGCAAGCUCCAGCGAUCCAUUUAUGGACUGGUGCAAGCAUCUCGGAGUUGGAAUAAACGCUUUGAUAGUGUGAUCAAAGCAUAUGGUUUUAUACAGACUUUUGGAGAAGCAUGUAUUUACAAGAAAGUGAGUGGGAGCUCUGUAGCAUUUCUGAUAUUAUAUGUAGAUGACAUAUUAUUAAUUGGAAAUGAUAUAGAAUUUCUGGAUAGCAUAAAGGGAUACUUGAAUAAAAGUUUUUCUAUGAAAGACCUCGGUGAAGCUGCUUACAUAUUGGGCAUCAAGAUUUAUAGAGAUAGAUCAAGACGCUUAAUAGGACUUUCACAAAGCACAUACCUUGAUAAAGUUUUGAAAAAGUUCAAAAUGGAUCGGGCAAAGAAAGGGUUCUUGCCCGUACUACAAGGUGUGAAGUUGAGUCAGACUCAAUGCCCGACCACAGCAGAAGAUAGAGAGAAAAUGAAAGAUGUUCCCUAUUCUUCAGCCAUAGGCUCUAUCAUGUAUGCAAUGCUGUGUACCAGACCUGACGUGUGCUUAGCAAUAAGCUUGGCAGGAAGAUACCAAAGUAAUCCAGGAGUGGAUCACUGGACAAUGGUCAAGAACAUCCUGAGGACUAAGGAUAUGUUUCUCGUAUAUGGAGGUGACAAAGAGCUAGUCGUAAAUGGUUACGUCGAUGCAAGCUUUGACACUGAUCCGGACGAUUCUAAAUCGCAAACCGGAUACGUGUUUUUAUUAAACGGUGGAGCUGUAAGUUGGUGCAGUUCUAAACAAAGCGUCGUGGCGGGAUCUACAUGUGAAGCGGAGUACAUAGCUGCUUCAGACGCAGCAAAUGAAGGAGACUGGAUGAAGGAGUUCAUUUCCGAUCUAGGUGUCAUACCUAAUGCAUCGGGGCCAAUGAAGAUCUUCUGUGACAAUACUGGUGCAAUUGCCUUGGCAAAGGAAUCCAGAUUUCACAAGAGGACCAAGCACAUCAAGAGACGCUUCAAUUCCAUCCGGGACCAAGUCCAGGUGGGAGACAUAGAGAUUUGCAAGAUACAUACGGAUCUGAAUAUUGCACACCUGUUGACUAAGCCUCUUCCACGAGCAAAACAUGAUCAGCACCAAAACUCCAUGGGUGUCAGAAUCAUUACUGUGUAAUCUAGACUAUUGACUCUAGUGCAAGUGGGAGACUGAAGGAAAUAUGCCCUAGAGGCAAUAAUAAAGUUAUUAUUUAUUUCCUCAUAUCAUGAUAAAUGUUUAUUAUUCUUGCUAGAGUUGUAUUAACCGGAAACAUAAUACAUGUGUGAAUACAUAGACCAACAUAACGUCACUAGUAUGCCUCUACUUGACUAGCUCAUUAAUCAAAGAUGGUUAUGUUUCCUAACCAUAGACACGUGUUGUCAUUUGAUUAAUGGGAUCACAUCAUUAGGAGAAUGAUGUGAUUGACAUGACCCAUUCCGUUAGCCUAGCACUUGAUCGUUUAGUAUGUUGCUAUUGCUUUCUUCCUGACUUAUACAUGUUCCUGUAACUAUGAGAUUAUGCAACUCCCGUUUACCGGAGGAACACUUUGUGUGCUACCAAACGUCACAACUUAACUGGGUGAUUAUAAAGGAGCUCUACAGGUGGCUCCAAAGGUACAUGUUGGGUUGGCGUAUUUCGAGAUUAGGUUUUGUCACUCCGAUUGUCGGAGAGGUAUCUCUGGGCCCUCUCGGUAAUGCACAUCACUAUAAGCCUUGCAAGCAAUGUAGCUAAUGAGUUAGUUACGGAAUGAUGCAUUACGUAAUGAGUAAAGAGACUUGCCGGUAACGAGAUUGAACUAGGUAUUGGGUACCGAUGAUUGAAUCUUGGGCAAGUAACAUACCGAUGACAAAGGGAACAACGUAUGUUGUUAUGCGGUUUGACCGAUAAAGAUCCUUGUAGAAUAUGUAGGAGCCAAUAUGAGCAUCCAGGUUCCGCUAUUGGUUAUUGACCGAGAAUAGUUCUAGGUCAUGUCUACAUAGUUCUCGAACCCGUAGGGUCCGCACGCUUAACGUUACGAUGACAAUUUUAUUAUGAGUUUAUAAGUUUUGAUGUACCGAAGAUUGUUUGGAGUCCCGGAUGUGAUCACGGACAUGACGAGGAGUCUUGAAAUGGUCGAGACAUAAAGAUUGAUAUAUUGGAAGCCUAUGUUUGGACAUGGAAGUGUUCCGGGUGAAAUCGGCAUUUUACCGGAGUACCGGGAGGUUACCGGAACCCCCCGGUAACCUAAUGGGCCUUAUUGGGCCUAGUGGAGGAAGAGGAGAGGAGGCCUAGGGGCUGCCGCGCGCCCCUCCCCCCAAGUCCGAAUUGGACAAGGAGGGGGGCGGCGCCCCCCUUUCCUUUCCCCCCUCUCUUCCUUCCCCCCAAGUCCUAAUCCAACUAGGGAAAGGGGGGGAGUCCUACUCCCGGUGGGAGUAGGACUCCUCCGGCGUGCCUCCUCCUAGGGCCGGCCGCACCCCCCUUGCUCCUUUAUAUACGGGGGCAGGGGGCACCCUAGAACACACAAGUUGAUCUUCGUGAUCGUUCCUUAGCCGUGUGCGGUGCCCCCCUCCACCAUAUUCCACCUCGGUCAUAUCGUUGCGAUGCUUAGGUGAAGCCCUGCGUCGGUAGAGCAUCAUCAUCAUCACCACGCCGUCGUGCUGACAGAACUCAUCCCCGACACUUUGCUGGAUCGCAGUCCGGGGAUCGUCAUCAAGCUGAACGUGUGCUGAACUCGGAGGUGCCGUAUGUUCGGUACUUGGAUCGGUCGGAUCGUGAAGACGUACGACUACAUCAACCACGUUGUUAUAACGCUUCUGCUUUUGGUCUAUGAGGGUACGUGGACAAUACUGUCCCCUCUUGUUGCUAUGCAUCACCAUGAUCUUGCGUGUGCGUAGGAAUUUUUUUGAAAUUACUACGUUCCCCAACACUGAACACGCCCGUUGUCGGUGUCAAAACCGGCGGAUCUCGGGUAGGGGUCCCGAACUGUGCGUCUAGGCGGAUGGUAACAGGAGAUAAGGGACAUGAUGUUUUUACCCAGGUUUGGGCCCUCUCGAUGGAGGUAAAACCCUACGUCCUGCUUGAUUAAUAUUGAUGAUGUGUAUUACAAGAGUGGAUCUACCACGAGAUCAAGGAGGCUAAACCCUAGAAGCUAGCCUAUGGUAUGAUUGUUGUAAUGGUUGUGUUGUCCUACGGACUAAAACCCUCCGGUUUAUAUAGACACCGGGAAGGGCUAGGGUUACACAGAGUCGGUUACAAUGGUAGGAGAUCUACAUAUCCGUAUCGCCAAGCUUGCCUUCCACGCCAAGGAAAGCCCCAUCCGGACACGGGGCGAAGUCUUCAAUCUUGUAUCUUCAUAGUCUUGGAGUCCGGCUGACGAUAAUAGUCUGGCUGUUCGGACACCCCCUAGUCCAGGACUCCCUCAGUAGCCCCUGAACCAGGCUUCAAUGACGAUGAGUCCGGCGCGCAUAUUGUUCGGCAUUGCAAGGCGAGUUCCUCCUCCAAAUAAUUCAUAGAAGAUUGUGAACACCAGGAUAGUGUCCGGCUCUGCAAAAUAAAUUCCACAUUCCACCAUAGAGAGAAUAGUAUGUACACAAGUUCAAUCCGCUGACAUGUUUUGUGGCAUGACGUCACACCACUACUAAGCCUUUACUUGAAUCGUUUUUUAUUAUACCACCUCAGCGAGUUUAGCGAAGCGGUUUCCUUGGCACGUCUUGUCGAAGCAGAGAUCGUGUUCCCCUUAUUCCGGGAUUCUCAUCAAUACGGUCGUGGGUAACCCAACCGCGCCCGUCGCCACGCCCCCUCUAUCGAAGGCGAGUCCCGAACGGUCACGGAGACGGCUCUCGAUAUUCUCCCUCUUUAUAAUGGGACCAAGGCUCGUUUCUUUUCUUCAAUCCUCCAUCGAAUCUUCUCCUUGCUCCAAGUUCCAACACCCGGAGCCCCAGAUUCGAGCGCUUUGGACCUUCAACAAUGUCCGGCUCCGACCUUCAGGGCCGGUGGAUGCCCUCCUCCGUCACGGAGGAGGACGUGCUAAAGCUGCGAGAGGCCAAGUACCUGUCUUGCGAGAUUUCGCACAGGUUGCCCGCCGAAGGGCAGGCCAUCCCCACCCCCGAGCCUGGCGAGUACGUCGUUUUCGUAUCAGACCUCCAUCGGGGUUUAGGCUUCCCGAUGGAUCCUUUUGUGAGAGGGCUCAUGUUUUACUAUGGGUUGGAGUUCCACGACUUGGCUCCGGAGUCCAUCCUCCAUAUUUCCGCAUUUAUCGUCGUCUGCGAAGCCUUCCUCUGCGUCAUCCCCCACUUUGGCCUGUGGCUGAAGACCUUCAAUGUGGAGCCGAAGAUGAUCGAGGGGCGUCAAGCAGAGUGCGGCGGGGCGGCCGUAAGCAGGAGGGCCGAUGCCCCGUGGCCCGAGGGCUCCUUCCAAGAGGAGCUCGGCUUGUGGCAGCAGGAGUGGUUCUAUAUUACCGCUCCGAAGGGUAGCAGGCAGAAGCCGCCGCCCUUAUUCCGCUCGGGACCUCCACGACGGUUGAUGUCGUGGGUCAACCAAGGGCUCAACUGGGGGCCGUCAAAAGACGUGCCCCUACUGCAGGGCCGGAUUCGAGACCUCCAAGCGAGGGAGAUCGAUCUGGUUGUGGUAAUGCAGGUCAUGCUGAUUAGGCGUCUCCUGCCCUGCAAACGUCGCCCUCUCCGGCUGUGGGAGUUUAAUCCGGAGGGGCCACAGAUUCUUCAACACUUCAUGGGUUCGACACCCAUGGAGAUGUACAAAUUAUUCUUCGGAUCACGAGAGGCGUGUCCGGAGUUGACCGAGGAUGCUGGCCUAAGCUGCUAUCGCCCGGAUUCACAAGUAAGUAGCUCCGAGUCCGAACAUACCGUUUGUUUGCCUUUCUAUGAUUCGCCUUUUGACCGAUUUCCUUCUAAACAGGAGUGGAUAGCGCAAGCAAAACUGAUACGGUGUCCGGCCCCCCUCCCAGAGAUCGCGUCGGAUCCCAUGCUGGUCAGGAUGCUGGAGGUUGCGCCUUCAGAGGAAGGCAAAGGGGAAAAUAGAGGAGCUACCGCCUCGUCCGAGGAGGCUCUUGAAAAAGGGGGGAUCGAGAAUCCCUCCCUCCAAGGGGAGAAGAGGACCGCCUCCGAGGACCCGGGGGCCAAAGCCCCUAAGAGGGGGAAAAAAUCUUCACCAGAGGGUCCUGCGUCCGGGGAGGCCCCGGCCGCACAGUCUCCCUUAAAGAAUCAGCCCUCCAGCGAGCCGUAAGUAGAAAAGAAGGAGUUUUAUAAUAAGGGAUACCCCUAUUUGUGCUUCUGAGGAUAACCCAAGUUUUUACCUUGUAGUUCGGAUCUCCGUCCUUCGCAAAUGAGCUUGUCUUCGGGGGAUCUUCGUCCGGAGAUGGUGGAGAGCGAGACGCCUCUGUCUGCUGCGCUGUCGGAUAGGGCGGACGAGCCUGAAGUGUCAUCACGGAGGGUAUCCCUAAGCCCGGCGGAGCCGAAGAGUUCGGCGCCGAAUAGAGUUCGGCCGGGGGAGCUGAAGGCUCUACUUGAGAGGGCGUCCAUCUCAGAAGAUCACCAUGCAUUGAUGAGUAUGGUGAUUGGAAGGAUUUCAACCGCCGAGAGCGGAUUGCAUAAUGGAGUUUGCUGGCAGGGUUUGAGGUAUGCAAAAAUGACACACCUUUUGACAGUUUUGCACAUAAAGUGCGCCCUGUAUAGAUAGUAGCCCCUGAGACUCAGUAGGUUGUCGAAAGCGACAACGUGCCGAGGAUCAAAAUCGCAGGUUUCAAUUUUCGCCGUUCCUAUGCAGGUGGCAGAUCGUCCGGGGGCCAGCCGAACUGAUGGAGUUGCUGAACUAAAGCGGCAACUCGACGUUGCGGAUGCGUACAUCGCGCUAGUCAACAGGCGACUUGAUGAGUCGCAAGGUAAGUGUUUCUUUGCGGUCACUUAGUAAGGGAGCAGAAGCCCAGUCCUUACAACAUGUGCGUGAACUGCAGAUGGUGCCACUGCUGUGGAGAGCCUUCAGGCCGAACUUGCUCAAGCCAAGGAGCAAGCCAGAAGGAGUAAUGUGGCGGCCUCGAGGGCGGCCGAGGAGUUAGAAGCCGAAAGGGCUGCACACUGUCGAAGCAGGGAAGAGAUGGUCGAAAUGGCCGUGAAGUUAAAAGAUGCUACCGACCGCAAUGAGGCUCUUGAAAAGGAGCGCCUAGCGGGGCGAGAAGACCUGGGGAAGGCCACCUCCGAAGCCAAGGAUGCCCGUUCUGCAAUGCGGGCUAUAAAGGAAGAGCUGCGCCAGGCUGGAGACAUUGUGGCUGGUAAGCCUUUUCUGCUGCGCCGAAGGUUUACGGAUCCAAAGUAUGCUCAACUUGGCCAGCUGUGGGGUCCGGAGGAUCCUUAUAUGGACUUAGCAGCGAGUGCGGCGGAUGCCAUUGUGCACUUCCGAAGCUAGGAGGAUCACAAGACGGAAGAGCUGUUUUGGUCUCAAUUCCAUAGUCCGGAGCGUUCACUUCCGCUGACCGACCGGUUGGCCGAGUGGGCUGAGCUGAAUAGGUUGUCCGGGCUUGCCAUGACGGAUAUCGUGACUCAUGUCUGGCCGGAUAGGCCCAAGCUGAAGAGCUAUUUUGGCUUAUUGCAGCAAUUUCUUGGGGCGGUGCCGCAUAUCAAGGCGAUGAAGCAGUCGGCCUGCAUAGAGGGUGCACGGAUGGCACUCGCCCGUGUGAAGACACAUUGGACAGAGAUGGAUGCCACCGCUGUUGCGACCCAGGGUUCGGACGAGAGCCGGUUACCCGCCGAGCACUAUUUUGGGGAAGUUCUGCGCAGUGCUCCAAAAAUGUCACGUUCAAAUGAACGUUUUAUUUUGUAAAACAAUGUUUAUGAUUUAGGCGCUUUUUAUACUUGUGCGUUCAAGUUUUGAAAUAUCUCCUAUGCGGCCGUUUAUGUAUACGUGUGUAUAACCUGAAAGAUGGCAGUCGUCGGCUUCAGCCCCCACGCACAAGGUGCGGGGGUGUUCGCAAAAAUAGCGCAUUUGCACACUUAAUCCGACGUCUCGGUCCUGUGAAGGAGGUGGUAGCGUAGCAAACGAGGCAACCGGACUAUAAUGCUUUAUCACUUUCACUUAGCCAUGGGAGUUCAAGGGUGGGGCUAUGAUAUAGCCCCUGGGGGCACCGCGCUCUCCGAAUUCGGGGCGCGUAUGUGCCUGACCGGGAAACGGUCCUUCGUCAAAGCGGAGGAAUUCUAAACAUUCCAUUGGUCGAUCGAGUGGUUGACCAGUCUCUCGCUGUAUCAUGACAGUCAGUUUUCGGCUUUCUCUACUGAGGUGCUCGCCCAGCCGAACUGGGGCACAAUCGCAGUACUUCUCCUGGUGCCGCGUUAGCCGAUGAUACGGAAUGUAAGGCAGCAAAACACAGGAGCCAGGCAAACCCAACAUUUGACCAAAGACAUGAUUCGGAGCUGAUGCAUAUAAGGCCUAACUCGAGACGCCGAACACUCCCGAAGGUGUUCGGUCUUUAUAAUAACGGGCAGAACAAUGCCCUAAGCCCCUAGUGUCCAGGUACGGGCGAGGUCCUCUGACAUGGCCGAUGCCAAAAUGCCAGUCUCCUCUCUGGUUAUAAUGAGAAUCCAGGGGAUUAUAGCAACAAGAGACAGUAAGAAAGGUUUACGCAGGGUCUUAAUCUGAAAAGAAUCCUUGAAAUGGGUCCCUACUGCACGUCUGCGCCUGUGUCUCCGUUGUGCCGUAUCCUGGACGGGUGUGCAUGUUGUUCAUCUGUAAAAAGAGAGGAACUUAGUUUGAAAACAAAUCGUGCGAAAAGUGCAUAAAGAAGUGAAAUAUUAAUAAAUUAAUAAAGCUGAGACUAUAUGAGCUCAUUAUUGCUUAUAUGCACAGCCCCUUGUGAAGGGGUGUGCGGCUAGGGAGCCCCUAGCUUAUUUGUGCCGGACUCGUCUAGCCGUGUCCGGGGUCUUUGAAUGACCCUUUAAUGAGAUGAUGCCACGUGGACCGGGCAUUUUAAGUGUAAGAGACGCGUAAUGUGGUAUUGCGUUAAAGCGGACAAAAGCUUCACGUCCCAAUAGUGCUUGAUAGCCACUUUUAAAUGGGGCGACAUGAAAGAUUAGCUUUGCGCAUCGGAAGUUGUCGGGUGACCCGAACACAACUUCUAGUAGUAAGGAGCCUGUGCACUUGGCGUAAGGGCCUGGCGCCACUCCUUUGAAGGAAGUGCGGCUAUGUCGAAUUUUAGUAAGAUCUAUCCCCAACUUGCGGAUUGUGUUCGGAUAUAGCAGGUUUAAAUCGCUGCCUCCGUCCAUCAGGACUUGUGUAAAUUGCAGUCCAUCGAUUAUAGGAUUCAAUAUCAGAGCAGUCCAUCCUGCGUUUCGAAUACUUCUGGAAUAAUCCAGGUGGUCAAAAGUGAUUGGUUUUGACAUCCAAUCUUGAAGUUCCGCUGGGGUGGACCGUGCGACACCUAUCUUAGCGGCUGACGCAUUGUUUUUCCGUACUAUCACAUGAAGUGAGUUUACUGCUUCGACUUCUUGAGGGAAAGUCUUUUGUUUUCCGGUGCUCUGCUGGUGGGGUUCAUCAUCGUCCUUGCUUGGCGCGUUGAGCCCCUUGUGUUCGGCGUUGAGUCUGCCGGACUAUUUAAAAACCCAACGAUCUCGGUGGGUGUGGUUUGCAGGCCUUCCGGAGGUACUGUGGAUUUGACAUAUCCGAUCCAAGAUGUUGUUUAAGUUGGAUAGCUCAUCACUGUUGUCCUUAAGAGGCAUCGUUUUAUUGUUUGGCCGCGAGCUUUUGAAUCCGGCGUUGACCGCCGUGUUCUUUGGGCUUUUUUCUUUAUUCCGGUGUUGAUCCUUUCUGCGUCGUGAUUUUCCGUUUCCAUCUCUGAUCUCGGAUGUACUCGGGUCGCCGGAGCUGCAUCUUGCUAGCCAGCUGUCUUCCCCCGCGCAAAAGCGGGUCAUGAGGCUUGUUAGCGCGGCCAUUGUCCUUGGCUUCUCUUGGCCGAGGUGUCUGGCGAUCCAUUCAUCUCGGACGUUGUGUUUAAAAGCUGCUAAGGCUUCGGCGUCCGGACAGUCGACUAUUUGGUUCUUUUUAGUAAGGAACCUGUUCCAGAAUUUGCGCGCUGACUCUCCGGGCUGUUGAGUUAUAUGACUUAGAUCGUCUGCAGCCGGAGGGCGGACAUAAGUCCCUUGAAAAUUUGCUCUAAACGCGUCCUCAAGCUCUUCCCAACUUCCAACAGUGUUUUCUGGGAGGCUUUUGAGCCAAUGCCGAGCUGGCCCUUUGAGCUUGAGGGGUAGAUAUCUUAUGGCGUGGAGAUCAUCUCCUCUAGCCAUGUGUACGUGUAGUAUGUAAUCUUCUAUCCAGACUCCAGGGUCUGUUGUUCCGUUGUAUGCCUCUAUGUUUAUGGGUUUGAAUCCUGCUGGAAAUUCAUGGUCCAGCACCUCAUCGGUGAAGCAUAGUGGGUGUGCGGCGCCCCUGUAUUUGGGUGUGCCGCUGUCUUCGAACACUUGGCGUGUUGUGUUGCUUCCUGGGCCCCUCUUUUUUGGCCCGUAAAUGGACCUGGCUGGGCCAUCUGUUUUCCCCGGAUCAUGAGUCGGCUUGUGUGCGGCGCCGCUUAUCGCUUUUGGCCUGUCGUUUGGCCGUCAAUCCGGCCAGCGGCCUCUUUGUUCUAUGACUGUGGGGGCUCUAUGGCUUCCUCGUCAAAUUCUGGCAGCAUCUUGCGCUUCGGGUAGCUCUUUGUUUGGUGGCCAUUGCCAUAUUUGUCUGCGGUCUUGAGUACUUUGCUCCACCUCAUUCUGAGUAUGUCUUCCGCUAUUUUGAGCUUCCGUUUUUCCUUCUUCAGACUUCUUGCAGUGGCGACGAGUCUUUUGUGAAGGUUCUUAUGCUCCGGUGUUGUGUCCGGCGUGAGGUCGUCCGGACUGUUGGUUUCGCCGGGCAUGGAUUGAUUAUCCGGUUCGUCCUGUUCGGACGGUUGCUUGGUUGCAUGUUCGUCGUCCACUGGUUUGCCCUGCUCUAUUGCUGGGUCAUUAGGAAUGAUGUUUAUGUCGAGGCGGGACUUAGGGCGGCGUCUGCGUCGCCGUUUUGGUUGUUUGUCGGCGGGAUUAUCCUUUGCCGCGCCCCGUUGUUCCUCGUCAUCGCUUCCUUUUGGGGUGUCCACCAUAUAUAUGUCGUAUGACGAGGUGGUCUUCCAGUGCCCUGUAGGCGCUGGUUCUUGAUCGUCUCCGGCAUCGUCAUCCAUACCGUCGAUGUCUUCAGAGUCGUAGUCUAGCAUGUCGGUUAGAUCGUCGACAGUGGCUACAAAGUGGGUGGUGGGUGGGCUUUGAAUUUCUUCGUCGUCCGCAUCCCAACCAUCCUGGCCGUAGUCCAGCGAGGGCUCUCCGGAUAGCGAGAGAUGCUUAGCAAAUUUAGGAUGUCGCCAAAGGGUGAGUGCUGAAAGAUGUCCGCAGCGGUGAACUCCAUAAUCGGCGCCCAAUCAGAUUCGAUUGGCAGGGGCGCAGGAGGUUCGGAGUCCGGCAGGGAGUCCGGCGGGGAGUCCGGCACCUUGGAGUCACGGGCUUUAUAAGGGACGAGGUUAGUGUUCGGCUCCAUUGCCGUGGAAGUUGUAGCUCCCGAGGCGGUGUCCAACCACCCGUCCUCGAUCUGCGCGAUCGGCUCCGGACUAUGGGUUGGAGCGGAUUUGUGUGCAGCCUCCAAGGUACUGUCCGGCGGCAGAGUUAGGUCAUGCCCAUCGAGACAGUGCGGCACGCUCGGCUGCGGCUUGGAUCCAUCGAAGAUCAAGUCUCCGCGGAUAUCCGCCGUGAAGUUUAGGCUUCCAAAUCUGACCUGAUGGCCAGGGGCGUAGCUUUCGAUCUGCUCCAGAUGGCCAAGCGAAUUGGCCCGCAGUCUGAAGCCGCCGAAUAUGAAGAUCUGUCCGGGGAGAAAAGUCUCACCCUGGACGGCGUUGUUGUUGAUUGAAGAAGCCAUCAAGCCUAUCGGUGAUGACACAGAGGAACUCUCAAUGAAAGCACCAAUGUCGGUGUCAAAACCGGCGGAUCUCGGGUAGGGGGUCCCGAACUGUGCGUCUAGGCGGAUGGUAACAUGAGACAAGGGACACGAUUUUUUACCCAGGUUCGGGCCCUCUCGAUGGAGGUAAAACCCUACGUCCUGCUUGAUUAAUAUUGAUGAUGUGUAUUACAAGAGUGGAUCUACCACGAGAUCAAGGAGGCUAAACCCUAGAAGCUAGCCUAUGGUAUGAUUGUUGUAAUGGUUGUGUUGUCCUACGGACUAAAACCCUCCGGUUUAUAUAGACACCGGGAAGGGCUAGGGUUACACAGAGUCGGUUACAAUGGUAGGAGAUCUACAUAUCCGUAUCGCCAAGCUUGCCUUCCACGCCAAGGAAAGCCCCAUCCGGACACAGGGUGAAGUCUUCAAUCUUGUAUCUUCAUAGUCUUGGAGUCCGGCUGACGACAAUAGUCCGGCUGUCCGGACACCCCCUAGUCCAGGACUCCCUCACCCGUCCUCGCCAAUCUCCAUGGGGAUCUGCUCCCCCAUGUGUCCGACAGCGGAGGUCUCGCCUUGCGGCGCCUCUUGGACAGCGUCCUGGGCCCCUCCCUGGCCCGGAACAGUCCUCCAGGACAACACUUCGGUGUCAUCCUUGGCCUCGGGAGAAUAAGCGGGCGGCGGCGACAUGCUGGCCAUUUCCGCCGGAUCCAACAAACCCCCAGAUGAGGAUUGCUGGAUGCUGUCACGGGCCAGACUGCAAUACCACAAUUAACCACAUCAAAACAAUAAAAGGAGAGGCUGGGUACACUUGUAUGCGUAAGCUAUAGUACUUACGAUGCGGCCUGAGGCUUAGUGCGGAGGCGUCGCUCCGGACUGCUAUCAACGUCCCACACGGUGUUGACCGCAGGGGCACCCUUCCCCUUCUUGGGCAUUCCCGCCUCCAAAUUUGUGGAGGCCCCCCUCUUCUUCUUUCCCUCCUCAGGGGGAGGAUUCUUCUCCUCCUCCUCCUCUUCCUCGUCAUCGUCCUCAGGGACGGAGGAAUGAGUUUCUUCAUCUUCGAAUGUCACGUCCGAGGCGCCCUUGCGACGGGGCCACUUUUGCCCCCUAGCCUUCUUCUCCAGUGGCUUAUACCGUGGCGGCACCAGCAUCUUCGCUAGACGCAGGAUGGCUGGUUCUUUAGGUAGCGGAGCCGGACACUAGAUCCGCUUCGCCCUCUCCGUCCAAUCCUGAAAUAGCAAUGGUAAAAGCUCAAACAUCAUCCUCGAAGCAAACAAGUAGGGGAUACGUUAAGUAUAGCAUACCUCGCUGGCGGGGUGUUUAAUGUCGUGCCCGCGGUCUGAAUCUGUGGCCGGCGGUUUCUCGUUGCCCUUAAAGAGCAACCUCCAGGCACCUUCGUGAGUGGUUUCGAAGAGCCUCAACAGGGUUUGGUGCUUCUUCGGAUUGAACUCCCACAGAGGGCGACUUCUGCGCUGGCACGGGAGUAUCCGGCGAACCAGCAUCACCUGAAUUACAUCGACAAGCUUGACGUUCUUGGCUAUCAUGCUUUGAAUACGCGUCUGCAGCGCAAUCAGCUCAUCGGGCGAACACCAAUUCAGACUCUUCUCCACCUAGGAGGUGAGUCGCAUGGGAGCACCGGAGCGGAAGUCGGCAGUUGCGGCCCAGGUGGUGCCGCGGGGUUCCGUGAUGUAGAGCCACUGUUUCUGCCACUCCUUUACUGUAUCCACAAAAGUGCCUUUCGGCCAGGAGACAUUGGAUAGCUUACUCACCAUGGCUCCUCCGCACUCCGCAUGCUGGCCAUCCACCACCUUCAGCUUCAUGUUGAAAACUUUGAGCCAUAGCCCGAAGUGAGGUUGGGUGCGGAGGAAGGCCUCACUCACGACGAUAAACGCCGAAAUGUUAAGGAAUGAGUUCGGGGACAGAUCAUGGAAAUCUAUCCCGUAGUAAUACAUCAGCCCGCGGACGAAUGGGUGGAGAGGGAACCCGAGUCCGCGGAAGAAAUGAGGUAUGAAUACCACCCUCUCGUUGGGCUCCGGCGUGGGGACGACUUGUCUCUCGGCCGGUAGACGGUGGGCGAUUUCCUUCGCCAAGUAUCCGGCCGCCCGAAGCUCAGUAAUGUCCUCCUCCUUGACGGAGGAGACUGAGGGAGUCCUAGACUAGGGGGUGUCCGGAUAGCCGGACUAUCAUCGUCGGCCGGACUCCAAGAUUAUGAAGAUACAAGAUUGAAGACUUCGUCCCGUGUCCGGAUGGGACUUUCCUUGGCGUGGAAGGCAAGCUUGGCGAUACGGAUAUGUAGAUCUCCUACCAUUGUAACCGACUCUGUGUAACCCUAGCCCUCUCCGGUGUCUAUAUAAACCGGAGGGUUUUAGUCCGUAGGACGAACAACCAUUACAACAAUCAUACCAUAGGCUAGUUUCUAGGGUUUAGCCUCCUUAAUCUCGUGGUAGAUCCACUCUUGUAAUACACAUCAUCAAUAUUAAUCAAGCAGGGCGUAGGGUUUUACCUCCAUCAAGAGGGCCCGAACCUGGGUAAAAACAUCGUGUCCCUCGUCUCCUGUUACCAUCCGCCUAGACGCACAGUUCGGGACCCCCUACCCGAGAUCCGCCGGUUUUGACACCGACAUUGGUGCUUUCAUUGAGAGUUCCUCUGUGUCGUCACCGAUAGGCUUGAUGGCUUCUUCAAUCAACAACAACGCCGUCCAGGGUGAGACUUUUCUCCCCGGACAGAUCUUCGUAUUCGGCGGCUUCGCACUGCGGGCCAAUUCGCUUGGCCAUCUGGAGCAGAUCGAAAGCUAUGCCCCUGGCCAUCAGGUCAGAUUUGGAAGCCUAAACUUCACGGCCGACAUCCGUGGGGACUUGAUCUUCGACGGAUUCGAGCCAUAGCCGAGCGUGCCGCGCUGUCAUGAUGGGCAUGAUUUAGCUCUGCCGCCGGGCAGUGCCCUGGUGGCCGCACACGAAUCCGCUCCAACCCAUAGUCCGGAGCCGAUCGCGCAGAUCGAGGACGGGUGGCUGGACACCGCCUCGGGAGCUGCAACUUCCACGGCGAUGGAGCCGAACACUGACCUUGUCCCUUACAAAGCUCGUGACUCCGAGGUGCCGGACUCCCUGCCGGACUCCGAACCUCCCGUGCCCUUGCCAAUCAAAUCCGAUUGGGCGCCGAUCAUGGAGUUCACCGCUGCGGACAUCUUUUAACACUCACCCUUUGGCGACAUCCUAAAUUCGCUAAAGCAUCUCUCGCUAUCCAGAGAGCCCUGGCCGGACUACGGCCAGGAUGGUUGGGAUGCGGACGACGAAGAAAUUCGAAACCCACCCACCACCCACUUUGUAGCCACUGUCGACGAUCUAACCGACAUGCUAGACUAUGACUCCGAAGACAUCGACGGUAUGGACGACGAUACCGGAGACGAUCAAGAACCAGCGCCUACAGGGCACUGGAAGACCACCCCAACACAUGACGUAUAUAUGGUGGACACCCCAAAAGGAAGCGAUGACGAGGAACAAUGGGGCCCGACAAAGGAUAAUCCCGCCGACAAGCAACCAAAACAGCGACGCAGACGCCGCCCUCAGUCCCGCCUCGACAAAAAAAGCGUUCCUAAUAACCCAGCAAUAGAGCAGGGCAAACCAGUGGAUGACGAACAUGCAACCAAGCAACGGUCCGAACAGGACGAAUUGGAUAAUCAAUCCAUGCCCAGCGAAACCAACAGUCCAGACGACCUCACACCGGACACACAUCCAGAGCAUAAGAGCCUUCACAAAAGACUCGUCGCCACUGCAAGAAGUCUGAAGAAGGAAAAAUGGAAGCUCAAAACAGCGGAAGAAAUACUCAGAAUGAGAUGGAGCAAAGUACUCAAGACCGCUGAGAAAUAUGGCAACGGCCACCAAACAAAGAGCUACCCGAAGCGCAAGCUGCUGCCAGAAUUUGACGAGGAAGCCAUAGAGCCCCCACAGUCAAAAAACAAAGAGGCCGCCUGGCCGGAUAGACAGCCAGAUGACAGGCCAAAAGCAACAAGCGGCACCGCACACAAGCCGACCCAUGAUCCUGGGAAAACAGAUGGCCCAGCCAGGUCCAUUUACGGGCCAAAAAAGAGGGCCCCAGGAAGCAACACAACAUGCCAAGUAUUCGAAGACAGCGGCACACCCAAAUACAGGGGCGCUGCACACCCACUAUGUUUCACCGAUGAGGUGCUGGAUCAUGAAUUUCCAGUAGGGUUCAAACCCAUAAACAUAGAGGCAUACGACGGAACAAUAGACCCUGGAGUCUGGAUAGAGGAUUACAUACUACACAUACACAUGGCUAGAGGAGAUGAUCUCCACACCAUAAAAUAUCUACCCCUCAAGCUCAAAGGGCCAGCUCGGCAUUGGCUCAAAAGCCUCCCAGAAAACACUGUUGGAAGUUGGGAAGAGCUUGAGGAUGCAUUUAGAGCAAAUUUUCAAGGGACUUAUGUCCGCCCGCCGGAUGCAGACGAUCUAAGUCAUAUAACUCAACAGCCCGAAGAGUCAGCGCGCAAAUUCUGGAACAGGUUCCUUACUAAAAAGAACCAAAUAGUCGACUGUCUGGACGCUGAAGCCUUAUCAGCUUUUAAACACAACGUCCGAGACGAAUGGCUCGACAGACACCUUGGCCAAGAGAAGCCAAGAACAAUGGCCGCGCUAACAAGCCUCAUGACCCGCUUUUGCGCGGGGGAAGACAGCUGGCUAGCAAGAUGCAGCACCAGCGACCCGAAUACAUCUGAGAUCAGAGAUGGAAACGGAAAAUCACGGCGCAGAAAGGAUCAACGCCGGAAUAAAGGAAAAAGCCCAAAGAACACAACAGUCAACGCCGGAUUCAAAAGCUCGCGGUCGAACAAUAAAACACUGCCUCUUAAGGACAACAGUGACGAGCUAUCCAACUUAAACAAAAUUUUGGAUCGGAUAUGUCAAAUCCACAGUACCUCCGGAAGGCCUGCAAACCACACCCACCGAGAUUGUUGGGUUUUUAAACAGUCCGGCAGACUCAACGCCGAACACAAGGGGCUCGACGCACCAAGCGAGGAUGAUGACGAACCCCACCAGCAGAGCACCGGAAAACAAAAGACUUUCCCUCAAGAAGUCAAAGAAGUAAACUCACCUCAGGUGAUAGUACGGAAAAACAAUGCGGCACCCGCUAAGAUAGGUGUCGCACGGUCCACCCCAGCGGAACCUCGAGAUUGGAUGUCAAAACCAAUCACUUUCGACCACCUGGAUUAUUCCAGAAGUAUUCGAAAGGCAGGAUGGACUGCUCUGAUAUUGAAUCCUAUAAGCGACAGACUGCAAUUUACACAAGUCCUGAUGGACGGCGGCAGCGAUUUAAACCUGCUAUAUCCGGACACAAUCCGCAAGUUGGGGAUAGACCUUACUAAAAUUCGGCGUAGCCGCACUUCCUUCAAAGGAGUGGCGACAGGCCCUUACGCCAAGUGCACGGGCUCUUUACUACUAGAAGUUGUGUUCAGGUCACCCGACAACUUCCGACGCACAAAGCUAAUCUUUCAUGUCCCCUCAUUUAAAAGUAGCUAUCAAGCACUAUUGGGACGUGAAGCUUUCGUCCGCUUUAACGCAAUACCACAUUACGCGUCUCUUACACUUAAAAUGCCCGGUCCACGCGGCAUCAUUUCAUUAAAAGGUCAUCUAUGACCCCGGACACGGCUGGACGAGUCCGGAAUAAAUAAGCUAGGGGCUCCCUAGCCGCACACCCCUUCACAAGGGGCUGAGCAUAUAAGCAAUAAUGAGCCAAUAUAGGCUCAGCUUUAUUAAUUUAUAUUUCAAAUUUUUAUGCAAUUUCUCGCACGAUUUCUUUCAAACUAAGUUCCUCUCUUUUUACAGAUGAGCAACAUGCACACCCAUCCAGGAUACGGCACAACAGAGACACAGGCGCAAAGGUGCAGCAGGGACCCGUUUCAAGGAUUCUUUUCAGAUUAAGACCCUGCGUAAACCUUUCUUACUUUCUCUUGUUGCUAUAAUCCCCUAGUUUCUCAUUAUAAUCAGAGAGGAGACUGGCGUUUUGGCAUCGGCUGUGUCAGAGGACCUCGCCAGUACCUGGACACUAGGGGCUUAGGGCAUUGUUCUACCUGUUAUUAUAAAGACUGAAUACCUUAGGGAGUGUUUGGCGUCUCGAGUUAGGCCUUAUAUGCAUCAGCUCUGAAUCAUGUCUUUGAUCAAAUGUUGGGUUUGCCCGGCUCCUGUGUUUUGCUGCCUUACGUUCCGUAUCAUCGGCUAACGCGGCACCAGGAGAACUACUGCGAUUGUGCCCCAGUUCGGCUGGGCGAGCACCUCAGUAGAGAAAGCCGAAAACUGACUGUCAUGAUACAUCGAGAGACUGGUCAACCACUCGAUCGACCACAGGAAUGUUUAGAAUUCCUCCGCUUUGAUGAAGGACUGUUUCCCGGUCAGGCACAUACACGCCCCGAAUUCGGAUAGCGCGGUGCCCCCAAGGGCUAUAUCGUAGCCCCACCCUCGAACUCCCAUGGCUAAGUGAAAGUGAUAAAGCAUUAUAGUCCGGUUGCCUCGUUCGCUACGCUACCACCUCCUUCACAGGACCGAGACGUCGGAUUAAGUGUGAAAACGCGCUAUUUUUGCGAACAUCCCGGCACCUUGUGCGUGGGGGCUGAAGCCGACGACUGCCAUCUUUCAGGUUAUACACACGUAUACAUAAACGGCCGCAUAGGAGAUAUUUCAAUACUUGAACGCACAAGUAUAAAAAGUGCCUACAUCAUAAACAUUGUUUUUUCAAAAUAAAAUGUUCAUUUGAACGUGACAUUUUUUGAGCACUGCGACUCUAUUACAUGAGCACCACACAGAACUUCCCCAAAAUAGUGCUCGGCGGGUAACCGGCUCUCGUCCGAACCCUGGGUAGCAACAGCGAUGGCAUCCAUCUCUGUCCAAUGUGUCUUCACACGGGCGAGUGCCAUCCGUGCACCCUCUAUGCAGGCCGACCGCUUCAUCGCCUUUAUAUGCGGCACCGCCCCAAGAAAUUGCUGCAAUAAGCCAAAAUAGCUCUUCGGCUUGGGCCUAUCCGGCCAGACAUGAGUCACGAUAUCUGUCAUGGCAAGUCCGGACAACCUAUUCAGCUCAGCCCACUCGGCCAACCGGUCGGUCAGCGGAAGUGAACGCUCCGGACUAUGGAAUUGAGACCAAAACAGUCUUCCGUCUUGUGAUCCUCCUGGCUUCGGAAGUGCACAACGGCAUCCGCCGCACUCGCUGCUAAGUCCAUAUAAGGAUCCUCCGGACCCCACAGCUGGCCAAGUGGAGCAUACUUAGGGCCCGUAAACUUUCGGCGUAGCAGAAAAGGCUGGCCAGCGACAAUGUCUCCGGCCUGGCGCAACUCUUCCUUCAUAGCCCGCAUUGCAGAACGGGCAUCCUUGGCUUCGGCGGUGGCCUUCCCCAGGUCUUCUCGCCCCGCUAGGCGCUCCUUUUCAAGAGCCUCAUUGUGAUCAGUAGCAUCUUUUAACUUCACGUCCAUUCCGGCCAUCUCUUCCCUGCUUCGGCAGUGUGCAGCCCUUUCAGCUUCUAACUCCUCGGCCGCCCUCGAGGCCGCCGCAUCACUCCUUCUGGCUUGCUCCUUGGCUUGAGCAAGUUCGGCCCGAAGGCUCUCCACAGCAGCGGCACCAUCUGCAUUUCACGCACAUGUUGUAAGGACUAGGGCUUCUGCUCCCUUACUAAGUGACCACAAAGAAACACUUACCUUGCGACUCAGCAAGUCGCCUGUUGACUAGCGCGAUGUCCGCAUGCGCAACGUCGAUUUGCCGCUUUAGUUCAGCAACUCCAUCAGUCCGGCUGGCCCCCGGACGAUCCGCCACCUGCAUAGGAACGGCGAAAAUUGAAACCUGCGAUUUUGAUCCUCGGCACGCUGUCGCUUUCGACAACCUACUGAGUCUCAGGGGCUGCUAUCUAUAUAGGGCACACUUCUAUGUGCAACACUGUCAAAAAGGUGUGUCAUUUUUACAUACCUCAAACCCCGCCAGCAAACUCCUGACGGCAUUAUGUAAUCCACUCUCGGCGGAUGAAAUCCUUCCAAUCACCAUACUCAUCAAUGCAUGGUGAUCUUCUGAGAUGGACGCCCUCUCAAGUAGAACCUUCAGCUCCCCCGGCCGAACUCUAUUCGGCACUGAGCUCCUCGGCUCUGCCGGGCUGGGGGAUACCCUCCGUGACGACACUUCGGGCUCGUCCGCCCUAUCCGACGGCGCAGCAGACGGAGGCGUCUCGCUCUCCAUCAUCUCCGGGCAAAGAUCCCCCGAAGACGAGCUCAUUUGCGAAGGACGGAGAUCCGAACUACAAGGUAAAAACUUGAGUUAGCCUCAGAAGCUCAAAUAGGGGUGUCCUUUAUUAUAAAACUCCCCUUUUUCUACUUACAGCUCGCUGGAGGGCUGAUUCUUUAAGGGAGACUGUGCGGCCGGGGACUCCCCGGACGCAGGACCCUCUGGUGAAGAUUUUUUCCCCCGCUUAGGGGCUUUGGCCCCCAGGUCCUCGAAGGCGGUCCUCUUCCCCCCUUGGAGGGAGGGAUUCUCGGUCCCCCCUCUUUGAAGAGCCUCCUUGGGCGAGGCGGUAGCUCCUCUAUUUUCCCCUUUGCCUUCCUCUGAAGGCGCAACCUCCAGCAUCCUGACCAGCACGGGAUCCGGCGCGGUCUCUGGGAGGGGGGCCAGACACCGUAUGAGUUUUGCUUGCGCUAUCCACUCCUGUUUAGAGAGAAAUUGGUCAAAAGGCGGAUCAUAGAAAGGCAAACAAAUGGUAUGUCCGGACUCGGAGCUACUUACUUGUGUAUCCGGGUGAUUGCAGCUUAGGCCAGCAUCCUCGGUCAAUUCCGGACACGCCUCUCGUGAUCCGAAGAAUAAUUUGUACAUCUCCACAGGUGUCAUACCCAUGAAGUGUUGAAGAAUCCGUGGUCCCUCCGGAUUAAACUCCCACAGCCGGAGAGGGCGGCGUUUGCAGGGCAGGAGACGCCUAAUCAGCAUAACCUGCACUACCACAACCAGAUCGAUCUCAGUUGCUUGGAGGUCUCAAAUCCGGCCCUGCAGUAGGGGCACGUCCUUUGACGACCCCCAGUUGAGCCCUUGGUUGACCCACGACAUCAACCGGCGUGGAGGUCCCGAGCGGAAUAAGGGCGGCAGCUUCUGCCUGUUGCCCUUCGGAGCGGUAAUAUAGAACCACUCCUGCUGCCACAAUCUGAGCUCCUCUUGGAAGGAGCCCUCAGGCCACGGGGCAUCGGCCCUCCUGCUCAUGGCCGCCCCGCCGCACUCUGCUUGACGCCCCUCAACCAUCUUCGGCUCCACAUUGAAAGUCUUCAGCCACAGGCCGAAGUGAGGGGUGACGCGGAGGAAGGCUUCGCGGACGACAAUAAAUGCGGAAAUAUGGAGGAUGGACUCCGGGGCCAAGUCGUGGAACUCCAACCCAUAGUAAAACAUUAGCCCUCUCACAAAAGGAUCCAUCGGGAAGCCUAAAUGCCGACGGAGGUGGGAUACGAAAACGACGUGCUCGCCGGGCUCGGGGGUGGGGAUGGCCUGCCCUUCGGCGGGCAACCUGUGCGAAAUCUCGUAAGACAGGUACUUGGCUUCUCGCAGCUUUAGCACGUCCUCCUCUGUGACGGAGGAGGGCAUCCACUGGCCCUGAAGGUCGGAGCCGGACAUUGUUGAAGGUCUGAAGCGCUCGAAUCUGGGGCUCUGGGUGUUGGAACUUGGAGCAAGGAGAAGAUUCGAUGGAGGAUUGAAGAAAAGAAACGAUCCUUGGUCCUAUUAUAAAGAGGGAGAAUACCAAGAGCCAUCUCCGUGACCGUUCGGGACUCGCCUUCGAUAGAGGGGGCGUGGCGACGGGCGUGGUUGGGUUACCCAUGUCUAUAUUGAUGAGGAUCCCGGAAUAAGGGGAAACACGAUCUCUGCUUUGACAAGACGUGCCAAGGAAACCGCUUCGCUAAAUGCGCUGAGGUGGUAUAAUAAAAAACGAUUCAAGUAAAGGCUUGGUAGUGGUGUGAUGUCAUGCCACAAAAUACGUCAGCAGAUUGAACUUGUGCACAUAUUAUUCUCUCUACGGUGGAAUGUGGAAUUUAUUUUUGCAGAGCCGAACACUAUCCUGGUGUUCACAAUCUUCUAUGAAUUAUUCGGAGGAGGAACCCGCCUUGCAAUGCCGAACAAUAUGCGCGCCGGACUCAUCGUCAUUGAAGCCUGGUUCAGGGGCUACUGAGGGAGUCCUGGACUAGGGGGUGUCCGGACAGCCGGACUAUCAUCGUCGGCCGGACUCCAAGAUUAUGAAGAUACAAGAUUGAAGACUUCAUCCCAUGUCCGGAUGGGACUUUCCUUGGCGUGGAAGGCAAGCUUGGCGAUACGGAUAUGUAGAUCUCCUACCAUUGUAACCGACUCUGUGUAACCCUAGCCCUCUCCGGUGUCUAUAUAAACCGGAGGGUUUUAGUCCGUAGGACGAACAACCAUUACAACAAUCAUACCAUAGGCUAGCUUCUAGGGUUUAGCCUCCUUGAUCUCGUGGUAGAUCCACUCUUGUAAUACACAUCAUCAAUAUUAAUCAAGCAGGACGUAGGGUUUUACCUCCAUCAAGAGGGCCUGAACCUGGGUAAAAACAUCGUGUCCCUUGUCUCCUGUUACCAUCCGCCUAGAUGCACAGUUCGGGACCCCCUACCCGAGAUCCACCGGUUUUGACACCGACAGAGACCAUCCACUUGCCCUGACCUCCAGAUCUGGACAUGGUUGAGUGUUAGAUCGAGUGGAAAGGAGAUGAGAACUUGGGCUCUGGAGCUCGAGAUUGGAAGGGGGGAUAUAGAGAAGGCGUGGGGGAGGAAGAGGGAGUCCUUAUCCCCUUAUAAAGGCAGUAAAUAUUGAGCGCCUACCCACUCGCCUUAGAAUUCACCUAUUCCCAAGGCCUGUGUAAAUGGCACGGUUGGGUUACCCAUGCCCGCAUUGAUGAGAAUCCUAUGAUAAGGGGACACGAUCUCUGCUUUGACAGGACGUGCCAAUGGCAACCGCGUCUCGGGAUGUGGAGCGUCGGGCAUGCAACAGUCCAGAAUUAUGACCAUCGGACGUGAUGUCAUGCUACAAAAAUUUGUCAGCGGAUUAGACUCGUGUAAAAUUAUAUUCUCUCUGUGGUUGUGUAUGGUGUGUGUGACAGGUCCGGAUACUAUCAUCGUGUCCGAAGACUAUCUUGGUGUACGGAAAAAGGGAACCCACCUUGCAAUGCCAAAGACAAUCUGCGCACCGUACUCCUCGUCAUUGAAGCCAGGUUCAGGGGCUGCUAAGGGAGUCCUGCACUAAGGGGUCCUCGGGCGUCCGGCCUAUUAUCAACGGGCCGGAUUGAUGGGCUGUGAAGACAUGAAGGCCGAAGACUGCACCCGUGUCCGGAUUGGACUCUCCUUGGCGUGGAAGUCAAGCUUCGCGACCAACUAUGAAGAUUCCUUCUUAUGUAACCGACUCUAUGUAAUCCUAGAUCCCCCCGUGUCUAUAUAAACCGGAGGGUAUAGUCCGGAAAGGAUACUCAUUACCAUAUUCAUACAUGCUAGACUUCUAGGGUUUAGCCAUUACGAUCUCGUGGUAGAUCAACUCUUGUAAUACUCAUAUUCAUCAAGAUCAAUCAAGCAGGAAGUAGGGUAUUACCUCCAUAGAGAGGGUCCAAACCUGGGUAAACAUUGUGUCCCCCAUCUCCUGUAACCAUCGACCUUAGACACAUAGUUCGGAACCCCCUACCUGAGAUCCGCCGGUUUUGACACCAACAGCCGCCGGGCAGGCGGGACCGCGUGGAGUCAUCGCCACGCAUUGCUCCAAGUAGGGGGCGCAGGGUCGGCGUCGGAGCCGAAGGUACCUGAAAAAAGGGAACACCGUCUCGACAAAAUACAUGUGCCUCGAGGUGUACACAUGAUGAGUGACAGGAUCAUAGCACCGCUAACCUUUGGUGCAAGAGGGAUAGCCGAGGAAGACGCAUGGGAGUGAACGUGGUGCGAGUUUGUGUGGAGUGGUGGACGCGGUGCUAGGAUAGCAAAGACAUCCAAAAUGCGAAGACCGUCAUAGGACAGCGGUGUACCGAAGAGAAGGUGGUGGGGGCGUAGUUCCACCGAGGACGACACAGACGGAUGUUAACUAUAGGGUGGCAGUGGCGAGGGCAUCAGGCCAAAACAAAGCAGCCACGUUCGAGUGAAAGAGUAACAUGCGAACACAGUCAUUAAGAGUGCGAAGAAUACACUCAGCUCAGCCGUUCUGUUGUGAGGUGUAUGGGCAAGUUAGACGGAAGAUCGUGUCAUGAGAGGCGAGAAGGGUGCGGAGAGCGACGUUGUCAAACUCUUUUCCGUUAUCGGUUUGGAGUGCAAGAAUGGGGCGACCGAACUGAAGGAAAUAUGCCCUAGAGGCAACAAUAAAGUUAUUAUUUAUUUCCUUAUAUCAUGAUAAAUGUUUAUUAUUCAUGCUAAAAUUGUAUUAACCGGAAACUUAGUACAUGUGUGAAUACAUAGACAAACAGAGUAUCCCUAGUAUGCCUCUACUUGACUAGCUCGUUAACCAAAGAUGGUUAAGUUUCCUAGCCAUAGACAUGAGUUGUCAUUUGAUGAACUGUAUCACAUCAUUAGAGAAUGAUGUGAUGGACAAGACCCAUCCGUUAGCUUAGCACUAUGAUCGUUUAGUUUAUUGCUAUUGCUUUCUUCAUGACUUAUACAUGUUCUUAUGACUAUGAGAUUAUGCAACUCCCGAAUACCGGAGGAACAUUUAGUGUGCUAUCAAACGUCACAAUGUAACUGGGUGAUUAUAAAGAUGCUCUACAGGUGUCUCCGAUGGUGUUUGUUGAGUUGGCAUUGAUCGAUCGAGAUUGGGAUUUGUCACUCCGUGUAUCGGAGAGGUAUCUCUGGGCCCUCUCGGUAAUGCACAUCACUAUAAGCCUUGCAAGCAAUGUGACUAAUGAGUUAGUUGCAGGAUGGUGCAUUACGGAACGAGUAAAGAGACUUGCUGAAAGUGCAACUAUCCCUAGGUGGUUUUGGUAAUUCAUAACAACAUAUAGCUCAUUGAGCUAAUGCUAUUCCAAGACAAAUAUUUUAGGAAAGCUCAAUGAAUGGCAUGGCAUGGAUGAUGAAAGUGGAUCCCUCAAAAUACGAAGGACAAAGGAUUGGCUCAAGCUCAAAAGCUCAAGACUCUUCAUUUUACUUUUUAGUGAUCCAAGAUCACAUUGAGUCUAUAGGAAAAGCCAAUACUAUCAAGGAGGUAUGAGGUGUUGCUUAAUGAGCCUCUUGCUUCAUGUGCUUAGUGAUAUGCUCCAAAUACCCUCAACUACUUUCUCACAUCCACAUAUGACCUAAACCCAAAGUCAAAAUCGGUCCCACCGAUUCUUUCUACCCGGCGCCACCGAGUUCAAAUGUCAUAGCCACUGCCACAAACCCUAGGCAAAUCGGACUUACCGAUAGGGAUCUCGGUCUCACCGAGAUGGGGUUGUGAUCUCUCUGUUUCCCUUCGUAACGUUUCGGUCUAACCGAAGUGAGUGAUCGGUCCCACCGAGAUUGCAAUGUAAACUCUCUAUUUCCUUUUCGUAACAUUUCAGUCUCACCGAAAUGAGCAAAUCGGUCCCACUGAGUUUACCUGACCAAAUCUCUGGAAAGCUUAUUACCAAAAUCGGUCUCACCGAGUUUGUGUAAUCGGUCUUUCCAAGAUUACGUUAUGCCCUAACCCUAACCAUAUCGGUCCUACCGAGUUGCAUGUCAGUCCCACCGAAAACCCUAACGGUCACUAGGUUUACUAAAUCGGUCCGACCAAGUCUGUUGAAUUGGUCCCACCGAGUUUGGUAAAUUGUGUGUAAUGGUUAGAUUUUGUGUGGAGGCUAUAUAUACCCCUCCACCUUCUCUUCAUUCGUGGAGAGAGACAUCAGAACAAACCUACACUUCCAACUUACCAUUUUUGAGAGAGAACCACCUACUCAUGUGUUGAGGCCAAGAUAUUCCAUUCCUAUCAUAUGAAUCUUGAUCUCUAGCCUUCCCUAAGUUGCUUUCCACUCAAACCUUCUUUCCACCAGAUCCAAAUCCUAUGAGAGAGAGUUGAGUGUUGGGGAGACUAUCAUUUGAAGCACAAGAGCAAGGAGUUCAUCAUCAACGCACCAUUUGUUACUUCUUGGAGAGUGGUGUCUCCUAGAUUGGCUAUGUGUCACUUGGGAGCCUCUGACAAGAUUGUGGAGUUGAACCAAGGAGUUUGUAAGGGCAAGAAGAUCGCCUACUUCGUGAAGAUCUACCGCUAGUGAGGCAAGUCCUUCGUGGGCGAUGGCCAUGGUGGGAUAGACAAGGUUGCUUCUUCGUGGACCCUUCGUGGGUGGAGUCCUCCGUGGACUCGCGCAACUGUUACCCUUCGUGGGUUGAAGUCUCCAUCAACGUGGAUGCACGAUAGCACCACCUAUCGGAAGCACGCCAAAAACAUUCGUGUCUCCAAUUGCGUUUGAAUCCUCCAAACCCUUCACUUUACUUUCUUGCAAGUUGCAUGCUUUAAUUUCCGCUGCUCAUAUACUCUUUGCAUGCUUGCUUGAAUUGUGUGAUGAUUGCUUGACUUGUCCAAAGAUAGCUAAAAUCUGCCAAACUCUAAAAUUGGGAAAAGGUUAAGUUUUUAAUUGGUCAAGUAGUCUAAUCACCCCCCUCUAGACAUACUUCAAGGUCCUACAAGUGGUAUCAGAGCUUCUGUCUCCAUUUGCUUUGAUUUCCAUAGCUUUUGGUGGUUAUAGUCUUGGUUUCACAACAUAGGAGAGUAUGGCAUCUAGUGAGGGAAAUUAUCACCGUAGAGGUCCUUACUUUGAUGGUACUAAUUUUGCUAGUUGGAAGCAUAAGAUGAAAAUGCAUAUUCUUGGACAUAACGCCGCCGUUUGGGCUAUUGUGUGUAUUGGCUUGCAAGGUCAAUUCUUUGAUGGGAGAGAGCCAAACCGUGAAGCUAGCGCGGAAGAAUUGAAGAUGCUGCAAUACAACGCUCAAGCUUGUGAUAUCCUCUUCAACGGAUUGUGCCCCGAGGAAUUCAAAAAAAUCAGCCGUCUUGAGAAUGCAAAGGAAAUUUGGGAUACGUUGAUUGAUAUGCAUGAAGGUACCGACUCCGUCAAGGAAUCCAAGUUGGAUGUGCUCCAAAGUCAGCUUGACAAGUUCAAAAUGAAGGAUGGUGAAGGUGUCGCUGAAAUGUACUCUAGGCUUGCUCUUGUCACAAAUGAGAUUGCCGGCUUAGGAAGUGAAGAGAUGACCGACAGAUUUAUCAUCAAGAAGAUCCUAAGAGCAUUGGAUGGAAAGUAUGAUACCGUGUGCACAUUGAUCCAAAUGAUGCCAAACUACAAAGAUCUCAAGCCAACAGAAGUCAUUGGAAGAAUUGUUGCUCAUGAGAUGUCACUCAAGGAUAAGGAGGAACUUCACAACAAGUCAAGUGGUGCUUACAAAGCCUCAUGUGAAGCCCCUACAUCAUCAAGUAAGAAACAAACCUUCAAUGAAGAAUUGAGCUUAAUGGUGAAGAACUUCAACAAAUGACAAAAGAUCUUCUAGUCAAGAGCGCAAUUGCUACAAUUGUGGGAGACCGGGACACUACUCCAAUGAGUGUACGACACCCUACAAAAUAAGAGAAGAUUCUCCAAGAAGAAGAAGCAAAAGAGAAGAAUCACCACCAAGAGAGAGGAGGAGUAGAGAUGAUCGUUAUGAACGAAGACCCUAACGGAGAAGCAAGGAUUUGGAAAGGAAGGACAAGUCAUCAAGGAGCUACACAAAACGAAGACAUCAAGCUCAUGCUGGUGAAUGGGUAUCCGGCUCCGACUCUGAUAAUCACUCUGAGAGAAGCUAUCACUCCGACUCCGAAUAUACUCAAGAUGAAGGUGUUGUCGGUCUAGCACUUGUGUCAACCAACUCCUAUGACAUAUUUGACUCACCAAAUGAAGGAAUUGGAAGAUGCUUCAUGGCCAAAGGUCCAAAGGUAACACAUCCCGAGUAUGUUGAUUUCAAUAGUGAUGAAGAUGACUUGCUAGGUGAUGACGAUUUACUUGUUGACAACUCUAGUGAUGAAUACUAUGAUGAAACGUCAAUUAAUCAUGCUAAUGAAGAUAAAACGAAUGACAAUGAUAAGGAGAAGAUUGAGCUUCUAACUAAAGAACUAAACACUCUUAAGUUAGCUCAUGAAACUAUCUUCGAAGAUCAUCGAGAACUUUUAAGAGCUCAUGAGAAGUUACGCUUUGAAAAGCUCAAUCUUGAGCAAGAGCAUGAGUUCUUAAAAGCAAUCAAUGAUGAUCUCCGUAAGAAAAGUUCUUCUUACAUUGCCAAGCGUUUACUCUUAUCCACUUACAUGCCUCAACUCAAGUCUAGUAACAAGUACAAGAAAGAUCCUUCCUCUAGUAGUAACAAUAAUAAUGCCAAAUCCAAUAUUGUUGCUUCUAGUAGUUCUCUUGAUUUCACUAAUGAUUCUCUUAGCCAAGUUACACUUGAGCAAGAAAAUAGCUUAUUGAAGGGAAUUAUAGAGAAAGGUGUUUACAAGAGCCUUGCCGGGAGUAAGCAAUUUGAGGAAAUUGUACGUAAGCAAGGAAGGCACCGGAAGAAUCAAGGUGUUGGUUUUGAACGAAAGUUCAAUGCCAAUGGAGUUGAGUGGGAAGAAGAUCAAUACCCCAAGACGAAGUUUGUUCCUCAACAAGAGAAGUAUGAUCCUACUUCCUUCAAGGGAACAAAAGCACAAGAUGAUCUUCCACCACAAGACCACAAGAACAAAGGCAAGGACAAGCUUCAAGAGGAGAUUGAUGCAUUUGAAGAAGCACCUAAGGCCUCGGUCAAGUGGGUUCCCAAGACUACGUCAAGUUCUACUUCAUCAAGUACAACUACAACUCCAAGGAUUCCCAUCAAGAUGAUGUGGAUCCCGAAGAAGAAGAACUAGAGAGUUCUUGAGGGUGACUCCGCCAACAUUCUUCACUCAUAUCAUUAUGGCAAGGACAAGUGAAAUCAACUUCCACAUCUUGCACUAGUUCAAGGAGUCACAAACCCUCAUGUUGGUAAGGCAAGGGACAAGGUAACCUAAUGAUUUCAUGGACAUCAUCUUGUGUGUGCAUCACUCUAUGUCUAUGGAUAUUCUUGUUUGUUCCUUGUGGGACUAACCCAUGUAGGUAUGUUGAAAAUGCAACUCACUCCAAAGGAUUGCUCCAAAUGAUUUACAUCAACAUUGAGCACCCACAUCUUCAACACCUACAUGAAGUCAUCAUCGACAAAACCCAAGGUUAGUUCAUCCCUCUAAAAGGGGAUCUCACAUCUAGGGGGAGCUUAACUCUAAGAAUUGAGUCAAAGCAACUCUAAUGGUGUGAACACAUUAAUGCAUUAUGUAAAAGUGGUAACCCCAUUUGAGCUUAAACGAUUAGUAUGACCUAUGAUCAAAUGUUCUCAUUUGAUUCCUAAGUCAAUAUACUCAUAUAUAGAUGACCUAGUCAUCGCCAAUUGUUUGAUAGAUGCUAGUAUUGGUUGUGCAUGCUUUGCCACAUAUUUCAUUUGCCAUCUUAUUGUGUGAGCAUGUUGGUUGCAUAUUUUACUCAUUCGAGGACAUCCACUUGUUGCUUUGAUUGUUUGGGUUCUUUUUCUUUUUGCCAAGUGGAUGGACAAGAAUGCCUAAGAACCUUCUCUAGCUAUCUAUGCUUUUCUCGUCUCAAACUCUAUUCAUGCUACAUCACAAAAUUUGAUCAAGUCAGAUUCGAACCACUCUGUGUGAGGAGCACUCGGAGUCCCCGAUUCGUCAUAGACUUAAGCUUCCAAAACCUCUUUGUGAUUCUCGGUCUGACCGAUUCCUCCAUUUUGGUCCUACCGAGAUCACUAAGUCGAUCUAGGUUUUCAAUCUCGGUGCAACCAAUUUGAACUUUUCGGUCACACUGAGUUGCAGUAACUGUAUACAGUUAUGCAUCUCGAUGCCAUCGAGUUGUUCCACUCGGUCACACCAACAGGGUCGGGCUAUAUAUACUCACGGGCAAAAAUUUGGAAAUUUCUCCGAACCUCUUUGCCCGCGCAAUAGCUCGCUCUGCCUCUAGGGUCUCCAGAUCAUCUCCUCGUCGCCAGCCGCCUCCUGUCGCUAGUCUCCGCCGCCGUCAACGGAUUUUGCCCCCGUCGUUGCCGUCGUAGCGAGUUCAUCGCCAAGCUAGGGUAUGGACUCGAUCACAGUGCUAUCCUCGUCCAAUUCCUAGCACAUUGUGUUCAUCAUGAUUCUUGCCACGAUUGAGACAUUCCUAUCCAGUCAAUACAAUCCUUAGAUUAGAUGGGAUUUGAAAAUUUAGGGUUAGGUUUCCGCCGAAACCAUCUCGGACCCACCGAGUUGAAAGACUCGGUCCCACCGAUUUGGCUAACGCCAUUGCACUAGUAACUCUCAGUCUGACCGAGAAAUGCUAAUCGGUGUGACCGAUUUGAAGACUUUGUGAAACCCUAGCAGUCUUGGUGCCACCGAACUGUGACUCGGUCCGACCGAGUUCACCAGUUUAGGUUCCAAAACUGCUUCAGUAUCACCGAGUUUGAAAAUCGGUUGAUCCGAAAUGCUUUCCGUGGAAAAAUAAAACUGAAUUUUUGAAUCAUUCUUUUGCAAAAAUCUCUGCAUUUUGUGAUGCUCAUCCAUUCUAUCUCAUCUAUAACUAUUCACAGGGUCAGCAGUCAGUGAUUUUCAGCAUGUCAGACCAAAGUGAUAGUCAGAACAUGUCAGAAGAGCACAAUCACAUGAGUGAGGGCACUAGUCCCUCUAGCACCUCAGAUGAUGGCAGCAGAAGCACCCCAAGCAAUCUGCCUAAAGCUGCCACUAGGACAAGGAAGAAGAGAACUUCAGAAUCUAAAGAUGAGGAUUACUUGGCAGAAGAAGAUGAGGCUACCUCCAAGAAGGUAGUGCUCAAAAAGGAAUAUGCCUCAGCAAAGAACACAAAGCCUGGACUUAAUAGGAAGCUUCCUGCCAAGAGGACACCUAUGCUGAAGGUCAGAGGAUCAACUCAAGUGCCUGAAAAGUCUGAACCCAAAGAGGCACCUGCAAGAAGAGUCACAACCUCCAAACCCAAGAAAGUUCCCACUAGAGAAACCAUGAAGUUUACCAUAGAAUCAGAAGAUGAAGCUGCUGGACAAGAUAAGAAGAAGAAGAGAGCCAAAACCACUACUGCCCAAGUUCUUGGAAAUCCCUCUAUGAGGAGAGACUCUGAAGAGGAAGAAGAGGCUGCUGCACCAGCACCCAAGGCACAAAAGCUAAUGGGUGAUGCUAUUAAGUAGGGGCUGCAACAUCAAAGCCCAAGGAAGCACCCAAAGCUGCCCUAGACCAAAGAUUGCACCAAAGAGGAAUACUAGGAGUAUUCCAGCUGCUGAGAAGAACAAGGCCCCAGUGCCUGAAGUUGCUGAUGAGGCAGAUGAAGAAGGACAAGUCCUGAGGAAGCUCAAACCCAAUAUUCUAGACAACAAUGAUGCUCAUCCUGUGGCUGAGAACAUGAAAAUCAAGAGAGAUUCAGGGUUGAGGCUAUGGAGAGAGUCUGAUCCAUAUGCUACCGGGAGAAGAACUGCUGUUGAUUACAGGUUCCACACUAAGGAACAGCAGGACUUCUAUGAGACAGUGCUGUUGGACAAGAAGUCCAUAGUUUGUGAUAUGAGGUGGGUCGACUGGACCUACAUGAAGGACAAUGAGGAACACUAUCCAGGAGUGCAAGACAGUUUUGUUGCUUGUGGAGUUGCAGACUUUGUUGGGCAGAAGCUCACAAAGUGGAAUGAUGAGAUCAUUAUGCAAUUCUACUCCACAACACACUUCUAUCCAAAUGGCAGGAUAGUUUGGAUGUCUGAAGGUACAAGGUACCAGUCAACAAUUGAGGAAUGGGCUAGUCUGAUCAAUGCCCCAAAGGAAAGUGAAGAUGACUUGGAUGUUUAUGCCAAGAAGAAAAUGGACCACAAUUCCAUGGCUCACAUGUACAAGGAGAUCCCAAACAAAGCUCUUGAGACUUUCAAGUUUGGGUCAGUCCACUUUCUUCUGUCAGGGCUGCCAACAAUCAACUGGAUCCUAAGGCACACUUUGUUGCCCAAGUCAGGUGACCACAACAUGAUUAGAGGGCAUGCUAUCAACUUGCUGCACUUGUUUGAUGUGCCACAAAAAUUCAAGGUCAUGAGCCUUAUUGUUGAGACCAUUAAGAGGACAGCAGCAGAUCAGAAGAGGAGUUGUGGGUAUGCCCCACAGAUUCAGGAGUUGAUUAACUCAAAGAUGGGCACAGGAACUUACUUGCUGGAUAAGGAACAUUUUGCUAUCUAUCCAGACUUUGAGGACAAUCAGGUUGUCAUGAAUGAGAAUGAACCUUCAUCAGUGCAAGCUCAAGAGGAGAAGGAGAAGGCAAAGAGAGAGAAGGCUGCCAAGAUGCCAACUCAAGAGGAGGCAUCUGAAUACUUCUUGAAGAAUAAGCAGGAACAACUUGGUUACUUGAUAGCAUCCACACUAAGGAUUAAGAAGGGGUUGGACACCCUAACUCAAAACCAGGAGAGCCUGGAAAGGAUCAUGGAACAAAAAUUCUAUGAUCUAGAUAUCAAAGUAACUGAGAUUCAGUCAGUUGUGGAGCAGCUUCAGGAUGACAUGCAGAAGAGGAAGGGCAAGACAACCACUGAUGCAUUUGCCAGAGUGCCUAGAGCUCAUAGGUCAGCUGCAGUGCCUGUGACAGACUCCAGAGCCACAUCAUCUGCACCAGCUACAGCUCCUACAGCUCCAGUGCAACCAACUCCAGCACCAACUCCUUCAACUCCAUCCACUUCAACUGAAGCCUUCGUCUAAGGAGCCAUCUCUACACCACCACCUGAAGAUCAAGCCUGAGAGUCGAUCUAGUACUAUGCAUUUUCUAUGAACUUUUUGGUAACUUGUUGCCAAAGGGGGAGAAAAAUGUAUAGAUCAUAGGAUUUGAGACAGAGUGUGUUGCUUUUGUUCUCUCUUGCUUUGGUGGUUAAACUUUGUUUGCUUUUGAUUGCUUGAGAUACUAUGCUAUUAUCUGUGAGACAUUGAUGAUCAUGUGUUUGAUCAUAAGCUACACUUAUGCAUGUUUGAUGAUAUUAUCUUACCUAUCCUUAUGUGAUCAUUCACUUUGCUUGGUGAUGAGUGCAUGUAUUCUAUCUUUAUCAUUUUGAGCGCUCCACCAAGAUGUAUGUGACAUGAAAGAGUAACCCAUGAGCCUAAUUCCUUGUGCAUUUGCAGUCCAAAGCAAAUUUUAAACUAUGCACAAAUUUAGGGGGAGCUCUUGCUUAUCACAUACUUCUCAAAGCGACGAUGUUGUUCAAUCUUAUUAUCAUUUGUCGAAGCUUUGAUCUAUAUGUUGUCAUCAAUUACCAAAAAGGGGGAGAUUGAAAGUGCAACUAUCCCUAGGUGGUUUUGGUAAUUCAUAACAACAUAUAGCUCAUUGAGAUAAUGCUAUUCCAAGACUAUUAUUUCAGGAAAGCUCAAUUAAUGGCAUGUCAUGGAUGAUGAAAGUGGAUCCCUCAAAAUACUAAGGACAAAGGAUUGGCUCAAGCUCAAAAUCUCAAGACUCUUCAUUUUAUAUUUUAGUGAUCCAAGAUCACAUUGAGUCUAUAGGAAAAGCCAAUACUAUCAAGAAGGGAUGAGGUGUUGCUUAAUGAGCAUCUUGCUUCAUGUGCUUAGUGAGAUGCUCCAAAUACCCUCAACUACUUUCCCACAUCCACAUAUGACCUAAACCAAAAGUCAAACUCGGCCCCACCGAUUCUUUCUAUCCGGCGCCACCAAGUUCAAAUGUCAUAGCCACUACCACAAACCCUAGGCAAAUCGGUCUUAACGAUAGGGAUCUCGAUCUCACCGAGAUGGGAUUGUAAUCUCUCUGUUUCCCUUUGUAACGUUUCGGUCAAACCGAAGUGACCGGUCGGUCCCACCGAGAUUGCAAUGUAAACUCCCUGUUCCCUUUCAUAACAUUUCGGUCUCACCAAAAUGAGCGAAUCGGUCCCACCGAGUUUACCUGACCAACUCUCUGGAAAGCUUAUUACCAAAAUCGGUCUCACCGAGUUUGUGUAAUUGGUCUUACCGAGAUUACGUUAUGCCCUAACCCUAACCAUAUCGGUCCUACCGAGUUGCAUGUCAGUCCCACCGAAAAGCCUAACGGUCACUAGGUUUACUAAAUCGGUCUGACCGAUUUUGUUGAUUCGGUCCCACUGAGUUUGGUAAAUUUUGUGUAAUGGUUAGAUUUUGUGUGGAGGAUAUAUAUACCCCUCCACCUCCUCUUCAUUCGUGGAGAGAGCCAUCAUAACAAACCUACACUUCCAACUUACCAUUUUUGAGAGAGAACCACCUACUCAUGUGUUGAGGCCAAGAUAUUCCAUUCCUACCAUAUGAAUCUUGAUCUCUAGCCUUCCCCAGGUUGCUUUCCACUCAAAUCUUCUUUCCACCAGAUCCAAAUCCUAUGAGAGAGAGUUGAGUGUUGGGGAGACUAUCAUUUGAAGCACAAGAGUAAGGAGUUCAUCAUCAAUGCACCAUUUGUUACUUCUUGGAGAGUGGUGUCUCCUAGAUUGGCUAGGUGUCACUUGGGAGCCUCAGACAAGAUUGUGGAGUUGAACCAAAGAGUUUGUAAGGGCAAGGAGAUCGCCUACUUCAUGAAGAUCUACCGCUAGUGAGGCAAGUCCUUCAUGGGCGAUGACCAUGGUGGGAUAGAUAAGGUUGCUUCUUCGUGGACCCUUCGUGGGUGGAGCCCUCCAUGGACUCGCGCAACCGUUACCCUUCGUGGGUUGAAGUCUCCAUCAACGUGGAUGUACGAUAGCACCACCUAUCGGAACCACGACAAAAACAUCCGUGUCUCCAAUUGCGUUUGAAUCCUCGAAACCCUUCCCUUUACUUUCUUGCAAGUUGCAUGCUUUAAUUUCCGCUGCUCAUAUACUCUUUGCAUGAUUGCUUGACUUGUCCAAAGAUAGCUAAAAUCUACCAAACUCUAAAAUUGGGAAAAGGUUAAGUUUUUAAUUGGUUAAGUAACCUACUUCAAGGUCCUACAACUGCACAAAUCACUUUUUUCUUAAGAGUGUUUUGUGCAGUUGUACUAAAAUGUCACACGGGCAACGUCUCUACAUUUAAGUGCGACUGCACAAAGGGAGAUUGGUUUCGCUCUAUCCUCCUCAUCCAACUCCGAGCCUAAUCUUCUGCAACUAGUUAGUCUUAAGAGAGACUGCAAAGGUGACCGGCUUCUAUUUGUAUGUUUAUUGUUUCAUCAGCAGUCCUCUAUUAUCGUAAUCACACUUAAUAUCUUUGGAACAGGGACGCUCAGCUCUUUUUUAGUGGAACUGCACAAAAUGAUCAGAAUGUUGCAUGCUCCAGACAACUACUUUUUUUCCCAACAUGCCUUGUUGAUUUAGACAGAGCUGGGGGGACGUUGCUGCCAAUGAAAGCAUGGAUCAAUUUUAAUUUAACACCUUCUCACAACUCUGUCUUCAGUUGUGAUGUAAUUAUUAGCUCUGAUCUGCUAAUAAUUGACAUGCAUUAGCAAGGAAGUUAGUUUUUUAUUGUUUCUGAAAGAGCAUCGAUGGCAAGACAAGCGAAACAAAAGCUGAAAGCUCACACCAUUGUACAAUUUCAUGUCGCUGGAAAAUUAUUUGUAUAGUACGUCAGUUAUGUAAACAAAUGAUGGAAGCUUGAUAGCAUUGCCAGAAGCCUCUUCAUCAUCCGGGUCCAUGUGCCAUGCACAAAAUUAUACUCCUUUGUUCCUAAAUAUUUGUCUUUUUACAAAUUUCAAAUGAGCAUAUUUUAGAGUGUAGAUUCACUCGUUUUGCUUCGUAUGUGUACUCCCUCCGUUCCUAAAUAUUAUAUUCGUCUUUCUAGAGAUUUCAGCAAGUGACUACAUACGGAGCAAAAUGAGUGAAUCUACACUCUAAAAUAUGUCUAUAUACAUCCGUAUGUGUCAGUCCAUUUGAAAUCUCUAAAAAGACAAAUAUUUGAGUAGUCACUCGUUGAAAUCUCUAGAAAGACAAAUACUCCGGAGUAUAUUUAAGAACCGAGGGGGUAGUGCACAACCGCAUGGGAGACUCAGCCCGGUCGUUGCGCCGCAUUAAUAGUGAGUAAUGAGCAGUCAAAUCAUAAGCCCCACCUUUUCCACUGUAAGUUGCUCUGAAGAAGCAACCAUGAAUACGCUCUUCUUUGAAUCUGCUCAUACUACUCCAUCCGUCACUGUUUAUACAACGCGCUUCAGAAAAAAGAAAAAAAAUCUGUGGGACCAAGGCGACUAGCGAUCGGCCUGAAAAAUAGCAUUGGUAGUUAUAGCACGGCGUCUAUUACUAGAGGGAAUAAUGCGUACACACAUGCAUGCAGUGCUUCCACCCCGGGUACACACAUGCAUGCACUUACUCCACUCCGUAGUAGUAAUACAGUACAUGGAGAGACAAUUGUGGACUUGAUUGCGGUUACCACGCCUUAAUUAAUUGAGCAUUAAACCAAACGCGUCUAAAGUCUCUCUGGUGGUGGAAAUGCAUUGAGAGAAAUGCAUCAUAAUGAAGCGCGCCCUGUAAACUGUGAUGGAGGGAGGAGUAGUAUGAAGGUGCAAAACCAAGUACGUGUAUGGCCAGUCGGUCCAUGCACCUCCUCUUGGCAUAUCACUGACAUGUGGGAUAGGAGUGUGAGCAAACCGAUCUCAAUUGACGGCAAAGAGCCAACCCGCCGUUCCUUGAGAGAGACGAGGAGCGAGAACACACAGACGGGCUCGCACGGAGGCCAAGAUAUAUUCGAGCAUGGUUGGUUGAUCGAUAUCAUUCAUUACAUGUUGGGCUGCCAUUUUCCGCCCUUCUUCGGAAUAAACGUGUACUUUAUCAGAGAUAAAAAAAUAAGAGUACAUACGCUCCACCAUGCGGUUCUAGUAGUAGUACUACUUGUACUACUGCGCUUGGAUCUUCGCCUCUUCGUGAAGUCGAACAAUGAUGGUACUACGCAUGUUGGGUACAAAAGUGUAUGCCUCUGACAAUCUGACACCGAAUGGACUGAUGCAUGUCCACCGAGGGUAGGUUGCAUUAGUCAAAAGGCGUAAGCGAGCUUCACCUUGUCCUGCAAGCUUCUCCUCGUUCUGCGAGUUGACGGGACACACCAAAAAGUAGUGCUAGUCCAUACUCCCUCCUUUCCGGUUAAUAUGGCUUAAUCUUUUUUGUGGGUAAAUGAGAGAGCUUUAUUCAUAUAUAAGCAUUCUUAGGAUGAUCAGCCAAGACACUAGUCACUAGAAAGCGAGGUACCCCGCAAAAAAAUAAGUAGGAAGUGAGGUGUUUCAUCAAGCCAGCUCUCGACCACAUUCAAAGUGCAGCAAGCACGGUUCGCACGAAGAUGCGCCGCAAGGUUUGCUAACCUAUUUACAUGCUGAAUAACAAAAAAAGAGGAAAUAUUACCGAGCGCUACUAUUUGUAACAGGAUAUGAGCCAGAAUUAAGCAAGAAUUGUGGCGAGUGUUCCAUGCAAUCAACUUCCAUUAUCACAUGCGAGAACCCUCGAAGAGAACCAAAUGUGUUGAAGAUUGCUUUAUCACAUUUUAAAAUUAUAAUAAAAGUGCAGACGCUCCUCCAUCCAGUUCCUAGUACUAGUAUAGUACGUACCUUUAUAGACUAUAGUAGUAGUACUAGUAAACUUUGCGCUUGGCUGUUCGCCUAUUCAGGAAGUCGAACAAUAAUAGCACUAGUAGUAUAGUGUAUGCUUCUGGCAAUCUGACAGCGGAUUAACUGUUGCACGUCCACCGCCUGAGCGAGGGAGAGCUUGCCUUAGUCAAAAGUUUCUCCUUGUCCUGCGAGCCACCACGCGCAAGCUUCUCCCGUCCUGCAACCUUCUCCUCGUUCGGCAAGUUGACGGGACACAGCAAAGUAAUGCUAGUCCAUACUGCCUCCUCUCCGGUUAAUAUGGCUUAAUUUCAAACGAGAUAAAUACACUGUCUGUCACUGUAUAUUUGUAAAAAUAUGGUCAGUGGACUUUAUAAUACGCUCAUUGCACUCAAUAUAUAUAUUUUCCGGUGUUUAUACGGUCACUAGCUCACUCUGACUGAGUAUGUGUGUGCAUGCACGUGUAGGUUGAGCACUUGAGUGUGACCGUGUGUGUUCUGUCGUGUGCUCGGACAUGCAUGCAUUAGGGCGUUGCGCGCGUUUUUGUGUCCAUGUGUACGUGUGACUGUUGCAUACACGUAGGGGGAGUACGUGUAGGGGCCACUAAGGAGCAGUCAAAUCCCACAGUAAGUUAGUCGGAAGAAGCAACCAUCAUUUCACUCUUGAAUGACACGUACGCAAUAUAAAAUGGUUGAUAUUGAGAGAAAAAGAAAACCACUAUAUAUACACUAGUAGGAGCCUAAGCUACAAGCCUCCUUGCUUAGGUUGCUCUCUUCACAAGCAUAGAACGACGGGCCUGAUCCCGCAGCUGGGGGAAGGGAACAAUGUUCUGCAUAGACGCGGUCGACAUUGGCGAGGGAGAAAACACACAGUUGGUGCGUCCCAAUCGGGGGUCACCGUGGUAUGGGCCGAUGCCGCGUCCCAACCGCCCUUCUAGCUAUAGCCCGAUGUCCCAGGUAGUCCAUCUUCCUUUUGGAGCCAGCAUGCUCCACUGCCGUAGCUCCAUCUCCAUGUCGAUCUUCCUCUACUUCUACCGGCUUCUACUUGUGAUGAGUUUAUGUCUCAUGAACUAGUGCCAGUACUAUUAUUCUAAUCACACUUCUUCAAUAUCUUUGCCAUCAGGGAUGCUCAGGUCGAUUUUAGUGGAACUGCACAAAAGCAUCGUAUGAUCUGAGGGUGCCAGCCAUCUUUCCUUCGACAGGUUCUACCUGGCCAGGAAAUUAGAUCAUGUUUAGGGUUCAGGGUUUAAGUCGUAGUGACCCCAUAAGUAGUUUUUCUUUCGUACACGCUCUCACAACUUUUUUCUUUAGUUGUGAAGUAAAUAUUGGCUAUGAUCUGUGAAUCAUUGAAAUGCAUCAGCAUGCGUGUUAGUUUUCCUUUGUAUUUGAUGGAAUGUUGUAACGGGGCAACCUUGGAAUAGGAAUGAAAAUGGAGUGGAAAGUUUCUGUUUUUCCGGAGAAAAAAUGGAAACGGAGAGAAACCAAUGUUUCGUUUAGUUGGAUCGCGCCAUCGAGCAAAACCAACGUUUAAAUCACGUCUGUCGUGUUCGUGUCUCACCCUCCUCCACGGCUCGACCCCACAUGGUCGCUCAGCAUGCCACUCACCGCAAACCGAGUAUACGAUAACUUUCCCGCCUGCUUGUCGAUGGAUCGCGCCAUGGAGUACUAGCACUACUGGAAGAGAUUGACAAGUUGGGGGAGGACAGCUAGUUGUAGCACGGACUCCCAAGAACUUUUUACAUGCAUGUUUUAGCCGGCUAUUGCGACCUUUGGACGCGGAGCAGCCGCGUGCACCUAGAAGCGGCACGGGCGACGCUCUCUCGACCGGUGUACCGCUUCAAUGCCGGCGCCAGUGAGAGGUCGCGUCCGCUCUGGCCGGGCAUGAAUGCGGCACUGACCGUUUUGGGCGGGAAGCACGAGUGGGUGAUGAAGAGGGUUUGGGUUGGUCAGGACCGGCCGUGGCAGCGGUCCGGACGUGCGCAAACAAGAGAUGAUGUAUGUUAAUAUUGCUUCGUAUAUAAUUAACAAUGUAAAUAAUGUGCUAGUUGGACAAAUAUGAUUGGAGAUGGAGAUGGAAAUGGAAUUUUACGUAAACACGGAUAUGCAUGUCUAUGUCUAUGUGUGUGUGCGCGACGACUCUCGCGACCUGGAAGCGGGGGCGUGUUUUUGAUCGAGUUUUCUUUCUUGGUACGUUAGAAAAUCAGUUUGUCUAAUUCACAUCUAGAUGUUAUUUAAGGAUAUCACAUCUAAGCUCCCACAAGUAUAUAAUGUAGCAACAAGAAACAAAAAAAACUAGGAAAAAAAUAGACCACAAAUAGAGUGGACAUCAACUUAGAUGUGACAUAACUAUGUCACAUCUAGAUGUGUCCUAGACAGACCCUUAAAAAAUUGUCCGUCAGUUUUCAUUUCUUUUUUCCGGGAACGCGCGUAUUCUAUUUAAAACCACUGCUAUGGAGAGAUUUUUUUACUCCAUUAUAGCCUCUUGUUUGAUAGAGUUUCUCGCGUCUCGCACUCUCACCCUCUCCAUAUCAAAACAAGAUGAUAGUGUCCACUCUAUCUCUCUCAUCACCGGUGGUCACAGAUCCGGCCGAGUCCCGUCCGCUGCAGGAGGUGAGGAGGUGCAGCGUUGACGUUGUCGCCGUCGGCGACGGAGGAAGCCGAUGCGCACCAUCCUCUCGGAGACGGCGCUAGCGCGGAUGAAGAUCGUCCGCGCCCUUGUUCGCUGCCGUCGUGUGGGCAGAUCCCGCCCGCCAGCCUAAACGACAUCUCGCCCACCUAAGGUAUAACUUCUUGUACUGGUCCAGCUUCCCAGGUCAUUGCGUGUGGGUUUUCUUCUAUGCGACUACUCCCCACCUCCCCAUGCAUAGUAGCUAGGGUUCGUCGGCUGGUCCAACAUCACCUACUGGUACUAUUAUAGAGUAAAUGCCACUCGAAAAGUUGUCCUGAUUUAUGCCUCGAUGGAGGUAUACAUGUUGUUUCGACAAAAAGUACAUGGUGGUUGUACGGUCAUUGUCCAUAUGGUGGUAGUACUAUCACUGGUUAAAUGAAGAAAUGCUUUUUUUCUCGGGUAUCCUGGUUUAGUUCCCAUCAAGAUAAUUAUGAUGCUUCUGUUUGUUGGUGUACUUUUCAUUAAUUCUUAUUGACAAUUGAGAUGUCGUUGCUAACCCUUUUUUAUAUUUUUGGAAACAGCGAUGCGUGUCUCCAUACCCGGGCAUGUCUUCCUCAAUUUUAGUGGAACUGCACAAAAUUGGAUGGCCAUUGUUGUUCUGCCUCACUGUCCUCUGCCACGUGGUUCUUCCUUCCUCGAGCUUGAUUACUGAGAAGAAACAGACCAUAGUGACGAUUUGUCGAACUUCAUAGGUGCCUCACCCAAACUUGAUGCCAAAUGGAUGAUGCAUCACCGCGAUGACCUAUCGAUGCUCAUGGUUGCGCCUCAUGGUUGCGUCGGCUGGUGAAGCUGAUCGAUUUUCAAUGAAAAACAAGUUGUCUUCCAUCAGUGCUCUUUGCUUGUUACGCACAAAGAUGAUAUCCUUCGUCAGUUCACCUUGGUUGCAUUGGAGACGCAGUCGUCUUUCGCGUUGGUGCAAUUUUAUCACACAAUUGGCUAUGAACCAAAUGUUUCCUCGAAGAAGGAUCGACGUUGGUACUAAGAGCACAAGUUUUGUAUUGAUUUCUAAGCCUUCUCACAACUUUGUCUCCAGCUCCCCUGUAAUUUUAUUUGUCCAGCUAUUAACUUUGAUUUAGAAAAUGGUGUGGACUAAAAACCCGGAUGGACAUAGUAGCCCUCCAUUUUUAUUUACUCCGCAUAUUAGAUUUGACUGAAGUCAAACUUUGUAAUAUUUUCAAACCUUUCCGAUAAUUGAAAUUAAAAUUCUUUAUUUGUACACACUCUCACACGUUUCCGAUAAUUUGGCGCAUGUGUGGUUGUUCACUUAAGGGAGGAUAGUGUACCACACGUGAAGGACAUGAAGUGCGACCAGGACGCGUGGGCGUGGAUCGUUAGUUCAUAGGAAGUAGUACUAGUUUUCUUCACUGUACAUUAAAUAAAGAGUUUCGUUUCGUACUUACACAAUUUAAAACGAUUGUUAUGGAGAGAAUAAGAAAACCACUCCACUAUAUAUUAGUCGUAUACACGAGAGUACUAUAUGGAUGCGGCUUCAUUGACUUAGUGCACCUGCCUUUGGAUUUAUGAUAGGUGGGCCCAAAAUGUGGCUGGCUCACUUGUCAUAAAGCCAAAAGCAGGUGCAGUGAAGGCACCGGAGCUCAGUCCGUACUACAGUAGUAUAUAUAUAAGCAGGAGCCUCAGCACUUGUUUGCUAGGGUUUGCACUCUCCACACGCUCGCUGCACUACAUAUAUGUUACACGCUGGAGGCUCGACGUUCAUUUGCUAGGGUUUGCUAUAUUCAUAGUCUCUCACCCUCUCUUCACCAGAUCUAAACAAGACUGCGUUGGCCUCUUGUCUCUCUCUCCCCCCUCACAGCUAGUGAAGGAGGCGUCUGUAUCCCGUCGCACCGGGAAGGGGAGGAGGUGCAGCGUUCACUCUAUCGCCUUCGGCGAGGGAGGCAAUCCACUGCCGGUUGCGUUGUUCUCUUUCACCCAGCGCCUGUGCGGGAGGGCCACCGACCCCUUCUUCCUCACUGUCGUACGUAGUGUGGGCAGAUCCGGCCUCCCAUCGCACGCCUUGCCACAUCCCAACGACCCUAAGGUAUAAGUUUCUUUGAAACCGUCGUUGCUCUAGCUGCAUGUGGAUCUUUUUCGAUCUGUAGUCGAAUCUAGGUCUUGGUUCAAAGAGGAAAGAAGGGUGCGGUGGGCUGGAGCAAGAAUCUAGGACGUGAUUCAAUGAGGAAAGGAGGGGCGGAAAGUAGUAUAGACUGGCUAUCCAGCCGCUUUGUAGGUCGAAAAGGGAAAAAGGGCGUAACCUAGUACACACAUCUGUAAGGAACCGAUCUCUUUGUUGAAAAGGGAAAGAAACUGGGGGGCCAGGUAGUUUGUGCAGGACUAUAUUUGCUGCCCUCACAUAGGAAGAAUGUUCAAAGAGAACAAAUAUGGGACCAGCGCAUAUAUGCUGCUUGGCAACAUACUCUGCAUCACCCAUUUAUAUGUGUGGACGCACAUGGUGCUGGCAUGUCCCAUACAACUAUUUUGCUAUUGUUAAUCUAAGAAUGCCGCCGGAAAAUUGAAGCAAUGCCACUAUUAAAAGUAAAUUACAUUUUUUAACGAAUGUUGUUUCAAGAGAAUGUCUCUGUUAAUAUGAAUCAAUGCAACCGUUUUAGAAAUGCUACUGUCCUACUUUGUUUUCCAUCCAAGAUAAGUUAGAUGCUUCUUUCUGUCACCGUUUGUUUCAUCCUCCUUUAUCGGCAAGUAAUUGUUUCUUUUUUGCCUCUGUUAAAACAGGGGUAUCGAUUCAACUUGUUGCUAUUGUGACAUUUUGCUUCGCUACUCGAAACACUUAUGUUUUAGGAGUGUUUUGUGCAGUUGAACUUGAAUGUCACACCGGUGACUUUGCUUAAUUUUGGUGGAACUGCACAAAAGGAGAUCGAGAUUUGUUUCCAGUCUUCGUGGCGAGUUGUUUCAAAUCUUGGUCUCAACCACAUGAUGUGCGGUGUGCUUUGAGAUGUUGUGCUACUUGUUUUGGUACUGUUUUAAAUAAAUGUUGAAUUGAAGCUAUUGUAUUGCUGUCUUUUCCCAUUAAGUAGUGAAAAAAAUGGGACCAACCCAGACAUGAUGCUUGUUGCUUUGUUACAACAAAUUCAGCAUCACCCCCUUUAUAAGCCAGUAAUUGAUGCCACUCUCAGAAUUAACUACUGAAUCUUAUUUCAAAACUGCAACACUUGUUAGGGAUUGGCGGGAUUGCCAUUUUUGUGGCCGCAUGUUUCAUCCUCCUUUAUUAGCCAGUAAUUGAUUCCUUUUUUGCCUCUGUUUAAACAUGGAUAUCUAUUCAACUUGUUGCUAUUGCGACAUUUUGCUUCACUACGCGAAACACUUUGCUUGAUUUCAGUGCAACUGCACAAAAUGAGAUUGGAUUUCCUAUUCGUGUUGGCAGAUUCGUAUGUGAUCUUGUGUGCGUCAUGACAGGUUGGUACUUGCCAUCAUCCACAUGAUCGUGCAAUGUGUUUUGAGAUCUUGUGCUACUUGUAUUGGUACUGUUUUAAGUAAAUGUUGAAUUGAAGCUAUUGUAUUGCUGUCUUUUCCCAUUAAGUAGUGAACAAAAAUGGUACCAACCCAGACAUUCUGCUUGUUGCUUUGUUACAACAAACUCUGCAUCACCCCCUUUAUAAGUAGAUGGAAGCGCAUACUGUUGUUGCACCCACUCUCCCCUGGAACUGUUUAUGCUUUUCGUUAAUCUAAUGCCGCUGGUAAAGUUAAGCAAUGCCACUCUCAGAAUUAAUUAACUACUGAAUAUUAGUUCAAAACUGCAACACUUGUUAGGAAUGGUACUAUCCUUCUUUGUAGUUCUUUCUACAUGUUUAACCAAGGUAUUGUUAAGAUAAUGUCUCUGUUAAAAUGAAUCCGUUGCAUUGUUUUACGAAUGGUACUUUUCUGCUUUGUCGUUCUUUAUACAUGUUGAAACAAGGCAUUGUUAAGAUAAUGUCUCGGUCAAUAUGAAUGAAUCACAUUGAUGGAGAAUUGCUACUCUCCUGCUUUGUUUCCCAUUAAGAUAAAGUAGAUCAGUAGAUGCUUUUCUUCUGGGAGUACAAGUCAUCAACCGUUAUUUCUCAGUAAUUGUUUCCCUUAUACCUAUUGUUGCUUACAUGGAUAUCAAAAUUAAAGCUCGGUUUUAUUCCGACUUUGAUUUUAGUUGAACUGCACAAAAGGAGCCAAUGUGUCCAAGGCAAACUGUUGCAUUACUGGGUCCAGUUGGUCGUUCCACUUUGCAGAAAGAAGCAGUCACUGUUUGCGCUACAUUACAGAAGGAAUGACCGAGAAGCUUUACAGAGUAUUAUUAGACACCGGUGACAUGACUAGUCUGCAGAGACCAUUGGCAAUUUAACAACACGUGGAGUGCCCUGGGCAAAAAGUGCCCAAACAAGUACAAGCUACGACAGGACUCCAUGAUCAUAGGCAUUACAUAUUUUGAAUGGGAAAAGCUUGUCAAAGUUUAAUCAUUGAUGUUAGUAAGAAGACGUUAGUUUAAUAUAUUGGAAUUGGAAAACCUUGUCAAAAUUUGCUCAUUGAUGUUAGCCAGAAGACAUGCAUUUGAUAUUUUUGAGUGGGACGCCCUUGCUGUGAGCAGCGUCGAGUGUUUUUUCCUAUUCCUGUGUUCAGUUUAGAAGUAAAUAGUUACUCUGCUGAGGUAUUCCUGUGUUAAGAGUUUGUUCUGAAUAUUGUCUAUGUAAUGCCAGGCCUUGUGUUUGAUUGCAAAGUUGAGCUUGGAAUGUUGUGGCAUGCGGCAUCACGAGCUGUUCACUGUGCCUCCUGAGAAUAAUGCUUCGUAUUGUUUUGCAUGUCGAUCUAAUGCCAGUGAUUUGCUUGUUAAGAAGAUCAUCCUCUUCUGUUGUUUCCGUGCUUAAGAAGUUCAUCAUCUGAUGUUUCAUUCAUAGCCUAUAUGACAAGUCGGGUAGGUUAGACGUGAAACCAUAUGAUCUUCCGACCAACUCAUGAUAUUAGGUCAUGAUUGGAUUGUCGUUUUCCAACCAAAACUGCUUGUAAAACUGAUGCUUGUAAAUUAAAACAGAUGGUCUCGGGCGAAGGCACUUGGUUGGUCGAUUUCGACUAGUAAAAUAUCGGAAGUACUUCACACACGAUAAAAAUGUUGAACGACACUCGUUACAAUUGCUAAUACAGCCGUUAGCUGCUGUUUCAGCCUUGCCCAUGGAUGGCAUGAUACGCACGUCGUGCAUGUAUCGUCUGGUAAUGUCGUCCAUAUAGCUAUGCUCAUAAAAUAUACACUGGUCUCUCAAAUUACACGUGUAACCCGCCGGUUUUACUUACAGACCUCGGGCCCUUAGUUUCAUUACGCCUGUAUUUUACGCGUGGUUUCCGAUGACGAGUAAAUUACACUUGUAUGUUAAUACAGGUUUGAAAUAAACCAGAGCUCCCAAGCGCGGCCUUACCGUUUCAUGUCGUCUCAGUUUCUCGAAGGUGCUCAUAGGUGUCCGAUGAUCCUGGCUUCCUGAAUGAGUAGCGGGCGCUAUAUUAGACCAUCCGUAGGGCCCGCGAGGCCCUCUCCGUUGUCCUUCGAGUUGUUGCACUCGCCGUGGCGCCGAGCAUUGUUAACAUCGUCAACGAACAUGAGGAUUCAGGAGAUGACUUUAUUUUGACUGGAUGACACUAGGGACCCACUAGGGCCAUAGCCGUACAUACGCAAGUGCCUCCUUAUUAUGUAUAAAUAUUUUUUUUUUGCUUUCUCCUAGUUUCCUGACAUCACGGUCCCACACCAUUGUCAACCUAUGUAGUCAAUAUAAACAAGAGAAUUGCACAAGGUGUGGCCGACAGCUAGGACCAAGCAGCUCGAGCAGUAUUUGUGUUUUUGAGGCGUGAGCACUGCAGAGUUUUUCUUGGCGGUGAUUUCGUUGUUGUUCAGAGGAGAGCAGGGUAUUAACUGGGCGGGCUGUGGCCCGUCUAGCCCAGGCCAGAUAUCCAGCCUAGAUACUAAUUUUUUCAAGAUGAAAAUGGCUAGCCCAACUAUACGUCUUUUUGAGGAAUACCCAGGCAAGGUCAACUUGUUAUUCUCCACCCCGCUGGGCUGCAAAUCUUUCCUAGGAGGGAUGCAUUAGGCUUAACAGGAAAAUGGGCUUUAAAAAUUAAUAAAUGGGAUGUAAUUAUAAAAAAUGGGCAGUAACUAUAAAAAAUGCACCAAACACGAAAUUAGUUAUAAAAUAUUAUUUAUGGAUUUUGAAAAUCUUAAAUUUUCAUUAUUGCGCGCACAAUGUUUCGUUGGAUUUUUACGUAAUACAAAUUUAUAUUUAAUCCGACUAGAAAUUUCGGGAUAAAAAUAUUUCGGAUCCCAUCAAAAUGUGGGAAAUUUUAUUGAAUUCUGUCUUGAACGGUUGGUUGAAAUUAUUAAUCGUUGUCCUAGCUAGAAAAUGGGUUGUACUUUUAACAAACUGUAAAUGGGCUGUUGUAAAUUCCAUUAGAAUUCAAAAAUGGGCUGUACAUUCUUACAAAACGCAAAUGGGCUAUAAGUUCUCUGCCACACACUUGUGGGCCUACUAAGUGACGUGUCCCCUAAAAAAAUAAGUUGACGCGUAUUCAAGGCUUUGUCAACUUAUUAUAGUCAACACACGGUUCUAGCAGCAGUGGCCGUUGGAUGUCUAUCCAACGGAUGUCGUGCUUCUUCUUCAAUCUCGGAUAUUCUUAGCUUCGGCCGCCCAAAAAAUGAUUCCUCCCCCUGACAUCUGGGGCGCACCGUUUUGGAGGCUGAACUGUGGGCCUACUAAGUUGGAGCGUACCAAGGGCUUUGUCAACUUAGUCAAUAUAAACGAUUCUAGCUUCAGUGACCGUACGAUGUCCAUCCAACGGUCGUAGUGCUUCUUCAACCUCUGGUCUUCUUGGUCCAGCCGCCCAAAGCAGCGCUGGUCGUGUCGCCUGCUCCUGCCUCCCGUGGCUGGCUGUGCUGCCGCGGAGGCCUCAUUGCCCCCAUACAACUCCCACUGCUGGACAGGCCAUCCCUCCACUCACCCACACCCCUUGUUAUUCUGUGGCGAUGGCAGCCAAACCAGUGAACCCUCGUACUCCUCUCCAUGCGGGCUUCCACUGCUGCGUCUUCCCCGGCUCUGCGUCAUCCCCUUCCUAGGCCUCGCCGUCGUCCACCACCCUGGUGCUCUCGGCUUGGCGUGGUGAACGUGGUCAAUGACCGACUUCCAUCGGAAGAGUACCGUACGUGGAGAGGCUGACAGCUUGGUCCACGGCGGCCGCAAGGAAGUGCCUCCUUAUUACGCGCAAAAUAAUUAUUCCUCCACCUGACAGUGGGGACCCACCGGACGGGCCACCUUAUUUUGUGAAAAAAACAUUUCCCCCCUGACUGUUGGGACCCACCGGACGGGCCACCGUAUUCUGCAAAAAAACAUUCCCCCCGCUGUCAGCUCGAACCCACCGGAAGUGCCUCCUUAUUACGCACAAAAAAAUGAAUACUCCCCCUGCUAGCUAGGACCCACCUUGGUGGGAGGCUGACUUGUGGGCCUACUAAGUUGACGGGGCCGGAGGGCUUUGUCAACUUAGUCAAUAUGAACGAUUCUAGCUCCAGUGACCGUACGAUGUCCAUCCAACGGUCGUAGUGCUUCUUCAACCUCUGGUCUUCUUGCUCCAGCCGCCCAAAGCAGCAUCGGUUGUGCCGCCUGCUCCUGCCUCUCGUGGCCGGCUGUGCCGCCGUACAGGCCUCACCGCCCCCUACUAUUCACACCGCUGGCCAGGCCCUACGGUGACGGCAGCCUCACACCGCAGCCGAAUGAGUGAACCCUCAUACUCCUCUUCGCGUGGGCAUCCACUGCCGCAUCUUCACCGGCUCCACGUCGUCCCCUUCCUAGGCCUCGCCGUCGUCCACUGCCCUGGCGCUCUCGGCGCGGCAUGGUCAACGUGGUCAAGGAACGACUUCCAUAGGACGUGGACUGUACGUGGAGAGGCUGACAGCUGGGUCCACGGCAGCAGCAAGGAAGUGCCUCCUUAUUACACGGAAAAUAAUGAUUCCUCCACCUGACAGCAGGGACCCACCGGACGGGCCAUCGUAUUUCACGAAAAAAAUGUUUCCCCCCUGACUACUGGGACCCACCAGCUACACCUUCACACGCAAGGAAGUGCAUCCGGGCAAAAAAACGAUUCGCCCCCCUGACUGCUGGGACCCACCAGCUACAUCUUCGCACACAAGGAAGUGCGUCCGGGCAAAAAAAACAAAACGAUUCGCCUCCCUGACUGUUGGGACCCACCAGCUACAUCUUCGCAGGCAAGGAAGUGCCUGACAGUCGGGACCCACCUGGUCGAAGCGUACGUAGCGUUGUCAUUCUGGUCGCGAACGUGUACGUACAUAUAUACUGGUCGAUGUAGAGGCGCGCACGUGUCGUAGUAGAGGCGCAUACGUGUCAUAGUAGAGGCGCGCACGUACAGCGUCCAGGGUGCAAGAAAGAAAAUACGGCCACGUAUGUGUACAUACGGGUGGGGUCUCAAACGCCUACUCGCGCAUACGUACGGCCAGGGCUCGUGUACAUGUCUGGGUCGGAACGGAGAAACAGCGUCGUCGUCAUGUUCAUGGGGAGGCAACGGAAUGUGUCAUGUUCAUGGGGAGGCAACGGAAUACGUCGUGUUCAUCGGGAGGCAACGGAAUGCGUGGGAGCCAACCGGCUGGGUCGGAACGGAAUGCAUGGUCGUGUUCAUCGGGAGGGCUUGGACGGAACAGGUGAUGGAAACGAGGCCUGGCGUACCGCAGAAUGGUGGAAAUGACCUUCUGUUCGACCGGCCACGUUCCAAACGGGAUCCUGUUCAUUGGGAGGGGUCUGGCGUACCGCAAAACGGAGGAAACGGACCUCUUACGGUCAAAACGAGGGUCCUGUUGAUCGGGAGGGGUGUGGCGUACCGCAAAACGGACGAAAUGGACCUCCUACGGUCGAAACGAGGGUCCUGUUGAUCGGGAGGGGUGUGGCGUACCGCAAAACGGACGAAACGGACCUUCUACGGUCGAAACGGGGGUCCUGUUCAUCGGGAGGGGUGUGGCGUACUGCAAAACGGGACUCCACGGGAUACUGUUCAUCUCCACUAUCGACCUCCUCUAGCCUCCACGGGCAACCGUCGACCUCCUCCAGCCUCCACGGGCUACCAUCGACCUCCUCCAGCCUCCACGGGCUCCUGUUCAUCCAGCCUCCACCACGCGNNNNNNNNNNNNNNNNNNNNNNNNNNNNNNNNNNNNNNNNNNNNNNNNNNNNNNNNNNNNNNNNNNNNNNNNNNNNNNNNNNNNNNNNNNNNNNNNNNNNNNNNNNNNNNNNNNNNNNNNNNNNNNNNNNNNNNNNNNNNNNNNNNNNNNNNNNNNNNNNNNNNNNNNNNNNNNNNNNNNNNNNNNNNNNNNNNNNNNNNNNNNNNNNNNNNNNNNNNNNNNNNNNNNNNNNNNNNNNNNNNNNNNNNNNNNNNNNNNNNNNNNNNNNNNNNNNNNNNNNNNNNNNNNNNNNNNNNNNNNNNNNNNNNNNNNNNNNNNNNNNNNNNNNNNNNNNNNNNNNNNNNNNNNNNNNNNNNNNNNNNNNNNNNNNNNNNNNNNNNNNNNNNNNNNNNNNNNNNNNNNNNNNNNNNNNNNNNNNNNNNNNNNNNNNNNNNNNNNNNNNNNNNNNNNCGCGCAAUGCUCACUGUUCAUCCCAGAGGCAGAUCGGCUUUAGUUAGCAGCAGUAGCAAAGGAAUCGCUCGAUCGGGUUCAGUUAACAGCCAUUGAUCGAUCGCUCGGGUUCAGUAACGCGUAGCCUGUAGUGCAAUCGCUCGGGUUCAGUUAGAGCCCAACGCCUCGCUCGGGUUCAGUUAGAGCCAACGCCUCGCACACACACGCGUACGUGUAUGAGAGAAACGCGCAUCGCUCGGCCCCCGACCUCCCACCGUAACCGGGAACUCCCCGAAAUUUUCAUCCCCCUCGCUUCUACCAUGGUUUUUUCCAUCAUGGACGGCCCAAAGAAUGUCAUCCAGCUGCGUCUCCGGCCCGCCCAGGACGAAAAGCCCAUUUUCUGUCAUGAUUUUUUGUCAUAGAAGUAGGAGCCCACCACAUCUAUGAUGAUACCGGGUUUUGUCACAAUUAUCAUCAUAGAAGUGUCAUAUGUAUGACAGAAAAAAAAUUCGUUCGGCCUAAAAUGUCACAGAUGUGUCUUUUUUUUAGUGUUCCCCCACAAGUCGGGAUAGACUCCGGCCGGAAAAAAGAGAGGCCAAAGAAGCCCAAAAAAAAGAGGAGGCCAUUAAAAAAUAGAGAAGGCCCAAUAAAAAACAUGAGAGAAAAAGAGAGAAGGGGCAAUGUUACUAUCCUUUUUGCACACUUGUGCUUCAAAGUAGCACCAUAAUCUUCAUGAUAGAGAGUCUCUUAUUUUGUCACUUUCAUAUACUAGUGGGAAUUUUUCAUUAUAGAACUUCAUGUCGGCGUCCUGGAUUUGGGGGUAUCAAGUCAUGCCUGCCUGCGGCCCACCACGUGGCUCCAUCGAUGGCCUGGUACGGCCCAACUUCGACAACAACACAGCAAAACCCUCACGAGGGGCCAAGCCUCGCGAGGCGGACGAUGCCAAGACCCCCGGAGGAGUUGGCAUCCUCAGGAGGGCUCCUAAGGGGUGGAGAGAUCUAUGCAGCUCCCUCAUGAGGCUCAGCUGACAUGAGCCAUGACAACCAAGGCCAGACAGGCGCCAGGUGGGCGCAGAGCGCAAGUUUCUUCUUCGGUGCAAGGGAGGCAAGCCACAGGCGUGGAGUCCCGAGGAAGCAGCCAAAGGUUUCCAUUUCGGUGCAACAAGACCAAGACCGCCAGGACGGCAGGAUGGUGGUCAUCACCGAGCCCGCCGUAGCGUCACGGCCAGGGGCUUCUCGCAGGCGAAGACUACUUUUGUCAGGAUAGACUAUACUACUUGUCCCCUUUCAAAUCCCGCCGUUGUGAAUCCCUUCCUGCUCAUAUUUGGGAGGAGGACCAAGGCACUAUAUAUAGGACUUAGCCACCACCAUAGAAAGGGACCGAAAACCAGAACAAGUAGAGCACCACACCAGCUCAAGAACACCUCACCUCCUGAGGCUUGUUCAUCCUUGUACUAGUUCAUCCAUAGCCCCUCGAGGCAAUCCACCACACCACACUAGAGUAGGGUAUUACACCACAACGGUGGCCCAAACUAGUAUAAAUCUCUGUGUCUUUGUGUCUUUGUGAGCUUGACGCGCUAGGUUAAGGAGGAUCGCGAGUAGGUCGGCUAGGCAGGUUGAGAUCUCUACACGCACCCCAGUGUUCGAACCUCUCACGGGUAUCUGGAUCCCGAAAUCCGACAUUUGGCGCGCCAGGUAGGGGUGCAUCGGAUCUCCUCUUCCGCCGACCAGUCCUCCUCCGCUCCACCGAUGCCCCGAGAGCCCACGUCAACCACUGGGUUGUCCAGACCUCCUCGGCAGCACCCACCGGCGAAGAAGACCUCCACUCUGCCCUGCUCGUGGCCCGCGUUCCACCGGGGGCGACCGGCCGCGGGGGGCGUGCAGCACAGUCUUCUCUGGCGCCACGCCGCAGCCGUGCAGCUGCGUGAUCUACGAACUACACUGCAACAACUGCUCCACACUCGCGCAGGGAACAAGCGAACAUGCGGGCGGCAGUCAUCGCGGCCCGUGAGCUUAUGCGGUGCAGGAUGCUUGAGAGCGGCCGCGACGCCCUGCUGGAGCGGGUCGCUGAGCUGCUAGAUGCGGCGUGCAGGGGGGCGGUGCCGUUCUGCACCCUUCCCACAUUGCAGGCGAUGGUGGGGCGCGCGCUCAUCCUCGACAUAGCCGCGCGCCCUCUCCCAGGGGACAUGGAGAGCCUCUCGACGCCAACCAUCCUCAUGGAGCAGCCCGCGCCGCCCCAAACAUGCCCCCUCGGCACGGGGCUACUUCGGACGACACCACCAGGGGCCGCGUUGGAGUGUCGGCCCCUGGCCAGCAAGACCAGAGGAUGACAGAAGGGGGCGGGAGCGUUAGGCGGUCGGGUGGCGCCCCUGGUACGAGCAUCCCGGAAGCCUACGUUCCCGUCGUGAUGGAUCCAAGGCACGCGCUACGAGAGGGCCCCAGCCGAUCCCCCACGCCAGGCUGGGCGCUGGACAUACACGAGGCCGAGCUCUCCUUCAAAGCACCACCAAGCCCUGCCGGCGUCCCCAACAACGGUAGCCUCUGGGUACAGUUAACGCCACAGGGGCACGCUUACACUGACCAUGGAUCGCAGGUGAACCAAGACGCAGCGACCACCAGGACCCUCAAGACGGCGGACUCCCCUUAGGAGCGCGAAGCACGUUGGGAGCAGCACGGGGGGAGCCCAGUGGCGGGGCCCUCCUCGCGCUGUGCAGAGCAGGAUCCAGCCUGGAGGUAGGUUCCCUGUCGGGGAAGGCGCCGGCGAGCCCUUCCACUCGGCAAGGGGCCUAUGGUCGCCGAGGACGCCGUCAGUGUCCCCUUGGCCCCUUGGUCUUCUCCUGGUUUCCAGUCUCCCCAACGGUGGCCAGGGCGGCGCACGACGGGGUCCUCGUCGGGCGACAUGAAGCAAGGCUCCGGCCUGUGAAGGUCUCCGCUCGUGACACUCUCACGUAAUAAUGAGUGGGGCUGUACACGCCCCGGAGUCUCCUGAGUGCCGCUCUGGGGCCUCACGGGGGCUCCCACCCACGUCCUAGUGGAAGCACUUAGCUCCGCGCUGGUGAGAAGACCAAAGACUGAAGACUGAAGACCAGUUAGGCACCGGACGCGGCCGCCUACUUUUUGCCUCUCUUUUUGUACUCGCUUGCCAACUUUUUGAAGCAGUGUGUUUUCUGUGCGUUUAUAAAACGGGGGGAGUUUUCUGUUUCUUGUGUCGCUCUCUUGCCUUCAGUUCUUGUGUUCUUUUCUUAGAGCUCGUGACCGCUACCCUACCCUCUAGCACCUCGCGAGCGGGGGCUGGGUACGGUGUACGCGCUGGCGCUGAUCGCUCCCCUCGGGGGCUCGAAGGUGCGGCCGCUCCGCGUGCCCACCUUGCCACAAUCUGGCGGUUGGCUCCUCACGAGGCACUCCACGGCAGGCCAGCAGGCCCCUCAAGAGGCACAGGGCCUCACGAGCCAGCGGCAAGCUCGCCUCAAGAGAAGGGGCGCUGCCAUGGCACCAGGUCUCACUCAGGACCCACGAAACCCAAGAUAAGUCAAAACAACUAUCUUGUUCAUCGGCAUGCAGCCUUGCUGGGCCCCCCUCCAGGUGUUACUUCAAAAAGCAUUUAGCAAUCUCAUAUAUCAUAAGGGGUACCCCCUUUUCAAAAUGCUCUCACAAGGAUGCGCUUGAGUUUUCAUACAGGUCAAAGCAAAAGAAAUACAGGCCUAAGUGGACGCGCCUUGUUCGUCACUCCCGUCCGCGCUGCUUGUGCUGAAGCUGCCACCCUCCUCGUCAUCUCCACCCGCGCCAGCCCCUUCGGCUGCGAGCAUGGCUAUGUCGUCCUUAGGAGUCAGCUCCUUCGCCAGAGCAUCCACAUGAUCGUCCACCCACUUGUGGCAAGCUUGUCUUGGGUGGCCGCAGGCAUGGGGGCUAGCAUGCUGCUGAUGUCGAAGUGGGAGUCAAGGUUCAGGAGGUUGCUGAAGAUGCGCGAGAGCGCGCGCCAAGGAGGCCCCAGCUCCUCUCCUCAAUGAGUUGGCGGGCUUUUGCGGCCUGGUCCUCCAGGCGGGUCACGAUAUCAGUGAAGAAGCGGAGAUGGCUGGCAUAGUCGCUCUUGCGUGGGUGAGGAGCACUCUCGUUGCAAAUGGCACCCAAGGCAUUGUUGGCUCUGACACACAGACCCUGGAGCAUGGGGUUGUGCUCACGCUCCAGCGUCAGGCGGCGGCACUUUUCACUCAAAGCCUUCUCUAAGAGGGAGGCGAUGUCCUCGGCCUGUUUCCGGAGAGAGGAUAUCUCGGCGUGAGCAGAACCCAGGGCGGAUUCAGAAGAAGUCAGGGCCUCCCGGGCAGCGCCCUCGCGCUGCUCCACCGCCUGCAGCUCGGUCUUCAGGAUGGAGGUCCGGCCCUCAAACUCAGCUUUGAGCAGCUCCAGGUCCAGGCGGUGCCCCAUCGGCUAGCUCAGCACGUGCCUUCGCCACCUUCUCGUCCACCUCCACCUGGACCUGAGCUUCUCAGGCGGCGACAGCAUCCUCAGCCGCGGCGGCCUGUCGCUCCCUCACCUCCAGCCUUUCCAGCGCCAAGCUAUGAUCCAUGGCCUCCAGUGUCAAUUCCUCAUGGCGCCUCAGGAGCUCCGCCUUAGCAAGGGCCACCUCACCUGGCGAAGAGGCCAGCGGGGCACGACGCUCCUUGAUUUCGUGCAGCAGGGUGGCACUCGAAGACAGAAGAUCUCGCUCCCGCUCCCCGGCCACCUCGCGACGGCGUUUGGCUGCCUCGACCCCUUCCAUGGCGUGAGCGCAAGCUUCUCGAGAAGCCGCGAGCGAGGCCUCCGCGCGCGCUUUGGCCUCGUCUCGCUGAAGCGUCCCAAGGUUGAUGGCCAUCUUCAGCCGCUGCCAUUCAUCCUUCAAGCGGCGGUUCUCUGCUUCCAGCCUAGUGUCGACAUUGGCGAGCUCCCCGCCAAGAUGGACCAUCGCGCGCAUCGCUUCACCAAAGAACCCGAAGCGCACCGCGUUGCGUGCACGAGCAAGCGUGAGCUCGUCGCCAAGGUCCCCACCGGCUCCGGAGGUCGCCCGGGAAGCGUUGGGGGCUCCGCCAGUCGCCGGCUGGGGGCUGGCUUGUGGGGCCUCGCAACUUCAAGAUGAGGGAUGCCCGGAGGACGCCCCCUGCCGGCAAGGACAAGAGGGAGGAUCACCUGCGCACCCUUCACCUCGCGUACAAAGUCGAGGGGGGGAACAUGGGGCUCGGUUCCGCUGCACCCUUGCGGUGUCGAGCUGGAGGGAGCCAGACUCCUACCCUGCGCAGGCUCAGGGUGCUGGGGGCUACACGCCCGUGCCACGCUGGGGCUAUUGGGGGUCUUCGCCUCUUGAGGUUCGUUCUUCAUGAAUAUCCUGCAAAACCCCAGCCAUGAGAAAACGCAAUGCACUUGGAGAUCAGGAGCAAAGGUACUCACUCGUCGGCGACCACAUAUCUCCUCGGCUUCAGCGGCGGAUGGGUACCAUCGUCGCGGCACGGGGACCUCUUCCUCUUCAGGAGCAACUCAAGGCACAAGCGGCGCUGACCCGGCCCCGACGGGCGAUCCUCAGGAGGGGGAGCGUCCGGCGUGUUAUCUGGAGCAGAGGUCCCGUGGGAAGGGGCGCCCGGUGUGGCUUCCUGGCUCAUAGCUCCGGGGCCAUUGGUGGGUUCCUCGUCGCCAGCAACAGCUCCAGAGCCACCAUGCCCGGCGUUAGAGGCUCCCGCCUCCGGAGCCUGGUGGUGCGCAGGCUCUGCGGCAGCCCCUGCCGAAACCUCAGAAGCUUGAGGCUCCUGAGCCUCUAAUAAGGCUGAGCCUCCGGAGGAGGUCUCAACAGCUGACGGAGGCGUGCGUCCCCCUGCCUCCACACUUGGGGCACACGCUGCAGGAUCGAUUAGGAGAGGAGCCACGAAGACUGGAUUCUCACGGGGCCCCUCAAUGCCCUCGGGAAGCAACCCCCACUCAUCAAACAGGGGCAUCUGUCCCGCAAAGGCCUCCUUGUUUGAGCAUAGAUAAAGAAGGCAGCCGUCCCCUGGGAGGUCGGCAGGCUCAGGCUCGCCAGUCAGGUGCUUAAGCACCACGCUCAAGGUAUCGGCAGCAAGCAAGGGCUUUUGCAGCCUCAUCGGGUCUCCGGCGCCGGUGAAAUCCCACAUCGGGCGAGAAUGGUGUUGGAGGGGAGCAAGGCGCUGCUUCACGAAUUCCUUCACCACCAUUGGCGCCGUCACCCCCCAGUUCCUAGAGCCUCGCCAACCUCUUCCAGACAAAAGCAAGGUGCCGGUCAGUGAGUGAUACGUCUCCAACGUAUCUAUAAUUUUUGAUUGCUCCAUGCUAUAUUAUCUACUGUUUUGGACUAUAUUGGGCUUUAUUUUCCACUUUUAUAUUAUUUUUGGGACUAACCUAUUAACCAGAGGCCCAGCCCAGAAUUGCUGUUUUUUGCCUAUUUCUGUGUUUCGAAGAAACGGAAUAUCAAACGGAGUCCAAACAGAAUGAAACCUUCGGGAACGUGAUUUUCUCACCGAACGUGAUCCAGGAGACUUGGACCCUACUCCAAGGAAGCAAAGAGGCGGUCACGAGGGUGGGGGGCGCCCCCCCCUAGGGCGCGCCCCUGCCUCGUGGGCCCCUCAGAGCUCCACCGACGUACUCCUUCCUCCUACAUAUACCUACGUACCCCGAAACUAUCAGAUACAGAGCCAAAAACCUAAUUCCACCACCGCAACUUUCUGUAUCCGCGAGAUCCCAUCUUGGGGCCUGUUCCGGAGCUCCGCCGGAGAGGGCCGUCAUCAUGGAGGGCUUCUACAUCAUCAUAGCCUCUCCGAUGAAGUGUGAGUAGUUUACCUCAGACCUUCGGGUCCAUAGUUAUUAGCUAGAUGGCUUCUUCUCUCUUUUUGGAUCUCAAUACAAUGUUCUCCCCCUCUCUCGUGGAGAUCUAUUCGAUGUAAUCUUCUUUUUGCGGUGUGUUUGUUGAGAUCGAUGAAUUGUGGGUUUAUGAUCAAGUCUAUCUAUGAAUAAUAUUUGAAUCUUCUCUGAAUUCUUUUAUGUAUGAUUGGUUAUCUUUGCAAGUCUCUUCGAAUUAUCCAUUUGGUUUGGCCAACUAGAUUGGUAGUUCUUGCAAUGGGAGAAGUGCUUAGCUUUGGGUUCGAUCUUGUGGUGUCCUUUCCCAGUGAUAGAAGGGGCAGCAAGGCACGUAUUGUAUCGUUGCCAUCGAGGAUAACAAGAUGGGGUUUAUAUCAUAUUGCAUGAAUUUAUCUCUCUACAUCAUGUCAUCUUGCUUAAGGUGUUACUCUGUUUUUAACUUAAUACUCUAGAUGCAUGCUGGAUAGCGGUCGAUGAGUGGAGUAAUAGAAGUAGAUGCAGGCAGGAGUCGUUCUACUUGUCUCGGACGUGAUGCCUAUAUACAUGAUCAUACCUAUAUAUUCUCAUAACUAUGCUCAAUUCUAUCAAUUGCUCAACAGUAAUUUGUUCACCCACCAUAGAAAUACUUAUGCUCUUGAGAGAAGCCACUAGUGAAACCUAUGGCCCCCGGGUCUAUUCUCAUCAUAUAAAUCUCCAUCACUUUAUUAUUGUUUUGCUUUUUUACUUUGCCUUUUAUUUUACUUUGCAUCUUUAUACCAAAAAUACCAAACAUAUUAUCUAUCAUAUCUCACUUGCCGAGAAGGGAUUGACAACCCCUAAUCGCGUUGGUUGCGUUGAGCUAUUGUUUUGUGUAGGUACGAGGGACUUGCGCGAAGCCUCCUACUGGAUUGGUACCUUGGUUCUCAAAAACUGAGGGAAAUACUUACGCUACUGUGCUGCAUCAUCCUCUCCUCUUCGGGGAAAUCCAACGCAAGCUCAAGAGGUAGCAAGAAGAAUUUCUGGCACCGUUGCCAAGGAGGUCUUCGCAAAAGUCAAUAUACCAAGUACCCAUCACAAUCCCUAUCUCUCGCAUUACAUUAUUUGCCAUUUGCCUCACAUUUUCCUCUCCCCCACUUCACCCUUGCUGUUUUAUUCGCCCUCUCUUUUCCGUUUGCCUUUUUCUCGCUUGCCUUUUGUUUGCUCGUGUGUUGGAUUUCUUGUUUGUCGCGAUGGCUCAAGAUAAUACCAAAUUGUGUGACUUUACCAAUACCAACAAUAAGGAUUUCCUUAGCACUCAUGUUGCUCCUCUUGCCAAUUUGAAUCUUGUGAAAUCAAUACUGCUUUGUUGAUCUUGUUAUGAAAGAUCAAUUCACCGGCCUUCCUAGUGAAGAUGCCGCUACUCAUCUGAAUAGCUUCGUUGAUUUAUGUGAUAUGCAAAAGAAAAGGGAUGUUGACAAUGAUGUUGUUAAAUUGAAGCUAUUUCCUUUUUCGCUUAGAGAUCGUGCUAAAGCUUGGUUUUCAUCUUUGCCUAGAAAUAGUAUUGAUUCUUGGAACAAGUGCAAAGAUGCUUUUAUCUCUAAGUAUUUUCCUCCCGCUAAAAUCAUCUCUCUUAGAAACGAUAUUAUGAAUUUUAAGCAACUUAAUCAUGAACAUGUUGCACAAGCUUGGGAGAGAAUGAAAUUAAUGAUACGUAAUUACCCUACUCAUGGUUUGAACUUGUGGAUGAUUAUAUAAAAAAAUUAUGCCGGAUUGAAUUUUGCUUCUAGAAAUCUUUUAGAUUCGGCCGCGGGAGGAACUUUUAUGGAAAUCACUUUAGGAGAUGCUACUAAACUCCUAGAUAAUAUUAUGGUUACUUAUUCUCAAUGGCACACUGAAAGGUCUACUAAUAAAAAAGUGCAUGUGAUAGAAGAAAUUAAUGUUUUGAGUGGAAAGAUGGAUGAACUUAUGAAAUUAUUUGCUACUAAGAGUGUUUCUUCUAAUCCUAAUGAUAUGCCUUUGUCUACCUUGAUUGAGAAUAAUAAUGAAUCUAUGGAUGUGAAUUUUGUUGGUAGGAAUAAUUUUGGUAACAAUGCUUAUAGAGGGAAUUUUAAUCCUAGGCCUUAUCCUAGUAAUCCUUCUAAUAAUUAUGGAAGUUCCUACAACAAUUCUUAUGGAAAUUUUAAUAAGAUUCCCUCUUAAUUUGAGAAUAGUGUUAAAGAGUUUAUGAAUUCGCAAAAGAAUUUUAAUGCUUUGCUUGAAGAGAAAUUGCUUAAAGUUGAUGAUUUGGCUAGGAACGUUGAUAAAAUUUCUCUUGAGGUUGAUUCUUUAAAGCUUAGAUCUAUUCCUCCUAAGCAUGAUAUCAAUGAGUCUCCCAAAGCCAUGAGAAUUUCCAUUAAUGAGUGCAAGGAAAGAACCGCUAGGAUGCGUGCUACAAAAGAUGCCUUUAUUAAAGCGUGUUCUUCCAAUUUCUAUGAAAAUCAAGAUGAAGAUCUAAAAGUAGUUGAUGUGUCCCCUAUUAAAUCUUUGUUUUGCAAUAUGAAUCUUGAUGAAACUGAAUAUGAUCUUCCUUUACCUAGAAGGCGUUCCAAAAAUUCGGAGUAUUUAGAUCUUUAUGAUGAAAUUGAUGAAAGUGGGAUUGAAAGAAAUAAAACCCUAGAUGUUGCUAAACCAACUAUAUUGGAUUUCAAAGAAUUUAAUUAUGAAAGUUGCUCUUUAAUUGAUUGUAUUUCCUUGUUGCAAUCCGUGCUAAAUUCUCCUCAUGCUUAUAUUCAAAAUAAAGCCUUUACCGAACAUAUCGUUGAUGCCUUGAUGCAAUCUUAUGAAGAAAAACUUGAGUUGAAAGUUGCUAUCCCUAGAAAACUCUAUGAUGAGUGGGAACCUACUAUUAAAAUUAAAAUUAAAGAUCAUGAAUUUAAUGCUUUGUGUGAUUUGGGUGCUAGUGUCUCUACUAUCCCCAAAACUUUGUGCGAUUUGCUAGAUUUUCGUGAUUUCGAUGAUUGCUCUCUAAACUUGCAUCUUGCGGAUUCCACUAUUAAGAAACCUAUGGAAAGAAUUAAUGAUGUUCUUAUUGUUGCAAAUAGGAAUUAUGUGCCCGUGUAUUUUAUCGUUCUUGAUAUAGAUUGCAAUCCUUCUUGUCCUAUUAUUCUUGGUAGACCUUUCCUUAGAACGAUUGGUGUGAUUAUUGAUAUGAAGGAAUGGAACAUUAGAUUCCAAUUUCCAUUAAAAAAGGGCAUGGAACACUUCCCUAGAAAGAAAAAAUUACCAUAUGAAUCUAUCAUGAGAGCCGCUUAUGGUUUGCCUACCAAAGAUGGCAAUACCUAGAUCUAUCCUUGCUUUUAUGCCUAGCUAAGGGCGUUAAACGAUAGCGCUAGUUGGGAGGCAACCCAAUUUUAUUUUAGUUGUUUGCUUUUUGCUUCUGUUUAGGAAUAAAUAUUUGUUCUAGCCUUUAUUUUUGUGUUUUAAUUAGUGUUUGUGCCAAGUAAAACCGUUAGGAUAACCUACGGUAGUAGUUAUUUGAUUCUGUUGCAGAAAACAGAAACUUUGCGCGCACAAAAAUAAUUUUCAUAAAUAACAGGAACGUGAUUUUUAGUUGAUUCUUUUUGCUGUAGAUCAAUAAAAAAAUUAUCUAGAACUUCCUAAUUUUGCUUAAUUUUUCAUGUUCCAGAAGUUUGCGUUAGUUACAGAUUACUAUAGACUGUUCUGUUUUUGACAGAUUCUGUUUUUCGCGUGUUGUUUGCUUAUUUUGAUGAAUCUAUGGCUAGUAAAAUAGUUUAUAAUCCAUAGAGAAGUUGGAAUACAGUAGGUUUAACACCCAUAUAAAUAAAGAAUGAGUUCAUUACAGUACCUUGAAGUGGUCUUUUGUUUUCUUUCGCUAACGGAGCUCAUGAGAUUUCUGUUGAGUUUUGUGUUGUGAAGUUUUCAAGUUUUGAGUGAAAUCUUUUGAUGGAUUAUGGAACAAGGAGUGGCAAGAGCCUAAGCUUGGGGAUGCCCAUGGCACCCCCAAGAUAAUCCAAGGACACCAAAAAUUCAAAGCUUGGGGAUGCCCUGGAAGGCAUCCCCUCUUUCGUCUACUUCCAUCGGUAAUUUUACUUGGAGCUAUAUUUUUAUUCACCACAUGAUAUGUGUUUUGCUUGGAGCGUCUUGUAUGAUUUGAGUCUUUGUUUUUUAGUGUGCCACAAUCAUCCUUGCUGUAGACACCUUUUUAGAGAGCCAUACAUGAAUUGAAAUUUGUUAGAAUACUCUAUGUGCUUCACUUAUAUCUUUUGAGCUAUGUAGUUUUUGCUCUAGUGGUUCACUUAUAUCUUUUAGAGCACGAUGGUGGAAUUGUUUUAAAGAAACUAUUGAUCUCUCAUGCUUCACUUAGAUUAUUUUGAGAGUCUUAAUAGCAUGGUAAUUUGCUUAAAAUCUUAAUAUGCUUGGUAUUCAAGAUUUGUAAAACUUUCUUUUGAGUGCGUUGAAUGCUAAGAAAAGUUUGAUGCUUGAUAAUUGUUUUGAGAUAUGGAGGUAGUAAUAUUAGAGUCAUGCUAGUUGAGUAGUCGUGAAUUUGAGAAAUACUUGUGUUAAAGUUUGUGAUUCUCGUAGCAUGCACGUAUAGUGAACCAUUAUGUGAUGAAGUUGGAGCACAAUAUAUUUAUUGAUUGUCCUCCUUAUGUGUGGAGGUCAGGAUCGUGCGAUGGUUAACUCCUACCAACCCUUCCCCUAGGAGCAUGCGCGUAAUACUUUGCUUUGAUGACUUCUAGAUUUUUGCAAUAAGUAUAUGAGUUCUUUAUGACUAAUGUUGAGUCCAUGGAUUAUACACACUUUUCUUUCUUCCACCAUUGCUAGCCUCUCUAAUACCGCGCACCUUUUGCCGGUAUCAUACACCCACCAUAUACCUUCCUCAAAACAGCCACCAUACCUACCUAUCAUGGUAUUUCCAUAGCCAUUCCGAGAUAUAUUGCCAUGCAACUUUCCACCGUUCCGUUUAUUAUGACACGCUCCAUCAUUGUCAUAUUGCUAGCAUGAUCAUGUAGUUGACAUCGUAUUUGUGGCAAAGCCAUCAUUCAUAAUUCUUUCAUACAUGUCACUCUUGAAUCAUUGCAUAUCCCGGUACACCACCGGAGGCAUACACAUAGAGACAUAUUUUGUUCUAAGUAUUGAGUUGUAAUUGUUGAGUUGUAAAGUAAAUAGAAGUGUGAUGAUCUUCAUUUUUAGAGCAUUGUUCCAAGUGAGGAAAGGAUGACGUGGACUAUGAUUCCCCCACAAGUCGGGAUGAGACUCCGGACGAAAAAUAAAAAGAAUUAAAAAAAGAGGCCAUAAAAAGAAAAUAAAAAGGCCCAAAUAAAAAAAUAAAAAAAGGAGAGAAAAAGAGAGAAGGGACAAUGUUACUAUCCUUUUACCACACUUGUGCCUCAAAGUAGAACCAUGAUCUUCAUGAUAGAGAGUCUCUCAUUUUGUCACUUUCAUAUACUAGUGGGAAUUUUUCAUUAUAGAACUUGGCUUGUAUAUUCCAAUGAUGGGCUUCCUCAAAUUGCCCUAGGUCUUCGUGAGCAAGCAAGUUGGAUGCACACCCACUUAGUUUCUUUUGUUGAGCUUUCAUAUACUUAUAGCUCUAGUGCAUCCGUUGCAUGGCAAUCCCUACUCCUCACAUUGAUAUCUAUUGAUGGGCAUCUCCAUAGCCCGUUGAUAUGCCUAGUUGAUGUGAGACUAUCUUCUCCCUUUUUGUAUUCUCCACAACCACCAUAUUCUAUUCCACAUAUAGUGUUAUGUCCAUGGCUCACGCUCAUGUAUUGCGUGAAGAUUGAAAAAGUUUGAAAAUUCUAAAGUGUGAAACAAUUGCUUGGCUGAAACCUGGGUUGUGCAUGAUUUAAGUAUUUUGUGUGAUGAAGAUAGAGCAUAGCCAGACUAUAUGAUUUUGUAGGGAUAGCUUUCUUUGGCCAUGUUAUUUUCAGAAGACAUAAUUGCCUUGUUAGUAUGCUUGAAGUAUUAUUAUUUUUAUGUCAAUACGAACUUUUUUCUUGAAUCUUUCUAAUCAGAAUAUUCAUACCACAAUUAAGAAGAUUUACAUUGAAAUUAUGCUAAGUAGCACUCCGCAUCAAAAAUUAUCUUUUUUUAUCAUUUACCUACUCGAGGACGAGCAGGAAUUAAGCUUGGGGAUGCCUGAUACGUCUCCAACGUAUCUAUAAUUUUUUAUUGCUCCAUGCUAUAUUAUCUACUGUUUUGGACUAUAUUGGGCUUUAUUUUCCACUUUUAUAUUAUUUUUGGGACUAACCUAUUAACCGGAGGCCCAACCCAGAAUUGCUAUUGUUUGCCUAUUUUAGUGUUUCGAAGAAACGAAAUAUCAAACAGAGAUCAAACAGAAUGAAACCUUCGGGAACGUGAUUUUCUCACCGAACGUGAUCCAGGAGAGUUGGACCCUACUCCAAGGAAGCAAAGAGGCAGUCACGAGGGUGGGGAGCGCCCCCCCUAGGGCGCGCCCCUGCCUCGUGGGCCCCUCGGAGCUCCACCGACGUACUCCUUCAUCCUACAUAUACCUACGUACCCUGAAACUAUCAGAUACGGAGCCAAAAACCUAAUUCCACCGAUGCAACUUUCUGUAUCCGCGAGAUCCCAUCUUGGGGCCUGUUCCAGAGCUCCGCCGAAGAGGGCCGUCAUCACGGAGGGCUUCUACCUCAUCAUAGCCUCUCCGAUGAAGUGUGAGUAGUUUACCUCAGACCUUCGGGUCCAUAGUUAUUAGCUAGAUGGCUUCUUCUCUCUUUUUGCAUCUCAAUACAAUGUUCUUCCCCUCUCUCGUGGAGAUCUAUUUGAUGUAAUCUUCUUUUUGCGGUGUGUUUGUUGAGAUCGAUGAAUUGUGGGUUUAUGAUCAAGUCUAUCUAUGAAUAAUAUUUGAAUCUUCUCUGAAUUCUUUUAUGUAUGAUUGGUUAUCUUUGGAAGUCUUUUCGAAUUAUCCGUUUGGUUUGGCCAACUAGAUUGGUAGUUCUUGCAAUGGGAGAAGUGCUUAGCUUUGGGUUCGAUCUUGUGGUGUCCUUUCCCAGUGACAGAAGGGGCAGCAAGGCACGUAUUGUAUCAUUGCCAUCGAGGAUAACAAGAUGGGGUUUAUAUCAUAUUGCAUGAAUUUAUCUCUCUACAUCAUGUCAUCUUGCUUAAGGCGUUACUCUGUUUUUACCUUAAUACUCUAGAUGCAUGCUGGAUAGCGGUCGAUGAGUGGAGUAAUAGUAGUAGAUGCAGGCAGGAGUUGGUCUACUUGUCUCGGACGUGAUGCCUAUAUACAUGAUCAUACCUAGAUAUUCUCAUAACUAUGCUCAAUUCUGUCAAUUGCUCAACAGUAAUUUGUUCACCCACCAUAGAAAUACUUAUGCUCUUGAGAGAAGCCACUAGUGAAACCUAUGGCCCCCGGGUCUAUUCUCAUCAUAUCAAUCUCCAUCAGUUUAUUAUUGUUUUGCUUUUUUACUUUGCCUUUUAUUUUACUUUGCAUCUUUAUACCAAAAAUACCAAAAAUAUUAUCUAUCAUAUCUCACUUGCCGAGAAGGGAUUGACAACCCCUAAUCGCAUUGGUUGCGUUGAGCUAUUGUUUUGUGUAGGUACAAGGGACUUGCGUGAAGCAUCCUACUGGAUUGAUACCUUGGUUCUCAAAAACUAAGGGAAAUACUUACGCUACUCUGCUGCAUCAUCCUCUCCUCUUCAGGGAAAUCCAACGCAAGCUCAAGAGGUAGCAGUGAGCUUCACAUGGUACCAGCCAGAGCUUGGCGAAGCCGGCAAACCAGGAAUCGUGAGCAAGGAGCUGAACAUGCGGGCGUCCAUCAGAAGCCACUGCUUCCGGAAUCCCUUCACGACGGGCGAGAGCUUGAAGUCGAUCCUCGAGCUAGCAGUCGCGGCCAUGGCUUCGGAGGUCACGCACCCGGAGCGUUGACUAGCGUCCACCAGCCGGAGCACGAAGAAAUGCCGAAACAAGGCCACAGAGGGAGUGACACCCACCAUGGCCUCGCAAAGGAAGGCGAAGACGGCAAGGAGGAUGACGGAGCGGGGAUCCAGGUGCAACAGAUGGAUCUGGUAAUGCGACGGCACAACAUUGAAGAAGGGGGGGGGAUGGAGGAAUCAACCCAGCAAGAAGAGCAUGAAGAUGGAUGGGAAUCUCAGUGGCGCUCAUCUCUCUGGUCCGCCAAGACGCAGGGCGGGCAGCCGUCGCCCCUCCCUCGUUGGAGCUGGCAGCGAGCGCAUGGCGAACCUUGUCCGACCCUUCCUUAUUGAUCACCGUCAACUGCUCAAGGGCCGGCUCCAAGGCCGGCGGAGGACCUACCGGCGCGCGCGGCUUCACCUUCUUCCUCCUUGGCUUGAGAGCCAUGGUGAAUACCAGGAGAAAGCAAGGCGCCAGCACCAGAUCUACAGAUGCGGUGGCACGAUUGGGGAGGAAGAAACAAGAGUUGGGCACGGUGCGUCACGAAGGGCAAGUUGCGCUGACAACGGGCGGCUACUGGGUCUACCGGAUAUCAAGGCGGCAUGGGGAAGUGGAUACGCCCACGUCCCAUCAACCGCCACGUGUCUCCAGGGCCGCGGGCUGUUAGGGCCCGCCAUGUACACCCACUUAGUUUCUUUUGUUGAGCUUUCAUAUAUUUAUAGCUCUAGUGCAUCCGUUGCAUGGCAAUCCCUACUCCCCGCAUUGACAUCAAUUGAUGGGCAUCUCCAUAGCUCGUUGAUUAGUCGCGUCAAUGUGAGACUUUCUCCCUUUUUGUCUUCUCCAUACAACCUCCAUCAUCAUACUUUAUUCCACCCAUAGUGCUAUGUCCAUGGCUCGCGCUCAUAUAUUGCAUGAAAGUUGAAAAGGUUUGAAAAGGCUAAGUAUGAAACAAUUGCUUGGCUUGUCAUCGGGGUUGUGCAUGAUGGGAGCAUUUUGUGUGACGAAAAUGAAGCAUGGCCAAACUAUAUGAUUUUGUAGGGAUAAGCUUUCUUUGGCUAUGUUAUUUUGAUAAGACAUAAUUGCUUGGUUAGCAUGCUUGAAGUAUUAGUAUUAUUUUUAUGUCAAUAUUAAAAUUUUGUCUUGAAUCUUUUGGAUCUAAACAUUCAUGCCACAAUAAAGAGAAUUACAUUGAAAAUUAUGCUAGGUAGCAUUCCACAUCAAAAAUUCUGUUUUUAUCAUUUACCUACUCGAGGACGAGCAGGAAUUAAGCUUGGGGAUGCUUGAUACGUCUCCAACGUAUCUAUAAUUUUUGAUUGUUCCAUGCUAUUAUAUUAUCCGUUUUGGAUGUUUAAUGGGUUUUAAUAUACUCCUUUAUAUUAUUAUUUUGGCACUAACCUAUUAACUGAAAGCCCAGUGCAAAUUGCUGUUUUUUUGCCUAUUUCAGUGUUUUGCAGAAAAGGAAUAUCAAAUGGAAUCCAAAUGGAACGAAACCUUCGGGGGGAUUUUUCUUGGAACAAACGCAAUCCAGGAGACUUGGAGUGGAAGUCAGAGACGCAACGAGGCGGCCACGAGGCAGGAGGGAGCGCCCGGGGGGGUAGGCACGCCCCCACCCUCGUGGGCCCCUUGUAGCUCCACCGACCCACUUCUUUCGCCUAUAUAUACUCUUAUACCCUGAAAACAUUCAACGGAGCCACGAAACGACUUUUCCACCAUCGCAACCUUCUGUACCCGUGAGAUCCCAUCUUGGGGCCUUUUCCGGUGAUCUGCCGGAGGGGGAUUCGAUCAUGGAGGACUUCUACAUCAACACCAUAGCCUCUCCGAUGAUGUGUGAGUAGUUUACCACAGACCUUCGGGUCCAUAGUUAUUAGCUAGAUGGCUUCUUCUCUCUCUUUGAUUCUCAAUACAAAGUUCUCCUCGGUGUUCUUGGAGAUCUAUCCGAUGUAAUACUCUUUUGCGGUGUGUUUGCCGAGAUUCAAUGAAUUGUGGGUUUAUGAACUUGAUUAUCUACGAAUAUUAUUUGGUUCUUCUCUGAAUUCUUAUAUGCAUGAUUUGAUAUCUUUGGAAGUCUCUUCGAAUUAUCGGUUUAGUUUGGCCUACUAGAUUGAUCUUUUUUGCAAUGGGAGAAGUGCUUAGCUUUGGGUUCAAUCUUGUGGUGAUCGAUCCCACUGACAGAAAGGGAACCGACACGUAUUGUAUUGUUGCCAUCAAGGAUAAAAAGAUGGGGUUCAUAUCAUAUUGCUUGAGCUUAUCCCUCUACAUCAUGUCAUCUUUCUUAAACUGUUACUUCGUUCUUAUGAACUUAAUACUCUAGAUGCAUGCUCAAUAGCGGUCGAUGUGUGGAGUAAUAGUAGUAGAUGCAGAAUCGUUUCGGUCUACUUGACACGGGCGUGAUGCCUAUAUUCAUGAGGAUUGCCUUAGAUAUCAUCAUAACUAUGCGCUUUUCUAUCAAUUGAUCGGCAGUAAUUUGUUCACCCAUCGUAAUACAUGCUAUCUUGAGAGAAGCAACUAGUGAAACCUUUGGCCCCUGGUCUACUUUACAUCAUAUACGUUUCCAAUCUACAAUUCUAGUUUACUAUUUACUUUGCAAUCUUUAUUUUCCAAUCCAUACAACAAAAUGCCAAAAAUAUUUAUCUUAUUAUCUUUAUCAGAUCUCACUUUUGCAAGUGGCCGUGAAGGGAUUGACAACCCCUUUAUCGCGUUGGUUGCAAGGUUCUUGAUUGUUUGUGUAGGUACUAGGUGACUCGUGUGUAGUCUCCUACUGGAUUGAUACGUUGGUUCUCAGAAACUAAGGUAAAUACUUACGCUACUUUGCUGCAUCACCCUUUCCUCUUCAAGGGAAAACCAACGCAUGCUCAAGAGGUAGCAUGUGCUAUCAAACAUCACAAUGUAACUGGGUGGUUAUAAAGAUGCUCUACAGGUGUCUCUGAUGGUGUUUGUUGAGUUGGCAUAUAUCAAGAUUAGGAUUUGUCACUCCGUGUAUCAGAGAGGUAUCUCUGGGCCCUCUCGGUAAUGCUCAUCACUAUAAGCCUUGCAAGCAAUGUGACUAAUGAGUUAGUUGCAGGAUGAUGCAUUACGGAACGAGUAAAGAGACUUGCUAGUAACGAGAUUGAACUAGGUAUGAUGAUACCGACGAUCGAAUCUCGGGUAAGUAACAUACUGAUGACAAAGGGAACAACGUAUGUUGUUAUGCGGUUUGACCGAUAAUCUUCGUAGAAUAUGUAGGAGCCAAUAUGAGCAUCCAGGUUCCGGUAUUGGUUAUUGACCAGCGAUGUGUCUCGGUCAUGUCUACAUAGUUCUCGAACCCGUAGGGUCCGCACGCUUAACGUUCGAUGACAAUUUGUAUUAUGAGUUAUGUGAUUUGAUGACCGAAGUUUGUUCGGAGUCCCGGAUGAGAUCACGAACAUGACGAGGAGUCUCGAAAUGGUCGAGAGAUAAAGAUUGAUAUAUUGGAAGGCAGUAUUCGGACACUAGAAGGGUUCCGGAGUGUAUCAGGUACAUAUCGGAGUACCGGAGGGGUUACCGAAACCCCCCGGGGAAAGAUAUGGGCCUUAUGGGCCAGAGCAGGGAGGCUAAACAGCCCACAAGGGGCUGGUGCGCCCCCCACAAGGGAGGAGGCCGAAUUGGACUUGGGAAGGGGGCGCCACCCCCUUUCCUUCUCCUACUCCCUCUCCUUCCCCUUUUCCCCCUCUGGUAGAAGGAAAAAAGGGUGGGGCCGAAUCCUACUAGGACUGGAGUCCUAGUAGGACUCCCCUAUCCCUGGCGUGCCCCUUGUUGGCCGGCCUCCUCCUCCCCUCCUUUAUAUACGGGGGCAGGGGGCACCCCAGAGGCACAAUAGACAAUCUCUUAGCCGUGUGCGGUGCCCGCCUCCAUAGUUCAACACCUCGGCCAUAUUGUCGUAGUGCUUAGGAGAAGCCCUGCGCUCGUAACUUCAUCAUCACCGUCGCCGCGCCGUCGUGCUGAUGAAACUCUCCCUCGGCCUCAACUAGAUCAAGAGUACGAGGGACAUCAUCGAGCUUGAUGUGUGCUGAACACGGAGGUGCCGUACGUUCGGUGCUAGGAUCGGUCGGAUCGUGAAGACGUACGACUACAUCAACCGCGUUGAUAAAACUCUUCCGCUUUCGGUCUACGAGGGUACGUGGACACACUCUCCCCGCUCGUUGCUAUGCUUCUCCUAGAUAGAUCUUGCGUGAUCAUAGGAUUUUUUUUUGCAAUACUACGUUCCCCAACAGUGGCAUCUGAGCCAGGUCUAUGCGUAGAUGUUAUAUGCACUAGUAGAACACAAAGAGUUUUGGGCCGUAAUAGUCAUACUGCUUACCAGCAUGUCAUACUUUGAUUCGGCGGUAUUGUUGGAUGAAGCAUCCCAGACCGACAUUACAUGACCGCGUUCAUGAGACUAUUUCUACCGCCGUGCUUCGCACACAGGUGGCUAGUGGGUGUCUGUUUCUCCAACUUUAUUUGAAUCAAGUUUGACUAUGCUCGGUCCUUGUUGAAGGUUAAAACAGCAAACUUGCCGAAAAAUUAUUGUGGUUUUGAUGCGUAGGUUAGAACGGUUCUUGCUAAGCCCAUAGCACCCACGUAAAACUUGCAACAACAAAGUAGAUGAUGUCUAGCUUGUUUUUGCAGGCAUGUUGUGAUGUGAUAUGGUCAAGACAUGAUGAUAUAUAAAUUGUUGUAUGAGAUGAUCAUGUUUUGUAACAGUUAUCGGCAACUGGCAGGAGCCAUAUGGUUGUCGCUUUAUUGUAUGAAAUGCAAUCGCCAUGUAAUUGCUUUACUUUAUCACUAAGAGGUAGCGAUAGUCGUAGAAGCAAUAGUUGGCGAGACGACAACGAUGCUUCGAUGGAGAUCAAGGUGUCAAGCCAGUGAUGAUGGUGAUCAUGACGGUGCUUUGGAGAUGGAGAUCAAAGGCACAAGAUGAUGAUGGCCAUAUCAUAUCACUUAUAUUAAUUGCGUGUGAUGUUUAUCCUUUAUGCAUCUUAUUUUGCUUAGUAUGGCGGUAGCAUUAUAAGAUGAUCUCUCACUAAAUUUCAAGGUAUAAGUGUUCUCCCUAAGUAUGCAUCGUUGCUAUAGUUCUUCGUGCCAAUACACCACGUGAUGAUCGGGUGUGAUAAGCUCUACGUUCACAUACAACGGGUGCAAGCCAGUUUUGCACACGCAGAAUACUCGGGUUAAACUUGACGAGCCUAGCAUAUGCAGAUAUGACCGCGGGACACUGAGACCGAAAACAUAGUGAUGUUCACCAUUGAAAACUACUCCAUCUCACGUGAUGAUCGGACAUGGUUUAGUUGAUUUGGAUCACGUGAUCAUUUAGAUGACUAGAGGGAUGCCUAUCUAAGUGGGAGUUCUUAAGUAAUAUGAUUAUUUGAACUUUAAUUUAUCAUGAACUUAGUAUUGAUAGUAUUUGCAUAUCUAUGUUGUAGAUCAAUAGCUCACGUUUAGCUCCCCUAUUUUAUUUUUGAUAUGUUCCUAGAGAAAACUAAGUUGAAAGAUGAUAGUAGCAAUGAUGCGGACUGGGUCCGUGAUCUGAGGAUUAUCCUCAUUGCUGCACAGAAAAUUAUGUCCUUGAUGCACCACUAGGUGACAGACCUAUUGCAGGAGCAUAUGCAGACGUUAUGAACGUUUGACAAUGCUCGGUAUGAUGACUACUUGAUAGUUUAGUGCACCGUGCUUUACGGCUUAGAACCGGGACUUCAAAAACGUUUUGAACGCCACGGAGCAUAUGAGAUGUUCCAAGAGCUGAAAUUGCUAUUUCAGACUCAUGACCAUGUUAAUAGGUAUGAGACCUCUGACAAAGCACUUUGCCUACAAGAUGGAGGAGAAUAGCUCAGCUAGUGAGCAUGUGCUCAGAAUGUCUGACUACUACAAUCACUUGAAUCAAGUGGGAGUUAGUCUUCCAGAUAAGAUAGUGAUUGACAGAGUUCUCUAGUCACUAUCACCAAGUUAGUAGAACUAUGUGAUGAACUAUAAUAUGCAAGGGAUAACGGAAAAGAUUCCCAAGCUCUUCGCGAUGCUGAAAUCGACGAAGGUAGAAAUCAAGAAAAAACAUCAAGUGUUGAUGGUUGACAAGACCACUAGUUUCAAGUAAAAGGGCAAGGGAAAGAAAGGGAACUUCAAGAAGAAUGGCAAGCAAGUUGCCACUCCCGUGAAGAAGCCCAAAGCUAGACCCAAGCCUGGAACUGAGUGCUUCUACUGCAAAUGAAAUGGUCGUUGGAAGCGGAACUACCCCAAAUACUUGGCGGAUAAGAACGAUGGCAAAGUGAACAAAAGUAUAUAUGAUAUACAUGUUAUUGAUGUGUACUUUACUAGUGUUCAUAGUAGCCCCUAGGUACUUGAUACUGGUUUAGUUGCUAUGAUUAGCAACUUGAAACAGGAGUUACAAAAUGAACAGAGACUAGUUAAGGGCGAAGUGACGAUGUGUGUUGGAAUGAUUCCAAGGUUGAUAAGAUCACCAUCGCAUACUCCCUCUACCUUCAGGAUUAGUAUUGGAACUAAUUAAAUGUUAUUUGGCGUUUGCGUUGAGCAUAAAUAUGAUUUGAUCAUGUUUAUUGCGAUAUGGUUAUUCAUGUAAGUCAAAGAAUAAUUGUUGUUCUGUUUACGUGAAUAAAACCUUCUAUGGUCUUACAUCCAAUGUAAAUGGUUUACUGAAUCUCGAUCACAGUGAUACACAUAAUAUUGAUGCCAAAAGAUGCAAAGUUAAUAAUGAUAGUGCAAUUUAUUUACGGCACUACCGUUUAGGUCAUAUUGGUGUAAAUCACAUGAAGAAACUCCAUGCUGAUGGGCUUUUGGAAUCACUUGAUUAUGAAUCACUUGAUGCUUGCGAACCAUGCCUCAUGGGAAAGAUGACUAAGAUUCCUUUCUUCGAAACAAUGGAGCAAGCCAUUGACUUAUUGGAAAUAAUACAUACUGAUGUAUGCAGUCCGAUGAGUGUUGAGGCUCGCGGCAGGUAUCGUUAUUUUCUGACGUUCACAGAGGAUUUGAGCAGAUAUGAGUAUAUCUACUUAAUGAAACACAAGUCUGAAACGCUUGAAAAGUUCAAAGAAUUUCAGAGUGAAGUGGAGAAUCAUCGUAACAAGAAAAUAAAAUUUCUAUGAUCUGAUCGCAGAGGUGAAUAUUUGAGUUACGAGUUUGGCCUUCAUUUAAAACAAUGUGGAAUAGUUUCACAACUCACACCACCUGGAACACCACAUUGUAAUGGUGUGUCCGAACAUCUUGACCGUACUUUAUUAGAUAUAGUGCGAUCUAUGAUGUCUCUUACCGAUUUGCCACUAUCGUUUCAGGGUUAUGCAUUAGAAACAGCUGCAUUCACGUUAAAUAGGGCACCAUCUAAUCCGUUGAGACGACACCGUAUGAAAUGUGGUUUGGCAAGAAACCUAAGCUGUUGUUUCUUAAAGUUUGGGACUGUGAUGCUUAUGUGAAAAAGCUUCAAACCUGAUAAGCUCGAAUCCAAAUCGGAGAAGUGCGUCUUCAUAGGAUACCCAAAAGAAAUUGUUGGGUACACCUUCUAUCACAGAUCUGAAGGCAAGAUCUUUGUUGCUAAGAAUGGAUCCUUUCUAGAGAAGGAGUUUCUCUCGAAAGAAGUGAGUGGGAGGAAAGUAAACUUGUUGAGGUAGUUGUACCUUCUCCCGAAUUGGAAAGUACUUCAUCAAAGAAAUCAAUUCCAGUGAUUCCUACACCAAUUAGUGAGGAAGCUAAUGAUGAUGAUCAUGAAACUUCAGAUCAAGUUACUACCGAACCUCGUAGGUCAACCAGAGUACGGUCCGCACCAGAGUGGUACGAUAAUCCUUUCUGGAAGUCAUGUUACUAGACCAUGACGAACCUACGAACUAUGAGGAAGCGAUGAUGAGCCCAGAUUCCGUGAAAUGGCUUGAGGCCAUGAAAUCUGAGAUGGGAUCCAUGUAUGAGAACAAAGUAUGGACUUUGAUUGACUUGCCUGAUGAUUGGCGAGCCAUUGAGAUUAAAUGGAUCUUCAAGAGGAAGACGGACGCUGAUAGUAGUGUUACUAUCUACAAAGCUCGAAUUGUCACAAAGUGUUUUCGACAACUUCAAGGUGUUGACUACGAUGAGAGUUUCUCACUCGUAGCGAUGCUUAAGUCUGUCUGAAUCAUGUUAGCAAUUGCUGCAUUUUAUGAAAUCUGGCAAAUGGAUGUCAAAACUACAUUCCGUAAUGGAUUUAUUAAAGAAGAGUUGUAUAUGAUGCAACCAGAAGGUUUUGUCAAUCCUAAAGGUGCUAACAAAAUGAGCAAGCUCCAGCGAUCCAUCUAUGGACUGGUGCAAGCAUCUCGGAGUUGGAAUAUAUGCCUUGAUGAGUUGAUCAAAGCAUAUAGCUUUAUAUAGACUUGCGAUGAAGCCUGUAUUUACAAGAAAGUGAGUGGGAGCACUACAGCCUUUCUGAUAAGUAUAUGUGAAUGGCAUAUUGUUGAUCGGAAAUGAUGUAGAAUUUUCAAGAAAGCAUAAUGGAGUAUUUGAAAGGAGUUUUUCAAAGAAAGACCUCAGUGAAGCUGCUUACAUAUUGAGCAUCAAGAUCUAUAGAGAUAGAUCAAAACGCUUGAUAAAUUUUUCAAUGAGUGCAUACCUUGACAAGAUUUUGAAGUAGUUCAAAAUGGAACAGUCAAAGAAGGAGCUCUUGCAUGUGCUGCAAGUUGUGAAGUUGAGUAAAGACUCAAAACCCGACCACGGCAGAAAAUAGAAAGAGAAUGGUCAUUCCCUAUACCUCAGUCAUAGGUUCUAUAAAGUAUGCUAUGCUGUGUACCAGAUCUAUUGUGUACCUCACCAUGAGUUUGGCAAGAGGGUACAAUAGUGAUCCAGGAGUGGAUCACUGGACAACAGUCAAAAUUAUCCUUAGUGGAAAAAGGAAAUAUUUCUCGGUUAUGGAGGUGAUAAAGAGUUCGUCAUAAAGAGUUACGUCGAUGCAAGCUUUGACACCGGUCUAGAUGACUCUUAGUCUUGAUCUAGAUACAUAUUGAAAGUGGGAGCAAUUAGCUAGACUAGCUCCAUGCAGAGUAUUGUAGACAUAGAAAAUUUGCAAAAUACAUACGGCUCUGAAUGUGGAUCUAUCAUAGGGGAUCUACCGUAGUCCUUUCGAUAAGUAAGAGGUCGAACCCAACGAGGAGCAGAAGGAAAUGACAAGCGGUUUUCAGUAAGGUAUUCUCUGCAAGCACUGAAAUUAUCGGUAACAGAUAGUUUUGUGAUAAGGUAAUUUGUAACGGGUAACAAGCAAUGAAAGUAAAUAAGGUGCAGCAAGGUGGCCCAAUCUUUUUUGUAGCAAAGGGCAAGCCUGGACAAGUUCUUAUAUAGAGAAAAGCGCUCCCGAGGACACAUGGGAAUUAUCGUCAAGCUAGUUUUCAUCACGCUCAUAUGAUUCGCAUUCGUUACUUUGAUAAUUUGAUAUGUGGGUGGACCGGUGCCUGGGUACUACCCUUUCUUGGACAAGCAUCCCACUUAUGAUUAACCCCUAUUGCAAGCAUCCUCAACUACAGAAGAAGUAUUAAGGUAAACCUAACCAUAGCUUGAAACAUGUGGAUCCAAAUCAGCCCCUUACGAAGCAACGCAUAAACUAGGGUUUAAGCUUCUGUCACUCUAGCAACCCAUCAUCUACUUAUUACUUCCCAAUGCCUUCCUCUAGGCCCAAACAAUGGUGAAGUGUCAUGUAGCCGACGUUCACAUAACACCACUAGAGGAGAGACAACAUACAUCUCAUCAAAAUAUCGAACGAAUACCAAAUUCACAUGAAUACUAAUAGCAAGACUUCACCCAUGUCCUUAGGAACAAACGUAACUACUCACAAAUCAUAUUCAUGUUCAUAAUCAAAGGGGUAUUAAUAUGCAUUAAGGAUCUGAACAUAUGAUCUUCCACCAAAUAAACCAACUAGCAUCAACUACAAGGAUUAAUCAACACUACUAGCAACCCACAUGUACCAAUCUAAGGUUUUGGUACAAAGAUUGGAUACAAGAGAUGAACUACGGUUUGAGAGGAGAUGGUGCUGGUGAAGAUGUUGAUGGAGAUUGACCCCCUCCCGAUGAGAGGAUCGUUGGUGAUGAUGAUGGUGAUGAUUUCCCCCUCCCAGAGGGAAGUUUCCCCGGCAGAACAGCUCCGCCGGAACCCUAGAUUGGUUCCGCCAAGGUUCCGCCUCGUGGCGGCGGAGUUUCGUCCCGUAAGCUUGCUUAUGAUUUUUUUUUCAGGGUAAAAGACUUCAUAUAGCAGAAUAUGGCCACCAGAGGGCAGCCAGGGGGCCCACUAGGUAGGGGGCGUGCCCAGGGGGUAGAGCGCGCCCCCCACCCUCGUGGAUGGUGGGUGGCCCCCCUCAGGUAUUUCUUCCGCUCAAUAUUUUUUAAUAAUUCCCAAAAUGACUUUCGUGGAGUUUCAGGAAUUUUGGAGCUGUGCAGAAUAGGUCUCUAAUAUUUUCUCCUUUUCCAGCCCAGAAUCCCAGCUGUCGGCAUUCUCCCUUUGAUACCGAAGCGACGAGUGCCUUUCAUUGGAGAGACGCGGAGGUAGACAUGGUCUUCGAUUUCAAAAGCCAAAUCACGGUGCUUGCUAUCAUAGUAACUCUUCUGACGCGAUUGUGCGGCUUUGAGAUUCUCACGAAUGACUUUGCACAUUUCUUCGGCUUCUGUGAUCAAGUCGUUGCCAAGAAGUUGGCGUUCACCUAUCUCAGACCAGUUGAGAGGAGUACGGCACUUUCUGCCAUAGAGAAUUUCGAAUGGGGCCUUACCCGAACUCGCUUGGAAGAUGUUAUUGUAGGAGAACUCAGCAUAAGGAAGACAAUCUUCCCACUUCAUGCCAAAGGAGAUGACACAAGCCCUGAGCAUAUCUUCAAGGAUUUGAUUGACUCGCUCGACUUGGCCACUUGUUUGAGAAUGGAAAGCUGUGCUGAAACGAAUGUUGGUGCCCAUGGCCGUCUAAAAGGAGUCCCAGAACUUAGAAGUGAAGAUGCUUCCACGAUCUGAAGAUAUCAAUUGUGGAAUGCCGUGCAAGGAGACAAUUCUGGAGGUGUAUAACUCUGCCAGCUGAGCUGUUGUGAUAGAUUCUUUGAUAGGAAGAAAAUGAGCCACUUUGGUAAGCUUGUCAAUGACAACGAAGAUAGCAUCAUUUCCACGCUUGGACUUAGGAAACCCAGUCACGAAGUCCAUCUCGAUGUGAUCAAACUUCCAUUCCGGAAUAGCAAGAGGUUGAAGGAGACCAGCUGGUCUUUGGUGUUCUGCUUUCACCCUUCUGCAGACAUCACAUUCAUUCACGAAUUGAGCAAUUUCUCGCUUCAUUCGAGUCCACCAAUAUGACUGCUUGAGGUCAUGGUACAUCUUCAUACUUCCAGGAUGAAUGGAUAGGAGGGAAUUGUGUGCCUCAUUCAUGAUGACUUUUCUCAGAUCGCCUUUAGGAACCACAAUUCGAUCCUCGAAGAAAAGAGUAUCUUUGUCAUCCAAGCGAUAGCACUUGUAUUUGGAAAUGCCCUUGUCAAUACCACGUUUCACCUUCUUCACCAUGGUAUCCAGGAGUUGUGCCUCACGAAUUUGAUCUUCCAAAGUAGGAGUGACUAUGAGGUUGGCAAGAAAGCCUUGAGGAACAACUUGAAGAUUCAGCUUGCGGAAAGCUUCACAAAGAUCCGGUUGAAAUGGCUUGAGAAUUAGACUGUUGCAAUAAGCCUUUCUUCUCAGAGCAUCUGCAAUCACAUUCGCCUUGCCAGGAGUAUAUUCAAUACUUGGAUUGUACUCUUGAAUCAUUUCGACCCAUCGAGUUUGCCUGAGGUUGAGGUUUGGUUGAGUGAAGAUAUACUUGAGGCUCUUGUGAUCAGUGAAAAUGUCCACUUGCCUUCCCAAUAAGAGAUGUCUCCAUGUUAUCAAUGCGUGGACAACUGCCGCCAACUCAAGAUCGUGAGUGGGGUAGUUCUUUUCGUUGGGCUUCAACUGACGAGAGGUAUAAGCCACAACUUUCUUCUCUUGCAUUAACACAGCACCGAGACCUUGAAGAGAAGCAUCGCAGAACACUUCGAAUGGCUUGGAUUCAUCAGGAGGAGUUAAGACAGGAGCUGUGACUAGCUUCUCUUUGAGGGUGUUGAAAGCAAUGUCACACUCAGGCGUCCAGACAUACUUGACAUGCUUCUGGAGGAGGUUGGAAAGAGGCUUUGCAAUCUUUGAGAAGUUCUCAACGAAUCUUUGGCAAUAGCUUGCAAGACCAAGAAAGCUGCGAAGCUGUUUGACAUUCUGAGGAGGUUCCCAAUUCAGAACAGCAGAAACCUUCGCCGGAUUAACAGCAAUUCCCUUGGCGGAGAUGAUAUGACCAAGAUAAAGAACUUCAUCAAGCCAGAACUCACAUUUGGAAAACUUCACAUAGAAUUGAUGCUCUCUGAGCUUGUCGAGCACCAAUCGCAAAUGUUUGGCAUGAUCCGACUUAUUCUUGGAGAAGACCAAAAUAUCAUCGAGAUACACCAAGACGAAUUCAUUUGUGUAGGGGUUGAAGAUAAAGUUCAUCAUGCGAGAGAAAGUUGGAGGAGCAUUGACAAGGCCGAAAGACAUGACAGUAUAUUCAUAAGAACCAUAGCUUGUUCUGAAUGCUGUCUUGGGGAUAUCUUGUUCACGAAUGCGAAUCUGAUGACAACCCAUACGAAGGUCAAGCUUGGAGAAAACUUUAGCACCUUUGAGUUGCUCGAAAAGAUCAUUGAUGUUGGGAAGUGGAUACUUGUUCUUGAUUGUCUUCUUGUUCAAUGGACGGUAAUCGACGCAAUGUCAGUCCGUGCCAUCCUUCUUCUGGACAAAAAGAACUCCACAACCCCAUGGAGAUGAACUCGGUCUGAUCAAACCCAGACGCUCUUGUUGAUCGAGCUAUUUCUUCAAUUCCUUCAGCUCCUUGGGUCCAAGCUUGUAAGGACGCUUGCAAACAGGUUCAGUUCCAGGCUCAAGAUCGAUAACGAAUUCGACUGGCCGAUGAGGAGGCAUACCCGGAAGCUCUUCUGGAAAGACAUCUUGGUACUCACAAACGACUGGAAUUUGAGAAAUAGCAUCCAACUCGCCCUUCUCAUUGAGAGAGAAUAACCGAAUGGUUUCAUCACGAGCGGCAUAGAUGAUAACAUCCUCAGAAGGGUGUGUCAAUUGAAUUUCCCUGGCAGCACAAUCAAGCUGAGCCUUGUGCUUAGAAAGCCAGUCCAUCCCAAGAAUUAGAUCAAUAUCAGAGUCACCAAGGACAACUGGAGAAGACAGAAAUCUAUAGUCGCCCAUCUUGAUAGAGACAUCCCGAACCAUGGAGCUAGCAUUCAUGAAUUUACCCGGAGAGACAACUGAUAAUAGUCUAGGCAAAUCUUGAAAAACCAUCUCAUGCUUAGAUGUAAAAGGUCUUGAGAUGAAACUAUGCGAUGCACCAAUAUCAAAUAAGACUUUUGCAGGAAUAUCAUUAACUGAGAGAUUACCCAUUAUCACAUCUGAAGAAUCCUCUGCCUGAGCUGCAUUCAUCAUGUUCACCUUUGCAAACUUUGGAUUAUGCUUGACCACUGCAUUGCUUGAAGAUCUCAUAGGAGGAGGAGGAGGAAGGCGCCUUUGAUUGAAGCAUUUGUUCGCAUAGUGACCUUUCUGCUGGCACUUGUUGCAAGUCACUUCUGAGAGCGGACGGUGAUAAGGAGCAUUUGACCUUGGAGCUUGAGGCCGAUACUUGUUCUGAUGGCUUGGGUAGGGUGGGUGGGAAGAUCCACGACCACCUGAGUUCUCCUGUUGGUAAGGCUGACGAAACGGAGGAGGAGGAAGGUAGAACUUUUGCUGCUUAGCUGCCACUUGAGAGGAAGAAGAAGACUGAACUGCAUCCCUGAUUCUCUUCUUAGAUGCCUCACACUUGAGCUGAGCACCUUCUUGCUUGAGUGCCAUAUUGUAGAAUUGAUCAAACUGAGUAGGCUCAACAAGAACAAGAGCUAACUGCAGAUCCUCUCUAAGGCCACCUCUGAAUUGAUAGAUCAUACUCUUUUCAUCAGGAACGUCUUGUUUAGUGAAGCGAGCAAGUUUGUGAAACUGCUUGUUGUAUUCGUACACUGACAUGUUGCCUUGCUUGAGAUUGCGGAACUCCUCACGCUUGCUCUCAACAACACUGGAAGGAAUAUGGUGAGCUUUAAAGUCCUGACAGAAAUCAGUCCAAGUAAUCACUCGACCACCUCUGGAAUCCUUGUAUUGCUGGAACCAAUCAGCUGCUUGAUCCUUGAGAUGAAAAGAAGCGAACUUGACAUAGUCCUCAGGCCUGACAUUGCUGCAUUCAAAAUGCUUGUUGAAAUCCACGAGCCAAUCGUCGGCGUCUGUGGCCUCGGCACAGUAGCUGAAAGACUUCGGCUGAUUUGCAAGGAAUUGAUUGAGGUAGGAAACUGAGGCUGAUGAUUGAACUGCCCUUGACCUUAAUUCCCUUGGUUGCCUUGGCCUUGGUUGCGCUCUUGCAUGAGCUGAAUCAUCAUCUGGGCAUGGGCGUUAGAGGCUGCCAUCAAAGCUUGCCAUGCCUCCGGAGGCGGAGGUGGAGGUGGAGGGUUCGCCUGACUGUCAUCAUUGCGUUCCAGAUUCUGACGCGUUGGCGGAGCCAUCCUGAAGAGGGUGACAUCCGUUAGCAUCUUGAUAGACAGAUAGACAAGUUGAAUCAACGGAUAGAAAUUGCAACAUAUAGUCUUCACAAUAAACAUUCGGACAAGGAUGAACGAAUGAAUUCCAAAGUAAACAUCACGUCCAUUAAGGUGAGAAGCCACUUGAUAAGAUAUUGAUGAUAGAAAAAUAAAAGCAAGGUACGGAUGGAACAAAUAAGUGGUAAGGAUUACCCAAUCACAAACCAAAUAUCUGCGGGAAGAAAUGCUAGAGCUACUUGAAUCCCACCUAUAAACUCCCGAAACUUUCCGGUUAUGCAAUCAGGUGUUGGGGAUACAGGGGAAGCAAUAUAUCUCACCCAAACUAACAAUCCCUGCAUCCAGUUGUAUCCAUCCUUCAACACAUAACCAAGAAACCUUCGGAAAUUGUGUACCUCAACCUUCGAAAAGCAUCUGUUAUACGAGUCAUGGCAAUACUCCCGAGCUCGCCCCAGUACUGGGUUAUCGGGGUUAUCUCACCAACAACUGUACAAAAGAGAUUUUCGAUGUCGGCAAAUCUCAGGUAUUCCAGAACUGUAACGAUAAAAUUGUGACGAGAACACCUCGGAGCUCAACUCCCCUGGACACUGCCACAACCCCUAAAUGUCAGGAGGCACCAAGAACAAUGUUCUCGUCACAAAACCAUCGGAACGACUCCAAGAUACCCGCGUGAUCCUAAAAAAUUUAGUGAAAUUUGAGAAGAGGAAAGUCAAAACAUCUACGUCAGGAGACCUCACCAGAGCGACGAAGGGACUGAGGAGUAAAAAGAAAUCCUACUCUCCGAUAUAUAUAUAAUCCUAAGACUCAAAACAUUUUUGUUCUAGACUCAACAUCGCCAGCAAACAAUCAAGCAGGGGGCUUCUAAGUCGGGGAUGGCUCUGAUUACCAACUUGUAACGCCCUCGAUGCGGCUAUAUCUCCCACGUGUCGAAGCACGACUUAGAGGCAUAACCGCAUUGAAAGCAAUGUCGCAAGUGAGGUAAUCUUCGCACAACCCAUGUAAUACAUAAGGGAAAGAGAUACAUAGUUGGCUUACAGUCGCCACUUCACACAAUACAUAAAUAAACAUCCAUCAUCCAGAUUACACUCAAGGUCCGACUACGGAACCAAAAUAAAAGAAGACUACCCCAAAUGCUACACAGAUCCCCCGAUCGUCCCGACUGGGCACCUCUACUGAUCAUCUGGAAACGAAACAUAGUAACGACCAAGGGCCUCAUCAAAUUCCCACUUGAGCUCGGUUGCGCCAUCUGCGCCAGUAUCCUCGGCACCUGCAUCUGUUUUGGUAGAAACUGUGAGUCACAAGGACUCAGCAACCUCACACCCGCGAGAUCAAGACUAUUUAAUCUCAAAGGUAGGAAAGGGCAAUAUGGUGGAGCUGCGGCAAGCACUAAGCAUAUAUGGUGGCUAACAUACGCAAGUGAGAGCGAGAAGAGAAGCAACGCAUUGGUCGAGAAGCUAGAAGUGAUCAAGAAGUGAUCCUGAAACUACUUACGUCAAGCAUAACUCAAACUGUGUUCACUUCCCGGACUCCGCCGAGAAGAGACCAUCACGGCUACACACGCGGUUGAUGCAUUUUAAUGAAGUCAAGUGUCAAGUUAUCUACAACCAGACAUUAAAAAAUUCCCAUCUGCCUCAUAACCGCGGGCACGGCUUUCGAAAGAUUAUAUACCCUGCAUGGGUGUCCCAACUUAGCCCAUCAUAAGCUCUCACGGUCAACGAAGGAUAAACCUUCUCCCGGGAAGACCCGAUCAGUCUCGGAAUCCCAGUUCGCAAGACAUUUCGACAAUGGUAAAACAAGACCAGCAAAGCCGCCCGAUGUGCCGACAAAUCCCGAUAGGAGCUGCACAUAUCUCGUUCUCAGGGCACACCGGAUGAGACAUCCUACGAGUAAAACCAGACCUCGAGUUUCCUCGAGGGGGCCCCGCAGUCUACUCAGUUCGGACCAACACUCGAAGGAGCACUGGCCCGGGGGGGUUAAAAUAAAGAUGACCCUCGGGCUCACGAAAACCCAAGGGAAAAAGGGUAAUAGGUGGCAAAUGGUAAAACCAAGGUUGGGCCUUGCUGGAGGAGUUUUAUUCAAAGCGAACUGUCAAGGGGGUCCCAUAAAUCACCCAACCGCGUAAGGAACGCAAAAUCAAGGAACAUAACACCAGUAUGACGGAAACUAGGACGGCAAGAGUGGAACAAGUCACCAGGCAUAAGGCCGAGCCUUCCACCCUUUACCAAAUAUAUAAGGUGCAUCAAUUAAACAGGAGAUAUUGUGAUAUCCCAAAAUAUCCAUGUUCCGACCAGGAACAAACUUCAUCUUCACCUGCAACUAGCAACGCUAUAAGAGGGGCUGAGCAAAAGCGGUGAAAUAGCCAAACAACGGUUUGCUAGGACAGGGUGGUUAGAGGGUUGACAUGGCAAUAGGAAGGCAUGAUAAACAAAGGCAGGUAGGACUAACAUAGCGAAAGAGCGAACAGCUAGCAAAGCAAAGAUAGAAGUGAUAUCGAAGGUAUGGUCAUCUUGCCUGCAAAGUUCUCAGAGUUGUCGAAGGCUUGAUCCUCGUAAGCGUUAUCAACAGGUUCCUCAUUCACGUACUCAUCUCCCGGCUCUACCCAAAGCAAGAACACAAGCAAAGGAACCACAAUAAAUCACGGUGCAAUGCACAAGCAACAAGAUGCAAUGCGUGCCAUGAUAUGCGAGAUGUGCUAUGCAAUGCAUAUGCGUGCUUCGGGAGGAAAAUGAUGAACAAGGCAUCAACUUGGCAAACCAAGUAUGCCGCUGGAAAGAUGAGAUGAUUUCGGUUGAAAUCGAUAUGAAGAUCAUCGGAAACGGAUGCACGGUUUGCAAAUGGCAAGCAAAACAAUAAGGGCACAAAUCUGCGAUUAACAGCACGAUGCUACUUAGCAUGCAACAAGAAACUAUGCUACAGCACCCCAACAUAAAAACAAAGCAUAUGGCAAAGAUCUACAGGAGAUGCUUUACAAAAGAGGAACACUGAGCUACGGCUAAAUCACAUCAUAACAGGUCCAAACAAGCAUGGUGAAAGUGCAAAAAAUAUCAGGCUGGACAUGGCACAAACAGCAUCAGGAAGCAAUGUUCAGAGCAAGUUAUCAACAAGCUACAGGAACUUAUAAUAGCAAAACAAGACAUGGCAUGAAUCUACUCAAAGUAUAGAUCAAAAGUCCCUUACUGACCAUAAGCCAAAAAGGACCAGAAGAAAUAAUGGCAUGCAUGUAAACAUAGCAAGUUUCGUUAACAGAUUCAGCAAACAAAGCAUGGCAUUGACAGAAUUACGAAGGCACCUUCGUGAGCUUGAUGCACUCACUAUAGAGCACCUCAUGAUAAACUAAGCAUACCCACAUCAAGAAGACAUGGCAUAGAAGCUAUACAUGGCAAGAACAACAUCAUAGCAUACACGGAUCAACUACAACAACCUCGUUAAAAUUGAAUAUCAUGCAAACAAUCUGCCAGGAAACAUUUUGUAGCAAAAGUAGAGCAUGAAAAUGACAUGCUAGACUAAUCCAUAAUUCCAAACAAGGACAUGAAUGGAUAGAGCAUAACCAUAUGUUCAAAACACCCUUACUGAAGUAUCUCUAAAUAUGCAUGGAUCUCUCUGUAGCAACAUGUUUACAUGGCAUCACAAUAACAGCAGAACAGGGACUAAAAUCAGCAAUAUCACGAAGCCUAGUUUGCAUGCUUGUGCUAGUCACCACAUAGAUCACAAAAAUACAUGGCAUACACCCCUGUAAAGCUGGCAUGGCAUAGAUCAAAACAUAUGUAGGGCUCAAGUUCAUAAGAUGCACACAUUAAUCAUGGCAAAAAUGACAAAAGUGCAAGUUCUGUUAAGAAACAGAAACUAACAUCACAUAGCCCUCUUCCAACAGCAUUUCGGGCAUCAAGAUCAGCUCAAAUGUAAAUGAUGCAAUGGAAUGAAAUGAUGUACUCUUCGAGGCGAACAAUGUGACAUAUUACACGCAUGAAACGGAGCUACGGGUGCGAAGAUGUGAUGCGAUGAACAUGCUACAAUUUUAACAGCAGUUAACAGGACAGUGAAAAACGGGGGGGGAGAACUGAGGUCAACCCUAGAUCGACCGGAUCUGGACCGGCUGCGCGCGGAUGCCGAGGUCGCCGGAGUUGGGGAGCUUGCCGGAGUCGGAGGCGGCCGAGGCGGCUGCUGGAGGCGNNNNNNNNNNNNNNNNNNNNNNNNNNNNNNNNNNNNNNNNNNNNNNNNNNNNNNNNNNNNNNNNNNNNNNNNNNNNNNNNNNNNNNNNNNNNNNNNNNNNNNNNNNNNNNNNNNNNNNNNNNNNNNNNNNNNNNNNNNNNNNNNNNNNNNNNNNNNNNNNNNNNNNNNNNNNNNNNNNNNNNNNNNNNNNNNNNNNNNNNNNNNNNNNNNNNNNNNNNNNNNNNNNNNNNNNNNNNNNNNNNNNNNNNNNNNNNNNNNNNNNNNNNNNNNNNNNNNNNNNNNNNNNNNNNNNNNNNNNNNNNNNNNNNNNNNNNNNNNNNNNNNNNNNNNNNNNNNNNNNNNNNNNNNNNNNNNNNNNNNNNNNNNNNNNNNNNNNNNNNNNNNNNNNNNNNNNNNNNNNNNNGCGCGGGGAGCGGGCGGCGGCGGACGGGCCUUGCGGGCCCGCUGCGGGCUCGCGGGCCGGCGGCGGCGGACGGUGGCGCUGCACCACGUGGCAAGCCGCGGUUGGCCGAGCGUGGCGGGCGGACGUGUCCGGCUCGCCCGGACGUGUCCGGCGGCGUGGAGAGGGGAGAUUUUUAGGGUUUCGUCCGUGAAUUCGGGGGAGGGAUCUAUAUAUAGAGGUAGAGGGAGCUAGGAGUGUCCAAAUGAGGUGCGGUUUUUGCCCACACGAUCUUGAUUGAACGACCGAGAGCAUGGAGGGGUGUUAGAUGGGUUUUGGGCCACUUUGGAAGGGGUGUUGGGCUGCAACUUAAAAGAGGCCUUUGCGAGAGUGCGGUUAACCGUUGGAGUACCAAAUGAGCUCCAAAUGACCCGAAACUUGACAGGUGGUCUACCGGUGGUGUACCAAGGCCACUUGGCAAGGCUUGGUCCAUUCCGAGAAUGUUCAACACCCGCACACGAAAAGAGACAAGAGGGGUGCGCCGGUGCAUGUGGGAGUGUCGGAUUGCAAAACGGACAACGGGGAAAAUGCUCAGAUGCAUGAGACGAACACGUAUGCAAAAUGAAAUGCACAUGAUGACAUGAUAUGAUAUGCAUGACAUGAAUAAAAUGCAAAACAAAAGACAAAACCCAACCACGGAGGGAAUAUCAUAGCGCAUAGCCGAAAAUGGCAAGAGUUGGAGUUACAAAGAUGGAAAGUUACCUCCGGGGUGUUACAACACUCCACCACUACAAGAGGAUCUCGUACCGAGAUCUAGGACUGAAAGAACUCCGAAUAUUCGGAACGGAGGUGAUCCUCGCGCUCCCAGGUGGCUUCUCGGUCGGAAUGGUGUGACCACUUCACUUUCAGGAAUUUUAUUGACUUGUUGCGAGUCUUGCGCUCGGUUUCUUCAAGAAUAGCAACGGGGUGCUCAUGAUAAGAGAGGUCUUCUUGGAGGUCAAUUUCUUCAAAGUUGAUAGUGCACUCAGGAGUCUUGAAGCACUUGCAGAGUUGUGACACGUGAAACACAUCAUGCACGUUUGCAAAGUUGGAUGGAAGCUCAAGUUGAUAGGCGAGAUAGCCUCUUUUUCCAAUGAUCUUGAAAGGACCCACGUAUCUAGGGGCAAGCUUCCCUUUGAUACUGAAGCGACGAGUGCCUUUCAUUGGAGAGACGCGGAGGUAGACAUGGUCUUCGAUUUCAAAAGCCAAAUCACGGUGCUUGCUAUCAUAGUAACUCUUCCGACGCGAUUGUGUGGCUUUGAGAUUCUCAUGAAUGACUUUGCACAUUUCUUCGGCUUCUGUGAUCAAGUCGUUGCCAAGAAGUUGGCGUUCACAUGUCUCAGACCAGUUGAGAGGAGUACGGCACUUUCUGCCAUAGAGAAUUUUGAAUGGGGCCUUGCCCGAACUCGCUUGGAAGCUGUUAUUGUAGGAGAACUUGGCAUAAGGAAGACAAUCUUCCCACUUCAUGCCAAAGGAGAUGACACAAGCCCUGAGCAUAUCUUCAAGGAUUUGAUUGACUCGCUCGACUUGGCCACUUGUUUGAGGAUGGAAAGCUGUGCUGAAACGAAUGUUGGUGCCCAUGGCCGUCUGAAAGGAGUCCCAGAACUUAGAAGUGAAGAUGCUUCCAUGAUCUGAAGAUAUCAAUUGUGGAAUGUCGUGCAAGGAGACAAUUCUGGAGGUGUAUAACUCUGCCAGCUGAGCUGCUGUGAUAGAUUCUUUGAUAGGAAGAAAAUGAGCCACUUUCGUAAGCUUGUCAAUGACAACAAAGAUAGCAUCAUUUCCACGCUUGGACUUAGGAAAACCAGUCACGAAGUCCAUCUCGAUGUGAUCAAACUUCCAUUCCGGAAUAGUAAGAGGUUGAAGGAGACCAACUGGUCUUUGGUGUUCUGCUUUCACCCUUCUGCAGACAUCACAUUCAUUCACGAAUUGAGCAAUUUCUCGCUUCAUUCGAGUCCACCAAUAUGACUGCUUGAGGUCAUGGUACAUCUUCGUACUUCCAAGAUGAAUGGAUAGGAGGGAAUUGUGUGCCUCAUUCAUGAUGACUUUUCUCAGAUCGCCUUUAGGAACCACAAUUCGAUCCUCGAAGAAAAGAGUAUCUUUGUCAUCCAAGCGAUAGCACUUGUAUUUGGAAAUGCCCUUGUCAAUACCAUGUUUCACCUUCUUCACCAUGGUAUCCAGGAGUUGUGCCUCACAAAUUUGAUCUUCCAAAGUAGGAGUGACUAUGAGGUUGGCAAGAAAGCCUUGAGGAACAACUUGAAGAUUCAGCUUGCGGAAAGCUUCACAAAGAUCCGGUUGAAAUGGCUUGAGAAUUAGACUGUUGCAAUAAGCCUUUCUGCUUAGAGCAUCUGCAAUCACAUUCGCCUUGCCAGGAGUAUAUUCAAUACUUGGAUUGUACUCUUGAAUCAUUUCGACCCAUCGAGUUUGCCUGAGGUUGAGGUUUGGUUGAGUGAAGAUAUACUUGAGGCUCUUGUGAUCGGUGAAAAUGUCCACUUGCCUUCCCAAUAAGAGAUGUCUCCAUGUUAUCAAUGCGUGGACAACUGCUGCCAACUCAAGAUCGUGAGUGGGGUAGUUCUUUUCGUUGGGCUUCAACUGAUGAGAGGUAUAAGCCACAACUUUCUUCUCUUGCAUUAACACAGCACCGAGACCUUGAAGAGAAGCAUCGCAGAACACUUCGAAUGGCUUGGAUUCAUCAGGAGGAGUUAAGACAGGAGCUGUGACUAGCUUCUCUUUGAGGGUGUUGAAAGCAACGUCACACUCAGGCGUCCAGACAUACUUGACAUGCUUCUGGAGGAGGUUGGAAAGAGGCUUUGCAAUCUUUGAGAAGUUCUCAACGAAUCUUCGGCAAUAGCUUGCAAGACCAAGAAAGCUGCGAAGCUGUUUGACAUUCUGAGGAGGUUCCCAAUUCAGAACAGUAGAAACCUUCGCCAGAUUAACAGCAAUUCCCUUGGCGGAGAUGAUAUGACCAAGAUAAAGAACUUCAUCAAGCCAGAACUCACAUUUGGAAAACUUCGCAUAGAAUUGAUGCUCUCUGAGCUUGUCGAGCACCAAUCGCAAAUGUUUGGCAUGAUCCGACUUAUUCUUGGAGAAGACCAAAAUAUCAUCGAGAUACACCAAGACGAAUUCAUUUGUGUAGGGGUUGAAGAUAAAGUUCAUCAUGCGAGAGAAAGUUGGAGGAGCAUUGACAAGGCCGAAAGACAUGACAGUAUAUUCAUAAGAACCAUAGCUUGUUCUGAAUGCUGUCUUGGGGAUAUCUUGUUCACGAAUGCGAAUCUGAUGACAACCCAUACAAAGGUCAAGCUUGGAGAAAACUUUAGCACCUUUGAGUUGCUCGAAAAGAUCAUUGAUGUUGGGAAGUGGAUACUUGUUCUUGAUUGUCUUCUUGUUCAAUGGACGGUAAUCGACGCAAUGUCGGUCCGUGCCAUCCUUCUUCUGGACAAAAAGAACUCCACAACCCCAUGGAGAUGAACUCGGUCUGAUCAAACCCAGACGCUCUUGUUGAUCGAGCUAUUUCUUCAAUUCCUUCAGCUCCUUGGGUCCAAGCUUGUAAGGACGCUUGCAAACAGGUUCAGUUCCAGGCUCAAGAUCGAUAACGAAUUCGACUGGCCGAUGAGGAGGCAUACCCGGAAGCUCUUCUGGAAAGACAUCUUGGUACUCACAAACGACUGGAAUUUGAGAAAUAGCAUCCAACUCGCCCUUCUCAUUGAGAGAGAAUAACCGAAUGGUUUCAUCACGAGCGGCAUAGAUGAUAACAUCCUCAGAAGGGUGUGUCAAUUGAAUUUCCCUGGCAGCACAAUCAAGCUGAGCCUUGUGCUUAGAAAGCCAGUCCAUCCCAAGAAUUAGAUCAAUAUCAGAGUCACCAAGGACAACUGGAGAAGACAGAAAUCUAUAGUCGCCCAUCUUGAUAGAGACAUCCCGAACCAUGGAGCUAGCAUUCAUGAAUUUACCCGGAGAGACAACUGAUAAUAGUCUAGGCAAAUCUUGAAAAACCAUCUCAUGCUUAGAUGUAAAAGGUCUUGAGAUGAAACUAUGCGAUGCACCAAUAUCAAAUAAGACUUUUGCAGGAAUAUCAUUAACUGAGAGAUUACCCAUUAUCACAUCUGAAGAAUCCUCUGCCUGAGCUGCAUUCAUCAUGUUCACCUUUGCAAACUUUGGAUUAUGCUUGACCACUGCAUUGCUUGAAGAUCUCACAGGAGGAGGAGGAGGAAGGCGCCUUUGAUUGAAGCAUUUGUUCGCAUAGUGACCUUUCUGCUGGCACUUGUUGCAAGUCACUUCUGAGAGCGGAAGGUGAUAAGGAGCAUUUGACCUUGGAGCUUGAGGCUGAGACUUGUUCUGAUGGCUUGGGUUGGGUGGGUGGGAAGAUCCACGACCACCUGAGUUCUUCUGUUGGUAAGGCUGACGAAACGGAGGAGGAGGAAGGUAGAACUUUUGCUGCUUAGCUGCCACUUGAGAGGAAGAAGAAGACUGAACUGCAUCCCUGAUUCUCUUCUUAGAUGCCUCACACUUGAGCUGAGCACCUUCUUGCUUGAGUGCCAUAUUGUAGAAUUGAUCAAACUGAGUAGGCUCAACAAGAACAAGAGCUAACUGCAGAUCCUCUCUAAGGCCACCUCUGAAUUGAUAGAUCAUACUCUUUUCAUCAGGAACGUCUUGUUUAGCGAAGCGAGCAAGUUUGUGAAACUGCUUGUUGUAUUCGUACACUGACAUGUUGCCUUGCUUGAGAUUGCGGAACUCCUCACGCUUGCUCUCAACAACACUGGUAGGAAUAUGGUGAGCUUUAAAGUCCUGAUAGAAAUCAGUCCAAGUAAUCACUCGACCACCUCUGGAAUCCUUGUAUUGCUGGAACCAAUCAGCUGCUUGAUCCUUGAGCUGAAAAGAAGCGAACUUGACAUAGUCCUCAGGCCUGACAUUGCUGCAUUCAAAAUGCUUGUUGAAAUCCACGAGCCAAUCAUCGGCGUCUGUGGCCUCGACACAGUAGCUGAAAGACUUCGGCUGAUUUGCAAGGAAUUGAUUGAGGGUAGGAAACUGAGGCUGAUGAUUGAACUGCCCUUGACCUUGAUUCCCUUGGUUGCCUUGGCCUUGGUUGCGCUCUUGCAUGAGCUGAAUCAUCAUCUGGGCAUGGGCGUUAGAGGCUGCCAUCAAAGCUUGCCAUGCCUCCGGAGGCGGAGGUGGAGGUGGAGGGUUCGCCUGACUGUCAUCAUUGCGUUCCAGAUUCUGAUGCGUUGGCGGAGCCAUCAUGAAGAGGGUGACAUCCGUUAGCAUCUUGAUAGACAGAUAGACAAGUUGAAUCAACGGAUAGAAAUUGCAACAUAUAGUCUUCACAAUAAACAUUCGGACAAGGAUGAACGAAUGAAUUCCAAAGUAAACAUCACGUCCAUUAAGGUGAGAAGCCACUUGAUAAGAUAUUGAUGAUAGAAAAAUAAAAGCAAGGUACGGAUGGAACAAAUAAGUGGUAAGGAUUACCCAAUCACAAACCAAAUAUCUGCGGGAAGAAAUGCUAGAGCUACUUGAAUCCCACCUAUAAACUCCCGAAACUUUCCGGUUAUGCAAUCAGGUGUUGGGGAUACAGGGGAAGCAAUAUAUCUCACCCAAACUAACAAUCCCUGCAUCCAGUUGUAUCCAUCCUUCAACACAUAACCAAGAAACCUUCAGAAAUCGUGUACCUCAACCUUCGAAAAGCAUCUGUUAUACGAGUCAUGGCAAUACUCCCGAGCUCGCCCCAGUACUGGGUUAUCGGGGUUAUCUCACCAACAACUGUACAAAAGAGAUUUUCGAUGUCGACAAAUCUCAGGUAUUCCAGAACUGUAACGAUAAAAUUGUGACGACAACACCUCGGAGCUCAACUCCCUGGGACACUGUCACAACCCCUAAAUGUCAGGAGGCACCAAGAACAAUGUUCUCGUCACGAAACCAUCGGAACGACUCCAAGAUACCCGCGUGAUCUUAAAAAAAAUUAGUGAAAUUUGAGAAGAGGAAAGUCAAAACAUCUACGUCAGGAGACCUCACCAGAGCGACGAAGGGACUGAGGAGUAAAAAGAAAUCCUACUCUCCGAUAUAUAUAUAAUCCUAAGACUCAAAACAUUUUUGUUCUAGACUCAACAUCGCCAGCAAACAAUCAAGCAGGGGGCUUCUAAGUCGGGGAUGGCUCUGAUUACCAACUUGUAACGCCCUCGAUGCGGCUAUAUCUCCCACGUGUCGAAGCACGACUUAGAGGCAUAACCGCAUUGAAAGCAAUGUCGCAAGUGAGGUAAUCUUCGCACAACCCAUGUAAUACAUAAGGGAAAGAGAUACAUAGUUGGCUUACAGUCGCCACUUCACACAAUACAUAAAUAAACAUCCAUCAUCCAGAUUACACUCAAGGUCUGACUACGGAACCAAAAUAAAAGAAGACUACCCCAAAUGCUACACAGAUCCCCCGAUCGUCCCGACUGGGCACCUCUACUGAUCAUCUAGAAACGAAACAUAGUAACGACCAAGGGCCUCAUCAAAUUCCCACUUGAGCUCGGUUGCGCCAUCUGCGCCACUAUCCUCGGCACCUGCAUCUAUUUUGGUAGAAACUGUGAGUCACGAGGACUCAGCAACCUCACACCCGCGAGAUCAAGACUAUUUAAGCUCAAAGGUAGGAAAGGGCAAUAUGGUGGAGCUGCGGCAAGCACUAAGCAUAUAUGGUGGCUAACAUACGCAAGUGAGAGCGAGAAGAGAAGCAACGCAUCGGUCGAGAAGCUAGAAGUGAUCAAGAAGUGAUCCUGAAACUACUUACGUCAAGCAUAACUCAAACCGUGUUCACUUCCCGGACUCCGCUCAGAAGAGACCAUCACGGCUACACACGCGGUUGAUGCAUUUUAAUGAAGUCAAGUGUCAAGUUAUCUACAACCGGACAUUAACAAAUUCCCAUCUGCCUCAUAACCGCGGGCACGGCUUUUGAAAGAUUAUAUACCCUGCAUGGGUGUCCCAACUUAGCCCAUCAUAAGCUCUCACGGUCAACGAAGGAUAAACCUUCUCCCGGGAAGACCCGAUCAGUCUCGGAAUCCCGGUUCGCAAGACAUUUUGACAAUGGUAAAACAAGACCAGCAAAGCCGCCCGAUGUGCCGACAAAUCCCGAUAGGAGCUGCACAUAUCUCGUUCUCAGGGCACACCGGAUGAGACAUCCUACGAGUAACACCAGACCUCGAGUUUCCCCGAGGGGGCCCCGCAGUCUACUCAGUUCGGACCAACACUCGAAGGAGCACUGGCCCGGGGGGGUUAAAAUAAAGAUGACCCUCGGGCUCGCGAAAACCCAAGGGAAAAAGGGUAAUAGGUGGCAAAUGGUAAAACCAAGGAUGGGCCUUGCUGGAGGAGUUUUAUUCAAAGUGAACUGUCAAGGGGGUCCCAUAAAUCACCCAACCGCGUAAGGAACGCAAAAUCAAGGAACAUAACACCAGUAUGACGGAAACUAGGACGGCAAGAGUGGAACAGGUCACCAGGCAUAAGGCCGAGCCUUCCACCCUUUACCAAAUAUAUAAGGUGCAUUAAUUAAACAAGAGAUAUUGUGAUAUCCCAAAAUAUCCAUGUUCCGACCAGGAACAAACUUCAUCUUCACCUGCAACUAGCAACGCUAUAAGAGGGGCUAAGCAAAAGCGGUGACAUAGCCAAACAACGGUUUGCUAGGAUAGGGUGGUUAGAGGGUUGACAUGGCAAUAGGAAGGCAUGAUAAACAAAGGCAGGUAGGACUAACAUAGAGAAAGAGCGAACAGCUAGCAAAGCAAAGAUAGAAGUGAUAUCGAAGGUAUGGUCAUCUUGCCUGCAAAGUUCUCAGAGUUGUCGAAGGCUUGAUCCUCGUAAGCAUUAUCAACAGGUUCCUCGUUCACAUACUCAUCUCCCGACUCUACCCAAAGCAAGAAUACAAGCAAAGGAACCACAAUAAAUCACGGUGCAAUGCACAAGCAACAAGAUGCAAUGCGUGCCAUGAUAUGCGAGAUGUGCUAUGCAAUGCAUAUGCGUGCUUCGGGAGGAAAAUGAUGAACAAGGCAUCAAAUUGGCAAACCAAGUAUGCCGCUGGAAAGAUGAGAUGAUUUCGGUUGAAAUCGAUAUGAAGAUCAUCGGAAACGGAUGCACGGUUUGCAAAUGGCAAGCAAAACAAUAAGGGCACAAAUUUGCGAUUAACAGCACGAUGCUACUUAGCAUGCAACAAGAAACUAUGCUACAGCACCCCAACAUAAAAACAAAGCAUAUGGCAAAGAUCUACAGGAGAUGCUUUACAAAAGAGGAACACUGAGCUACGGCUAAAUCACAUCAUAACAGGUCCAAACAAGCAUGGUGAAAGUGCAAAAAAUAUCAGGCUGGACAUGGCAUAAACAGCAUCAGGAAGCAAUGUUCAGAGCAAGUUAUCAACAAGCUACAGGAAUUUAUAAUAGCAAAACAAGACAUGGCAUGAAUCUACUCAAAGCAUAGAUCAAAAGUCCCUUACUGACCAUAAGCCAAAAAGGACCAGAAGAAAUAAUGGCAUGCAUGUAAACAUAGCAAGUUUCGUUAACAGAUUCAGCAAACAAAGCAUGGCAUUGACAGAAUUACGAAGGCACCUUCGUGAGCUCGAUGCACUCACUACAGAGCACCUCAUGAUAAACUAAGCAUACCCACAUCAAUAAGACAUGGCAUAGAAGCUAUACAUGGCAAGAACAACAUCAUAGCAUACAUGGAUCAACUACAACAACCUCGUUAAAAUUGAAUAUCAUGCAAACAAUCUGCCAGGAAACAUUUUGUAGCAAAAGUAGAGCAUGAAAAUGACAUGCUAGACUACUCCAUAAUUCCAAACAAGGACAUGAAUGGAUAGAGCAUAACCAUAUGUUCAAAACACCCUUACUGAAGUAUCUCUAAAUAUGCAUGGAUCUCUCUGUAGCAACAUGUUUACAUGGCAUCACAAUAACAGCAGAACAGGGACUAAAAUCAGCAAUAUCACGAAGCCUAGUUUGCAUGCUUGUGCUAGUCACCACAUAGAUCACAAAAAUACAUGGCAUACACCCCUGUAAAGCUGGCAUGGCAUAGAUCAAAACAUAUGUAGGGCUCAAGUUCAUAAGAUGCACACAUUAAUCAUGGCAAAAAUGACAAAAGUGCAAGUUCUGUUAAGAAACAGAAACUAACAUCACAUAGCCCUCUUCCAAUAGCAUUUCCGGCAUCAAGAUGAGCUCAAAUGUAAAUGAUGCAAUGGAGUGAAAUGAUGUACUCUUCGAGACGAACAAUUUGACAUAUUACACAGAUGAAACGGAGCUAUGGGUGCGAAGAUGUGAUGUGAUGAACAUGCUACAAUUUUAACAACAGUUAACAGGACUUGGUGAAAAACAGGGGGGGGGAGAACGAGGUCAACCCUAGAUCGACCGGAUCUGGACCGGCUGCGCGCGGAUGCCGAGGUCGCCGGAGUCGGGGAGCUCGCCGGAGUCGGAGGCGGCCGGGGCGGCUGCUGGAGGCGAUGAAGGGGCCGGCGACGGNNNNNNNNNNNNNNNNNNNNNNNNNNNNNNNNNNNNNNNNNNNNNNNNNNNNNNNNNNNNNNNNNNNNNNNNNNNNNNNNNNNNNNNNNNNNNNNNNNNNNNNNNNNNNNNNNNNNNNNNNNNNNNNNNNNNNNNNNNNNNNNNNNNNNNNNNNNNNNNNNNNNNNNNNNNNNNNNNNNNNNNNNNNNNNNNNNNNNNNNNNNNNNNNNNNNNNNNNNNNNNNNNNNNNNNNNNNNNNNNNNNNNNNNNNNNNNNNNNNNNNNNNNNNNNNNNNNNNNNNNNNNNNNNNNNNNNNNNNNNNNNNNNNNNNNNNNNNNNNNNNNNNNNNNNNNNNNNNNNNNNNNNNNNNNNNNNNNNNNNNNNNNNNNNNNNNNNNNNNNNNNNNNNNNNNNNNNNNNNNNNNNNNNNNNNNNNNNNNNNNNNNNNNNNNNNNNNNNNNNNNNNNNNNNNNNNNNNNNNNNNNNNNNNNNNNNNNNNNNNNNNNNNNNNNNNNNNNNNNNNNNNNNNNNNNNNNNNNNNNNNNNNNNNNNNNNNNNNNNNNNNNNNNNNNNNNNNNNNNNNNNNNNNNNNNNNNNNNNNNNNNNNNNNNNNNNNNNNNNNNNNNNNNNNNNNNNNNNNNNNNNNNNNNNNNNNNCGGCGGCGGCGGACGGUGGUGCUGCGCCACGUGGCAAGCCACGGUUGGCCGGACGCGGCGGGCGGACGUGUCCGGCUCGCCCGAACGUGUCCGGCGGCGCGGAGAGGGGAGAUUUUUAGGGUUUCGUCCGUGAAUUCGGGGGAGGGAUCUAUAUAUAGAGGUAGAGGGAGCUAGGAGUGUCCAAAUGAGGUGCGGUUUUCGCCCACACGAUCGUGAUCGAACGACCGAGAGCAUGGAGGGGAGUUAGAUGGGUUUUGGGCCACUUUGGAAGGGGUGUUGGUCUGCAACUUAAAAGAGGCCUUUGCAAGAGUGCGGUUAACCGUUGGAGUACCAAACGAGCUCCAAAUGACCCGAAACUUGACAGGUGGUCUAUCGGUGGUGUACCAAGGCCACUUGGCAAGGCUCGGUCCAUUCCGAGAACGUUCAAUACCCGCACACGAAAAGAGACAAGAGGGGUGCGCCGGUGCAUGUGGGAGUGUCGGAUUGCGAAACGGACAACGGGGAAAAUGCUCGGAUGCAUGAGACGAACACGUAUGCAAAAUGAAAUGCACAUGAUGACAUGAUAUGAUAUGCAUGACAUGAAUAAAAUGCAAAACAAAAGACAAAACCCAACCACGGAGGGAAUAUGAUAGCGCAUAGCCGAAAAUGGCAAGAGUUGGAGUUACAAAGCUGGAAAGUUACAUCCGGGGUGUUACAGGGCUCGUGUUUUACUAUGGGUUGGAAUUCCACGACUUGGCUCUGGAGUCCAUCCUCCAUAUUUCUUCAUUCAUCGUCGUCUGCGAAGCCUUCCUCCGCAUUACCCCUCACUUCGUCUUGUGGCUUAAGACCUUCGACGUGGAGCUGAAGAUGAUCGAGGGGCGUCAAGCAGAGUGCGGCGGGGCGGUUGUAAGCAGAAGGGCCGACGCUCCAUGGCCCGAGGGCUCUUUCCAGGAGGAGCUCGGCUUGUGGCAGCAGGAGUGGUUCUACAUAACCGCUCCCAGGGGCAGCAGGCAGAAGCCGCCGCCCAUCUUCUGCUCGGGCCCUCCACAGCGGCUGAUGUCAUGGGUCAGCCAAGGGCUCAACUGGGGGCCGUCAAAGGAUGUACCCCUAUUGCAGGGCCAGAUUCAAGACCUCCAGGAGAGGGAGAUCAAUCUGGUCGUAGUGAUGCAGGUUAUGCUGAUUCGACGUCUCCUGCCCUGCAAGCGUCGCCCCCUCCGUCUGUGGGAGUUCAAUCCCGAGGGGCCGCGAGCUCUCCAACACUUCAUGGGUAUGACACCCGUGGAGAUGUAUAAAUUGUUCUUCGGAUCACAAGAGAUGUGUCCGGAAUUGACCGAGGAUUCCGGCCUAAGUUGCAAUCGCCCGGAUACUCAGGUAAGUGGCCCUGCGUAUGAACACACCGUUUGUUUACGCCUUCUUGAAUUUGCCUUUUAACCCAACGUCUCUUGAAUAGGAGUGGAUAGCGCAAGCGAAACUGAUACGGUGUUCGGCCCCCCUCCCGAAGACUGUGCCGGAUCCCGUGCUGGUCAGGAUGCUGAAGGUUGCGCCUUCAGAGGAAGGCGAAGGGGAGAACAGGGACACCACCACCUCUACCAAGGAGGCUUUGGAGAAAGGGGGAGUCGAGAAUCCCUCCUUCCAAGGGGAGAAGAGGACCGCCUCCGAAAACCCAGAGGCCAAGGCCUCGAAGCGGGGGAAGAGAUCUUCACUAGAGGGUCCUGCGUCCGGGGAGGCCCCGGCCGCACUAUCUCCCCUAAGGAAUCAGCCCUCCAGCGAGCCGUAAGUAUAAAAAGGGGGGGGUCUAUAAUAAGAGACACCCCUAUGUUUGCUUCGAAGUUUUUACCUUGUAGUUCAGAUCUCCGUCCUUCUCAGAUGAGCUCGUCUUCGGGGGACCUUCGUUCGGAGAUGGUGAAGAGCGAGACGCCUCCAUCCGCUGCACCAUCAGGCGGGGCGGACGAACCUGAGGUGUCAUCGUGGAGGGUAUCCCCGAGUCCGGCGGGGCCGGAGAGUUCGGCACCGGCUGGUGUGCGGCCAGGGGAGCUGAAGGAUCUGCUUGGGAGGGCGUCUAUCUCAGAAGGUCACCGUACGUUGAUGAGUAUGGUGAUUGGAAGAAUUUCGUCCGCCGAAGGCGGGUUGCAUGAUGCCGUCAGAAGCUUGCUGGCGGGGUUUAAGGUACGUAAAAAUGACAUACCUUUUGACAGUUUUGCACAUAAAGUGCGCCCUGUAUAGAUAGUAGCCCCUGGGACUCGGUAGGUUGUCGAGAGCGACAGCGUGCCGAGGAUCAAAAUCGCAGGUAUUGAUUUUCGCCUUUCCUAUGCAGGUGGCGGAUAGUCCAGUGGCCAGCCGGACUGAUGGAGUUGCCGAACUAAAGCGGCAACUUGACGUUGCGGAUGCGGACAUCACGCUGGUCAAUAAGCGACUUGACGAGUCACAAGGUAGGUUUUUCUCCGUGUUCACCUACUAAGGGAGCCGAAGCCUACUCCUUACAACAUGUGUGCUCAAUGCAGAUGGUGCCGCUGCUAUGGAGAGCCUUCGGGCAGAACUUGCUCGAACCAAGGAGCAGGCCAGAAGGAGUGAUGCGGCUGCCUCGAGGGCGGCCGAAGAGCUAGAAGCCGAAAAGGCUGCUCACUGCCGAAGCAGGGAGGAGCUGGCCGAAAUGGCCGUGAAGUUGAAAGAUGUUACCGACCGCUAUGAGGUUCUUGAAAAAGAACGCCGAGCAGAGCAAGAAGGCCUGAAGAAGGCCACCGCCGAAGCCAAGGAUGCUCGUUCUGCAAUGAGGGCUAUAAAGGAGGAGCUGCGCCAGGCCGGAGAUAUUGUGGCUGGCAAGCCCUUUCUGCUGCGCAGGAGGUUUACAGAUCCGAAGUACGCUCAGCUUGGCCAGUUGUGGGGUCCGGAGGAUCCUUAUAUGGACUUAGCAGCGAGUGCGGCAGAUGCUGUUGUGCACUUCCGAAGUCAAAAGGAUCACGAGACGGAAGAGCUUUUUUGGUCUCAAUUCCAUAGUCCGGAGCGUUCACUUCCGCUGACCGAUCGGUUGGCUGAGUGGGCUGAGCUGAAUAGAUUGUCCGGACUUUCCAUGACGGAUAUCAUGGCUCAUGUCUGGCCGGAUAGGCCCAAGCCGAAGAGUUAUUUUGGCUUAUUGCAGCAAUUCCUUGGGGCGGUGCCGCAUAUCAAGGCGAUGAAGCGGUCGGCCUGCAUAGAGGGUGCACGGAUGGCCCUCGCCCAUGUGAAGACAUACUGGACGGAGAUGGAUGCCACCGCUGUUGCGACCCAGGGUUCGGACGAGAGUCGGUUACCCACCGAGCACUAUUUUGGGGAAGUUCUGCGUGGUGCUCGUGUAAUAGAGUCGCAGUGUUCGAAAAAUGUCAUGUUCAAAUGAACUUUAUGGUUUGUAAAACGAUGUUUAUAAUCUAAGCGAUUUUUGUACUUGUGCGUUCAAGUAUUGAAAUAUCUCCUGUACGGCCGUUUAAUGUAUACUUGUGUAUAACCUGAAAGAUGGCAGUCUUCGGCUUUAGCCCCCACGCACAUGGUGUGGGGGUGUUUGCGAAAUAGCGCAUUUUCACACUUAAUCCAACGUCUUGGUCCUGUGAAGGAGGUGAUAGCGUAGCAAACGAGGCAACCGGACUAUAAUGCUUUAUCACUUUCACUUAGCCAUAGGAGUUCGAAGGUGGGGCUACGAUAUAGCCCCUAGGGGCACCGCGCUCUCCGAAUUCGGGGCGCGUAUGUGCCUGACCAGGAAACGGUCCUUCGUCAAAGCGAAGGAAUUCUAAACAUUCCGGUAGUCGAUCGAGUGGUUGACCAGUCUCUCGCUAUAUCAUGAUAGUCAGUUUUUGGCUUUCUCUACUGAAGUGCUCGCCCGGCCGAACCGGGGCACAAUCGCAGUAGUUCUCCUCGUGCCGCGUUAGCCGAUGAUACGGAACGUAAGGCAGCAAAACACAGGAGCCGGGCAAACCCAACAUUUGACCAAAGACAUGACUCGGAGCUGAUGCAUAUAAGGCCUAACUCGAGACGUCGAACACUCCCUAAGGUAUUCGGUCAUUAUGAUAACGGGCAGAACAAUGCCCUAAGCCCCUAGUGUCCAGGUACAUGCGAGAAUUUCUGGCGCGGCCGAUGCCAAAACGCCAGCCUCCUCGUUGGUUAUGGUGAAAAACUGUGGGAUAUGAAUCAAGAAAAGACAGUAAGAAAGGUUUACGCAGGGGCUUAAUCUGAAAAGAAUCCUUGCGACGGGUCCCUGCUGCACGUCUGCGCCUGUGUCUCCAUUGUGCCGUAUCCUGGACGGGUGUGCACGUUGUUCAUCUGUAAAAAGAGAGGAACUUAGCUUGAAAGGAAAUCGUGCAAAAAAUGUAUUAAAAAUCGAAAUAUGAAUGAAUAAAUAAAGCUGAGCUUUUAUUAGCUCUUUAUUGCUCAUAUGCACAGCCCCUUGUAAAGUGGUGCUGUGCGGCUAGGGAGCCCCUAGCUUAUUUAUGCCGGACUCAUCUAGCCGUGUCCGGGGUCUUGAACGACCUUUUAAUGAGAUGAUGCCACGUGGACCGGGCAUUUUAAGUGUAAGAGACACGUAGUGUGGUAUUGCGUUAAAGCGGACAAAAGCUUCACGUCCCAAUAGUGCUUGAUGGCUACUUUUGAAUGGGGCGACAUGAAAGAUUAGCUUUUCGCGUCGGAAGUUGCCGGGUGACCCGAACACAACUUCUAGUAGUAAGGAGCCCGUGCACUUGGCAUAAGGGCUUGGCGUCACUCCUUUGAAGGAAGUGCGGCUAUGGCGAAUUUUAGUACGGUCUAUCCCCAACUUGCGGAUUGUGUCUGGAUAUAGCAGGUUUAAAUCACUGCCACCAUCCAUUAGGACUUGUGUAAAUUGUAGUCCGUCGAUUAUAGGAUCCAAUAUUAGAGCAGUCCAUCCUGCAUUUCGAAUACUUUUGGAAUAGUCCAGGUGGUCGAAAGUAAUUGGUUUUGACAUCCAAUCUCGAGGUUCCGCUGGGGUGGACCGUGCGACACCUACUUUGGCGGGUGCCGCACUGUUGUUCCGUAUUAUCACAUGAAGUGAGUUUACUGUUUUGACUUCUUGUGGGAAAGUCUUUUGUUUUCCGGCGCUCUGCUGGUGGGGUUCGUCAUCAUCCUUGCUUGGCACGUCGAGCCCCUUGUGUUCGGCGUUGAGUCGGCCGGACUGUUUGAAAACCCAACAAUCCCGGUGGGUGUGGUUUGCAGGCUUCCCGGAAGUACUGUGGAUUUGACAUAUCCAAUCCAAAAUUUUGUUGAGGUUGGAUAGCUCGUCGCUACUGUCCUUAAGAGGCAGUGUUUUAUUGUUCGGCCACGAGCUUUUGAAUCCGGCGUUGACUGCCGUGUUCUUUGGGCUUUUUUCUUUAUUUCGGCGCUGGUCCUUUCUGCGCUGUGAUUUUCCGUUUCCAUCUCUUAUCUCGGAUGUACUCGGGUCGCUGGUGCUGCAUCUUGCUAGCCAGCUGUCUUCCCCCGCGCAAAAGCAGGUCAUGAGGCUUGUUAGCGCGGCCAUUGUUCUUGGCUUCUCUUGGCCGAGGUGUCUGGUGAGCCAUUCGUCUCGGACGUUAUGUUUAAAAGCUGCUAAAGCUUUGGCGUCCGGACAAUCAACUAUUUGGUUCUUUUUGGUAAGGAACCUGUUCCAGAAUUUGCGCGCUGACUCUCCGGGCUGUUGAGUUAUGUGACUUAAAUCGUCUGCAUCCGGAGGGCGGACAUAAGUCCCCUGAAAAUUUGCUCUAAACGCGUCCUCGAGCUCUUCCCAACUUCCUAUGGUAUUUUCUGGGAGGCUUUUGAGCCAAUGCCGAGCUGGCCCUUUGAGCUUGAGGGGUAGAUAUUUUAUGGCGUGGAGAUCAUCUCCUCUUGCCAUGUGUAUGUGCAGGAUGUAAUCCUCAAUCCACACUCCGGGGUCUGUUGUUCCGUCGUAUGCCUCUAUGUUUACGGGCUUGAACCCCGCUGGGAAUUCGUGAUCCAGCACCUCAUCGGUGAAACAUAGUGGGUGUGCGGCGCCCCUGUAUUUAGGUGUGCCGCUAUCUUCGAACACUCGGCAUGUUGUGUUACUUCCUGGGGCCCUCUUCUUUGGCCCAGAAAUGGAUCUGACUGGGCCAUCCGUUUUGCGAGGGUCUUUAUGCGUGUCAGGUGCCGGCUUAUGUGCGGCGCCGCUUGUCGCUCUUGGCCUGUCAUCUGGUCGCCUAUCUGGCCAGGCGGCCUCUUUGCUUUUUGGUUGUUGGGGCUCUACGGCCUCCUCGUCGAAUUCUGGCAGCAGCUUGCGCUUCGGGUAGCUCUUUGUUUGGUGGCUAUUGCCAUAUUUGUCCGCGGUCUUGAGUACUUUGCUCCACCUCAUUCUGAGUAUGUCUUCCGCUGUUUUGAGCUUCCGUUUCUCCUUCUUCAAACUUCUUGCAGUGGCGACAAGCCUUUUUCGAAGGUUCUUGUGCUCCGGUGGUGUGUCCGGCGUGAGAUCGUCUGGACUGUUGUUUUCGCCGGGGAUGGAUUGAUUAUCCGAUUCAUCCUGCUCGGAUGGUUGCUUGGUUUCAUGUUCGUCACCCACUGGUUUGCCCUGCUCUAUGGCUGGGUCAUUAUGGGUGCUGUUGUUAUCGAGGCAGGACUUGCGGCGGCGCUUGCGUCGCCGUUUUGGUUGUUUUUCGGGGGAAUUAUCCUUCGCCGUGUCCCGUUGCUCCUCGUUAUCGCUCCCUUUUGGGGUGUCCGCCAUAUAUACAUCAUGAGUUGAGGUGGGCUUCCAGCGCUCGGUAGGCGCUGGUUCUUGAUCGUCUCCGGCAUCGUCAUCCAUACCGCCGAUGUCUUCGGAGUCGUAGUUUAGCAUGUCGGUUAGAUCGUCGACAGUGGCUACAAAGUGGGUGGUGGGUGGGCUUUGAAUUUCUUCAUCGUCCACGUCCCAACCAUCCUGACCGCGGUCCGGCCAGGGCUCUCCUGAUAACGAGAGAUACUUUAGCGAAUUCAGGAUGUCGCCAAAGGGUGAGUGCUGAAAGAUGUCCGCAGCGGUGAACUCCAUGGUCGGCGCCCAAUCGGAUUCGAUUGGCAGGGGCGCCGGAGGUUCGGAGUCCGGCAAGGAGUCCGGCACCUCGGAGUCACAAGCUUUGCAAGGGACAAGGUCAGUAUUCGGCUCCAUCGUCGUAGAAGUUGCAGCCCCCGAGGCGGUGUCCAGCCACCUGUCCUCAAUCUGUGCAGUCGGCUCCGAGCUACGGGUCAGAGCGGACUCGUGUGCGGCCUCCAGGGUACUGUCCGGCGGUAGAGCUAAGUCAUGCCCAUCGUGACAGUGCGGCACGCUCGGCUGUGGCUUGAAUCCAUCGAAGAUCAAGUCUCCACGGAUGUCAGCCGUGAAGGUUAGGCUUCCAAGCCUGACCUGAUGGCUAGGGGCGUAGCUUUCGAUCUGCUCCAGAUGGCCAAGUGAAUUGGCCCGUAGUGCAUGUUGGGGAACGUUGCAGAAAAUUAAAAUUUUUCCUACGGUUUCACCAAGAUCCAUCUAUGAGUUCAUCUAAGCAACGAGUCAAGGGAGAGAGUUAGCAUCUACAUACCACUUGUAGAUCGCGUGCGGAAGCUUGCAAGGUGAUGAUGGAGUCGUACUCGAUGUGAUUCGAAUCUGCGAUGACCAAGUGCUGAACGGACAGCACCUCCGCGUUCAACACACGUACGGGACGGGAGAUGUCUCCUCCUUCUUGAUCCAGCAAGGGGGAAGGAGAGGUUGAGGAAGACAGCUCCACCGGCAGCACGACGGCGUGGUGAUGGUGGAGAGGCAGUACUCCGACAGGGCUUCGCCAAGCACACAACGGAGGAGGAGAGGUGUUGGGGAGGGGAGGGCUGCACCUUGGAGGGUGGUGCGGCUGCCCUCCCCUCACCCCUNNNNNNNNNNACGGAGGAGGAGAGGUGUUGGGGAGGGGAGGGCUGCGCCUUGGAGGGUGGUGCGGCUGCCCUCCCCUCACCCCUCUAUUUAUAGGGGGAAGGGAGAAGGGGGCCGGCCCCCUAGAACCCAUCUAGGGGGGGUGCGGCGGCCAAGGGGAGAGGGGGAGAGGGUGGCUUGCCCCCCAAGCCAAGGGGGGCGCCCCCUCUAGGGUUCCCCCCUCAACCCUAGGCGCAUGGGCCCAAGGGAGGGGGUGCGGCCAGCCCACCAGGGGCUGGCUCCCUGCCCCACGCAGCCCAUGUGGCCCCCCGGGAGGGGUGGCCCCUCCCGGUGGACCCCCGGAACUCUUCCGGUGGCCCCGGUACAAUACCGGUAUGACCCCGAAACUUCCCGGUGUCCGUUUGACAACUUCCCAUAUAUAAAUCUUUACCUCCGGACCCUUCCGGAGCUCCUCGUGACGUCCAGGAUCCCAUCCGGGACUCCAAACAACAUUCGGUAGUCACAUACUAGUCUUCCUAAUAACCCUAGCGUCACCGAUCCUUAAGUGUGUAGACCCUACGGGUUCGGGAGACAUGCAGACAUGACCUAGACGCUCUCAGGUCAAUAACCAACAGCGGGAUCUGGAUACCCAUGAUGGCUCCCACAUGCUCCUCGAUGUUGUCAUCGGAUGAACCACGAUGUCGAGGAUUCGAUCAAACCCUGUAUGCAAUUCCCUUUGUCAAUCGGUACGUUACUUGCCCGAGACUCGAUCGUCGGUAUCCCAAUACCUUGUUCAGUCUCGUUACCGGCAAGUCACUUUACUCGUACCGUAAUGCAUGAUCCCGUGUCCAACACCUUGGUCACAUUGAGCUCAUUAUGAUGAUGCAUUACCGAGUGGGCCCAGAGAUACCUCUCCGUCAUACGGAGUGACAAAUCCCAGUCUCGAUCCGUGUCAACCCAACAGAUACUUUCAGAGAUACCUGUAAUGCACCUUUAUAGUCACCCAGUUACGUUGUGACGUUUGAUACACCCAAGGCACUCUUACGGUAUCCGGGAGUUACACGAUCUCAUGGUCGAAGGAAGAGAUACUUGACAUUGGCAAAGCUCUAGCAAAACGAACUACACGAUCUUUUAUGCUAUGCUUAGGAUUGGGUCUUGUCCAUCACAUCAUUCUCCUAAUGAUGUGAUCCCGUUAUCAACGACAUCCAAUGUCCAUAGUCAGGAAACCAUGACUAUCUGUUGAUCACAACGAGCUAGUCAACUAGAGGCUCACCAGGGACAUAUUGUGGUCUAAGUAUUCACACGUGUAUUACGAUUUCCGGAUAAUACAGUUAUAGCAUGAAUAAAAGACAUUUAUCAUGAACAUUGAAAUAUAAUAAUACUUUUAUUAUUGCCUCUAGGGCAUAUUUCCAACAGUCUCCCACUUGCACUAGAGUCACCAAUCUAGUUACAUUGUGAUGAAACGAACACCCAUAGAGUUCUGGUGUUGAUCAUGUUUUGCACGCGAGAGAGGUUUAGUCAGCGGAUCUGCGACAUUCAGAUCCGUGUGCACUUUGCAAAUCUCUAUGUCUCCAUCUUGAACAUUUUCACGGAUGGAGUUGAAACGACACUUGAUGUGCCUGGUCUUCUUGUGAAACCUGGGCUCCUUGGCGAGGGCAAUAGCUCCAGUGUUGUCACAGAAGAGUUUGAUCGGCCCCGACGCAUUGGGUAUGACUCCUAGGUCGGUGAUGAACUCCUUCACCAAAAUCGCUUCAUGCGCUGCCUCCGAGGCUGCCAUGUACUCCGCUUCACACGUAGAUCCCGCCACGACGCUCUGCCUGCAGCUCCACCAGCUUACUGCUCCACCAUUCAACAUAUACACGUAUCCGGUUUGUGACUUAGAGUCAUCCAGAUCUGAGUCGAAGCUAGCGUCGACGUAACCCUUUACGACGAGCUCUUCGUCUCCUCCAUAAACGAGAAACAUGUCCUUCGUCCUUUUCAGGUACUUCAGGAUAUUCUUGACCGCUGUCCAGUGUUCCUUGCCGGGAUUACUUUGGUAUCUUGCUACCAAACUUACGGCAAGGUUUACAUCGGGUCUGGUACACAGCAUGGCAUACAUAAUAGAUCCUAUGGCUGAAGCAUAGGGGAUGACACUCAUCUCUUCUUUAUCUUUUGCCGUGGUCGGUGACUGAGCCGUGCUCAGUCUCACACCUUGUAACAUAGGCAAGAACCCCUUCUUGGACUGAUCCAUUUUGAACCUCUUCAAAAUCUUAUCAAGGUAUGUGCUUUGUGAAAGACCUAUGAGGCAUCUCGAUCUAUCUCUAUAGAUCUUGAUGCCUAAUAUAUAAGCAGCUUCUCCAAGGUCCUUCAUUGAAAAACACUUAUUCAAGUAGGCCUUAAUGCUGUCCAGAAAUUCUAUAUUAUUUCCCAUCAAGAGUAUGUCAUCUACAUAUAAUAUGAGAAAUGCUACAGAGCUCCCACUCACUUUCUUGUAAACGCAGGCUUCUCCAUAAGUCUGCAUAAACCCAAACGCUUUGAUCAUCUCAUCAAAGCGAAUGUUCCAACUCCGAGAUGCUUGCACCAGUCCAUAAAUGGAUCGCUGGAGCUUGCAUACUUUGUUAGCAUUCCGAGGAUCGACAAAACCUUCCGGCUGCAUCAUAUACAGUUCUUCCUUAAGAUGCCCGUUAAGGAAUGCCGUUUUGACGUCCAUUUGCCAUAUCUCAUAAUCAUAGUAUGCGGCAAUUGCUAACAUGAUUCGGACGGACUUCAGCUUCGCUACGGGAGAGAAAGUCUCGUCGUAGUCAAUCCCUUGAACUUGUCGAUAACCCUUAGCGACAAGUCGAGCCUUAUAGAUUGUAACAUUACCAUCCGCGUCCGUCUUCUUCUUAAAGAUCCAUUUGUUUUCUAUUGCUCGCCGAUCAUCGGGCAAGUCUGUCAAAGUCCAUACUUUGUUUUCAUACAUGGAUUCUAUCUCGGAUUUCAUGGCUUCAAGCCAUUUGUUGGAAUCCGGGCCCGCCAUCGCUUCUUCAUAUGUCGAAGGUUCAUUGUUGUCUAACAACAUGAUUUCCAGGACAGGGUUGCCGUACCACUCUGGUGCGGAACGUGUCCUAGUGGACCUACGAAGUUCAGCAGUAACUUGAUCCGAAGUACCUUGAUCAUCAUCAUUGUUUUCCUCUUCAGUUGGUGUGGGCAUCACAGGAACGGUUUCCCGCGCUGCGCCACUUUCCCGCUCAAGAGGUAGUACUUCAUCGAGUUCUACUUUCCUCCCACUUACUUCUUUCGAGAGAAACUCUUUUUCCAGAAAGCAUCCGUUCUUGGCAACAAAGAUCUUGCCUUCGGAUCUUAAGUAGAAGGUAUACCCGACAGUUUCCUUAGGGUAUCCUAUGAAUACGCAUUUUUCCGACUUGGGUUCGAGCUUUUCAGGUUGAAGUUUCUUGACAUAAGCAUCGCAUCCCCAAACUUUUAGAAACGACAGCUUAGGUUUCUUUCCAAACCAUAAUUCAUACGGUGUCGUCUCAACGGAUUUAGACGGUGCCCUAUUUAAAGUGAAUGUAGUUGUCUCUAGAGCGUAUCCCCAAAAUGAUAGCGGUAAAUCGGUAAGAGACAUCAUAGACCGCACCAUAUCCAAUAGGGUGCGAUUACGACGUUCGGACACACCGUUUCGCUGAGGUGUUCCAGGCGGCGUGAGCUGUGAAACGAUUCCACAUUUCCUUAAGUGUGUACCAAAUUCGUGACUUAAGUAUUCUCCUCCACGAUCUGAUCGUAAGAAUUUUAUCUUUCGGUCACGUUGAUUCUCUACCUCAUUCUGAAAUUCCUUGAACUUUUCAAAGGUCUCAGACUUGUGUUUCAUUAAGUAGACAUACCCAUAUCUACUCAAGUCAUCUGUUAGAGUGAGAAUAUAACGAUAUCCUCCGCGAGCCUCAACGCUCAUUGGACCGCACACAUCGGUAUGUAUGAUUUCCAACAAGUUGGUUGCUCGCUCCAUUGUUCCGGAGAAUGGAGUCUUGGUCAUUUUGCCCAAGAGGCAUGGUUCGCACGUGUCAAACGAUUCAUAAUCAAGAGACUCUAAAAGUCCAUCGGCAUGGAGCUUCUUCAUGCGCUUGACACCAAUGUGACCAAGGCGGCAGUGCCACAAGUAUGUGGGACUAUUGUUAUCAAUUUUAAAUCUUUUGGCAUCUACAUUAUGAACAUGUGUAAUAUUACGCUCGAGAUUCAUUAAGAAUAAAUCAUUGACCAUCGGAGCAUGACCAUAAAACAUAUCUCUCAUAUAAAUCGAACAACCAUUAUUCUCAGACUUAAAUGAGUAGCCAUCUCGUAUUAAACGAGAUCCAGAUACAAUGUUCAUGCUCAAACUUGGCACUAAAUAACAAUUAUUAAGGUUCAAUACUAAUCCCGUAGGUAAAUGUAGAGGCAGCGUGCCGACGGCGAUCACAUCGACUCUGGAACCAUUCCCGACGCGCAUCGUCACCUCGUCCUUCGCCAGUCUCCGUUUAUUCCGCAGCUCCUGCUGUGAGUUACAAAUAUGAGCAACGGCACCGGUAUCAAAUACCCAGGAGUUACUACGAGUACUGGUAAGGUACACAUCAAUCACAUGUAUAUCAAAUAUACCUUUGGUGUUGCCGGCCUUCUUAUCCGCUAAGUAUUUGGGGCAGUUCCGCUUCCAGUGACCCUUCCCCUUGCAAUAAAAGCACUCAGUCUCAGGCUUGGGUCCAUUCUUUGACUUCUUCCCGGUAACUGGCUUACCAGGCGCGGCAACAUCUUUGCCGUCCUUCUUGAAGUUCUUCUUACCCUUGCCCUUCUUGAACUUAGUGGUCUUAUUGACCAUCAACACUUGAUGUUCUUUCUUGAUUUCAGCCUCUGCUGACUUCAGCAUCGAGAACACUUCAGGAAUGGUCUUUUCCAUCCCCUGCAUGUUGUAGUUCAUUACAAAGCUCUUGUAGCUUGGUGGGAGCGACUGGAGGAUUCUAUCAAUGACCGCCUCAUCUGGGAGGUUAAUGUUCAGCUGGGUCAUACGGUUGUGCAACCCAGACAUCUUCAGGAUGUGCUCACUGACAGAACUGUUUUCCUCCAUCUUACAACUAUAGAACUUGUCGGAGACAUCAUAUCUCUCGACCCGGGCAUGAGCUUGAAAAACUAGUUUCAGCUCUUCGAACAUCUCAUAUGCUCCGUGGUGCUCAAAACGCUUUUGGAGCCCCGGUUCUAAGCUGUAAAGCAUGCCGCACUGAACGAGGGAGUAAUCAUCAGCACGAGACUGCCAAGCAUUCAUAAUGUCUUGGUUCUCUGGGACGGGAGCGUCACCUAGCGGUCCUUCUAGGACAUAUUGUUUCCUGGCAGCUAUGAGGAUGAUCCUCAGGUUCCGGACCCAGUCCGUAUAGUUGCUGCCAUCAUCUUUCAGCUUGGUUUUCUCUAGGAACGCGUUGAAGUUCAUGUUGACAUUAGCGUUGGCCAUUGAUCUACAAGACAUAUUUGCAAAGGUUUUAGACUAAGUUCAUGAUAAUAAAGUUCUAAUCAAAUUAUGAACUCCCACUCAGAUUAGACAUCCCUUUAGUCAUCUAAGUGUUACACGAUCCGAGUCGACUAGGCCGUGUCCGAUCAUCACGUGAGACGGACUAGUCAUCGUCGGUGAGCAUUCUCAUGUUGAUCGUAUCUUCCAUACGACUCGUGUUCGACCUUUCGGUCUCCGUGUUCCGAGGCCAUGUCUGCACAUGCUAGGCUCGUCAAGUUAACCCUAAGUGUUUUCGCUGUGUAAAACUGUCUUACACCCGUUGUAUGUGAACGUAAGAAUCCAUCACACCCGAUCAUCACGUGGUGCUUAGAAGCGACGAACUAUAGCAACGGUGCACAUUUAGGGGAGAACACUUCUUGAAAUUUUAUAAGGGAUCAUCUUAUUUACUAUCGUCGUCCUAAGUAAACAAGAUGCAUAAACAUAAUAAACAUCACAUGCAAUUAUAUAGUUGUGACAUGAUAUGGCCAAUAUCAUAUAGCUCCAUUGAUCUUCAUCUUCGGGGCUCCAUGAUCAUCUUGUCACCGGCUUGACACCAUGAUCUCCAUCAUCAUGAUCUCCAUCAUCGUGUCUUCAUGAAGUUGUCACGCCAACGACUACUUCUACUUCUAUGACUAACGUUUAGCAAUAAAGUAAAGUAGUUUACAUGGCGUUAUUCAAUGACACGCAGGUCAUACAAAAAAUAAAGACAACUCCUAUGGCUCCUGCCGGUUGUCAUACUCAUCGACAUGCAAGUCGUGAAUCCUAUUACAAAGAACAUGAUCUCAUACAUCACAAUUCAUCAUUCAUCACAACUUCUGGCCAUAUCAUAUCACAUGAUCAAUUGCUGCAAAAACAAGUUAGACGUCCUCUAAUUGUUGUUGCAUCUUUUAUGUGGCUGCAAUUGGGUUCUAGCAAGAACGUUUUCUUACCUACGAAUCACCACAACGUGAUUUUGUCAACUUCUAUUUACCCUUCAUAAGGGCCCUGUUCAUCGAUUCCGCUCCAACUAAAGUGGGAGAGACAGACACCCGCCAGCCACCUUAUGCAACUAGUGCAUGUCAGUCGGUGGAACCGGUCUCACGUAAGCGUACGUGUAAGGUUGGUCCGGGCCGCUUCAUCCCACAAUACCGUUGAGCAAGAAAAGACUAGUAGAGGCAAGUAAGAUGACAAAAUCCACGCCCACAACAAAAUUGUGUUCUACUCGUGCAAAGAGAACUACGCAUAGACCUAGCUCAUGAUGCCACUGUUGGGGAACGUUGCAGAAAAUUAAAAAUUUUCCUACGGUUUCACCAUGAUCCAUCUAUGAGUUCAUCUAAGCAACGAGCCAAGGGAGAGAGUUAGCAUCUACAUACCACUUGUAGAUCGCGUGCGGAAGCUUGCAAGGUGAUGAUGGAGUCGUACUCGACGUGAUUCGAAUCACCGAUGACCAAGUGCUGAACGGACAGCACCUCCGCGUUCAACACACGUACGGGACGGGAGACGUCUCCUCCUUCUUGAUCCAGCAAGGGGGAAGGAGAGGUUGAGGAAGACAGCUCCACCGGCAGCACGACGGCGUGGUGAUGGUGGAGAGGCAGUACUCCGACAGGGCUUCGCCAAGCACACAACGGAGGAGGAGAGGUGUUGGGGAGGGGAGGGCUGCGCCUUGGAGGGUGGUGCGGCUGCCCUCCCCUCACCCCUCUAUUUAUAGGGGGAAGGGAGAAGGGGGCCGGCCCCCUAGAACCCAUCUAGGGGGGGUGCGGCGGCCAAGGGGAGAGGGCGAGAGGGUGGCUUGCCCCCCAAGCCAAGGGGGGCGCCCCCUCUAGGGUUCCCCCCUCAACCCUAGGCGCAUGGGCCCAAGGGAGGGGGUGCGGCCAGCCCACCAGGGGCUGGCUCCCUGCCCCAUGCAGCCCAUGUGGCCCCCCAGGAGGGGUGGCCCCUCCCGGUGGACCCCCGGAACUCUUCCGGUGGCCCCGGUACAAUACCGGUAUGACCCCGAAACUUCCCGGUGUCCGUUUGACAACUUCCCAUAUAUAAAUCUUUACCUCCGGACCCUUCCGGAGCUCCUCGUGACGUCCAGGAUCCCAUCCGGGACUCCGAACAACAUUCGGUAGUCACAUACUAGUCUUCCUAAUAACCCUAGCGUCACCGAACCUUAAGUGUGUAGACCCUACGGGUUCGGGAGACAUGCAGACAUGACCUAGACGCUCUCAGGUCAAUAACCAACAGCGGGAUCUGGAUACCCAUGAUGGCUCCCACAUUCUCCUCGAUGUUGUCAUCGGAUGAACCACGAUGUCGAGGAUUCGAUCAAACCCUGUAUGCAAUUCCCUUUGUCAAUCGGUACGUUACUUGCCCGAGACUCGAUCGUCGGUAUCCCAAUACCUUAUUCAGUCUCGUUACCGGCAAGUCACUUUACUCGUACCGUAAUGCAUGAUCCCGUGUCCAACACCUUGGUCACAUUGAGCUCAUUAUGAUGAUGCAUUACCGAGUGGGCCCAGAGAUACCUCUCCGUCAUACGGAGUGACAAAUCCCAGUCUCGAUCCGUGUCAACCCAACAGAUACUUUCGGAGAUACCUGUAAUGCACCUUUAUAGUCACCCAGUUAUGUUGUGACGUUUGAUACACCCAAGGCACUCUUACGGUAUCCGGGAGUUACACGAUCUCAUGGUCGAAGGAAGAGAUACUUGACAUUGGCAAAGCUCUAGCAAAACGAACUACACGAUCUUUUAUGCUAUGCUUAGGAUUGGGUCUUGUCCAUCACAUCAUUCUCCUAAUGAUGUGAUCCCGUUAUCAACGACAUCCAAUGUCCAUAGUCAGGAAACCAUGACUAUCUGUUGAUCACAACGAGCUAGUCAACUAGAGGCUCACCAGGGACAUAUUGUGGUCUAAGUAUUCACAUGUGUAUUACGAUUUCCGGAUAAUACAGUUAUAGCAUGAAUAAAAGACAUUUAUCAUGAACAUUGAAAUAUAAUAAUACUUUUAUUAUUGCCUCUAGGGCAUAUUUCCAAUAGUGCAAAGCCGCCGAACACGAAGAUCUGUCUGGGGAGAAAAGUCUCACCCUGGACGGCGUUGUUGUUGAUUGAAGAAGCCAUCAAGCCUAUCGGUGACGACACAGAGGAACUCUCAAUGAAAGCACCAAUGUCGGUGUCAAAACCGGCGGAUCUCGGGUAGGGGGUCCCGAACUGUGCGUCUAGGCGGAUGGUAACAGGAGACAAGGGACAUGAUGUUUUUAUCCAGGUUCGGGCCCUCUCGAUGGAGGUAAAAUCCUACUCCUGCUUGAUUGAUAUUGAUGAUUUGGGUAGUACAAGAGUGGAUCUACCACGAGAUCAAGGAGGCUAAACCCUAGAAGCUAGCCUAUGGUAUGAUUGUUGUAAUGGUUGUUCGUCCUACGGACUAAAACCCUCCAGUUUAUAUAGACACCAGAGAGGGCUAGGGUUACACAGAGUCGGUUACAAUGGUAGGAGAUCUACAUAUCCGUAUCGCCAAGCUUGCCUUCCACGCCAAGGAAAGUCCCAUCCGGACACGGGACGGAGUCUUCAAUCUUGUAUCUUCAUAGUCUUGGAGUCCGGCCGAUGAUGAUAGUCCGGCUAUCCGGACACCCCCUAGUCCAGGACUCCCUCACCCCCUAUCACCCACACUCACUAGGCGACAGUUCAAAAUGUCGUCUUGGAAAGGGGUUAAAAACCAUUUGUAUAGCAGCUCGUUGUACCAGUGAAAGCUCCGGGCUUACGUCGGGGUCUCCAAUUAGGUUGUGGUGAUUGCCCCGAGCAAUUUGUAUGGGUUCCGGUGACCGCCCCCCAAGGGUUGCCAAAGCGUAUGUUCGGUGAUCGCCCCCAAGGGUUGCCAAUUGUACGGGUUCGGUGACCGCCCUCAAGGGUCCCUUAGUGGAAUCACAACAUAUUGCAUUGUGCGAGGGCGUGAGGAGAUUAUGGUGGCCCUAGUGGCUUCUUGGGGAGCAUUGUGCCUCCACACCGCUCCAAACGAGGAUUAGCAUCUGCAGGGGUGUGAACUUCGGGAUACAUUGUCGUCUUCGUGUGCCUCGGUUAUCUCUUACCCGAGCCCUUUACUUUUGCUCUUUACUUUGUGAUAGCCAUAGUGUUUCAUGAUAUAUAUUUUGCUAUCACUUAGUUGUUUAUCUUGUUUAGCAUAAGUUGUUGGUGCACAUAGGUGAGCCUAGUUGUUUUAGGUUUUGUGCUUGACAAAUUAAACACUAGUUUUAUUCCUCAUUUGUUCAAGCCUAAACCGUAAUUAUUUGAAAGCACCUAUUCACCCCCUCUAGGCGACAUCCACGAUCUUUCAAAGAUGAUGAUGAGUCUAGUGAGCAGGAAUUCCAAAAGGCAACGGAAGCCAUGGGCAUUAACGGGGUUGCUGUCGGUGUCAAAACCGGCUGGUCUUGGGUAUGGGGUCCCGAACUAUGCGUCUGAAGAUCGAGGGUAACAAGGGACAAGUGGGACACAAUGUUUACCCAGGUUCGGGCCCUCUUAAUGGAGGUAAAACCCUACGUCCUGCUUGUUUGUAUUUGAUGAGUAUAGGGGUUACAAGAGUUGAUCUACCUCAAGAUCAUAGUGGCUAAACCCUAACUAUCUAGCCUAUGAGAAUUCUGAUAGCCUCUACGGACUAAACCCUCCGGUUUAUAUACACAUCGGAGGGACCUAGGGUUGUACAGAGUCAGUUUGCGGGGAAGGAAAUAUCAUAUCCGGACACUAAUCUUGCCAUCCACGCAUAGGGGAGUCCUACCCGGACACGGGGGAAAAGUCUUCCGCUUAUAUCUUCUCGGCCCAUCAGUCCGGCCCGUAUCAAUAGCCCGGACACCCGAGGACCCCUUAAUACAGGACUUCCUCCGUAGCCUGUGAACUAGUCUUCGAUGACGAUGUGUUCGGCACGCGGAUUGUCUUCGGUAUUGCAAGGCGGGUUCUUCCUCCUGAGCACUUUAAAACAAUUCCCUGAACAAAGAAACUGUAUCUGGCACUGUAUAAUUGUCACAACCCUUAGCCACGAAGGCAAUGAUAUCAAACAAAACAAUGUCUUCCUACUAACAACUUUUUCGGUCAAAUGUCAUGUCUGGCUUAACAUGAACCGUUUUCAUGCCUCCCGCUUCGUGUUUCGAGGCACAACCCCCAUUGGCACGUCUUGUCGAAACAGAGAUCGUGCCCGCCCAUUACGGGAUCCUCAUCAAUAUGGUUUUGGGUAAUCCAACCGUGCCAUUUGCAUGACCCCUUGGAAACAGGUGAGUUUUAAGGCUUGGGGGGCGUUUGGUAUUCACAGCCUAUAUAAGAAGGUAAAGUUUCCUCUUUUUUUCUCACGCCUUCCUCUCGCUCUUGCCUUCCCAUCUUCAAGCUCCAACACCCAAACUUUAGUUUUUCCACCACCAGCAACCUCUCCGGCCAUGUCUGGAUCCGGAUCUAAGGGCAAGUGGGAGGCCUCCUGUGUCACGGAGAAGGACAUUAAGGAACUCCGAGGUGCGAGCUACUUGCCCACAGAUGUUGCGCACCGGCUUCCUAACAAGAACCAGAUCAUCCCUACUCGGGAGCCCGGCGAGAGCGUAGUAUUCAUCCCCCAUUUUCUCCGAGGUCUAGGGUUUCCCCUUCACCCCUUUGUCCGGGGCCUCAUGUUCUACUACGGGCUAGAUUUCCAUGAUCUAGCCCCAAAUUCCUUCCUUCACAUCUUGGCGUUCAUCGUCGUGUGUGAGGCUCUACUCCACAUCCCCCACACUUCAGCUUAUGGCUCAAAGUUUUCAAUGUGAAGCCGAAGGUGGUCGAUGGGAAGCACGCGGGCUGCGAGGGGGGCAUGGUGAGCAAGCUUCCCAACGCCGUCUGGCCCAAAGGGGCGUCCGUGGAGACUGUCAAGGUGUGGCAGCAGGAGUGGUUCUACAUCACUGAACCCCGCAACGCUAAGUGGGCGGCCACUCUUGACUUCAGAUCCGGACCCCCUACGAGGCUUACCUCGUGGACCGCCAAGGGCCUAGAUUGGGGAUCCACAACGGAGGUGCAGAUGCUGCAAAAACGCAUCACCAACAUGAUGGCCAAAAACACCGGUCUCACAAACGUGAUUUGGGUGAUGCUCUUCCGCCGGACUCUCCCUUGCCAACUUCGGGUCUCUCACAUGUGGGAGUUCAAUUCAGAGGAGCCACGGACCCUGAAGUGCUUCUUCGGCACUACACACGAAGACAUUUGGAAGCAGCUCUUCAAGGCCCAAAAAACAUGGCCGAAGAAGACUGAAGACAUCGGUCUUGACCUCGAGAAUCUGGCCACACCAGUAAGCAUGACUUUUCUGAAUACCUAUUUGGUAGAAUAAGUUGGAUAUAAUAUAUUGUCCGACUUUCAUGUAGGGCUGGAUGGAAAAGGCAGAGCGGAUCAAGUGCCCGACACCACUACCCGAAGAUCCAUCCACACCCUAGCUGACAAAGAUGCCGGUCCCGGCGCCGUAUCAGGCGCCGGAGAAGAAAGCCAAGAAGAAGGGCAAGGAGACCAAGAGCGGUCCCCGCCAAAAGGGUCAUGCGGACGCUAUGUCCGGAGAGACCGAAGCCCUCUCCUCCCAUGAGAGAGACGACGAAGAAGAAGAGGAGGAGGUGGCGGAAAGCGACCCCCCCCCCCCCGCAAGGGGAGGAAAAAGAAGAGGGCGGCCUCCGAAGACCCAAAGGGGGAGGCGGUCAAGAGGGGGAAGAUGGCCCUCCAGGAUAGUCCGGACUCAGAUGCCGAACUGGCCCCCAAAAAACCUCCCAGGGCGAAGCCCCUGGCUGAAUCGUGAGUGUUUAGAUACUUACUUUUUAUCUUUGGUUUUCCAAUUUUCAUUAUAUAAGUUACCAUGUUAUGCAUUUUUUUCAGCCCUCCCCGUGACCUCCCGAACCCCUCUCUAUCGGAGGGGAGUUCUCUGCCACCUGACAUGGCAGAGAGCGAGAUGCCGCCGCGUGCCCCCUCGGCCCUCAUCGCUGAUGACACCGAGGUGUUAUCUCAAAGGACCUCUCCUGGCCGCGGAGGGGCGGGCGAGGCUAUCGAAAAGGCACCCGAGGGCAACACCUCAGUCGCCGAAGACAUGGGGGAGGUCACCCCAAUGGUAACUGACGGUAGGGACCAUCAACCAUCCGGGCCACAACCGGACACUCUUCUGGAGACCAAUGUGGCUCCGGGAUCGAGUGAGCAGCCCCCUGAUACGUCAAUGUUGCAUCAUGUUUUCUUACUAUUAUUUAUGAUGUUUUUAUGCAUAAUAAUGCUUUUUGGAGUAAUUCUAAUGCCUUUUCUCUCAUAAUUUGCAAGGUACACACAAAGAGGGAGAAUUCUGGCAGCUGGAAAUCUGGACCUGAAAAAGCUACGUCAGGCUACCUAUUCUGCACAACUCCAAACAAUCUGAAACUUCAUGGAGAAUUUUUAUGGAAUAUUUGAUGAAUAUUGGAGCAAAUAAGUACCAGAGGAGGCCCACCAUGUGGGCACGACCCACCUGGGCGUGCCAGGGAGCCCAGGCGCGCCCUGGUGGGUUGUGCUCACCCAGACCCACCUCCGGUGCACAUCUUCUGGUAUAUAAGUCAUUUUGACCUAGAAAAAAAUAAGGAGAGGACUUUCGAGACGGAGCGCCGCCCUCUCGAGGCGGAACUUGGGCAGGAGCACUUUUGCCCUCUGGCGGAGCGAUUCCACCGGGGGAACUUCCCUCCUGGAGGGGGGAAUCAUCAUCAUCAUCAUCACCAACAACUCUCCCAUCUUGGGAAGGGCUAUCUCCAUCAACAUCUUCAAUAGCACCAUCUCAUCUCAAACCCUAGUUCAUCUCUUGUGUUCAAUCUUGUUACCAGAACUAUAGAUUGGUGCUUGUGGGUGACUAGUAGUGUUGAUUACAUCUUGUAGUUGAUUACUAUAUGGUUUAUUUGGUGGAAGAUUAUAUGUUUAGAUCCAUUAUGCUAUUUAAUACCACUCUGAUCUUGAGCACGGUUAUCAUUUGUGAGUAGUUACUUUUGUUAUUGAGGUCACUGGAGAAAUCAUGUUGCAAGUAAUCAUGUGAACUUGAUAUAUGUUCGAUAUUUUGAUAGUAUGUAUGUUGUGAUUCCCUUAGUGGUGUCAUGUGAACGUCGACUACAUGACACUUCACCAUAUUUGGGCCUAAGGGGAUGCAGUGUGGAGUAGCAAUUAGAUGAUGGGUUGCGAGAGUGACAGAAGCUUAAACCCCAGUUUGUGCGCUAUUCCCUAAGGGACCGAUUGGAUCCAAAACUUUAAUGCUAUGGUUAGAAUUUAUUCUUAAUACCUUUCCCGUAGUUGCGGAUGCUUGCGAGAGGGUUAAUCAUAAGUAGCAGGUUUGUUCAAGUAAGAACAUCACCUAAGCACCGGUCCACCCACAUAUCAAAUUAUCAAAGUAGCGAACAUGAAUCGAAUCAACAUGAUGAAAGUGACUAGAUGAAAUUCCCGUGUACCCUCAAGAACGCUUUGCUUAUUAUAAGAGACCGUUUUGGCCUGUCCUUUGCCUCAAAAGGAUUGGGCUACCUUGAUUCACUUUUGUUACUACUAUCGUUACUUGCUCGUUACAAAAUAUCUUGCUAUCAAACUACUAUGUUACUUACGAUUUCAGCACUUGCAGACAUUACCUUACUGAGAACCACUUGGCAUUUCCUUCUGCUGCUCGUUGGGUUUGUCACUCUUAGUUAUCUAAAAGAGCUAUAAUUGAUCCCCUAUACUUGUGGGUCAUGAAGGCUAUUUUCUGGCGCCAUUUCCGAGGAGUGAAGCGCCUUUGGUAAAUGGAAUUUGGUAAGGAAACAUUUAUAUAGUGUUCUGAAAUUUAUUGUCACUUGUUACUAUGGAAAACAAUCCUUUGAGGGGUUUGUUUGGGGUAUCUUCACCUCGAUUGGAAUCACAAUUAGCUACCCCUCAACCUACUGCACCUACUGAAAAUAUUGAAUAUGAAAUUCCUUCGGGUGUGAUAGAACAACUGCUAGCUAAUCCUUAUGCAGGAGAUGGAACCAAACAUCCUGAUAUGCACUUGAUAUAUGUGGAACAAAUUUAUGGAUUGUUUAAGUUUGCAGUUUUACCCAGAGAUGAAGUUAUGAAGAAGGUUUUCCCUUUAUCUUUGAAGGGAAAAGCAUUGGCAUAGUAUAGGAUAUGCGAUGAUAUUGGAUCUUGGAAUUGGAAUCGGUUGAAAUUGGAGUUCCACCAAAAAAAUAUCCUAUUCACCUAGUUCAUCGUGAUCGGAAUUACAUAUAUAAUUUUUGGCCUCGUGAAGGAGAAAGUAUUUCUAUAGCUUGGGGGAGGCUUAAGUCAAUGUUAUAUUCAUGCCCCAAUCAUGAGGUCUCAAGAGAAAUUAUUAUUCAGUAUUUUUAUGCUCGGCUUUCUCGUGAUGAUCAAUCCAUACUUGAUACAUCUUGUACUGGUUCCUUCAUGAAGAAAACUAUUGAAUUCCGGUGGGAUCUUUUGGAAAGAAAUUAACGCAAUUAUGAAGAUUGGGAACUCGACGAAGAUAAAGAGUCACAUAUUAAGCUUAAGUAUGAUUGUGUUAAAUCUUUUAUGAAUACUGAUGCUUUUCAAAAGUUUAGCACCAAAUAUGGACUUGACUCUGAGAUAGUAGCCUCCUUUUGUGAAUCAUUUGCUACUCUUGUUGAUCUCCCUAAAGAGAAGUGGUUUAAAUAUCACCCACCUAUUAAGAAGAAAUUAAAGAACCAGUGCUAGCUAAAGAAGAAACUAUACUUUAUAAUGUGGAUCCACUUGUUCCUACUGCUUAUAUUGAGAACCCACAUUUCCCUGUUAGGAUAAAGGAACAUGCUAAAGUUUCAACUAUGGUCAACAAAAGUUAUAUUAGAACACCUAAACCAGAUGAACAAAUUAAAGUAGAACCUAGUAUUGUUAUGGUUAAGGAUCUCUUGGAAGAAAACUAGUAGAUUUGCACGUGCAAUGCAUGUCUAGUCAUCUAGAAUGACAUCAAAUAAUUAUUAAAAUACUAAGGUGCUUCUUUAAUCAAACGAGAAAUUUGCAGUUUAUUUUGUAUGUCCACUCGAUCCUUGAACGGUUACCUUUAUUACAUGCAUAUAAAGUAGUUGUUUAGCUACCAAGACAACACAAGAGAAUAAUAUUAUAGCAAAGAAAGGCAAAGAUUUCCCAAUGUUAUCGACUAUGGGGGUGGUAGACGUCUGUCACAUUAUAUGAAACAUAUGUAAGUAGUUCCCAAGAAAUGUGGUAUGUGCUCAUCUCAAAAGUAAGUAAAUGCAAAUACGGUUUGUUAAUGAAUAAGGAUUAUCUGAGAUGAUAAGUACAAACAAAUUCAAAAUAUUCCUAGGAUAACAAAUUGAUUAGUUGAAGUACAUUAUAUGACUAUUUUACGCAAAAAUUAAGAACUGAAUUGAACAGUGGGCAAAAAUGGAUCUUCAUCAAUAUUAAACAAGGUGUUUGAGCCGGCCAAAAAAAAUUCAUAAACUAUGAUAACAACAUCCAUGAUAAAAAAACAGAAAAUACAUGGAUACCUAUGACAUGUUUGCUCUUCAUAUGAAGUCUCAUCUACUCCCCGGUUCAUUUAGUCGAUUCUUAUUUGGCUUUUUUGAGCAUAGUUUAAACAACAAUAGUGCAUGAAAGAAACCAAAACUGACAAGGAACUCCUUUCAGAAAAUCAAUUCUUAACUCUCGAGGACAACUGGACUCCCUUCAAUUUUUUUUGAGGUUCAACAUGUUUCCUAUUUAUUCAUAGAAGGCAGGAAUUUCUGCCGCAAUAACGUCGAGGAUACAAUCAGGUGGCUGAUGCAGCCAUACCUUACACAAAUUAUUCAUAACCUCUUCCACAUUAGCUGAUCUCCUAACCCAGCUCACCUUCCAGCCUUGGCGUGCCUCCAGUAGAUGCUUGACGUCCUGAACCAAAGGCCCUUGCGAAGAUAGGUCCCUUUUAGUGUUUUGAAGCUUCCCAACUAUCUCCUUGCAAUCCAUCUCAAUAUGUCAUCCGCCACCUGGGCCGCCCUUUUGCACGCCAGUAGCUCCAUCUUCGCUGGCUCCACCCCCUGCGAGAAAUAGUGACAUGGUUGCUUUGGUUUCUUGAAAAUUGUGAAACCAAUGAUGGGUACACAAAAUAUGCCUUAAUAGAACUCAGAGUUGUGAAGUAAAAUCAGAAUACAUCUCCAGUAAGACAUCUUUAAUGAAAACACAAUUUACUACACAAAUCUCAUAUGCUUCUUUAAUUCUGGAUGAUUGAUUUUAAUCAAGAUUUCCGUGAUGAAAAUAACAACCACUCUCACAUCCGCACUUAAAUAUUAUAAAUAUAGUAUUGCAAUCUCAAACACAAUAUUGCAACAGCAAUUUCGUUGACAUAGCUAUAUUAUUGCUAGUUCGACACAACUGAAGGAUAUACACCAGCGAGAAACAUGUACCAAAGGAAAGUGCCUUCUUACUGUAGGUUAGAAUUUGUAGUGCAGCAAGGCUGGUGCUUUUUUUAGCAUUGGCCAACCAUUUUUUUUAUUAGAGAUAGUAAGUAUCAAUUGAAAGGUGAUCUUAGAAUAUAGAGGCGAUGCAUUAGCAGUACCUUCUAUGGGCAGCCAAUCCACGUAAAUUGGAUAAAAAUUGGUUCAUUCUGGACUUGAAUUAAGGAUAGACUUCUACAUCUUUCUAGUAAAAACACAAUGCAAGCCUGUUAAUAGUAGACUCAAGGAAGCAUCAAUACAUAUAAUUUGUUAGAUUUUUUGUAUGAUGGUGGUAAUUUUUUUAAAAAAACAAAGGGAUUUCCCCCGCUCCAUUUUAUUGAUGAAGUAGAUAGAAACCAACAAGCCAACUCCAGGCAAAAGCCCUUACAAACCGAACACUACUCCUACCCAGAAGCAGACCAAAACCUACUCCACCUGAGCACUACCAGCACACAUGCUAUGAUAAAAGUUCAGACUGCAGUAUUAGUAGUUCGAUAACUCUUACUUUUAUUACAACACCCCUACUGAAUAGCAAAAAAAAACAAGUAUUUGCUGCACGUCUUAACUAAUACAAAUACACCUAAAAUACAUAAUACCCUAGCAGAAAUCUGAGCCUAAGAAACAUACUAUUUGCCGACUUUUGGUAUGUUUCAGACUUUGAUUUAGGACAUUCCUAAACAUACCCAUUCAUCUACAAAAUUGCAUAAAAUUGACAAGCAUGCAUGGAUACAUGAACCUUCAUUUUGACAGUCUUGAUGGUCUUGUGAAUGCCUCAGCAUGAGAACUAAAUCACUCUAGCAGAUUAGUGCCAAACCUACCACGCUUGUCCGUAGGCACAGGCCAACAAGCAGAUCACAAUGAUAGUUAGAUAGUGGUAGGUGGGCAGAGAGAAGAUCAGAUCGACCCACCCAAGGAAGCAAAGCCAGCUAAUCCAUGGCGAAAGCGGAGGUGCACGUGCUGGAGCGGACUCGUGUGGCGCCGGCGCUAGGGACGCUGUGUCUAGAGCUCCACAUCACCUACUUCGACGACGUGGGCUGGCUCUUCACAGACCCUGUCGAGCGCCUCUUCUUCUACCGCCAGGUCGACCCGGCCGCUGCGUUCCCGCUGCCCGUUCCCUUCCCUCCGAACACGCUCGCCCGCUUCCUCCCGCUCGCCGGCGCCCUCACGGCCGUGUCGGCUGGCUCUUCACGACCGAGCCCGUCGUGUCCCACACGGCGGCCUCCACUGUAUGGAGGAGAGGGACCCCUCCGCCGACGACACAGGCAGAUCGGGUUGAGUCCCGCUCAGCCGCCGCUUCUCGACGGAGGAGAGGAACCCCGCUGCCGACGUAGGCCAAGCCCCCUGCGUCUCGCGCCGCCGCCACUGCCGCCGCUGCCUCUGCUCGACGAAGGAGAGGAUACAGGCCGCCGACAAAGGCUGAGCCCGCUGUAUCUCACGUCGUAGCCACUGCUUGAGGGAGGAGAGGGACCCCGGCGGCGGCUAGGAGGGGAGAGGAGGGAGGGAUGGGUACGAUGGAGGCGGGGCAGGACGAAAGGCGGGCUCUCCUUUUUUUUGACGGGCGGAUGUCAGAGUUUUGGUCCGCCGGAAAAAUUGCUAAGCGUAUUUUCGGUGAGGUGAGUUGUUAUGAUAACGAUUAGAUCUAAAUGAGUGGGUUUGAUCAUGAGGCUCUAAUUGAUUUAAGGUGUUGUGUGUACAUUAGAUGGGGUGUGUUUAGGGAAUAAAAUGUUCUCUUGUUUAAUAGUAGUAUAGAUGUAGACAGGCAUGUUAUUUACUUCUGGGAAGAAGCUGCUAGAAUUGCCAAACCUAAUAAAAAGGAUAAACACAGAUCUGUUGUUGGCAUGCCCGUUGUCUCAGUUAAAAUAGGGAUCACUGUUAUCAUGGUUUAUGUGACAUAGAUGCUAGCGUGAGUGCUAUUCCCUACUCCUUAUAUCAAGAAAUUAUGAAUGACAUAGCACCCGUAGAGCUAGAGACACAGAUGUUACUAUUAUACUUGCUAAUAGAGAUAUUAUAUCACCAAUUGGAAUUGUUAGAGAUGUUGAAGUCUUGUGUGGGAAAAUAAAAUACCCUACCAAUUUUCUUGUUCUUAGUUCCCCACAAGAUGACUUUUGUCCAAUUAUCUUUGGUAGACCUUUCUUGAACAUCGUUAAUGCUCGAAUAGAAUGUGAGAAACAAACUGUCGGUGUUAGUUUUGGUGAUGAGUCUCAUGAGUUUAAUUUUUCCAAAUUUAAUAGCAAGCUUCGUGAAAAAGAAUUACCUAGUAAGGAUAAAAUAAUUGGUCUUGCUUCUAUUGUUGUGCCUCCUAAUGCUCCACUAGAACAAUAUUUUCUAGUCAGCAUGUAAUUGUGUGUAACUCUUUGUAUAUUUAGCAUUAUUGCUAAAAAGUAUAAGGACGUGGCUCGCGGGCGCACAGGCGCCCGAUCGCAGCCCCGAGCGCUCUCCCAAAAAAGGAAGGAGCCACCCGCGCGCGCGACCAGACAGCUAGAAACGUAAAGCAGGCCCCCGCGCGUGAAACCGACCAACCCAAGCCCGCGCGAAUCACGUGCGCGCCCCGAUCACACUUGGUCCCCCCUGGCCCCCGCUUCCUUGCACCCGCCGUCCCCAGGCUUUAGUCCCCACCCCCUCCCUGCACCCCCGCCCAUGCUCCCCCUUGCGGACGCCUCACGCAACCCCCUCCUCCUUUUCCUUGAAGGAAAAGCCCACGGACGGGUCCCCUUCUUCCUCCUUGCUCCUGCCUUUCCUCCUCUAAACAAGAUCUGCCCCAUCUAUGGCAUCUUGAAGAACAAAGCCGAUGCAGGAACACCUCCUUCCUCCUCCUUGCUCCAAAAAUCAGAUCUGGAGAGAAAAAACCAGACCUACCUGCCCCUAAAAAGGUAAGCACCACCUCCACCCGACUCCUCUCUCUUCCCUACUCAACCACCCCUGCCCUUCCCUGCUUGAAUGUCAACUAGUCCAGUUUUAGUUUGUUCUUUUGUUCUCGUGAAAAAAGCAACUAUAGUGGGAACACCAGUACGCAUCUUGAGCAACUAUUAUGAUACAAAAAAGCAACACCAGUACAAAAAUAGAGCAACUCUAGUGGGAAAGAAAAUGCAGGACCAUUGCGUUUGUGCAGGUGCAUUGCAACACGAAACCUACUUGGCUUUCUUUCCUAUCCUAUUAUAAGGUGCUUGGGAUUCAUGAGCAACCCUGAUCAAGAAAAGUAACCUGACAACUCGAACAAUUAACUGAAGCAACUAUGUUCAUUUUUGAAGCAACUCUGGUAAAAAAAAGAGCUGUGCAACCGUAGCUGUUCAGAAAUUCUAGAGUUGCCUCUACCAGAUGUAAGAACAUGUCAACUCUAGUACUAAAACACAUGCAACUUCCCUGUGCAUUAAAGCAUGAACUAUCAAGAACAUAAAAACUCAAGUUAUAGACAGAGGUAGAAAGUAUUAACUUGCAUGUGUUAACGCGCAGCUUUUGCUAUAUCAGUAUGGUUCUCGCUAAAAAGAAGACACAAACGACAAACGCACAAAACAAAGGUUGCGUCAUAAAAACAGAUUCAAACAAUCCCACACUAUAAUUUGCUACAUUCCAUAUGGUCUCACUAAAAAAAUAAAAAAUACAUAAACUACACCAAAUGAUAGGCCUCCUGCUCCUGGUAAGCUCUCUGUCAGAUAUGCACAUUGGUUGUUUCUUUCCCAUUGCUACCUCUUCAGCACUGCGUUGGAUUUCCCCGAAGAGGAGAGGAUGAUGCAGCAAAGUAGCGUAAGUAUUUCCCUCAGUUUUUGAGAACCAAGGUAUCAAUCCAGUAGGAGACCACGCACAAGUCCCUCGUACCUACACAAAACGAUAGCAACUCGCAACCAACGGUUAGGGGUUGUCAAUCCCUUCACGGUCACUUACGAGAGUGAGAUCUGAUAGAGAUAAUAUUUUUGGUAUUUUUGAUAGAUAGAUGCAAAGUAAAAAGUAAAAGGCAAAGUAAAAACAAAGCAAGUAAAUAAAGUGAUAGAGAUUGAUAUGAUGAGAAUAGACCCAGGGGCCAUAGGUUUCACUAGUGGCUUCUCUCAAGAGCAUAAGUAUUCUACGGUGGGUGAACAAAUUACUGUUGAGCAAUUGACAGAAUUGAGCAUAGUUAUGAGUAUAUCUAGGAAAUGAUCAUGUAUAUAGGCAUCAUGUCCAAACAAGUAGAUCGAAACGAUUCUGCAUCUAAUACUAUUACUCCACUCAUUGACCGCUAUCCAGCAUGCAUCUAGAGUAUUAAGUUAAAACAGAGUAACGUCGUAAGCAAGAUGACAUGAUGUAGAGGGAUAAACGCAUGCAAUAUGAUAAAAAAACCAUCUUGUUAUCCUCGAUGGCAACAAUACAAUACGUGCCUUGCUGCCCCUUCUGUCACUGGGUCAGGACACCGCAAGAUUGAACCCAAAGCUAAGCACUUCUCCCAUUGCAAGAACUACCAAUCUAGUUGGCCAAACCAAAAAGGAUAAUUCGAAGAGACUUGCAAAGAUAACUCAAUCAUACAUAAAAGAAUUCAAAGAAGAAUCAAAUAUUUUCCAUAGAUAAUACUGGAUCAUAAACCCACAAUUCAUCAAUCUCAACAAACACACCGCAAAAAGAAGAUUACAUCGAAUAGAUCUCCACGAGAGAGGGGGAGAACAUUGUAUUGAGAUCCAAAAAGAGAGAAGUCAUCUAGCUACUAGCUAUGGACCCGAAGGUCUGAAGUAAACUACUCACACUUCAUCAGAGGGGCUAUGGUGAUGAUGUAGAAGCCCUCCAUGGUGGAUGCCCCCUCCGGCGGAGCUCCGGAACAGGCCCCAAGAUGGGAUCUCGUGGAUACAGAAGGUUGUGGCGGUGGAAUUAGGUUUUUGGCUCCUGUUUUGAUCGUUCGGGGAUACGUAGGUAUAUAUAGGAGGAAGGAGUACGUCGGUGGAGCUCCGAGGGGCCCACGAGGUAGGGGGGCGCGCCCAAGGGGGGCGCCCUCCACCCUCGUGACCUCCUCGGAGACUUCUUGGAGUAGGGUCCAAGUCUCCUGGAUCACGUUCGGUUGGAAAAUCACGAUCCCGAAGGUUUCAUUCCGUUUGGACUCCGUUUGAUAUUCUCUUUCUUCGAAAUACUGAAAAAGGCAAAAAACAGUAAUUCUGGGCUGGGCCUCCGGUUAAUAGGUUAGUCCCAAAAGUAAUAUAAAAGUGGAAAAUAAAGCCCAAUAUAGUCCAAAAUAGUAGAUAAAGUGGCAUGGAGCAAUCAAAAAUUAUAGAUACGUUGGAGACGUAUCAGGCAUCCCCAAGCUUAAUUCCUGCUCGUCCUCGAGUAGGUAAAUGAUAAAAAAAGAAUUUUUGAUGCAGAGUGAUACUUUGGCAUAAUUUCAAUGUAAAUCUUCUUAAUUGUGAUAUGAAUAUUUAGAUCUGAAAGAUUCAAGACAAAAGUUCAUAUCGACACAAAAAUAAUAAUACUUCAAGCAUACUAAUCAAAGCAAUCAUGUCUUCUCAAAAUAACAUGGCAAAAGAAAGUUCAUCCCUACAAAAUCAUAUAGUUAGGCUAUGCUUCAUUUUCGUCACACAAAGAUGUUCCCAACUUCUAUACCCCCGAUGACAAGCCAAGCAAUUGUUUUAGACUCCAAUAAUCUCAAACUUUUUCAACCUUCACGCAAUACAUGAGCGUGAGCCAUGGAUAUAGCAAUAUGGGUGGAAUAGAAUAUGAUGAUGGGAAUUGUGUGGAGAAGACAAAAAAGGAGAAAGUCUCACAUCAACUAGGCGUAUCAACGGGCUAUGGAGAUGCCCAUCAAUAGAUAUCGAUGUGAGUGAGUAGGGAUUGCCAUGCAACGGAUGCACUAGAGCUAUGAAUGCUCAACAAAAGAAAACUAGUGGGUGUGCAUCCAACUUGCUUGCUCACGAAGACCUAGGGCAUUUGAGGAAGCCCAUCGUAGGAAUAUACAAGCCAAGUUCUAUAAUGAAAAAUUCCCACUAGUAUAAAAAGACAACUUAUGAGACUCACCACAUGAGGAACAAGGUGCUACUUUGAAUCACAAUAUAUGAGACUCACUACAUAAAGAACUAGGUGCUACUUUGAAGCACAAGUGUGGAAAAAGAGAUAGUAGCAUUGCCCUUUUUUAUUUUCUUUUUUUCUUUUUUUUAUUUUCUUUUUUUUUGGGCCUUUUUUUGGCCUUUCUCUUUUUUUUAUUUGGGCAAUGCUCUAAUAAUGAUGAUCAUCACACUUCUAUUGAUUACAACACAAGGAUUACAACUCGAAACUUAGAACAAGAUAUGACUCUAUAUGAAUGCCUCCAGCGGUGUACCGGGAUGGUGCAAUGAAUCAAGAGUGACAUGUAUGGAAAAUAAUGCAUGGUGGCUUUGCCACAAAUACGAUGUCAACUACAAGAUCAUGCAAUGGCAAUAUGACAAAAGUAAUAUAUGUCAUGAUGAUGAUGGUGGAAGUUGCAUGGCAUUAUAUCUCGGAAUGGCUAUGGAAAUGCCAUGAUAGGUAGGUAUGGUGGAUGUUUUGAGGAAGAUAUAAGGAGGUUUAUGUGUGAUAGAGUAUAUCGUAUCACGGGGUUUGGAUGCACCGGCGAAGUUUGCACCAACUCUCAAGGUGAGAAAGGGCAAUGCACGGUACCGAAGAGGCUAGCAAAGGUGGAAAGGUGAGAGUGUGUAUAAUCCAUGGACUCAACAUUAGUCAAAAGAACUCAUAUACUUAUUGCAAAAAUUUAGAAGUCAUCAAAAAAAUUCAAGUACUACGCGCAUGCUCCUAGGGGGAUAGAUUGGUAGGAAAAGACCAUCGCUCGUCCCCGACCGCCACUCAUAAGGAUGCACAAGCCAGGUACACUUCAUGUUUCAAAUUUGUUACACAACUUUAACCAUACGUGCAUGCUACGGGACUUGCAAACUUCAACACAAGUAUUUCUUAAAUUCAUAAUCACCCAACUAGCACGACUUUGAUAUUAUCACCUCCACAUCUCAAAACAAUUAUCAAGCAUCAAACUUAUCUUAGUAUUCAACGCACUCAAAAGAAAGUUUCACAUAUCUUGAACACCAAGUAUAUUAACAUUAGGCAAUUUACCAUGCUAUUAAAGACUCUCAAAAUAAUCUAAGUGAAGCAUGGGAGAUCAAUAGUUUCUUUAAAACAAAUCCACCACCAUGCUCUAAAAGAUCUGAGUGAAGUACUAGAGCAAAAACUAUCACGCUCAAAAGAUAUAAGUGAAGCACUAUGAGCAAAACUAUCAAGCUCAAAAAAUAUAAGUGAAGCACUAUGAGCAUUCUAACAAAAUCCAAUUCAUGUAUGGCUCUCUCAAAAUAUGUGUACAGAAAGGAUGAUUGUGGUAGACUAACAAGCAAAGACACAAAUAAUACAAGACGCUCCAAGCAAAACACAUAUCAUGUUGGUGAAUAAAAAUAUAGCUCCAAGUAAAUUACCGAUGGAAGUGGACGAAAGAGGGGAUGCCUUCCGGGGCAUCCCCAAGCUUUGACUUUUUGGUGUCCUUGGAUUAUCUUGGGGGUGCCAUGGGUAUCCCCAAGCUUAGUCUCUUGCCACUCCUUGUUCCAUAAUCCAUCAAAAGAAUUCACCCAAAACUUGAAAACUUCACAACACAAAACUCAACAGAAAUCUCGUGAGCUCUGUUAGAGAAAGAAAACAAAAGACUACUUCAAGGUACUGUAAUUAACUCAUUAUUUAUUUAUAUUGAUGUUAAACCUACUUUAUUCCAACUUCUCUAUGGUUUAUAAACUAUUUUACUAGCCAUAGAUUCAUCAAAAUAAGCAAACAACACACGAAAAACAGAAUCUGUCAAAAAUAGAACAGUCUGUAGCAAUCUGUAACUAACGCAAACUUCUGAAACUCUAAAAAUUCUACAAAAAUAGGAAGUCCUGGACAAUUUGUUUAUUGAUCAGCAGUAGAAAGAAUCAACGCAAAAGCAAGUUCCUGUGAUUUAUCAUAACUAAAUUCGUGCGUGCAAAGUUUCUGUUUUUCAGCAGAAUCAAAUCAACUAUCAUCGUAGGUUAGCCUAUAGGUUCUACUUGGCACAAACACUAAUUAAAACAUAAAACCUCAUCCAAACAGAAGGUAGAUGGAUUAUUUAUUCCUAAACAGAAGCAAAAACAAAAAACACAAAACACAAAAUAAAAUUGGGUUGCCUCCCAACAAGCGCUAUCGUUUAACUCCCCUAGCUAGGCAUAAAAUCAAGGAUAGAUCUAGGUAUUGCCAUCUUUGGUAGGCAAUCCAUAAGUGGCUCUCAUGAUAGAUUCAUAUGGUAAUUUUAUUUUCUUUCUAGGGAAGUGUUCCAUACCCUUAUUUAAGGGUAAUUGGAAUCUAAUAUUCCCUUCCUUCAUAUCAAUAAUUGCACCAAUCGUUCUAAGGAAAGGUCUACCAAGAAUAAUAGGACAUGAAGGAUUGCAAUCUAUAUCAAGAACGAUAAAAUCUACGGGCACAUAAUUCCUAUUUGCAACAAUAAGAAGAUCAUUAAUUCUUCCCAUAGGUUUUUUAAUAGUAGAAUCCGCAAGAUGCAAGUUUAGAGAGCAAUCAUCAAAAUCACGGAAAUCUAGCAAAUCACAUAAAGUUUUGGGAAUAGUAGAGACACUAGCACCCAAAUCACACAAAGCAUGAAAAUCAAAAUCUUUAAUUUUAAUUUUAAUAGUAGGUUCCCAUUCAUCAUAGAGUUUUCUAGGGAUAGAAACUUUCAACUCAAGUUUUUCUUCAUAAGAUUGCAUCAAAGCAUCAACAAUAUGUUCAGUAAAGGCCUUAUUUUGACUAUAAGCAUGAGGAGAAUCUAGCACGGAUUGCAACAAGGAAAUACAACCAAUAAAAGAGCAAUUUUCAUAAUUAAAUUCCUUGAGAUCCAAAAUAGUGGGUUUAGCAACAUCACUAUUUUUAUUUAUUUCAAUCCCACUUUCAUCAAUUUCAUCAUCAGGAUCUAGAAACUCCGAAUUCUUAGAACGCCUUCUAGGUAAAGGAAGAUAAUCUUCAGAUUCAUCAAGAUUCAUAUUGCAAAACAAAGAUUUAAUGGGGGACACUUCAAUAACUUUUAGAUCUUCAUCUUGAUUUUCAUAGGGAUUGGAAGAACAUGCUUUAAUAAAGGCAUCUUUGCAAGCACGCAUCCUAGCGGUUCUUUCCUUGCACUCAUCAAUGGAAAUUCUCAUGGCUUUGAGAGACUCAUUGAUAUCAUGCUUAGGAGGAAUAUAUCUAAGCUUUAAAGAAUCAAUUUCAAGAGAAAUUCUAUCAACGUUCCUAGCCAAAUCAUCAACUUUAAGCAAUUUCUCUUCAAGCAAAGCAUUAAAAUUCUUUUGUGAAUUCAUAAACUCUUUAACACUACUCUCAAAUUCAGAGGGCAUCUUAUUAAAAUUUCCAUAAGAGUUGUUGUAGGAAUUUCCAUAAUCAUUAGAAGGAUUACUAGGAUAAGGCCUAGGAUUAAAAUUCCCUCUAUAAGCGUUGUUUCCAAAACUAUUCCUACCAACAAAAUUCACAUCCAUAGAUUCAUUAUUAUUCUCAAGCAAAGUAGAUAAAGGCAUAUCAUUGGGAUCAAGAGGAGUAUUUUUAGGAGCAAACAUCUUCAUAAGUUCAUCCAUCUUUUCACUCAAAACAUUGAUUUCUUCUAUAGCAUGCACUUUCUUACUAGAAGAUCUUUCGGUGUGCCAUUGAGAAUAAUUAACCAUAAUAUUAUCAAGCAAUUUGGUAGCAUCCCCUAACGUAAUUUCCAUAAAAGUGCCUCCCGCGGCCGAAUAUAAAAGAUUUCUAGAAGCAAAAUUCAAUCCGGCAUAAAAAAUUUGUAUGAUCAUCCAUAAAUUCAAACCAUGAGUAGGGCAAUUGCGAAGCAUUAAUUUCAUUCUUUCCCAAGAUUGGGAAACAUGCUCAUGAUCAAGUUGUUUAAAAUUCAUGAUGUCGUUCCUAAGAGUGAUAAUCUUAGCGGGAGGAAAAUACUUAGAGAUAAAAGCAUCUUUGCACUUGUUCCAAGAAUCAAUACUAUUUUUAGGCAAAGAUGAAAACCAAACUUUAGCACGAUCUCUAAGUGAAAAUGGAAAUAACUUCAAUUUGACAAUAUUGUUAUCCGUAUCUUUCUUCUUUUGCAUACACACAUAUCAACAAAAUUGUUUAGAUGAGUAGCGGCAUCUUCACUAGGAAGGCCGGCGAAUUGAUCUUUCAUAACAAGAUUCAACAAAGCGGUAUUGAUUUCACAAGACUCAUCAUUAUUAAGAGGAGAAAUCGAAGUACUAAGGAAAACAUUAUUAUUGGUAUUCGAGAAAUCACACAAUUUGGUAUUAUCUUGCGCCAUGGCAACAAGUAAUCCAACACACAAGCAAACAGAAAGGCAAAGGGAAAAAGGCAAACGGGAAAUAGAGGAGGAGAUUGGGAAAGAGAGGGCAAAUAAAACGGCAAGGGUGAAGUGGGGGAGAGGAAAACGAGAGGCAAAUGGCAAAUAAUGUAAUGCGAGAGAUAGGGAUUGCGAUGGGUAUUUGGUAAAGUUGACUUGCUUGCGUGAGCCUCCCCGGCAACGGCGCCAGAAAUUCUUCUUGCUACCUCUUGAGCAAUGCGUUGGAUUUCCCCGAAGAGGAGAGGAUGAUGCAGCAAAGUAGCAUAAGUAUUUCCCUCAGUUUUUGAGAACCAAGGUAUCGAUCCAGUAGGAGACUAUGCACAAGUCCCUCAUACCUACACAAAACGAUAGCAACUCGCAACCAACGCUUAGGGGUUGUCAAUCCCUUCAAGGUCACUUACGAGAGUGAGAUCUGAUAGAGAUAAUAUUUUUGGUAUUUUUGAUAGAUAGAUGCAAAGUAAAAAGUAAAAGGCAAAGUAAAAACAAAGCAAGUAAAUAAAGUGAUAGAGAUUGAUAUGAUGAGAAUAGACCCGGGGGCCAUAGGUUUCACUAGUGGCUUCUCUCAAGAGCAUAAGUAUUCUACGGUGGGUGAACAAAUUACUGUUGAGCAAUUGACAGAAUUGAGCAUAGUUAUGAGUAUAUCUAGGCAAUGAUCAUGUAUAUAGGCAUCACGUCCAAAACAAGUAGAUCGAAACGAUUCUGCAUCUACUACUAUUACUCCACUCAUCGACCGCUAUCCAGCAUGCAUCUAGAGUAUUAAGUUAAAAACAGAGUAACGCCGUAAGCAAGAUGACAUGAUGUAGAGGGAUAAAUUCAUGCAAUAUGAUAAAAACCUCAUCUUGUUAUCCUCGAUGGCAACAAUACAAUACGUGCCUUGCUGCCCCUUCUGUCACUGGGUAAGGACACCGCAAGAUUUAACCCAAAGCUAAGCACUUCUCCCAUUGCAAGAACUACCAAUCUAGUUGGCCAAACCAAAAAGGAUAAUUUGAAGAGACUUGCAAAGAUAACUCAAUCAUACAUAAAAGAAUUCAGAGAAGAAUCAAAUAUUUUCCAUAGAUAAUACUGGAUCAUAAACCCACAAUUCAUCGAUCUCAACAAACACACCGCAAAAAGAAGAUUACAUCGAAUAGAUCUCCACGAGAGAGGGGGGAACAUUGUAUUGAGAUCCAAAAAGAGAGAAGAAGCCAUCUAGCUACUAGCUAUGGACCCGAAGGUCUGAAGUAAACUACUCACACUUCAUCGGAGGGGCUAUGGUGAUGAUGUAGAAGCCCUCUGUGGUGGAUGCCCCCUCCGGCGGAGCUCCGGAAUAGGCCCCAAGAUGGGAUCUCGUGGAUACAAAAGGUUGCGGCGGUGGAAUUAGGUUUUUGGCUCCUGUUCUGAUCGUUCGGGGAUACGUAGGUAUAUAUAGGAGGGAGGAGUACGUUGGUGGAGCUCUGAGGGGCCCACGAGGUAGGGGGCGUGCCUAGGGGGCGCGCCCUCCACCCUCGUGACCUCCUCGGAGACUUCUUGGAGUUGGGUCCAAGUCUCCUGGAUCACGUUCGGUUGGAAAAUCACGAUCCCGAAGGUUUCAUUCCGUUUGGACUCUGUUUGAUAUUCUGUUUCUUCGAAAUACUGAAAAAGGCAAAAAACAGCAAUUCUGGGCUGGGCCUUCGGUUAAUAGGUUAGUUCCAAAAGUAAUACAAAAGUGGAAAAUAAAGCCCAAUAUAGUCCAAAACAGUAGAUAAAGUAGCAUGGAGCAAUCAAAAAUUAUAGAUAUGUUGGAGACGUAUCACCCAUCAUCAAAAGUUGUAAUCUGCUGCUGAAAAAAGGCACAAAUGAAUCAGCGCAUGUCGUGUAAAAACAAAUCUUUGCUGUUGUAUAUGUGUGUCAUACUGUUAGAAACAUAACACAUAUAAGAAAACAAGAAGAAACAGGAAAUUUUUGAGGAAAAAGAAGAUAUGAAUUGCCUCUGUUUAACUUUAUAGUUGCCCAAACAAGUGUUUAUAGUUGCUCCUUUAUAUUCUACAACUAGUUUGUUCAUAAAAGGUCAUGCAUGCUUUUGUGGUGGGUUAACACACAAUUUGUUGCAGGUUGAUUGUUCAUGAUGAUUGAUCUGAAUGAACCACCGCUUGACGUAGAGUCCAUCAACAUUUCAGUCGAGUUGAGUGCACCCUUCUUGCAUGCAGGGGGUGAAUAGGAACAUCAACAACUGGAGGAGGAGGUUGGUGAGCCUCCUGACCCCAAUGUUGGAUCUAACACUACUCAUGUCUCGGACAAUCGUGUUGCCGCUCCCCCACCUAUGGUUGCUCCUGCUAAUGCUUUAGUUCAUGAGGCACAUGAGUUGGAAGAUGAAGAAGCUGGAUCACAGCCACAACAACCUUAUGUUGGCAUGCGCUUCGACACAUUAGAGGAUGCGAGGGAACACUACAAUCGCUAUGCUUUGAUGGAGGGCUUUUCAAUCAAGUCAAAUACGUCUUACACGUCGGCCUACACAAGUGUGGUGGAAAAACAGCAAUUCUGGUGUAACAAGUUCCGCAAACCAGUCGAGAGGGUUGGGAUCCCGGAUGUUCCCUCGUCGAGAAAAAACACUACAUGUCCAAGCUCACCUGAACAAGAUCUUGAAGAUGAUGUCGAGGAACACACUUUCAAGCAGAAGAGGAAACGGGAAACUGUGAAGAAAAGAAAAUGUCGUGCUAAGAUGGUGGUGAAGCUUAAAGAUGACAGAUGGGAGGUUAUCACUUUUAUUGCAGAUCAUAACCAUCCACUGAUUGAGAAGCCAUCGCUUUCGAAAUACCUCCGUUCUCACCAAGGAAUCCCACCGGAACAGAAAAAACUACUGACUCACCUAAAUGACUGCAACUUGACAGCAGGAACAAAACUCACAUUGCGUUAAGUCUUUUUACCACAGAACUGUUACUUAUUCCUGCAUCAAGUACCUUGACCUGAGCCAACUAUGUUCAUUUUUUAUGCAACCAUGUUCAUUUUUUGUGCAACUCUAGUAAUUAAAAAAAUCAUGACCCAAAAUCGAAACACCUUGGUGUUGCCUAUUCCUACCUCAACUACUUGGGUUUGUUUCCUAUCCUAGUAUAAGCUGCUUAGGAUUCAUGGGCAACCCUGAUCAGGGGGAAAAACUGGCAACUUGAAUAGUAAACUAAGGCAACUAUGUUCAUUUUUCGUGCAACUCUGAAAAUAAAAUAAAAGACAUCACCCAUCAAAAAACAAAACUUGGUUGGAUACAGGCUUGGUUCUUGUUCUGCUUAUGCAUAAUUGUUACUUUAUGUUAUCUAUAAAAAACAUGUUGCUCGCUGCAUUGUGGUUAGUUAUUCCUGAAAAAAACAAGUUUCUGUUUUUUAUGGCAGGAAAAAUGAUGAUGUUAAUGUCAUCAUACUACGGCUCGGAGUUGAUUGUUCCAUACACAGCUAAAGCCAUCCAUAACCACCGUUCGAAGCUCAAUGCCCCAACUAAAGACAUUGACAUUGAAGAAACACUAAACUACUUUUGCAAGGUGAUGGAAAAUGACCCAGGAUUUUUCUUUAAAUGCAAGAUAGAUGCGGAAGGCAAGACAGAAAACUUGUUUUGGGUGGAUGGUGCGGCACGGAAAGCAUACGCGGAGGCUUGUCAUGAUUGCGUGUCAUUUGAUGCAACUUACCUCAUGAACAUGUACAAUAUGCCGUUUGCCCCCUUCAUUGGAAUCAACAGACAUGGGCAGUCAAUAAUGCUCGAGUGUGGAUUUGUCCGGCAGGAACUAGCCUCAAGUUAUGACUGGUUGUUUGAUGCUUUCCUAGAAGCAAUGGAUGGUUUGGCUCCGGACAACAUCAUCACGGACCAAGAUGUUGCUAUGGCACAAUCUAUCAAGAGGAAGUUCCCGGCAACGAUUCACCAUUGCUGCCGUUGGCAUAUAAUGAAGAAAGCACAAGAGAAGCUUGGCCCUGUGCUGGCUAGGAACCCGGAUUUGGUAAAAGACUUCAAUGAAUGCAUUGACUUCAGUUUCACCCCGACUGAGUUUGAAAGGAAAUGGGCUGCACUUCAAUUGAAAUAUGAAGGUCUUAUGCAUGGUCACUUUGAGAAACUCUAUGAAGAUCGGGCUACAUGGGUGCCGUGUUACUUCAGAUUCAGGUUCUUCCCUUUCCUUCAGUCAACGCAACGCAACGAAGGGUUCAAUGCUAUGUUGAAGCGCUAUGUGAACCCACACAAGUCAAUUCUCAACUUCGUCAAGCAAUAUGAGAAAAUUCAGGUACACAUACUCGUGAGGGAGGGCGGGAACGACUACCGGACAGAGCAUCUAGAGGCACAAAGAUGGUCGUGUUUCCCCAUUGAGAGGCAUGCCUACAAAGCAUACACUAGGGACAUCUAUGUGAAGUUUAGAACUGAGUUUCAGAUGAUUGGCCAGUAUGAUGUGCGUCCCGCGUGAAUCAAAUUCUAUUACCUUGAGCCCAAUAUAGAAGAAGUUCUAGGGUAUGUCUCUAGGAAGUACCUAGUCACAGUGAGACCAAAGCCAGCUAUCUACGAUUGUGAAUGUUGCAAGUGGCAUAGGGACGACAUGCUUUGUUGCCAUGUCUUGAAAAUCUUCACACACCUUGGCGUUAAUGAGAUACCUAAACACUACAUCAAGCGCCGCUGGACGCAAGAUGCAGUGCCAAGUGCACCACCGCCACCUAACGAGGGCCCUCCACAUGACUUGCCCGCUGAGUCAGAGAACCAAGUUUGGCAAGUGACUAUGACAAUGGAUUUUGCAAAGCUAGCCAAGAAGGCAAUGACUAGUGAUGAUGCAGCUACUGCAGUUAGGAGGCACAUGAAAGCAGCAGAUAUUGAGGUUACUAUGCUGAAUAAACUAAGGAAUAAGAGGCUAAAGGCAGCCCGGGAAGCGGCUCGUGCUAGGGAAGCAUCAAACCCUAAUGCCCCAAGUACUUCAAACCAACCUCCUGCCCCCUGCUCCUAUGGAUCCACCUCGUUCAGUCACGAAAGGGCGCAGCCGCAGCAAGCGCUUCAAAUCAGCCCUGCAACUACACCCUAAGAAAAAGAACAAGUGCAACAUUUGUGAAUCAAUCGAUCACACUGCUGGGACGUGCCUAGGGAAGCUGAUGUGAUCGUUACCACAUGAAGAUAAUGACCCCCUGGGCUUGCAAAACUAGCGAAAAGUAAGGGAAAAAAUAGCAAACAGUGUCCUGGUAGAUGAAGCAAUUGAGGCCUGGUUUCUGAGCAAAUGUAGAAGGGAAAUCAAGCAACUGCCAGCUUCAAGAAAAAAGCAACGAUGAAAUCAUUUGCAUGGACUUGUUUUAAUUUAUGUGUUUUCCAAGCUUUAAAUUCACAAAUUGGAGACUGUGUGGAGGUAGAUGCUUGACAUUUGUGCUUAUAUUCCUUACUCGUAAAACAUGCAAAAUCCUAUGGACGCUUGUGAUUUAUGCAAACAUGUUAUAGGUGGUUUGGGGCAAACUUUUGUGAGUUUUGUAAUGGAACACAUUAGUAUUCGCAUUUGAUAUUCUCUAAUGGAACACAUUGAUCAGGAAAAAAAUGUACCUAGAUAUUUGUUCACUUGUUGGCCGGUUUGAGGAUCUCCUGCCAUGGAAUCUUGUUCAGGUCACACUUCAGCAUGGAGAUGGUCAUCUUCUUCCUGAUGUUUGGUAUGUCGCUUUGUCCGUAGUUCGAGAGCCACGUCCCGUUCCACAAUAACACGUUCAUCAAUGCAAAUAUGCUACAGUCACCGCUGCAAAAAACCAAAUGUCAAGAAAGCACUUGCAAAAAAAAGCAAACACUACGUCAUAUAACAACAAUAUGUAUUAUGUGGGUUGGUCCUUACGAUACAGUCUGCUUUGGUGCAUCGAUAUCCACAAGCGGGAACUUGUCCAUUGUCUUUGCUUGUUUUGGAUAGUACUUGUCCCACAAUACACGGACUGCAUCUACAAUAGCCCUUGCAACAUCAUCCAGCCUCUUGCUUUUCUUUAACAUCCUCCAUGAGUCAAACACUUCGAACCUUUUGUCCCUCAGAUUGAUGUUGAGUACCUAGUAGUGGUGUGCGCCAUUGGCGUUCUCUGGGUCUAAAUUUUCAAGCACAGGAAUCAUAACCUUCAAGAAGAAAAAACCAUGUCAGCAUACCAAAAAAGACAUCAACUACUGAUAUGUUUUUGGGCAACUCUAUAUGUUUGUAUGAGCAACAUCUCAUAUGAUUUUUAGGAAACUCUAUAGAAUUUUAGGCAACUUCUGGCAUAACUCUCAAAACACUAAAAAACAUCAAAAAACUUUUGACAAUGUGUAUGAAGCUUCUGCAAAAUGGCUUAUCAGGCAACUCAGUGGCUUUUUAUGAGCAACUUAUCAUGUGAUUUCAAGCAACUCCUAUGAUUUCCUGACAUCAGCUUCUAGAAAAAAAAUCUAAGAAAAAACAGAAUAGAGCCUUUUAUCAUGUUUGACAACUAGUAAAAGACAUGGACCAUACCAUGUCUUGCUCAUCCAAACGGUUUGAUUUUUUGAACCUAUCAUGCAGAUCCCUCACAUCUAGAUCGAGCCUUUGAAGCCAAGUUUGUGGAGAAAUGUAGAAUCAGAUAAUAAAGCAACAACUUCAGUGCCAAAAAAUGAAAAAGGAAAAACUGUGGGUUUUUAUUUCUCUUACCGAAAACCUAACAGGCAUGAUUAUUUUCUUGGACCCCACCUGUCUGUUGUACAUGAUUGCUUCAAUCCCUAAUUCAAAGACAUGUGUCUUCAUCCAUCCUGCCUUCCUCAUUGAUUGAGCAAGCUCCUUGAUUGUGCAGAAGUAACCACGAUAGUUUAUGAUUUGCGGCCUGUAGAACAAAUAGAAAGACUCUGUUAAGAAAAAUAACAAUAGGAGAGAUCAUUGCAUGCAAAAAAAGAAAAAAGCAGGAAAAAAAGUGGCUACUGGAACAAACACACACGUUGUAUCAUCACCCUGCGACGUCCUUCUCAUCCCUCCUCCUCCUCCAAGCAACAGAAUCAGUGCAUACACUCUGUUUGUCUCUACAUUGCAUGUGAAAUCCUACCUCAUCUCUACAUUUACAUAUGGUGACCUCUGUGUUGCGGAACGUAGCAGAAAUUCAAAAUUUUCUACGCAUCACCAAGAUCAAUCUAUGGAGUAAUCUAGCAACAAAGGAAAGGGGAGUGCAUCUACAUACCCUUGUAGAUCGCUAAGCGGAAGCGUUCAAGUGAACGGGGUUGAUGGAGUCGUACUCGUCGUGAUCCAAAUCACUGAUGAUCCUAGUGCCGAACGGACGGCACCUCCGCGUUCAACACACGUGCUACCCGGUGACGUCUCCCAUGCCUUGAUCCAGCAAGGAGAGAGGGAGAGGUUGGGGAAGACUCCGUCCAGCAGCAGCACGACGGUGUGGUGGUGGUGGAGGAGCGUGGCACUCCAGCAGGGCUUUGCCAAGCACCGCAAGAGACGAGGAGGGAGAGGGGUAGGGCUGCGCCAAGAGAGAGAUCAAAUCAUGUGUCGGGCAGCCGCCAAACCUCAAGUAUAUAUAGGAGGAGAGGAGGGGCUGCGCCCCCACCUAGGGUUCCCUCCCUAGGGGUGGCGGCAGCCCCCAGAUCCCAUUUGGGUGGCGGCCAAGGGGGGAGAGAGGGGGGCGCACCUAGGGUGGGCCUUAGGGCCCAUCUGGACCUAGGGUUUGCCCCCUCCCACUCUCCCUACGCCUUGGGCCUUGGUGUGGGGGCGCACCAGCCCACCUAGAGCUGGUCCCCUCCCACACUUGGCCCACGCAGCCUUCUGGGGCUGGUGGCCCCACCUGGUGGACCCCCGGGACCCUCCCGGUGGUCCCGGUACGUUACCGAUAGCACCCGAAACUUUUCCGGUGACCAAAGCAGGACUUCCCAUAUAGAAAUCUUUACCUCCGGACCAUUCCGGAACUCCUCGUGACAUCCGGGAUCUCAUCCAGGACUCCGAACAACAUUCGGUAACCACGUACAUCUAUUCCCUAUAACCCUAGCGUCAUCGAACCUUAAGUGUGUAGACCCUACGGGUUCGGGAGACACGUAGACAUGACCGAGAUAACUCUCCGGCUAAUAACCAACAGCGGGAUCUGGAUACCCAUGUUGGCUCCCACAUGUUCCAUGAUGAUCUCAUCGGAUGAACCAUGAUGUCGAGGAUUCAAUCAAUCCCGUAUUCAAUUCCCUUUGUCUAGCGGUAUAGUACUUGCCCGAGAUUCGAUCGUCGGUAUCCCGAUACCUUGUUCAAUCUCAUUACCGACAAGUCUCUUUACUCGUUCCGUAACACAUCAUCCCGUGAUCAACCCCUUGGUCACAUUGUGCACAUUAUGAUGAUGUCCUACCGAGUGGGCCCAGAGAUACCUCUCCGUCACACGGAGUGACAAAUCCCAGUCUCGAUUCGUGCCAACCCAACAGACACUUUCGGAGAUACCCGUAGUGCACCUUUAUAGCCACCCAGUUACGUUGUGACGUUUGGUACACCCAAAGCAUUCCUACGGUAUCCGGGAGUUGCACAAUCUCAUGGUCUAAGGAAAUGAUACUUGACACUAGAAAAACUUUAGCAUACGAACUACACAAUCUUUGUGCUAGGCUUAGGAUAGGGUCUUGUCCAUCACAUCAUUCUCCUAAUGAUGUGAUCCCGUUAUCAACGACAUCCAAUGUCCAUGGUCAGGAAACCGUAACCAUCUAUUGAUCAACGAGCUAGUCAACAAGAGGCUUACUAGGGACAUGGUGUUGUCUAUGUAUCCACACAUGUAUCUGAGUUUCCUAUCAAUACAAUUAUAGCAUGGAUAAUAAACGAUUAUCAUGAAAAGGGAAAUAUAAUAAUAACUAAAUUGUUAUUGCCUCUAGGGCAUAUUUCCAACACUUUGUGAUGGUGGAGAUUUCUGUAUCCUCCUCUCACGCUUCUCAGAAACAGGUUCAUCCGAGCUGCUGGCUGCACCUUUGCUAGAUGAUUUCCCCUUAGCGGUAGUUUUUGCAACUUCGGUUGGCGUGCUGAAACUGGCAGGUGACAUGUGCCCCGCACUCUGACCUACAACAUUUUUCACUGCCCCCUCGACAACUUCAUCGAAGUCCAUAUUGCCCCAGUCAAUUCCCCACUCAAUGUCACCGGUGGCAGCUGCAUUUGCAACCCCCUUAUCCUCUGCUGCCUUGCCCUCCUCACCUGUUAUUCCUGCUGGCUCAUCUAUCCCAAGAUCGAAAGGUGGAGCUGGACAGUAAUCAUCCCACACAGCGCUCCCAGACUUUGAUCUUUGCAGCAAUUGUGCUUCUUCACCUGAAUCGCAUGCUCCUUUGUUUGUUGGUAGAUUGAUGGCAACUGAUGUCCGUAUUACAGGUAUGGUGCCAGCAGAAUUACUCCUCGCGAGCGGUGGCAUCGAACCUGGGCUCACACACUUCUCAAGGAGCUCGUUGAUGUCCCUAACAUCAUCGAAUGAGAUUUCUUUCCCCUUUGCAGAACAUGCUUGCUUGUUGGGAAGUACCGGAGGCUUGUCUGUUGAGUCCUGGGCAGUUGCUUGCUCCUGCUCAGGGGUUGCUUCCUCAAGCAUAGCAGUUGCCUCCGUACUUUGCAUGGGAGGGGCUGCUGAUUCCUGGGCAGUUGCUGCCUGCAUGCUCACUCUGGUUGCCUGAGUUUUUUGCUGAGUUGCUUCAAAAGUAGCACCAGUUGCUCUGUUUUCAGCCUUUGCUGAUUCAGUAGUUUCUCUAUUUUCACUCUUUGUUGAUUCAGCACUUGCUCUGUUUUCAGUCUUUGCUGAUUCAGCAGCUGCUUGUUUUCUCUGUUCAGUUGCUUGCAGAAUAUGAUCAGUUGCUGUGUUUUGCUUCUUUGCUGCUCUUUUCUGGUAAACCUUAUUUUUUGUUGGUGAUGUUGCUUUCUGACUUGUCGCUUCAUCUGUCGGCCUCUGAGCUGUCGGAGCUUGCUGGCUGGUUGUCGUAGUUGCAGCACUUUGAACAACCACAUCCUCUCUUCCUUUUGGAGACAUAACACAGGCCUUAACUGUCUUAUGGCUCACUUUCUUGACCUUCCUUGUGGCAGCCGCUCCAACUCCUCCUGCAAGCUUUCUUUCCUUCUCUUUUUGGUCAAAACUUGGUAGUUCCAACUCAUCUACCAUCGUCUCAGGGCACAAAUCCAUCAUGGAGAAUUUUUCCUUAGUUGCCAUCGCAGGCAUCGGGAAAAGAGGGAUAUCAUGGGUCUCGGGAAUGACCUAUUUCUGUCUGUACUGGGUAUCUCCAAUCCUCACCACAUCUGCAGCUGAAAUGACAGGCCCACUCUGAACCUCACACGACUCCUUUCGCAUGUCCAUCUUAACGAAGCUGCUCUGAAAAAAACUGCCGGCACUUUGGAUGCUUCCUUGUGUGCUCUCGACGGACAUCGUUUCCUAUGCCUCACUUCUUUCCUUGCCAGUGCGCUUGAGUCUCUCCAUGAUGGUACUUAGCGGCACCUCGUCGUCGCAACUGCCCCCACGCCACCCCGAAUUUCGUGCACCUCCCUCAUCAUCACCACCUCCCUUGCCGAGCUGGUCGGUGCUAGCAUUGCCGCCAUUCCCGCCAUCAUCCUUAUCUUCACCCCCCUUCUUCCCACCCCCGCCAUCUUGCUCUGCAUCAUCAUCUUCAUCCUCUCUGCCUUCCUCCUCUUUUUCCUCUUCUUCACUCUUUUCAUCAUCUUGUUUCUCCUCCGAUUCCCCCUCUUUCUUAUCUGGUUCAUUCUCUUCAUCAUUGCCCCCUUCCACAUUUCUCUCCUUCUCUUCGUCCCGUUCCUCUUCAUCAUCCUCCUCCCUGUCCUGCUCUUCAUCUUCAACAUCAUCCUCAUCAUCGUCUUCCUCAUCUCCACCAUCUUCUUCACCAGCAAGGGGCGGCUGUGAGUUGUCAGCGUCCAUGUGCUGUGAAUCAUAUCGUCAUAUUCUGUGGCUGCUAGCAGGCUGCUAUAUGACAGAGCAUCAUCAUCAUAGUCAUCAUCAUCGUCGUCAUCGUCAUUGUUGUCCUCGUCGUUAUCAGAACUCUCCUCUUCAGGACUGUCCUCAUCUUUCCCUUCCUCCUCUUCUUCUUCUUCUGAAGAUUCAAAUUCUUGCUCGUCGGAUUCCUCCUCGUCGUCAUCGGACGCCAAAAGUGUCUCCUUGCACUAACUGCUACUGCCCCUUGUAUUCUUUUGCUUUGCAACCUUCUGCUGUUUCGGACUUGCCGCUGCCUUUUUCUGCCGUGAUGAUUGUCGUAUGCUUGCGACCCUAGAAACACUUGUGCCUGCUGGUUCAACCUCCUCCUCUUCCAACUUGCCCACCCCUUGAACAAACCUCCCAAUUUGGACUGAUAUUUCAGAGCACGUAUCAUGGACCAGCAUUGACAACCUCUUUGUUUCUGCAAAAAUACAAAAAUACAGAACUCGAAAAGAUGAGCAGUCUAUACAACAACAAUGAUAAACGAAAAAAAGCACUCCCUUUCUUAUGAAAAGGGCAAAACCAUGGUGACACUAGAAAAUACAUUGCUGUUGUAGUUUUGAGGAAGCCUCGCAACAACAAACUUCUGGAUGUGAUCCAUGCUCCCAAAAACACUAUCUUCUGCGCAUCUCGAGAACUCGGCUUUGAGUUCUUUGUUGUAAAAAAAUGUACAUGAUAAACUCAGUUAGCAAAAAAGAUCAAACAAAGUUCAAAAAAUAGGAAAUGAAUGAGCAACUGCCUCCCUAACUUAGGGCAAAUACAAGCACUAUUGAUGGCAACUGCAGUUAUGGACAUCACAAAAACCUACAGCACCUACAGCAACCCCUCGAUAAAAAUUGAGCAACUACAGAAACUAUAAAUUAUUGGCAAUUGUUGCUUAAAAAGACUAAUUUAAUUGGACAUGUAUGACUACUUGGAGACAAAAUGAUGAAGAUUGCCAUGUGAAAUUCCAUGUAAAAAAACUAUCAUGAAACUAGCUUCAGAAAAGCAACUAGCUUACUAAAAUUAGGCAACACAAUCCCUAUAGGUGGGCAACUGCAUAAAAAAAUCAAGCAACUACAAAAAAAUCUGUUCAGACAGUAAAGUGAUCUAUACUUGCAGAUUAGGAGAUUGAAUUUGUAGUAGUAAUUCUUGGCCUAUUGGUUUUCCUUUUUUUCCUUUUUGGCUUGGUCGUUCCAUUCAUGUUGUUACAGUCCAGUCCAUUGGGCAAACUGCAAUGUGCCAAGUGGUUUGGGUCUCCCUUCUUGACCAUGAUGAAUGCAUCAUGUGCAACUAUGUAUGUGUCAUGUGUGUAGAGAGAGCAAGAGUCAUCUGUAACAAAUGAUCCAUUUGUUAAAGAAAAGGUAUCAUGUUGAUGAGAGAGAGGUGAGAUGGAUCUGGAAUUUGUUUCAUGUUUAUGGAUAGUUUAGCUCGCGAGACUUGACUUGAUGCACCUAAUACUAACAUGACUAACAUGAUGUCACUUCCAUCUUGGCAUAGUUCCCCUGUUUUGCAUUGCUGCAUAUGCUUGCUAAACUGUGGACCUUUUAAUCACCAGGCCUAGGCUUCCUAAAAUUAGGCAACACAAUCCCUAUAGGUGGGCAACUGCAUAAAAUAAUCAAGCAACUACAAAAAAAUUUUGUUCAGACAGUAAAGUGACACUUACUCGUAACUUUCCAUAGACACCCUUCCUAAUCAUGUCCUUCUUAAUUACUGCUUUGAUCAGACCUUCAUUCCAUGCUUUGACCCUUGGAAGAACAGUUGCCAUCCUCUCAUCCACAUAAUCCUUAUGGACUGUCCUAAAGUCCAGGUCCAGCGAGUCAAGGUAUAGCAGCUGUUUCAAAAAAAUAGAGAACACAUGUCAGUUGCAAAAAAACCUAUCCAACUUCAGCUUGAAACAUAUAACACGAAAUGAAAAACGGAAAAACAAGGGGGGAAGGCCUAGAUCAUUUUACCACUAGGUGGAAAAGGCAGCAGCAUAUAGUAUUCUUCUUGUCUCCAAAACCCAUGAAAGCAAGCCUAAGUUGGUCGACGACAAACUAGCAAACAUUUGAAUUCACAACCUCACGUGGAUUUAGCGCAGCUGAGUAUGUGCGCGGUGACACCUUCAAGCUGGUCGUCGGUGCAAGAAAACAGCUAUAAACAACAACCAGCCAAGCACUUAAGAACUUGUCGUCCGCAACAGCUCCCAUAUCAUUUAUCAUUUUGCACCACUCGGUCACUGAUGGCACGGGCCCUGUCGGGAUGUCGUACAUCUCAUUGAACAACCUAACUACGUCUGGCUCCACUUCAUAUGCAACCUUCCUCUGCCCCCUUGGCAAACCCCAGAUUCUUUCUACGCUUGCUGCAUCAACUGGGAUCUUCCCCCUAUAUGGGAUAACAAGCUGCGACAACUAUGGAUCAUAACACUUCGUCACAAAUUUCACAAGAUCUCCUUUCAUUGUUCUUGUCCCGAUAUCAAGCACACCCCCAAAGCUUAUAUCACCAAUGGCAUCCUUUUGUGUAUCAUCGAGGCCACUGUUUAGGAGAAAAAGUCUUGAAGGUGAUGCCCCGUUCCUCGGUGGUGGCCCACUGCUACCAAUCUGCAUACAAAUUUAAAAAAUGAGCAACCCACUAUAUUAAGCUGAGCAACUCACUGUACUAAACUAAGCAACUAGAUCUAUAAUGAACUGCAACUGUUAGUACUAAACUAGGCAACUGCUACACUCCUAUUCUGCUGCUUAUCAAAAUGAUAGGAGUGCAUAUACAAAAAGAAAAUGCCAUGCUGACUUGAGCGUUACAUAUUCAAGGAUGCCUUCCUUCUUUCAAGUUUUUCAUAAGAAAAAUACCUCAUCCACAACUUUCUUCGCACGUUUUGAAUUUCUCCCUCCUUCAUCACGAGGGCCGGAAUCAGUACCCCAUUUCCCCGCCCGACCACCCCGGGCAGAAUUGGUGUCCCGUUUCCCUGCCCGACCACCACGUACAGGAUCCUGAUUAGCCCGCCUGCGCUUGCGUCCAACAUUACUCCUUGCUGGUUGAGCUGCCACUUCUUCUCCCUCAUUUUCACCAUCAGUUCUACCCGCAUGCCUUUUGCUUUUCGGAGCCAUUCUGUACAAGAAAACACAAAAAAAACAUGUUCAUGAAAACAGAUACAACCAGAUACAAAAGCCCUAUAACUCAACUACUCAAAUGAUAGUGCUUGCAUUUGGAGCUAACAUCACUCAUUUGGAGAUGAACAAAACUCCAUUUAUUCCCUACCCAGAGAUAACUCAACAAUUGAAUUGCUAGUGCUUGCAAAAGCAAAUUGGUAUUGAGAACUAUGCAACUACUCAUUAUUUUGUGGCAACUAAAAAUAAAGCACAUAAAAAAAACUACCAUCACAAAAAGUCACAUGUUCAUCUUCAUCACAUUAGCUAAAAGAUCAAAAAACACUCAGGCUUUGCCGCUUAUUCAUGAGAGAUAUCUCAUCUCCUAUUCAUAGUUGCAAUGAAGGACUGCAGCUCGAUGGUGGAUAUAAGCAAUGUCAUGUUUCAUACAGUAAAUUUAAAGAACACUACAAAAAGGAUAUCAACUUGGUGUUGCAAAUCUAGGCAAUAACUAAAACUAAAAUCAACCAAUCACAAAAACAAUUCCCCCCCCAAAAAAACAGUGCACCCCUAACCCCUCCAUGAACUGCCCAAGUCAGAUGCAUCCCCUGACCCUCCCCCUCGCAAAUUUGUAGGAAAAAACCUAAGAAACUAGCAUCAAAUUUAUGAACAACUACCGACGUAAGAUGCAUCCCCUGACCCUCCCCUCGCAAAAUUUGUAGCAAAAAACUAAGCAACUAGCAUCGAAUUUAUGAGCAACUGCCAUAAAAAAAUGAGCAACUGCCCCCAGUCAGAUGCAUCCCCUUGCCCUACCCCUCCAUUUCACAAAUUACAGGAAAAAUCUAAGCAACUCCAUUGAAAUUAUGAGCAAUUGCGUCUUGAGAAGCAAGCAACAUCGAAUAAACGAAUCCUAUGCGCCAGUCACUAGGAUUUGGUCGCGUGUAUCCCCUUACAACGACUCAAUCCCGCCUACCCCCAGCACAAACCCACCCUCCCCUCCCCUCGCCAUAGCAACGCCACACCCUCCAAAAGCAUUCACGACGCGGAGCCCGAGGACGCCAUGGACAACCUUGUGCCCGCCCCCUCACCGAAACCCUAACUCCAUGGAGCGCAAACAGGGGAGCAGAGCGAGAAAAACAGGGGAGCAGGGGAGGAGGAAAAGCGGUUUACCUCCGCCUGCACGCGGCGACUCGCGGCGCUCGCGGACAGCCUCCCGCACCGGCGACUCCACGCCGGAUCCACCACUGCAGCACCCCGCCUCGCCGCGCCGUUGCUAGAGGAGAGGAAAGGGAGAGGGAGAGGAGUUCGAAUGAAAUCUGUGGGGGGUGCGGGCGGUUUCGAACAAGACGAGCGGGGGUGCGGGCGGGGGAGCGAUUUCGCCUGGAAUAAAGGGGUCGGGCCCACCACUCGCCGCACGUUUCGCGCAAUCCGUAACGGGCACCUGGUCGGGACGAAUCGCGCGCAGACACAUCGCAUCGGACGGCUGUAGUCCGUGCGCUCGCGCCAGCGGACGAGCGCAGCUGCACGAGUCAGACUUUAGGAAAAUAUAAUCUCCAGGGGGUGUGGGACCCUUAUCCCUUUCUCUUCCAAUCAAUUUGUCCCAACUAAGUAAGAAACAGCUCACGAGUGUAGCAUUGCUCAUUUGACGCAGAAACCGUAAAAAAGAAGUAUUUCACGCAGGACUCGCUCAAACCUGAACAAACGGAUGCGAUCGUUUCGAUCGAAGAUCUAACAGACAGAAACUCGCGCUCGGUGGAGGGGGCUUGAGGGUCCUGGUCGUUCACCCGGUUGAAAAGAGAAGAGACGGGAGGUCGGUUCCUUCUGCCUCGUACUACCGCCGUAACCCUAACCCUAACCCCUAGAGCAGAUCCAGCCAGCCGCAGUGCGAGCGUCACCGGCGUCUCCUCCGCCCCCUACCUCAAAAAAGAUAAAGCCGGAGAAACUGGAGGUAGGUUCUUUCCGCCUCGUCGUAACACCCUAAGCCAUACAUCAGAUCUAGCCCGCCGCAAUGCGAGCGUCGUCGGGAUCUCCUCCUAUCCCGACCUCGAAGGGGGAGGGUGUGAUGGAAGUUGAAUCGGAUCAAGAUCAGGAUGAUUGUGAUGUGAUGAUUGAGCCUGCCGCUGCCCUCAGGGGUCUCUAUGCGAUGAUGGUCUCAUGGUGUGACCAAUUCCUUGAUAUUGAUAUUGAUAUUGAGGAGGAAGGGGAUAGAUCCGUUCCUCCCUUGUUGAUGAUCCACUUUCCCCGUG
rnacentral:lncRNA from 1 species